UUAUUAUUGGUUGCCCUGAAGUUGAGGUGGAUUGCGUGCUUGAAUUGAUCUUCGGAGGGUGAUGUCAAGAUAAAUCCUGCCCCCGCUCCUUGGCUGUUGAGUGCGCCAUCGAACGCCAUUAUCCAUGUCUCAUUGUCGCCUUGGUUGUCUGACUUGUUAUCUGGCAUGGUCCAAUCGGCCAUGAAGUCGGUGAGUACAUGAGAUUUGAUGGCUGUUCGCGGCACAAAGUGGAUAUCAAAUUGGCUUAGCUCGACUACCCAUUUCGCGAUGCGGCCGACAACGUCUUUGUUUCUCACAACUUCGCCAAGGGGGAAGGAGGGGACAACUGUGACUCUGUGGGCUUGAAAGUAGUGGCGUAGCUUCCUUGAUGUCAUGAUGACUGCGUAGAGCAGUUUUUGAAUCUGUGGGUAUCUUGUCUUUGCAUCAUGGAGAGCUUCGCUGACGUAAUAAACUGGUCGCUGUACUUUCUCUCUCUCGACUACAAUGACAGUGCUAACGGAAUAUGGCGUGGCGGCAAUAUAAAGGAAUAAUUCUUCAUUAGGUUGGGGAGCAACGAGUACAGGUGGGUUUGAUAGGUAGCGCUUGAGUGCAAUAAAUUCCUCUUCGGCUUCCUGUGUCCAUACAAAUUUGUCUUGUUUCUUCAACAAAGAGAAGAAAGGCUGUCCUCGUUCUCCGAUCCUAGCGACGAAUCUGCUUAAUGCUGCCAUGCAUCCGGUUAGCUUUUGUACCUCCUUAAGUCUUGUGGGCGACUUCAUGUUCUCGAUUGCUUUGAUCUUCUCGGGAUUUGCCUCUAUUCCUCUGCCAGAAACAAGGAAUCCGAGUAGCUUGCCCGACGGUACUCCGAAUGUGCACUUCUCUGGAUUGAGCAUGAGGCGAUAUCGUCGGAGGUUGUCAAACGUUUCCCGCAGGUCGUCAAUUAAUGAGUCGCUUGUCUUGGUCUUGACAAUGAUGUCGUCAACGUAAGCCUCGACAUUGUUGCCAAGCUGGUUGCUAAGUGCGCCCUGGACCGUGCGCUGGAAAGUAUUCCCGGCGGUUAUCAGUCCGAAAGGCAUCUUAACGUAGCAAAAUACCCCGAACGGUGUGAUGAACGCUGUCUUCUCCUCGUCCUUUUUUGCCAUGCUGAUUUGGUGGUAGCCAAAGUAAGCAUUGAGGAAGCUUAAUAGCUCGCAACCGGCUGUUGAAUCCACCAACUGAUCAAUUCGAGGGAGAGGAAAGUGAUCCUUGGGGCACGCCUUGUUGAGGUCUGUGAAGUCGACACACAUUCUCCAUUUUCCGUUGGCCUUCCGCACCAUGAUUGGGUUGGCUAGCCACUCUGGAUGAAGUACUUCUCUGAUGAAGCCAGCUUUGAGAAGUUUGUCGAGUUCUUCUCGUAUGGCUUAUUUUCAGUCUGGUGCAAAUCUCCGCAGUCUUUACUUUACUGGCUUGGCAUCGUGUCGCACCAUGAGUUUGUGCUCAAUCACCUCCCUGGGGACCCCCGGCAUGUCGGACGGGCGCCAAGCAAACACGUCGACAUUAUCGCGGAGGAAGGUGAUGAGCGCGAGUUCCUAUUUCUCAUCUAGUGUAGCCCCGAUUUUGAUAGUCUUGUCGGGGUUAGCCUGUUGAGCGGAAUGAUCUUGAUGGCGCCGUCCGGCUUCGGCGUCUUGUUUGGCUUGCUCACUUUCUUGGGUGGCUCAGACGUGGCGGGUGGGGUGGGCGUUUGCUCGACCAUGUCGAGGCUCCGCCUGUCGCACUGCACCGCCAGCUUUGCAUUCCCCUGAAUAGUGAUUGUUCCCUUCGGUCCCGGCAUCUUGAGCACUUGAUAUGCAUAGUGGGAUGCGGCCAUGAACUUCGCAAGUGCAGUUCUCCCGAUGAUGGCGUUGUAAGCUGUAUCGAAUUCAGCGACAUCGAAAGUGAUCUGCUCUGUUCGGAAGUUGUUGGCUUGGUCGAAAGUCACGGGCAACGUAAUCUUGCCCAGAGGUCUGGACGAUGAUUGGGGAGUAAUUCCAUGGAAGGGUUGAUCGGUUGGUGUCAACUCACUUUGUGGAAUUCCCAUUGCAUCCAGAGUGCUGGCGAAGAGGAGAUUGAUCGAGCUGCCACCGUCGAUGAGAACUCGCGCUACCUUGACGUUCCGAAUAGUGGGUUCGACCACAAUCGGAUAUCGUCCUGGGAUAACAGAUGUCUUGGGGUGGUCUUCUUCCGAGAACUCUAUUCUCUGCUCAGACCACUUCAUCUUGGGUGCAGCCUCCUACCACGUCGAACAGACUUCACGUUCCACUUUCUUGUAUUCCCGCUUGGAGGAGUAUGUUGUGGAGCCGCUGAAGAUGUGUGAGACGUGGAGGUCGGAGCCUGGGUACGCAGGAUCCGAUUCGUGAGGAGGUGUCUCCUCGUUCUUCUCGACAACGCGUACUCGCUUGCUUUUUUGAAACGCCAUGUGCUUCUCGAGCGACUUUUUGAAAACAAGGCAAUCCUCCAGAGAAUGUCUGUCCGUUUUGUGUAUGGGGCACCAUGAUUUCUUUGUAUCGCUGCCUUGUGGGUCUGGGCGCUUGGGAGGGUUCGCGUAUUCUGCUGCGAGGACUUCCGCUUAAGCUUUCCUUUUCCCGUUUUUGCGAUUUUUCUUCUUAUUCGACUCAGAUGCGUCUGCGGCUGGUUUCUUCUCUCCCCCAGUCUUCGGCUUGUCGUUCUUGCGUCUUAGCGCGUCAUCCACAUGGGCGCACCGCUCAACGAUCUCGAAUAAUCUUCGGGUAGUUGUGAUGCGUCUUGUCACCAACUCCUGGGUAGUGUAGCGAUCUCUGACACCGGACUUGACUUGAAGGCGCGAGUUACAGAAGCGUCGGUAAUUUCGGGAAUUGUGUUUCUGCACUCGUUGAAGCGCCGAACGUAUUCCCUCAAUGAUUCCCCCGAGUUCUGUGUUAACGCGUGUAAGUCGUCUUCGAUCGCGUGGCGCUUGUAUGUUCCUUGGAAAUUGGCGACGAACUGUUGCCACAGGUCUGCCCACGAAGAGAUUGAGUAGGGGGGAAGAUGCAUCAGCCAUGUACGUACAGAACCCUUCAACGCAGUUGGUAAAUAGUUCGCCAACGCGUUGUCAUCUGCUCUGGCAGCAUAAAACACUAUCGAGUAGACUUGAAGGAAUUCUUCUGGGUCGGUGCUCCCAUCAUACUUUUCAAUGGCCCCGGGUCGGAAUCUCUCAGGCCAUCGGACAUCACGUUGGGAACGACCGAAAGCCCUACACCCAGCACUAGGGGCGGUGGGUUGUCGGCGGUCGCAUGACCUUCGUGGAUGUCUGUCUGACGAUGAAGAGGACGCGGAUGAUGACGAUGACGAUGGGUCGCUUGGCUCCGGCGUACGAUUACGAGGAUGACGACCUGGAUCCCGGGAAUCUUGUCGUUGUCUCUCGCUAUUAUCUCGGCGCCGAUCUCCUUCGUCGUCGUCGUUGCGACGACGGCCAUGACCAGUAUUGUUUGGCCCCCGCCGUUCGCGAUCGUUGCAUUCUGGGUCCUCGUUUGGGCGGUUUCCUCGAUCAUGGCGCCGUGAAGAAACAUGACGCCGAGAGCGAUUUGCGUCGUCCCGUGUGCGCCGUGCUUCUCGGCGGUUGUUAAUUUGAUCUCGAAGAUCGCUAGUGCCACGAGGUGGAGGGGUAGCCUGUCGAGGCAAUUCCCUCCGCUCCGGAUCUUCACCAUUGGCGUCGCCGGUUGGUGGCUGAUCUUGGUGUGCUGCGGUAGCGGCCUCUUCGAACGCAUUGCUGAGGUUGGUCACCGACUCCCGUAAUCGUUCUGUCCAACGCUCGAGGUCGUCGUUCAGAACAGGAUCGUAAGGAGUUUCCCUCAGUAUAGCUUGAAUAGCCCUGAUGUGCUGGGCCGGAGUAGUCGAUUGAUUCGCCGCUUCUGCGUUGGCUUGUGCUGAUGUGCCAACGUCAUCGAUAACUAAUACUUCCCAUGGCGCACUUGUUGUUGAUGACCCGUAGUCUUCGAGGAGAUGUAAGACCGAUGGUUCGUGAGGAUCGAGAUCGAUUACCCCAACGAAUCGAUCUGAGGCUGGAGUCGCUCCCUGUUCCUUGCCGUUAUCCCUAGCGGGGACGUAUGACUUAGGAGACAGGGUUUUCAUGGCGCCGAGGAGGACUUUGCAGCUCGAGAGAUCGUGAUUCUUUGUCUUGUGGAUAGGACAAUAGACAUCCCGAGUUGGAGAAAUACACUGAAUUCCACGUUCCUUGUAGGCGCGAAUUUCAGCACGGACGUUGAUGAAUACCCAGCAAUCUUGAAGGGUAUGUUUCUUGGUUUUGUGGAUAGGACACCAGAAGUCAUCUUUGUCGGCCCGUGAUUUAUGUCGGAGGGACAAGAUUUGGCCGCAUCAGAAUCCGUCUCGAGUUUGGAUGUAGUCGGUAAUCCGUUCUCCGUUUCAACGGGUGGAUUUUUCGACAUGGAGCCGUCUUGGUUCGUAGCCACUACGUUCUCGUUUUCAGUCAUUGGAGGACCGGUUGAGAUCGGCGUCAUGGUGUAAACCGGGAAGACGAUUUCGCCGACAUGAGUCCAUACCAGCAUUGUUGAAGUUGAGAGUGCUUGGCUGGAGCUGGUGUUGAUGUUGUUGUCGACGAAGCUUGAUGGCAUAGUAGUAGAACCUUGAGUACCAAGUCCCCCUACCUGGCGCGCCACUGUCGACGGGUGAUACCCGUAGACCGGAUAUAGAGGGUAUUGGGGUACGCUGGUACAAGGAUCUACGUAAUACGACAUCGAGCAAUCAAAAGACAAGAAUUAUACUGGUUUAGGCCCCUUGACAGGUAAUAGCCCUAAUCCAAUUGAUGUGGGAUUAUACGGUGGAAAACAUAGGUUACAAAGGAAAGGAUGGAACUUGUCAGAUCCGGCGAGAUUGUAGUCGAGCUCAUUCGACUAGCUCUUGACGACUUGGCUCCUCGCAGGCUCUGACUUCGUAGGCUGUGUGGGUUAUGUUGGCACUGAGAUUCGAUGAUCUAUGCCCUCCCUGGGGGGUCCCUUUUAUAUCGCAGGUCUGGUGCUCUCCGAGUGGGACUCGAACAUACCAGACCUAGCACGAUACGUAGGUGACCCAGUUCUUGUCCGAGAAGGACUUUUCCCAUCUAUUGAUCUCGUGAAAGGUUUCCUUAGAUCAUAAAGGAAAUAUCCGCGUGCGCGUGGGUAUGCCAUGUCGAUACGUAACGUAUAUCGAAGGGUAGGGGGUAUGCCUAACCCGUAACCCUGACACUCCUUAAAGAGGAUGUGCCCAAUCACGUUCUCAACAUAAUCAAUCAGACAAAGACAAUGAUCGCCGCAUCAGUUCCAGUCAACCUGGAAAGCAUUCGGGUGCCAACUGGCAGUCGGGUUCCAUCCCUCCAAUCUGAAGAUUACCAUCAACCAAGUCUCAGCAUCGCGGGGUCAAGAUCCAAUCACGGGGGGUCAUGGUCUGCUCACGGGGGCAGGGAUCAUCAUGAACAUUUAGUUCAUUCGCCAGCCGAUAGGCACAGAGAGUGACGCGCUGAGCAGCCUCACUUGCCAUGUCGCUGGCAACCCAUUGACCUACGUGACACACUUAACCGCUGCUGUGCAGAAAGAGGUGAUCGGCGGCAUCGAACCCUGGACUGCUACGAAUAUGAUGAAGAUGGAGUCGCAGCUUUCACAAGCGACCUGCGUCGAGUGGAUUGGCCGGCUGGUUUUAAGCCGACUGGCAUCGAGAAGUAUGACGAAAAAAUAGAUCCUGAACCAUGGCUCACUGUCUACGGUCUCACAAUCCGCGCAGUAGGAGAAGAUAGCAAGGCAAUGCCAAAUUAUUUACCAGUGGCCCUAGCUGACUCUGCUCGAUCCUGGCUUCAUGGGUUACCACGAGGCACCAUAGGAUCUUGGGCGGAGCUCCGAGAUCACUUCAUCGCCAACUUUCAAGGCACCUUCGAGCGUCCCGGCACAUGUUUUGAACUCUAUAACGUGGUCCAGAAGCCCGGUGAAACCCUUCGGGAAUAUAUUCGAUGCUUUUCUGAACAACGCAACAAGAUCUCUGAUAUCACAGAUGAUGCCAUCAUAGCCGCAUUCACAAAAGGAGUUCGUAAUGACCUUCUAGUCGGCAAGUUUGGAUGCAAGCCUCCCAGGAUAGUCAAGCAAAUGUUUGAGAAGGCCAAUGAGUAUGCAAAGGCUGACGAAGCCGUUCUUGCUUCCAACCAGUCGGGCAGCCACUAGAAAUCCAAGAAAGAUGGACCAACCGUAGGGGCGAGUGGAAGCGGCACUCAUAACAAAGAUCACAAGCGGAAGCCCGAGGAUCUGGUGGCGACUACAACACAUUCUUCCCGUCAACAAUCGCGAGUCAACACCUUCGACAAAAUUAUGAAUGCUCAAUGUUCGCAUCACCCAAAUUCCAACCAUGCUGCCAAAGAUUGUUUCAUCUAUAAUCAGUUUGCCGAACAAUAUGCCAAACAAGCGAAGAAGCUGACUGAUGGAGAGCAAAGCACCUCGAAGAAAAAGGACGACGAUGACGAUGGCCCACCUGGUUUUCAAGAUUCUCGUAAGGAGCUCAAUCACAUCUUGGUUGGGCCGCAAGCCUAUGAGUCCAAACGGAAGCAGAAGCUAACUGAUAAGGAGAUCAAUACCGUUCAGUCGGACACACCUCAAUACCUUCGGGUGGUCGGAGAUAGCAAUUAAGUUUGACUACUCGAAUCACCCUGACUGUCACACCCUAAAAAUCCCAAAUGUAUAAAUUGUUGUUUAAUUGGAAUUAUUAGAAAUAAUUUUAAAAGCCUAGAAGAGAAGAUCUAAUUUUAAAUAAUAAAUUCCAAUAUAAAAGUGGGCCAGAUAAAAUUUUAUUAAAUACUUCACUUGAUUCUAUAGUUCCUAGAUUUUUCUGGGAUUUAUUUGAGCCAAGGAAGCAUUUUUAAUAAAUGGAAUUGCAUUUCAUGAAUAAUUUAAAUUGAAAAAGGUUUUAAAAGUCUCCUUUUGGCUUUGGGCCGAAAGUCGGCCCAAAAGCUCUCUCUCUCUCUCUCUCUCUCUCUUUCCCCAGCCCAGUCAGCCCACGCGCGUGCGCCCUCGCCCGCUGUAAGGUGGGGCCGACUUGUCGGACUCGUCUUCCUCCUCGCGCCGCCGUGCCCUAGCCACGCCGCGCGUAGCCGCCGCCGCCCUUCCAAUUCGAUCGCGUCUUUCCUUCUCCGGUGAAAUCAAUAGAGGGGAAAUGAUCGCCUUGAUCUCCUCUAUCUUUUCUCUUUUGGAAUCAUCGGCUAAUUUCUUUUGGAAAUUGGUGGAUUCGAGUUCGAUUCGGAUCAAUCUCUCUCUCCCGAACCCUAACUUUCCAUCGCCGUCGCCCGUUGCCGUGGUCCUUCGUCGCCGCCCUUUAGCCGCUAUAAAAGGACCGCCGAGCCCUCCGCUACCCACCGCUACCUUCGCCUUCGUCUCUCGUCGCUGGUAGAGCCCUAGCGCCGUGUAGCUUAGCGCCGCCGUCGCCGCCGUUCGUACAGCCGUGCGUCGCCGCCGCUCCGGUCGUCGUCGUCGCUCGGGAAGGCCGCCGUCGUGAUCGCCAAGCCGUCGCCUACCUCGUCCACCCCUCCGUCAUCGCCGUAGGUCACCGGAGCACCGCCGUCGUCGUCAAGCCGAAGGUCGCCGCCACUUCUUCCUCGCCGCCGUCGCCGUCUGUUGAUCUUCCGUCGCUGCUUUGGUCCCUGGUGAGUUCGCCGUGUCGUCCGCAACCCGUAGGUGCCGUCCGUUCGCGCCGCCGCGCCGUCGUUCACCGGCGAGCAUGCGUCGUCCGAGCCGUCGCCGGUGAUGACGUCACCGCUGACGUCAUUGUCGCCGUGUCUCGUGAACCGCCGUAGACUAGAUCGAUCUCGACCGUCCGAUUUGGUUAGAGUGAUCUCGGCCGUUCGUUUCCGUAGACCGCCGCCGUGCACCCGGUCCACCGUGAACCCUAGCCGCUGACGCAAUAAUCCCCUUUUUCUUUUCAAAAAUAAUUCAUUAUUGCGUCAUAAUUCAAUUGAUAUCUAUAUAAAUGGUUUAAUCUGAUUUAAUCUUUAAAAAUUCAUAACUAAUUCAUCUUAGCUCGGAUUUAGUUGGUUCAAGUCUCUAAAUUUUUCUAAAAUUGAGAUCUACAUGUUAAAAAUAUCCACAUGUACUGUUCAUGCUUGUUUAUGUGCUGUUUUGGUGAUUUUGCUCUUUUCUCUUUAGAUUCCGACGUUCCCGGAGAGUCCGAUUUUGCAGGAGAAGACUUUGAAGAGUUCCAAGGCCAGCAAGGCAAGUCACACAGAUCCCAAACAACCCUUUGAGCAUGUUGAUCCCGUUUAAAGCUAUUGUUUCUAUUCAACUAUUGCAUUUAUUUUCGAAUGUCAUUGGGUGGAUAUAACCUAUUGCCUUUGUUAUAGCCUUUUUAUGUUGAUUACCUAUUCUUUGUCACCUAGUUAAUAAUUGGAUUAGCUAGAACAUUAUAUGGUUUUAGCUAAAGUGAUUAGGAUGCUUAGCCAUGCUUAGAGACACUAGCUCAUAUAAAUGGGAUAACUUAUGAUUCACUAUUAUUUAAUGAUGGCUUAAUGAUAGCUCACGAUGGUUGAUCGUGAUUGGUUAAUUAAUUAAUUUGCCAACUAAAACUUGAUAAUGGUGGGUUGUGAGCACAUGGUUUUGAUGGUCGUGCUCAUGACAAUUAAGGACCGGUUCACGAUUUUCGGUUGUGAAACAUUAAUCGUGCGAACCACAAGCCAGCGUGGGCAACGGCUUUACUUUCUGUAUAGUGUGGUUCAUUGUAGAGCACCAGACUGUGAAGUGGCGGAGAUAAGCCCACGGGGGUCGCUGGGGAGUCCAUGCCUUGUUUAUAAGGGGGUGAUUAUGAUCCAGGAACGGUGCACUGCUUUGAAUUGUGUUAUGCAGGAGGUAUUGUCACAAUCUCUAUUCGGGUACUUGUCAAGUAUCGCGACGCAUGGUUGACAUGAUGUUGAGGUUGUGUCUUGUGGGUACAGUGGUACACCUCUGAUCAGAGUUUAAACUAUUCGAAUAGCCGUGCCCGCGGUUAUGGGCGGGUCUAACAAUGUCUUUCGUGAUUAGUCUCACACUUCUCACUAUAUUAAAUGAUGAUGUUAAUAACUUGUUUAGCUCCUGGUUUGGAAUGGUAUAUUCCUGGUUUGGAGAUAGAACUGUGCAGCCGGGAUUGGUUGUUCAGAAUGGUUGGGCCUAUGCAACACGGGUGUAUUGUAUAGUGUUGAUUUAAUAUUGUUUAAUUACUCAACUGUUUUACUAUUCUCUCAAUUGCUUAUUAAAUGCUGUUUAUGCAAAUGAGCCCAUAUUAUGCCAUCCUUCGUUAUCCAUUGCACUUGCAUAUUUGUUGCGUGGCUUGCUGAGUAUGUCAUAUACUCACCUUGCAGUCAUUCAUCAGAGGAGGAGUUCUACAGUGAUGCUGAUGGUGUGGAUGAUUAGGCGUAGCCCUGGUCAAGCUGCCUGUGGAGAGGAGUCGCCUGUGCUGUUUCUUUUAUUUUCCGCUGCUUAGAACUUUGUUGUUUGAGAGGAACUAUCUACCUCUGUAAUGACUUUAUAUUCGCUUAUUAAUUAGAGUAAUAAUUGUACUCUAUUAUCAAUUUGUUAUUGUGUGCCUCGGCUGAUUUCUGGACGAGGGUUUACACACAUGUAAGCGUUUGGAAUUUUGGAUAGAAAUUCCGGGCGUGACACUGACCGAGUGGUCCACCCAGGGUGGUACCCCCUGGUACUAGACCUAGUGGUUCGCAACAUCAAACUUCGGUUAUCCCUCAUCGAUGGUGGCAGUGCACUCAAUAUUCUUUUUGCCAAGACUCUGGACGAGAUGCAAAUCCCACGAACCGAGUUGAAACCGAGUGGUGCGCCCUUCCAUGGAGUCAUCCCGGGGUUGUCUUCAACCCCACUCGGCCAGAUCACCUUGCCAGUUACUUUUGGCACUCGGGAGAACUUCCGUACAGAGAACGUUUGUUUCGAAGUUGCUGACUUUGAGACAGCGUACCAUGCUAUACUUGGACGCCCGGCGUUAGCCAAAUUUAUGGUUGUCCCACACUACACCUACUUGAUGAUGAAUAUGCCAGGGCCUCGUGGAGUCAUAUCUUUGCGAAGCGACAUCAAGAAAGCUGUCACCUACGACAAGGAAAGCUGCGAGAUGGCCCAGACUCAUGAGAUUACACUUGCCCAUGAAUCAAUCCGACUGGCUGCAUCAACUACGACCGAAGGAGUAGUGCCUGCAACUAACAUGCCAAAGACCGAAGAAGGCGAUGUCAAAACUAAGAAGAUUCCUCUUGAUCCAUCCGAUCUCUCCAAAACUACUGUAAUAGACGCAGAGUUAGAUUGUAAAUAGGAAAGCACGCUCAUCACCUUUCUUCAAGCUAAUAAAGAUAUUUUUGCAUGGAAACCAUCUGAUAUGCCUGGUAUCGCUAGAGAGGUGAUUGAGCACUCCUUAAAUGUUAAAGAUGACACUAUGCCUAUCAAGCAACGACUCUGCUGAUUUUCUUAGGACAGGAAGGAUGCAAUCAACGAAGAACUGACCAAGCUUUUAGCAGCAUGCUUCAUCAAAGAAGUCUUACAUCCCAACUGGCUAGCAAACCCAGUCUUAGUUCGGAAGAAAACAGGACAAUGACGCAUGUGUGUUGACUACACGGAUCUCAACAAAUCAUUUCCUAAAGAUCCUUUUGGGUCAGCUUUUUGGAUUGCUACUCGGGAUAUCACCAUAUCAACCUAAAGGAAUCCGACUGCUUGAAGGCCUCAUUUAUUACACCGUUUGGAGCUUACUGCUAUAUUACUAUGCCCUUCGGGUUGAAGAAUGCUGGAGCAACUUAUCAGCGUAUGAUCCAGAGAUGCUUUUCAACAUAGAUCGGUCGCAAUGUAGAAGCCUAUGUUGAUGAUGUUGUAGUUAAGACUAAGCAGAAGGCUGAUUUGAUUGCUGAUUUGGAGGAAACCUUUUGCUAGCAUUAGUGCUUUUAGGAUGAAAUUGAACCCUGAAAAGUGCACCUUCGGAGUACUGUCAGGGAAGCUACUUGGCUUUAUGGUGUCUCAUAGGGGCAUACAAGCCAACCCGGAGAAGAUCAAUGCCAUCCUCAACAUGAAACCGCCUAGCUCCCAGAAAGAUAUUCAGAAACUGACUGGGUGCAUGGCGGCGCUUAGCCGGUUUAUUUCAAGAUGUGGCGAGCGGGGGAUGCCUAUUUUCAAGCUACUCAAGAAGACUGAUAAUUUCUAGUGGGGUCCCGAAACCCAGCAAGCCCUUGAUGAUUUCAAGAGACUCCUCACGACUCCACCAGUCCUAGCUUCAUCACAUCCGCAAGAACCAUUGCUAUUAUAUGUGUCAGCAACAUCGCAGGUGGUAAGCAUGGUUUUGGUUGUCGAGCGAGAAUAGGAGGGCCAUGUUCAAAAAGUUCAACGACCAAUUUACUUCGUUAGCAAGGUCUUGGCCGACUCCAAAACAAGAUAUCCCUAGGUAGAAAAGUUAUUAUAUGGUGUUUUAAUUACCGUCAGGAAAUUGUCCUAUUAUUUUCAAAGUCACUCGGUCACAGUAGUCACAUCUUUUCCACUCGGCGACAUACUCCAUAAUCGAGAGGCAACUGGACGUAUUGCGAAGUGGGCUUUGGAGUUGAUGUCUUUGGAUCUAUCCUUCAAGCCACGAACGUCAAUCAAGUAUCAAGCCCUGGCAGAUUUUGUUGCCGAGUGGACCGAGUGUCAGGAAGAUACACUUGGGGAGAAAUUGGAGUAUUGGACUAUGCAUUUUGACGGGUCAAAAAGACUCUCGGGCACUGGAGCAAGGGUUGUUAUGUUUUCCCCGACUAGAGAGAGGUUAAGCUACGUGCUAUGGAUACACUUUCAAGCAUCUCACAAUGUGGCAGAAUAUGAAGCGCUACUCCAUGGGCUGAAGAUUGUUGUAUCUCUAGGGAUUCAGCGUCUGGUGGUCCGUGGUGAUUCUCAGUUGGUUAUCAAUCAAGUCAUGAAGGAUUGGUCCUGUCUUGAUGACAAUAUGGCUGCAUAUCGACAAGAAGUUCGUAAAUUGUAAGACAAGUUUGAUGGUCUGGAGUUAACUCACGUGCUUAGGCACCACAAUGAAGCAGCCGACAGGCUAGCUAAUUUCGGAUCUAAACGGGAAGCAUCUCCUUCUAAUGUCUUUGUUGAACAUCUCUAUGAGCCGACAUUAUCAAAGAAGGAUAAAACUGAAGAUGAAGAGACCAAUGAAGUAGGGAUGAUUGAUGUCGAGUGGAGAGAGCCAAUCAUCAAAUUUUUAACUCAGCAAGAGUUACCUCAAGACAAGAAUGAAGCGGAAUGGAUUUCUUGAUGUAGUAAGCUUUAUGUCAUGGUUGAAGCUGAGUUAUACAAAAAGAGCCCAUCUGGAAUUCUACAGUGAUGUGUUUCUCUUGAGGAAGGCAGGCAAUUGUUGCAUGAUAUCCAUUAUGGAAUUUGUGGGAGUCACGCGGCAGCACAAACCAUAGUUGGCAAAGCAUAUCGGCAGGGUUUUUUCUGGCCCACAACGGUGUCUGAUGCUGAGAAGGUUGUGUGAACGUGUGAAGGUUGUCAAUUUUUUACCAGGCUAGUUCAUCUGCCAGCUCAAGAGUUGCAAACCAUCCCUCUUUCCUGGCCUUUUGCUAUUUGGGGGCUCGAUAUGGUUGGUCCUUUCAAGAGGGCUACCGGAGGAUUUACUCACCUUUUUGUGGUUGUUGAUAAGUUCCCCAAGUGGAUUGAAGCGAAACCAGUCGUUACUAUUACAGCUGACGAAGCUCACGAUUUCUUUAUCAACAUUGUGCAUCGGUUUGGAGUACCUAAUCGAAUCAUUACAGAUAAUAGUACCCAAUUCACUGGUGGGGUUUUUAAAGAUUUCUGUGAAGACUUUGGUAUUCAGAUUUAUUAUGCUUCCAUAGCGCAUCCUAUGAGCAAUGGUCAAGUUGAUUGCGCCAAUGGUAUGGUACUUCAAGGAAUUAAGACACUGGUUUUUGACCGACUUCGUCCCUAUGCUGGCAAAUGGGUUGAACAAUUGUCGUCGGUGCUUUGGUCUCUGCGCACUACGCCUAGUCGGGCUACGGGCCAGUCGCCGUUUUUCUUGGUUUAUGGUGCUGAAGCAAUGUUGCCGAGUGAAGUGGAGUUUGAAUCCAUGAGAUUUCACAAUUUUAAAGAGGAGCGCUAUGAGAAAGACCGAGUGGAUGAUCUCAACCAACUAGAAGAAGCUAGCGAGGCAGCAUUAAUCCAGUCGGCCUGUUAUUUACAAGGACUUCGGCGUUACCAUAAUCGCAAUGUCAGAUCACACGCAUUUUUAGUCAGGGAUAUGGUGUUGAGGAAGAUUCAAACUAUACGGGAUCGGCAUAAGUUAUCUCCUUUAUGGGAAGGGCCUUUUAUCAUCUCUGAAGUUACUCGGCCGGGUUCUUAUCGACUCAAGCGUGAAGAUGGUUCGGUCGUCGAUAAUUCUUGGAAUAUUGAGCAUCUUUGUCGUUUUUAUGCUUAGGCAUUAUUUUUGUACAUUAUGUUUCUCUUGACUGCCAACAUCAAGUAUUUCUUGAGUUACCAGUCGGGGGCUAUAAUAAUAAUAAUGGAGUGUGAUUUUUAUCAAUUCAAUUUGCCUACUUGAUUUAUCAUUGCCCUGUUUGAUUUUUAGCUUAGUCAAUAAGGACUGAAAGUUUUUUGACGACUUUUGCGGGUUCUAGGCUCAGUAAAGUUUGACAAACACUUUUAAGAAAUCAGAAACUAAGUUUAAAUUUUCAAGCACAACAUAAAUAUAUCAGUACUACACAAUUGAACCUCCAUUGUCAGUAUUACAUGAUCACUCGUCAGAGUCAUCUUCUCCAUCAUCAGAGUUAGCAGGACUAAGGCUAGUGUUCUGAAACCUAUCUAGUACAUCAACAGCAAUUCUUUCAGCAGUUUUUUGGGCAUCAUUAAUCAGAUCAUGUGCGUCUUCUUCACUUGUGCCAGCUGCAAAGCCAUCAAUAGCAUCGACAUUGAUUUUGGGGUACAGAGACUUGGUCAUUGCCAAUGCCAUGCUUGCUCCCAUAUUUCCAGCCUCCUUGAUAUUUUUGAAGUACACAUCUAGAGCAGUCCUUAACUUAUCAAAAAUUUCUACUGUGUCCAAGGAGCUCGUACCACUAUUGCUCAAAUACAUGGCCUAGAUAAUUGGGGUAGCAGUGUUGGCAACUUCGCCUCUAGCUUUUUUAGCAACUUCGACUUUGUUGAUCAAGAAGUCGAAUUGUGCCUUUGUCUUCCCCUUAUGAUCUGCAUACAACACCAAUCAAGGAAUUUAGAUGCAACAGUAUUGGCUAAAUUUCAUUUAUAGUUAGUCAGAAGAGUUACCUUCAAAUUCUUUGACCGCCAAAUCUUUCUCCUUGGGUAGAGCAGCUUCGUCUUCUAAGGCUUUGAUUCGCUUUUCCAGUUCGGAGAUUUUGGCUGCUUGAACUGUAGUGCACACAAAACUUAUACAGUUGCUAAGAUUAAGUUUGAACAGUUGAGCAGGAAUAAUAUUUACCUUUCGAGGAACCACUCAAUUCAAAGUUGGCAUCCUGGAGCUCGGCAAUCCUAUCCCUAAGUUCAUGUUCUGUAUUCCUGGCCUCCUCCUUGGUUUCAUGCAGUUUGGCUCUGGUUUCUUCCAGAGUACCAAGAUGAGGGACCAGCUUUUCAAGGGUAUCGGUUUUUGCCUCGUUCCGAAGAUGGAUUCUCUGCGCAAUACUAUGUUCACCUCAACAAAUUCAAUGGAUGACGAAAUAUGACUGGGGCAGUAUACUUACGUUUAAAAGACGAGUAGCCUGGUUGAGAGUCCUUGUCAGCAGAGCCACUUCACCGUCCUCUUUUUGCUUGUUUAUCACAAUACCCUGUGGCUGCAUCUCGUCGUCCCACCAUUUAACCAAAAUAGGUGGCCGAGAAUCUUCAGUUGAUUUAAUCCGAAGAAUUUCUUCUUCGUCGCCAAUCAUUGGGCCUUCAAGUAUAUAGGCAGCAAUGAAAUAAUAAGGGAAGUUUUUCUUGACAUAAGUUCACUGGAGAAAGCAUUACCUGUGAUAAUUGUCGGUGGUGGCCGAGCAGGUCCCUCCACCUUGUCAAAGGUACUAGCUUCAGGUCCAGCAUCUGUAUCUUGGUUCAGAGGAGGUCUGCUGGUCUGCUCUUCCGUCUCAGGAAUAUUUUUUUCCCCAUCUACAUUUUGCUGCUGGGGAUUCUCUUUAUCCUCACCCGGCUGGUUUCCAGUCGGGGGCUCCUGGCUGGUGCUCGCCUCGGCAGAUGCCGAUUGGUUUCCAGUCGGGGGCUCGUUGUCAGCUUCAGUUUCACCAGUUGCCGACUGACUGCUAGUCGGUGGAUUUUCUUUGGAGGUAUUAGUCCCGGCAACAGCAGCAGAGCUAGUCUUUUCUUCUUCAGCCGCUCCCGAGCUAGUAGAGGGAUCAGAGUUUUUACCAGUCGGAUCAAUGUCCGAUGGUUUCCUAAGGUACAAGAGGGUAUUACCAAUUGAUCUCAACAAACACAGAUCCGAAUGUUUUGAUGAACUCAUACCUGGAAGAUCUUCGGAUUUUUGGCAUUGGGUGACUGGUUGUUUUCUUCUUCGGUGGAAUAGCCUUUUUUGGCUGCUUGCCAACUGGCCCAUCGUCACUAUCGUCAUCAUCGCUUACGAUCAUCUUCCUUUUUCGAGAAACCGUUUGACUGGGCGGAAUAGCAUCUCUUUUGGGCCACGGGUUGAAUCUUUGGACCCCCGGUAGCUUGGCCUUGGUGAUGCCACGGAGAACGACGUUGAGCGGUUGGAGGGUCGGAUUUCAUUAGGGCAUUUCCCUAUGGAUAAGCAAUUUUGAGAUUAUUCCCAAGAAUAGCAUGAUAAAAGUCCAAGCAUUUAGAUAUUUACCGCUGGAGGAGGAUUGAAGGCGUUGUAUGGCACGAUCGGCAGCAAAUGUGAGAAGCUGACCACAAUACCAGAUGAGAAGAUUUUAUACAUCCUCUCCUUCAUGAUCUUGAAUUCGAGGGAGUUGGGGUCUUCUCGGUUGGGAUCAGUCUUUCCGUCGUACUCGAAGGCCGUGCGAGAUCUCUCUUUGAUUGGAGCCAGUCGACACUUUAUGAAGUGCUGAGUAAUCUGCUCUUCUUGAAGGCCUUGUUCCUUUAGCCUCAGCAGUCGGUCCAGCAACUCAAGAGCUUGAGAAGCUUCAUCGCCCAUAGGAAGUGAGUUCUAGAUGUCUUGAUAUUUCAGAGGGCAGCAUGAAUAUUCGUGUAGCGCAGGAUCUGGCUUUUGGAUGUAAAACCAGCUAGCAUGCCAGCCCUUAUUGGAGGUUUUGAAGGGAAGAGUGAAGUACUUCUGGCAUAGGGUGCCACGAAGCUGGAAGCCGGAUCCCCCAACGAUGCAGGGCUUGUUCUUAUUCGGUUGGGGUUUCAGAAAAAAGAUUCGGCAAAAUAAGGCGAAGUUUGGCCAAAUGCCCAAAAAAACUUCACAAAGAUGGAUGAAAUUUGCUAUAUGAACAAUGGAGUAGAGGUUGAGGUGAUAGAUAUUGAUCCUAUAAAAUUCAAGGAUUCCCCUAAAGAAUCUGGAUGUUGGAAGAGCAAAACCACCAUAGAAGAAAUGGGUGAAGACGACAAUCUCGUGAGUAUCGGGGGUCGGAAAAGCCUCACCAAAUGCUGGAUGCCAUCCGAUGUUCUCCUUGGCUGGUAACACCCCGUGCGCCAUCAUCUCCUUGAGGGUUUCCUCUAUGACGUCAGAAGGCACCCAUUGACUCUCAAAAUUUUCUCUCUCUUCCGCCAUGGAUGAAAAUGGGGUGGAGAGAUUUAGAGCACGAAGAUUGACAGGGAAAUUGGGGGCAGGGGUUGUGCGGAGGAAUUUUGCCGAAGGAAGCUGAUUUGAAGGAGGUGGAUUGCGGUACAGUUGCGAACCCUAGCUUUUGGCGGCGCAAGCCUGUUACUGUAGCAAAAAAUGGGGAACGCGCGGCUGUUGUGGCGAGGAAGACGAUGGGGUUUCCUUCGGUGCGAUUUUUAUCGAUGGGUAUCGGAAAAUGCUAAUGGGCCUAGGCCCAAACAGUGUUUUCAGCUCAAAUACACUCUCGGUGUGGCUGAUUGUGGUCUCUUGGGACUUAGGCGUAUUUUUGCUCAGGCAAAAUUGCCCAUAAUAAAUAAAGCCCGAUACCAUUAAAAUCCUUUUUCCGCAGUUAGUAAAUUUCUUGGAAUUACUACGAUGCAUACAAAAAGGUGCCCAACAGUUAAAAACGCCAUGUUAUUUUUGUUGACUUUUUCUAUAAGGUCACAAAGCUAUUAGGGUUUAAUCAGGACGAGUGGUUUUUAAAGCUGUUGUUCCUUCUGAGCACUUAUAUGCUUCAUUUUUCUGAUAUAGGCUCAAGUUACAACUUAGGUUGGUUAAACUUGUCGGUCAGUAUUUAUUCAGCAGUUGAUAAAUCCUUAUGAGUUUUUACUCGGAUUUUUUAUCACAAAUGAUGUAUUUAGCUCUGAAAUAGACGAUAGAUCUUUAGAAUGCUUUUAUCACUCGGAUCUUUAUAUAUCUUCUAUGUUUCAUAGUGAGCUUAAUGAUUUAAUUAAAUCAGUUGGCAAACUCUUCGAAUGGAGUCACAUAUGUUUAAUAUUUAAUUACUUCGGUAAUAUUAUUUAUAAAACCACUCGGAUGGUUAUUUGUUUCAACCUUCACUAUAUGUUCACUAUAUGUUUAGUCGGGGUGCAUCUAAUCAAUGCACCUAAUUUUUUAUUUUUUAGCUCUUCACAGCCUUUGAUUCAAGCACUCGGGAGGCCAAGGCGGCAAUAAUUGAAGCACUCAGGAUUUUUGUUUAAUGGCUCGGGAGAAGAUUAUCUCGUCGACUGCGAAGGUCUCAGGGGCUACUGUGGAGAUUAUGGAUACCCCAUACCCACACGGCAUGUAUAUCCGACUGGGUAUAGGGGUACCAUGUACAUAUAGAAUAAAUUUAGUAAAGGACCCGGUUGUUAUGUUAACUUGUGUAUCAAGGAAACAUCCGAUAGUCCUAGUCGGUUAUGAUUGUAAUUUAUCUUUACAUGCCUAGUACGUUAGGAACAUGGGCUGUAUCUUGUAAUUCCGGCUCCUCCCCCUAUAUAAGGAGGGGUCCGGAUGCCUCUAGGGGCAUAACUUUUCUCGUUGAUCAUAUGAUCAAUAAUACACUCGGCGGAUCAAUCCCUGGAUAGGAGUAGGGUAUUAAUUCUCAUCAAGAAGGCCUGAACCUAUAUAAACCUCGUGUCUCCUAACCUAUCCACUUUUCCAGCUUGAUAGCCACUGUAAGUUCAAGUGCCUUAAUUUGGUUUUGGUGAUUAAUGACAAAUCUAAUUAAAUGAGACUAACGGUUUUAUGAGCUUUUCUUUGACUAGACUCAUUUUGAUAUGAAAAUAAAAAUGAUGAGAUGUAUGUAUUAUACUUUAUAUAUUCUAACUUGGUCUCUCUUGUGGAUCCAAAAUAUAGUGUAAGCUCCCUCAUUAAUCUCGAUUGAUUAUGUGCAUAUGUGUUCCUUUAUAUCCAUAUAUAUGCACAUCUUGAGGGGGAGCUUAUUCUAUAUUUUGUUUAUUAUAAGAUUUCUACCUUUGAUUUGAAAUCAUCUUUCAUCUUAUCUCUCUAUAUUGUUUAUAUCGGGUUAUUAUCUAUCACAGAAGAGAGAAAAGAUUGAAAGAUCUUGGAUUAAACAAUUUGUGUAAUUGUUGCUUUGGUGAUAGAUGAUAAACCGAUAUUUAUGGGAUUAACCUCUCUUUUACAUAAGUUGUCAACUAGGUUAUUUCCCGAUAAUGAGAUGUGGUAGAUAGACCUUAAUCAUGACAAGGAUGAAAUGCAUGGAGAAAAAGCAAUAUGUAUCACUUCUUAUCUCCUACUUUUUGAUAGGUUCAUAUAUAUGAUUUCCAUGUUAUUGUUAUAUAAGUGUGAGACUAAUGUUUACUUGAGCAUUAUCUUAUUUAGUCUCCUUUACUUUGAGAACAUGGAGAUCAUAAAGGUUUGUGUUUUUGUUUGUCUUGUCAUUGCUAUAUGCAUUCUCCAUGUGUAUAGGAUAAACCCCAUUAGUUCUUCUUUACUUAUACAUAUACACUUGCCUCUCUUGUAUAUGAUUCCGAAAAUGAUUGCGAAGGCAAAAGUGGUUCUGUAUAUUUUCGGACUUGUCCGAAACAGAUUUUUGGAUUUUCCGAAAAUCAUCAGUAGAGUCAAUUUCGCUUCGGUAUAUUUUCGGACUUGUCCGAAAGUUAUUUUCGGACUUUUCCGAGAACAUCCAGAACGAUGUUGUUGGUACUGGAAAUUUUCGGACUUGUCCAAAAAGUUUUUGGAAUGUCUGAAAAAUCCUUCGUUGACCAAACUAUUGGUGCUGAGCUGGAAUUUUCGGACAUGUCCGAAAAUCUUUCGGAAUAUCCGAAAAUCUCAAUUAUUGUGCAUAACGGGCAGAAUCUGGGCUGUGGCUAUAAAUAGCCCCCUCCCCUCACUUGUGAGGUCUGCUGGUUCCAUUCCAAUCAUUUGUGCCCUUGGCUUGCUCUCUCUCUCUCUAGCACUUUUGAGCCUUGCUUUCUUGUUUCCCCUCUCACCCGUGUUCGAUUUGGAUUUGGUGUGUGUGUGAGAGUUGUGGAUUCGAGUUUGUAUGAGUGCUUGUUAUUGACUUCGUGAAGAUUUGUGAGCACUUGCAUCAUCUCCGGGAGUUCUUUGCUUCAUUUGUUACUCUUGGAGGUUGAGGACUCCUAGGCGGCUAGGUGUUGCUCCCGAGCCACCGAUCUACUUGUGGUUGGCCGGGAGAAGUUUGUGAAGGUCGGAUCUCACCUCCGAGAAGGAAGAGAUACCCUUAGUGGAAGGAGGAGUGCUUAGUGCAACCUCUUGAGGAAAGUGUUAGCUAAGACCCGGCUCUUAGUGAGCUCCUCAACGGAGAGUAGAAUCCCCUCAAGGAUUCGAACUUCGGGAACAACCUCGUGAGCUUCAUCUUUGGUGACUUUACUUCCUCCCUCUCCACUAGCUUUGCUUGUUCGAGCUGCAAUAGGUCUAGUUGCUGUUUGUGCUAGCAUAUUCUUGUUGUAGGCAGCUAGAUCUAGGAUUUACUUUGCUAUUUGUGCUGACUCCAAAAAUUUUUGGUUAUAUCCGAAAAUUUCGGAAAUAUCCGAAAAUUACUGCUUCCGCUUUUAAUUGAUUUUUGAAUUAGCGUAUUCACCCCCCUCUAGGCCUAAUUGACACUUUCAAUUGGUAUCAGAGCCUAAUCUCCUAAUUAGACUUAACCGCUUGGAGAGAUCAUGUCGGGCCAAGCGGGGGAUGGGAACGAUGGUGAUAAGGGAGCUAAGAUCCCUUAUGACUAUCCCUCUACAUCUACAUCUUAUGUGAGUACCUAUAGCGGCAAAGCUCCGUACUUCAAUGGUACGGACUAUGCCGCUUGGAAGCAUAAGAUGAAGAUGCAUUUGAAGUCUAUUAACCCAUCUAUUUGGAGAAUAGUCAAAAAAGGCUAUGUUUUGCAGAAUCCCGAAGAUCCCACCAAGGAGGACGACGAGAACGAGCACAAGAACGCUCAAGCCGCUAAUGCAAUACUUAGCGCCUUGAGUGGAAGUGAGUUCAACCGUGUGGAUGGCAUUGAGAGUGCCAAAGUGAUUUGGGACACGCUUCGGAACUUGCAUGAAGGCACGGAUAGUGUUCGUGAGUCCAAGGUGGAGAUCCUCAAGGGGCAAUUUGAGAGAUCUGUGAUGUUAGAUGGUGAGAGCCCAAGCGACAUGUACGACCGGUUGAGCAAGAUCAUCAAUGAGAUCAAGGGACUUGGCUCCAAGGACAUGACCGAUGAGGUUGUGGUCAAGAAGAUGGUUCGAGCAAUCACUCCAAGGAACUCUACCUUGAGCGUCCGGACUACAAGACUCUCACACCUCAUGAUUUGCUCGGAUGCAUCCUUGCCCUUGACAUGCUCGUGCAAGAGUCCAAGGAUGUCAUCCAAUACAUCAACCAAAGCUCAACCGCAAGCAUCAAGAAGGAAGACUUAGCUUUGAAGGCAAAGGAAGAAGAAGAAGAGAAUCGCAAGAGCAAGAGCAAGGCGGAGAUCGAUGAUGAAGAGAUGGCUCCCUUCGUCAAGAAGUUCGGCAAGUUCAUGAGGCGAAGCGGCUUCUUCAAGGGAGGAUCUUCCAAGCACUACUCCAACAAGUCAAGUGGAAGACACUCCGCAAGAGUGUGCUACGUGUGCAAAGAGCCCGGGCACUUCAUUGCGGAUUGCCCCCACCUCAAGGAUGGUUCCCACAUCAAGGAAGAUAAGAAGAAGGAUGAGAAGAAGGAGAAGCACAAGCAUAGCAAGAGGGAACAUUAUGGCCAAGCUCACCUUGGGAUGAUCUUCGGCUCCGACUCCGAGUCAAGCUCAAGUGAUGAAGAAGGAGUCGCCACGUUUGCCGUCAAGCCCUCAUCACCACCGAGACUCUUCGACUACUCAAGUGAUGAGGAUGCUCCGGUUUGUCUCAUGGCAAAGGAGCCUAAGGUACCUUCUCUUCUUAAGUCAUUUAAUGUUGAUCUUGUUAGUGAUGAGGAGGAUGAGGUUGAGGAUGAGGUUAUAGAUGACGAAUUGUUCAAGUCCAUAACUAAGGAAUCCCUACCACACUUGAGUGAGUUGCUUGAGAGAAUUGAGGACCAAUAUGCAACUCUUGAGAGGCAAGAGACUUUGCUCAUUCGUGAGAAAGAGCGGUCUCAUGAACUCAAGAGUGAGCUUGCUAAGGAGAGAGAGAAAAAUGAGGCAUUGGUACGGCUUUACAAGCAAAUCAAAGAGUCUCAUGCUAAUCUUGAGGUGGCGAACGCUCAACUUUAAGAGAGAGUGGAUGGCUUGGACAAAGCAUACCUCACUCUUGAAGAGAACUUCGUAACCUUAAAGAAUAGUGUCUCUCUCCCUAGCGAGCCAUCUUGUUCCAAAAUUGUCCCAAGCAAUGAACCAUGUGUGAGAUGCAAUGAUAUUGAUAUUGAAGCUUGUGCUACUAACUCUAUUUCCUUGAGUGCUUUGCAAAAGAAAAAUGAGAAGCUUAUGGGACUCCUUCACAAUGGCCUACUUAAGUGCCAUAUGGGUAGUAAGGCCCUAAAGGAGUACCUAGGCUAUCAAAAGGGACAACUUCAACCAUGAGGGUCUUGGGUAUGUUUCUCCACCAAAAGGAAAGGUGGACAAGAGUGUGAUGAUCAAGAGGCCCCAAGGUCUUAGCAAUUUUGUUAAGGCCAAAAGUAUCCUUCCUAAUGAUUAUGCUUCAUAUUGUUCUUUUGAUGUAUCUUAUGUUCUUAGGAAGAAUGCUAGUGGUCGUGUUGUUGCUAAGUAUGUAGGCCCAAGGGGCAAGAAUAUUUCUAUCAAGAGAGUACUUUGGGUGCCUAAGGCACUUGUUACUAACAUGAGAGGACCCAAGCAAGUAUGGGUACCUAAAAUUAGAAAUUGAUCUCUUGUAGGAAUAUGUCUCCGGUGGAAGAAGUUGGGUAAUUGAUAGUGGAUGCACAAAUCACAUGACCAGAGAAGAAUCAAUGUUUUCAACUCUUGAUCCAAAUGGCACUUCACAAGAUAACAUAGUUUUCGGGGACGAUGGAAAGGGAAAGGUUAUGGGAUUGGGUAAGAUUGCAAUUUCUAAUGAUCUUUCCAUUGCCAACAUUCUCUUGGUAAAAUCUCUAAACUACAAUCUUUUGUCCGUUUCUCAAUUAUGUUCUAUGGGUUAUAAUUGUCUUUUUACCGAUGUUGAUGUGACCGUCUAUAGAAGGAAUGAUUCCUCGGUAGUCUUUAAGGGUGUCCUCAAGGGAAAGCUUUACCUUGUGGAUUUUUCCUCAAGUAAAGCCAAACAUGAGACAUGCUUAGUGGCUAAGUCCAACACGGGGUGGCUUUGGCAUCAGAGGCUAGCCCAUGUUGGUAUGAGGAAUCUUCACAAGCUUCUAAAGCACGAUCACAUCCUUGGACUAACAAAUGUUCAAUUUGAGAAAGAUAGGGUGUGUAGCGCAUGUCAAGCCGGCAAACAAAUUGGAGCACAUCACCCCGUCAAGAAUGUGAUGACCACUACAAGACCAUUGGUGCUUCUCCACAUGGACCUCUUCGGACCAAUUGCUUAUCUAAGCAUUGGAGGUAACAAAUAUGGUCUUGUUAUUGUUGAUGACUUUUCACGCUUCACGUGGGUGUUCUUUUUGCAUGACAAGAGUGAGACACAAGCUAUCUUCAAGAAGUUUGCAAGAAGAGCACAAAACGAGUUCGACCUCAAGAUCAAGAACAUUCGAAGUGACAACAGCAAGGAGUUUAAGAACACGUGCAUCGAGAGUUUCCUUGAUGAAGAAGGCAUCAAGCACGAGUUCUCGGCUGCAUAUUCACCUCAACAAAAUGGAGUAGCUGAGAGGAAGAAUAGGACUCUCAAUGAGAUGGCGAGGACCAUGUUGGAUGAGUACAAGACAUCGGACAAUUUUUGGGCCGAAGCCGUCAACACCGCAUGCCAUACCAUCAACUGCCUUUAUCUUCACCGCCUUCUUAAGAAGACUCCCUAUGAGCUUCUUACCGGUAAUAAACCAAAUGUCUCUUACUUUCGUGUUUUCGGUAGUAAGUGUUACAUUCUUAAUAAGAAGGCUAGAUCCUCUAAGUUCGCUCCUAAAGUGGAUGAGGGAUUCUUGCUUGGGUAUGGGUCAAAUGAAUGCGCAUACCGCGUUUUCAACAAAACCUCUAGUAUUGUUGAGAUUGCGCGUGAUGUGACAUUUGACAAAAUUAAUGGCUCUCAAGUAUCCGAGCGAAGCAAUCAAAAGAUUGGCUCUUGGGGACGUACGUCCUAGGAAGCCCCAACAAGGAGCCUCUUCCUUAACACAAGUGGAGCCACCUACAUCAACCCAAGCCGACGAUCCCUCUAUCUCAAGCUUGGAUCAAGGUGAAGAAGGCGAGCAAGUGCCACCCUCACCGAUCAACUUAGCUCGCCCAAGAAUCCACCAAAGUAUCCAAAGAGAUCAUCCUACCGACAACAUCUUAGGAGACAUCAACAAGGGAGUAUCCACUCGUUCUCGUAUUGCAAAUUUUUGUGAGCAUUACUCGUUUGUGUCUUCUCUUGAACCUCUAAGGGUGGAAGAAGCUCUUAAUGAUCCGGAUUGGGUGAUAGCGAUGCAAGAGGAGUUGAACAAUUUCACCCGGAAUGAAGUGUGGACUUUGGUGGAGCGACCUCGGCAAAAUGUGAUUGGCACAAAGUGGAUCUUCUGCAACAAGCAAGACGAGGCCGGGGUCGUAAUAAGGAACAAGGCGAGGUUAGUGGCGCAAGGGUUCACCCAAAUCGAAGGAUUAGAUUUCGGUCAAACUUUUGCGCCGGUGGCUAGACUUGAGUCGAUUCGCAUAUUGCUUGCUUUUGCUACUAACCUCAAUUUUAAGCUAUAUCAAAUGGAUGUCAAAAGCGCCUUCCUCAACGGGCCUAUCAACGAGUUGGUAUACGUGGAGCAACCACCGGGCUUCGAGGAUCCGAAGUAUCCCAACCACGUGUACAAGCUCCACAAGGCACUAUACGGGCUUAAGCAAGCCCCUAGAGCUUGGUAUGAGUGUCUUCGCAAUUUUCUUGUGAAAAGAGGCUUUAAAAUCGGGAAAGCCGAUUCAACCCUUUUUACUAAAAGACAUAAUAAUGAUAUUUUUGUGUGCCAAAUAUAUGUCGAUGACAUUAUAUUUGGUUCUACUAACAAGUCUUUUAGUGAAGAGUUUAGUAGGAUGAUGACCAAACGUUUUGAGAUGUCCAUGAUGGGUGAAUUGAAGUUCUUCCUCGGCCUUCAAAUUAAGCAACUCAAGGAAGGAACUUUCAUUUGCCAAUCAAAGUAUUUGAAGAACAUGCUUAAGAAGUUUGGGAUGGAGAACGCCAAGCCAAUCCACACUCCCAUGCCAUCAAAUGGCCACCUCGACCUCAACGAGCAAGGUAAAGACGUCGAUCAAAAGGUAUACCGUUCCAUCAUUGGCUCACUUCUUUACCUUUGUGCAUCUAAGCCUGAUAUUAUACUUAGUGUGUGCAUGUGUGCAAGAUUUCAAGUCGCUCUGAAGGAGUGUCACCUUGUGGCCGUGAAGAGAAUUCUUAGAUAUUUAGUGCACACACCUAACCUUGGUCUUUGGUAUCCUAAGGGAGCGAGGUUUGAUCUCAUUGGUUAUGCCGAUGAGGAUUAUGCCGGGUGCAAAGUGGAUAAGAAAAGCACAUUGGGUACUUGCCAAUUCUUGGGUAGGUCCCUUGUUUCUUGGUCUUCCAAGAAGCAAAACUCCGUCGCCCUAUCCACCGCCGAAGCGGAAUAUGUUUCGGUGGGGAGUUGUUGUGCUCAACUUCUUUGAAUGAAGCAAACCUUGAGAGACUAUGGCCUCAAUGUAUCCAAAAUCCCACUCCUAUGUGACAAUGAGAGCGCCAUUAAGAUAGCCAACAACCCUGUUCAACACUCCCGAACCAAACAUAUCGAUAUUCGCCACCAUUUCUUGAGAGAUCAUUCCACAAGAGGCGACCUAGACAUCCAACAUGUGAGAACCGACAAACAAUUGGCGGAUAUCUUUACCAAGCCUCUAGAUGAAGCUAGGUUUUGUGAGUUCAGGAGUGAACUAAAUAUUUUAGAUUCUCGGAAUGUGGCUUGAUCUAUUGCAUGCGUGUUUGCUUAGUAGAAUAGGUUUGCAUACCACUUUGUGACAAAAUGGUCAUUCAAUUCAUGGAUGGACACUAGUCAUUUUUUUGUGGAGAUUUUGAAUCUAUGUGUAUGGGGAUCUCAUUUUUCAAUGAAUUUUGGUCCUAGCACAACUUCAUAGAUUCACACAUUCCCUCUCUCGAGGGUGAAUUAUCUUGUCUCAUGGUAAUUCCCUCUCUUUUGAUCCCUUGGAUCGUCCAUUUGACUUGUGGCUAUUGUUUUGUGUGAUUGAUUGUGUGCUAGUCACAAAUUCAAAUGGAGCCUCUAGUGCUCGACCAUCCCUUCCUUCCUAAAUCCUAUAAAAAAUCCUUGUAAAAAUUGUUUUUGUCAAAAUUCCCGGUGCUUGUCCCUUGCAAAAUUCCUUUAAAAUGUUUGAAAAAUAAUUUCAUCAAAAUUCCCAGCGAAAUCUCAUUGCAAAACUGUGUUUUCCAGGAAUUUUCGGACAUUCCGAAAAUCUCUGUCCUGUCCCUCUUUCAAUUGCUGCAAUCCCAGGAUUUUUCGGACUUUUCGAAAAAUUUUCAGACAUAUCCGAAAAACAUCAGAACCGUGCGCAACUCUUCUGUAUCCUUUCGGACAUAUCCGAAAAUUUUCGGAAAUAUCCGAAAAUCUCGGGGUCCUUAUAUAUCACCCCGUGGACUCCCUUCUCUCUCCUUUCCACUUCUUUUCCCUACGGGUUGACUCCCUCCUCCCUCCCCAUUGGACCUCUCCGCAUUCAUACCCCCGAGAGGGAUCCGGCGGUGAUUCGCCAAGUGUAUGAUUGGCGGUGCAAGUCUGAGGUUGUUGCUCCUCGUCGGGAUGAGAAUCCGCGCUCCCUUCGCUGCACCGCCACGGAUCCGCGUUUUUGGACCCUCUUUCAGCAAGACUUUUAUGAGUCUGUGAUUAAGUCCAAAGCUCAUCCCACUGUUCCCAUGCAAUAGAUCAAUUGGGAGGAGUUGCAGGCACACAACGAUCCGGUGAUUGACUCUAUGAUUGCCAAUUGUGAUCUCAUGGGUAUCCGCUCCUUCAUGACGUUGCAGCAAAAUUGGUGCAACGAGGUCAUUGCUCAGUUUUAUGCCACCGUCUACUUUGAUCGUUAUCGUGCCAUGCACUGCAUGACUCAGGGGUCCUGGUAUUCUGUUUCUUAUCAGCAGUUGGCUGAGAUCUGGGGCUUCCGUCUUCGUUCUUUGCUCAACCUUGAUGACCUUCAUAAUCUUCAAAUUCCUGCCAACACAGAAUUGCUUCCCCUUUACACUCCAAAUGAUCCAAAUGUGGUGUUGGGCAAGGUCGACGGCCUCAAGCCGUACUUUGCCUACUUGAACCGGAUGUUUCGCCGGUCUUUUGUGUCUAUGGAUAGUGAUGCUAACAGCAUUAACCACCUCUCUAGGACCGUGCUUCUCCGUUUUGAUCCCCCUCCUCAUCGCUUCCAUGUCUAUCACUUUGUGUGGGAGGAGAUCCGCAUGGCUUCAAUUCAGUACAAGAAGGGGUUGGUCUAUGCCCUUCACAUUAUGCGGAUGAUCGAGACUGUGACUCAGCUCCAGUUUCGCCAUGAUGUGACUCAUUCUCAGCUUCACUUGCGCCUUCUUAAGGCCCCCCGCUCCUCGGCUGCUUGGGACAUACCCUCCUCUUCCACUCUGCCGCCUCCUGCUCCUGAGCGCCCUGCCUCUGUGGCUCGUCGUGAGCCGUCUCCCUUAUUCCACAAUUUACGGAGUCUUUUUGGUCUUUGCUCCACGGAGGCCAAAAAGAACCGCCGAUUGCGGAAUUCGGCGAAGAAAACGGCUCGUGAUGUCAAGUUCCUCAAGGCAAGGUAUUAUGAGGACCACCACAUUGAUAUCCCUCCUUCUCCUCCGGGUUUCGAGGCCGAGCCCGAUGAGCCACAGGAUGAAGCGAUUGAGGAUCCUUUUGCUGGGUUGCCUUACGACUUCGACUUCUUUGGAUAUGGCCAUGGCUAUGGCUAUCCUCCUCCACCACCUCCAGAGGAUCCUUCUCAGGCGCCCUUCGCUUGAGUCGUCAUCUCAUCGUCCUCUCUUUUUCGUGUCUUGAUGCCAAAGGGGGAGACUAUCUAUCAUGGCUUUAGAUUAUCUAUCUUGUCCUUAGAGUCGAGCACAGUUGGUUUUUAUCUGUAUGAGACUAUUGUGAUUUUUUAUGUUAGGUUUAAAGCUUUGUAAGACUAUUGUUUAAUUAUGAAUGCUUGUGAUGUAAUAGAUCUUUUUAUCUUUUAAUGUGGUGCAAUGCCUUAUCCUCUUUAUAUGGUGCUUGUGAUGAGAUGUAAUUAUUCCUUUGCAUGCGAUGUGUUGGAUGUAAUGAGCAUAUGUGAUAUAUUUGUUCUCUUGUGAGCUUCAAUGUGGAUGCAAUAAUUUAGGGGGAGCUCUCCACUUGCUUUUAUGCACACUCUUAGGGGGAGCUUCCACUAAAAUUUUGCACAAAAAAACCUUAAAUUAUAUUCAUUCUCUUGUGUUCUAAUCGUAUUGUCAUCAAUCACCAAAAAGGGGGAGAUUGAAAGUGCAUCUAGGCCCCUAAUGAUUUUGGUGAUUAAUUACAAUGUGAUUAGAGAGGACUAACAUUUUUAUUUAAGCAAAUGUGAAGGUUGUUAUGUCCUCAAUAAGUUAGCGUAAUGCAUAUCCCGCCGAAUACGUUGAUGUGAUGUGAUGCGGCAAAUGAGCAAAUGGUAUUUUGUACGUUUUCGUUUCCUUGAGUUAAUAGGAAAGCCGCACUAUUAAGAGGGAUGAUGCAUUGACAUACGAGGAGUGAUCAAAGUGCUCAAAAUCUAUUUUCAAAAAAAGGGUUUCUCCUCAGUUUGGUGUGUUCUGGAUUUUUUCGGAGUUUUCCGAAACUCAUUUUCGGACUUUCCGAAAACACACAGAACCAGAUUUUCGCUUCUGGAAAUUUUUGGAUUUAUCCGAAAGUGAUUUUCGGACUUUCCGAAAAUGACUGCGAAGGCAAAAGUGGUUCUGUAUAUUUUCGGACUUGUCCGAAACUGAUUAUCGGAUUUUUCUGAAAAAUAUCAGUAGAGUCAAUUUCGCUUCGGUAUAUUUUCGGACUUUUCCGAGAACAUCUAGAACGAUGUUGUUGGUACUGGAAAUUUUCGGACUUGUCCGAAUAGUUUUCGGAAUGUCCGAAAAAUCCUUCCAUGACCAAACUGUUGGUGCUGAGCUAGAAUUUUUCGGACAUGUCCGAAAAUCUUUCGGAAUAUCCGAAAAUCUCAAUUAUUGUGCAUAACGGGCAGAAUCUGGGCUGUGGCUAUAAAUAGCCCCCUCCCCUCACUUGUGAGGGCUGCUGGUUCCAUUCCAAUCAUUUGUGCCCUUGGCUUGCUCUCUCUCUCUAGCACUUUUGAGCCUUGCUUUCUUGUUUCCCCUCUCACCCGUGUUCGAUAUGGAUUUGGUGUGUGUGUGAGAGUUGUGGAUUCGAGUUUGUGUGAGUGCCUGUUGUUGACUUCGUGAAGAUUUGUGAGCACUUGCAUCAUCUCCGGGAGUUCUUUGCUUCAUUUGUUACUCUUGGAGGUUGAGGACUCCUAGGCGGCUAGGUGUCGCUCCCGAGCCACUGAUCUACUUGUGGUUGGCCAGGAGAAGUUUGUGAAGGUCGGAUCUCACCUCCGAAAGGGAAGAGAUACCCUUAGUGGAAGGAGGAGUGCUUAGUGCAACCUCUUGAGGAAAGGAUUAGCUAAGACCCGGCUCUUAGUGAGCUCCUCAACGGAGAGUAGAAUCCCCUUAAGGAUUCGAACUUCGGGAACAACCUCGUGAGCUUCAUCUUUGGUGACUUUACUUUCUCCCUCUCCACUAGCUUUGCUUGUUCGAGCCGCUAUAGGUCUAGUUGCUGUUUGUGCUAGCAUAUUCUUGUUGUAGGCAGCUAGAUCUAGGAUUUACUCUGCUAUUUGUGCUGACUCCGAAAAUUUUCGGAUAUAUCCGAAAAUUUUGGAAAUAUCCGAAAAUUACAUCUUCCGCUUUUAAUUGAUUUUUGAAUUAGCCUAUUCACCCCCCCUCUAGGCCUAAUUGACACUUUCAAGGUUCCACCGUAAUGAGGCUAAUGGAUGCAUGACACCAUGUGUUGACGGUCACCAAGCCAAGGACAUCGCCAUGUUGAAAAGAAUGAAGUCAAGCUUGUGAUGAGAAGAAAGUCUUGACAAAGGAUGGUUAAGACCUCGGCAUAAAUAUGGUUGAAUCGAAUGGUCACAAGUGUUGAUCUCGGCUCAAGCUUGAUCCCAAGUUGGAUGGUGCAAGGCAAAGGUAUAAUGUAGCUAAGAAUGUUUUCUUAGUCUUUUCCUGGUCUUGGUGUUUGGCGUAGACCGGAUUUGCUAGAUAGGCGCCGUACUAUCAAGAGGGGUCUAUGAAGCGAGCAUGUGGAUGAUCUUGCACCAUAUUAGUUCAUAUGCAUGUAGGUGUAUUUGGUGGGCUUGUCUAGCCAAGUGUGGUGAGUUUUCUCAAGUCCCAAACAAAGAGAGAAGUGAGCACAUCCUAUAGGUUUGGGUAGCCUCAUAUGGUUUUGUCUGGUGGAGUAUCUUUUGGAGUGUGAGCCCUUUUUCCCUAAGCAAAGUUGUGUUUCUUGGAUGGAUUGUUCAUGGGUUGGAUAGCCCUUUGAAUAAGCUUUCCAUAGAGUCCAAGAACGUCAAAUUCCGAGACUCAAGUCAAGAGAUAUCACCGUUUUACUAAUGGCCGAUUGAGCUGAAAAGUGCCCUGUGGUCUGACCGCAGCCCUUAUGGAGGUCUGACCGAAGUAUGUCGUCCGGUCUGACCGCAGAUCACAUGGCGGUUUGACCGCACAUCCUGAUUUUGAAGGAGGUCUCGUCUUGGCAAUCCAGAGCCACUAGAGCCGCAGCCGGUCAAACCGAGCCCCUGGCAAUCUGACCGAGCUGUGGACGGUCUGACCGGCCACUACACUGCGAUCAGACCGGCCAGGUUGACUGGGCUCAAUGAUUGCCAUGUAAUGGCUAGUUUUCUAGCCGUUAAGUAGUCCGGUCUUACCGGCCACACUAUGGCGUUCUGACCGACAGAGCACAGAGUUGGGGAUUUUGACUCCAACGGCUAGUUUUUGUGGUUGGGGGUAUAUAUACCCACUCCCCAACAGCAAGGGUAAGGUUUUGGCACUCCAUUGCAUUAUCUUGAACCCUUGCAAGAGCUCUCACACCCUUGUGCACUUAGUUUAUCUAGUGAGGUGUUGGAGAGUGAGUUAAGCCAAUCCAAGUGCAUUGAUUCAUUGUUAGAGCUAGUGUGGUACUUGAUCAUCCUCGGCAAGCAUCCUAGACUUGUUACUCUUGGAGGUUGCCGCCUCCUAGACGGCUUUGUGGAGGUGUUGCCGGUGACCUCUCCGAAGAGAUUGUGGAGAAGACCCGGCGCCGGUUGAGAGUGGUUUGGAGUUAACCACCUUCGGAGAGAAGUAAGAACUAUCCCUAGUGAUCGAGGCUUGUGUAAUCCUCUCUGUGGGCCGGCCCCCACCUUGCCCACCCCUUGACGAAGGGGGCGUGCGGUGGCUUCGUGGUUGAGCGGUGGAGUUGGCCUCGCCUCAACAGAGAUUAGGAAACCGGCGAGUUUCCGAACCUCGGUGAAAAAUUCCUUGUCUCUUGUCUCAUUUAUUUGUUGCAUUUACAUUUGAGCAAGUUUACAUACUAAGCUUAUUUGUGCUAUUAUCACCCUAAGCUUGCAAACCUUAACAUAGGCUAGCUUUUUUGUGCACUUACUUGAGACUAGUUGAUUUAGGUUUUGAAUUGUGCAAAACCAUUUUGAUUUACGCUUCCGCAUACAAAAUUCGGUUUUAGCCAAAAGUUUUAAAACCGCCUAUUCACCCCCCCCCCCUCUAGUCGGCCUCCUUGAUCCUACAGCCACCCCUUUUAGUUUUGCCGAAAUAUUGUUUCAACAAGAACUACGAGGAAGCCGAGAUAAUGUUUCGACAAGAACUACGAGGAAGUUAAGUUUCCAACAGGUCCACAUCUGAUAAUAAAGAGACUCUCAAGGUUUGCUACCUCAACUUCUUAUCUCUUGAAGGUUAUUGAUACUGAAGUGCUAGCUGAUAGAAUGUUCUAUAUCCAAACACUUGCUAAUACCAUUGUGGCUUCGGUUCUUUUGGAGGCUAUCCUAGCUAAGCUCAGCUCAUUUGCAAUGGACAUGACCCUAUAUUUUUCUUGCAUGUUCAUCUACCAAAGUAGUUGGCAGCAUGGUCUCUUCAUCUCUUCAAACAAGUGCAAAUCAGGUGAACAAGAAAUCUAUUUUGCUUCCCUUCAAUAUCCCAAUUAUUUUCUUCUAUCAUGGAUAAUUUGUAUUCUUCCACCUCUAGGGUACCAGCCAAAACCAGCUAAAUAAAACUAGUGUAUAUAUAUAAUAUGUAUUCAUCCUUCUUGAAAGAAAAUCACAUAAAUAUCAUGCAUGUACUAUUGUGAUGUGUUUUUUCCAUGCCACUACGGCGCAGCAGAGGCUAUGUGUGUUCAGAUGAUGAGUAGAGCUGUCACUUGGAAUAAAACUGACAAAUCAAUUACUACAUUUCAACAAAAAAUCUGGAGGCAUAUUGAGGUUUGGUAAAUUUCUAGUGACAUAUAUAUAAGGAAUUUUCCUAUAGCAUACUAUAGUUCUCCUGUUCAGUUAUGGGCCUGAUGCACUUCACAUCAGGGAUUCCAAUUUUGUUUUGGAAAAAAAAUAAUCAGAACUGAAAAAAAUUAAUGACCAUAUAUAAUUGUUUGAACUCGAUUUAUGAACGUAAAAUUGUGAUAAAAAAAUUCGAAGCCUAGGUACCUUGGUUUACACAGAUAAUAAUAUCUUUCGAGUUUCACACCAAAGAGAUGUUGAAACCACAAUAGCUUACAUUUUCUUCUCUCUCUCUCCAUGAACUUGGCGUGCUUAGGCUCGAAUGAGUCAUUUAUAACAAUGAUUCAUGUCAUACUCCAUCCGUUCACAAACAUAAGAGAUUCUAUAUUGUUUAGCAAAGUUAAGAUUGAGGUUCAAAUUACUUUGAUGUCUGUCACGCCCAGAAAUUUAGCCCAAAAUUUCAUACUAUUUUGUGUAUUAAAUCCUUGUUCAGGAAUUAGCCAGGGUACACAAAACGACAAAUUAAUAUACAAGUACAAACGUAAAUAAAGCGUAAAAUACUUACAGAAGAGGCACUUAGUUCUCACACCAAAACCGAAGCAGCAGCAACGGAAAAAGGCGAUCAUAGCGAGGCUUCAGCUCCACUCCACAGGCAAAACUCAACUGGGGUCUGAGCCUUGGUCCUCUAACUUCGUCUUCAGCUCAGAAGCACUACACUUCUGAAAAGGGGGAAUAAUAGCAAGGUUGAGUACAACCACCGUACUCACCAAGCCACACCAAUGAUGCACUCAUGCAACGGGAGACAAAGAGAGGUUUGUGGCUAUUUGCAUAAAGGUAGUUGCAAAACAUUUUAUUGAGCAAAAUAGUAAAACUGUUGAUUAAUUAAGGUAGUACUAAAUCUUCACUGAUCAACGCUACACCACGUUGAUCAGGCCUAACCAUCCCACCUGAACUAAACCAGUUCAUUAAGCCAAUUUAUUAAGGGUGAGACUAAUCACGGUGAAUCUGGUCGAUCGCCCAUUACCACGGGCACGGUUAUUUGAAUAGUUUUACUCUGGCCAGAGGUGCACAACUGUACCCACAAGACACAAUCCACCGGCAUGUCACCGUGCCCGGCUGGACACGUCACCAUGUCGAGUGAUUGUGGCAAGACCCUUCAUAUAACUCCCUCUGACCAAUCGAUGCCACACCUCAGGUUUCACCCCUCCCCCAGCAGGCAGCAGGCAGUCCCCCCUCGUGCCACGGUGAAUCCGGAAGCAGCAUAGGCCGUCGCAGGGCCCAUCCAUACUCGAUCACACCCACCCUAGCCUGGGUACGUCAGCCAAAGGAAAGCUAUACUACAAGUCAAGCAAUUACCCAUUCCUGCUUGUGGUACGCGCGGUAAGUCUUCCAGUGCAUCCAGCGAACCAGUCCUUAAUUUGCUAUGGGCGCAACUAGAAAAACCAUGCACCCACAAACCACCAUUAAGUCAUGUUUUAGUUGGAUAAUUACAACCAAUGAAACAUGGCUAGAUGUCUCGAGCACGCAGCUCGUCAAGAUAUAUACUAGGUGUCUAAUGAUGUAAUUAUCCCAUUAUGUGAACUAGUGGUAAUUAAGUAUGGAUAAGCAUAUAAUUCUAGCUAGGUCAACAUAAGUAACACAAAAUAGUCGAAUUAUCACCUAAGUUUGACAAAGGACGAACAUCAAGUAAUAUGGCACAAGCGAAGAAGUAGAUAAAACCCUGAUCCCAUGUAAUUAGCAUGACAUGCAAUUUUAUUUGCAAACGAUAAAACAUUUAUAAAUUAGGAUCAACAUGCUCAAGGGGAAUGUGUGACUUGCCCUGCUUCUUCAAAAGAAUCCUCUGAACUCUUUCCUCGUAAUCGCGAGCUUCCGAAACAGCGGAAUCUACGCGCUGGCACGCAAAACAAGGAAAAACUCUAAUAAAAACCAAGUAAACAGUAUAUGAAAAGUAAACAAACAUGUAGAGCUCAAGUUUAGAUGAAUUUUGCAAGUUGAAUGGCCCAAUUUGGAGUUCUUAUGAAUUAGCUAUGAAUUUUAGAAGUUUUGAGCCAUUUAAAUGAAUUUCUAUAAUUAUUACUCGAAAUAUUGCGCAAUUAAAGCUAUUUAUGGUGUCAACCGAGGGGAUUAGGUGGAGCCGACAAGCAGGCCCCACCUGUCGGUGACUCAAGGAGCCUUGGCCUACCGUGGACCGAGUCCACGGAGGCACGGGCUAGUGCACCACGUGGCGCACUCGUGGCGCCGAUGGGGCACCGACGUGCUGGCCACCUAUGCGGACACACGGGCGGCUCAGAUGGAGGCCGGGGCCGAUCCGACGGCCCAGAUCGGCCGCGCGACAGGGGUGGCGGCAACUGGCUGCCCGGCGAGGACGCGGCGCGCGGCGGCAGCGACCCGACCGGACGGCCACUAGCGGCAGCGGCGCGUCGCGAGCUGGCCCAGGAUGCGACCGACGAAGCGGAGAAAGAGGGAGAGGGAGGGGAGCGCUCAUCGGGGAACGACACUGUAGGGAGGCGGCCGGCGAAGCUCGAGGCGGAGGGAGGCGGCGGAGCUCCAGUGACGAGCGACGCUCAGGAAGGGGUGUACGAGCUCGGUCGCGACCUGGGGAUGGGGUUUAAAGGGGUUAGGGAAGCGCGGGGUGGCCGGAACAGCGAGGAAGGAUGGCCGAAGGCGAUGAGGGUGGCGGAGCUCACCGGCGAGCGAGGGAGAUGGAGCUCCGGCGAGGUUUUCGACGGUGUGGGGCGGUGCCCGUGGUACGGCACAGUGCAACGACGCUGGGGUGACCAUCGUGGCUCGGGAUGGCGGGUAACAGUGGGAAAACGGCGACCGGAGGCGGUGAAUGUGGCGGCUGCCUCGGGUGUGUGGUGGGAAGGUCGUUCCGGCGGCGUUUUGGGGAAAGGGAGGGGACGCCAAGAUGUAGCUUGGCACGGUGGUGGCGGUGCAGUGCGGCGGUGACCCAAGCGGUGGUGGUGGGCGGCUGAACGACACUGGUGAGCGGCUGAGGUUGGUGGCGCGGUGGGGCGGCUUUUCGAUGGUGGUGGGGGAAAACGGAGUGGCGGCCUGGCUUGCCCUUGCGGCGGCGAAGCUGGCGAUGACGGCGGAGUAGAGCGGUGAAGACUAGAGUGGUGGUGGCGCGCGGCCAAAGCUCACCGGAGGGUGGCGGAAAUGGCGGACGGCGUGGGCAGCACGGGAGGGGUUGAAGGGAGCUCGGGCAAAUGGGGAAAAAGGGAGAGGGAGGUGCGGGCAUCCUUUUUGUGGGCUCGGGUCAAUGGGAUCGUGGCCGAUUAGGGGCGGCAACCUGCGAGGAAGUGGCAUGGCGACAUGGGGAGGAUGGUGGCUGGAUUUGGUGGGAAGGAGUGGGGAAAAUGGGCGCAGGACGGACGCGAGGUGGAGGAGAGGGGUGGCAUCUGGGCCCACGCGAGAGAGAAGCGCGGGGAGGCAUGAAAAAGGUGGCAGCGUGGGACUGUUUCGGCAGCCAUGGAGCCGGCCCGAGGAGAAAGAGGAAGAUGACACGUGGGGCCUCGGGUCCCACCUGUCGGGGAGAGAGAGGGGAAAUUGGCAAGGGGAGGUUAAAUAGACUUCAUGGGCAAGCGGACCGAGGGAGAGAGGCCGGCCCAAGAGAAAGGAGGGAAGGAGGGAGGGGAAAAUGGGCCAAGGAGAGAGAGGGAGAGCUUUGGAAUAGAAGGGGUCGAAAGUGAAGGAGGGGGAAAUAAUUUGUUUUCCAUUUAAUUUAAAUGGGUUUAAUGAACUUUAUGCUAUUUAAAUUAUUUCUUGAGCUCGGAAAAUUCGCAGGAAAAGUUCAGAGAGUAUUUUAGGGCACAGAGAAUAUUACAAAAUUAUUUGUAGCCAUGAUUUUUAAAGGAAAUUUUAAUUCCCUCCUUAUUUCACUUGAUUAAAUUGCUUUAAUUUUUAAUAUAAUUUCUAGAAAUGAUUUAUUUAAUGAUUUUUAAUCUCGAACGAAAAUUGGGGCGCUACAAUGUCUGUGUGUGUUUGAAUUAGGAAAGAUCACGCCUAUCAAUGAGAAUAAAUGUAGAGGUUGGAUGGAUUGGGAAAGUAGUGCUGUAAAAUCUCCUAUAUUCGUGAAUAAAUUUAAACCCCAAAUCCCUUAUUUUUGUAGAGAGAGAAAUAAGUAUACGCUGUUAACGACCAAAUUUGGUAAAUUCUAUCACUAUUGGCAUCGGAGGUGAAGAUCAGAUUGAAGUGGGAUCCAAAAUGAAGAUCAUUGCGGAAAUAGAGUAAGAGUCGGCUGCAGUCCAAAUCGGCUAAGGUCAGGUCGGCAGAGUUCGAGUCGGAUGGGGCUAGCCGAUACAGCCGAUUCUGAUAAUAUGACUCGGUGUACGUCAUCGGGUUCAAGUUGAUGUGCUUCAAGAUGGUUGCCAUGCAUGGAUAGAGUCCUGGGAAGGCAAUUGUAUCUAUUAAUUAGGAUAUUCUAUGUAAUUUCCUUAGAUAUAUGUUUGGGCAAAAGUCUGCCGUAAAGACUUAUGUUAUCUUAGAGUUUGUUAGAGAUAAUAGUCAUGUCUGUUGUGGACGUAUCUUGUAAUUCUCGGGUAUAAAUAGACCCGAGCCCUAUGUAAAAAAGGGACGACAUCCAAUACAAUCUCGGCGUAUCGCCACCCUUUUUGCUUUACUUUUAUUUCGACGAGUUCGUACUCUCGGGUUGAGCUGCAUCGGUUUCGAUCUUCAACAAGAGGUAAAACUUGUCAUGACGACUUAUGUUCUCAGGAUUAGUGCUUCCAUCUUUAUGAUACUCUAAUCUUGUCUAUAUAAUUCGUCGAGUUAUCAUAUAUCUCACAUAAUCUUCGAUAAUAUCUUUAUCUAACCUAUAAUCGGCUAACAUCUGUUAAUGGAAGGCAGCCGAUUAGGUUAGACAAUGACGUUAACUUAGAUUAUGUGAUAUAUCUACCACUCUAUGAAACUUCCAGCGGCUUGAUUGUCUAGAUAUUGUUCUUCUUUUCAUACUUAAUGCUGCAUCAAUUGAGUUUGAUCUAUUAAGUCAUGCUUAGAAUUGCAAUCUCUAGCCUGCUUUCUGGUCGCCGAUUAGGGUAGUAUCGGAGUUUCAGCCGAUCUUAUCUGAUUUAACUACUUUUAUUCCAUAUGCUUAAUCUAUAUGUUAAAUCUGCCCUUUAUGUUAAGAUCUUGUCACAUCUAAGUAUAUUAGGCUUCUGUUUGGUAUAUUCUACUUACUUUAAUAUCUUAAUAUAGAGUGGUAUCGGAGUAUUAGCCAAUACAUGCUAGAUCCAUUUGAUCGGCUAUGCUAUAAAUGUAUAUAAUCCCACUAUUAAUAUAUAUUUCGAUCUAAGUGAUUUAUACUGUCUCGGCAAGGCGACCGAUCUAUCCCAACCACUUGAUUUAAGUAUAUAUCGAUAUAAGGAUUAUAUAUCAUUAAUAUCUACAGCCGAUUGAGUAGAUUUAGUUCUGAUUUGCUUAUUGAUAUUUGCCGAUCGAUGUACGCAUGACAUCGGCUUGAAAUAAAUGAUAUGUCAUCGGCACCUAGCCGAUCGGCUAUCAUUUAUAGGAUUAAUUGCGGUUUCUUUGUUCUAUUUCUUGUUGAUUGCAGGAUCAAAUCAACUAGCACGCUCAUACAUCCGAACGCGAGUUUUGGACCUGCACUGGAGUUAAGCAGAUCUCCCAGGCCUCGUGUUUUCUGUCAACACGCUUUUGGCACGCCCGGUGGGACGAAUUAGAAGUCAGAAAUCAAUCUUCCUCAUGGCCGAGAAGCUGCCACCUUCGCCAUCCUCGGCUAGCCCGGGUACUGUUAAAGAGAAAAUCCAAAGACCAGGAUUGAGCGAAGUCAAUGAAGGGAAUAUUGUGGCUAUUGAUCCGGAAAAGCUCACACCUGACCAGAAGAAGGACUUCGAAGCAAUGAUGCAACAAGCACGAGAACAGUUCUUCAAAUCAUUCACACAGACUCGCAAGGGAAAAUUUGUUUAAAAGUACAAGGUAAAGGUGGUUCCCGAUGAGCCUGAGACCAGUACCUUUAAGGAGGGAGAAGGGAAAAGAGUUUUAGAUGGCUCGGCUCAAGAGAAUCAGGGUGACGACUCUCAGGGGGCACAUGCAGUUCAAGGUGAUGGUGCUCACGAGCCACAACGAGGAAAUCUUAAUCAGAAUGGUGAGACAGCACAAGAUUUCUUCAACAAUUUCCAAGAUCGAGUGGACUACGCCGUACACAAUGCUUUGAUCAAUCAAUCUGGAGUGUUAGUCAACACCUUGUCUAACAUGAUGAAGACGAUAGCCGAUGGAUCAAUAGUUGAGCAUCAAGCUGCAGGCCCGGUUUACUUGCCGGGAGGUGUUUUUCCGAAUUAUCGAUCUUUGAUCACUGAUGUUCAGCCGCUUGCUCAGGCAGUUCUUCCGAGUGCACCAUCGGCUCAGCCGAUGGCACCGCCAUUGACUUCUUUGCCUGCUCCAUCAGCGUCGACACCAGGCCAGCCGAUUAAUCCUCGGCUAUUGAUGAGGGAGCAGCCACAGCAUAGCGGACAGACGGUAAAUCGGCCAGCACAGGAUCAGGUGGCUGCUAUGUUUCUACCCCUCCAAUCUACUGUCAAUUCGAUUCAGCAGACGCCACCAAGGCAACAGGUUGUGCAGCCGAUUCAACAGACUCCACCAAGGCAGCAGGUUGUGUAGCCAGUUCAGCCAACACUUCCGGGACAACAAACUAUACAGCCGAUUCCGCAGCAAGCUUUGAUGAAUCAAUCGGCUGAGCAAUCAGCUGGACACGCCCUGAAUCAGGUUGUUCCAGAACAUUUGGUUCACCAUAUACAACCAGAUGGUACGACGAUGCCUCAGAUUGUGCCAGAGCACUUGGUGCAAAGUAUUCAGCCAAAUUAACAGAAUUUAUUCAGCCAAAUUAACAGAAUUACCAAUGAGGCAAUAUAAUCAGUUUGAACCAAUACAGCAACAGUCGCAAGGAGCAGGUCAACAACGACCAUGGGCUGAUGUAAUUGCCGAUGUGAUGAGAGAACAAUUUGGGCUUAAGCCGAAAGAUACUGGAAAAUUGUAUCGGCAACCUUACCCUAAAUGGUUUGAGAAAGUUCCUCUUCCCAACCGAUUUAAAAUCCCAGACUUCUCCAAAUUUUCGGGACAAGAUGGUGUGUCAACUUAUGAACACAUUAGCCGAUUUUUAGCUCAGUGCGGCGAAGCAUCGGCUGUGGACGCUCUCAGAGUUAGAUUAUUCCGGUUGUCCUUGUCUGGGUCGGCUUUUACAUGGUUUUCUUCUUUGCCGUAUGGGUUAGUCAAUAGUUGGGCCGACUUGGAGAAGCAGUUUCAUAGCUAUUUCUAUAGUGGAGUUCAUGAGAUGAAGUUAUCUGACUUGACAGCAAUCAAACAAAGGCAUGAUGAACCUGUGCAUGAGUAUAUUCAGAGAUUCAGGGAGAUGAGGAACAAGUGCUUUAGCUUAAGUUUGACUGAUGCCCAGUUAGCCGAUUUGGCUUUUCAAGGCAUGAUUCCUCCGAUUAGGGAGAAAUUCUGAUCUGAAGAUUUUGAUAGCCUGUCGCAUCUCGUACAGAAGAUAACAUUGCAUGAACAGAGGUUUGCAGAGGCCAGGAGAAGCUCUAAGAGGGUUAAUCAUGUCUGCCCUUACAUGUAUGGAUCGGAUGAUGACGAUGAUGACUCCGAAAUAGCUGCAGCCGAAUGGGUAAGGAGUAAAAAGGUUAUACCUUGUCAGUGGGAAAAGAAUUCUGGAAAAGAGGAGAGAUAUGAUUUUGAUAUUACCAAAGCUGACAAGAUUUUUGAUAUGCUACUCCGGGAGAAGCAAAUUCAACUCCCCGCUGGUCAUGUAAUUCCAUCGGCUAAGGAACUAGGCAAAAGGAGGUAUUGCAAAUGGCAUAAUUCUGGAUCUCAUUCUACUAAUGAUUGCAAGGUCUUUAGACAGCAGAUUCAAGUAGCCAUUGAAGGAGGGAAGAUUAAGUUUGAUGAUUCCAAAAAGCCGAUGAAGGUCGAUGGUAAUCCUUUCCUUGUUAACAUGGUGCAUACCGUUGGUCGGACAGCCGAUGUGGGACGAGCGAGAGGUUUUUGCGUGAAUUCGGCUAGAAUUAUAAAUAAGUAUCAGAGGAAAUACGACAAACAACAAGAGAGGCAUUAUGAAGAAGAUAAUGAUGGUUUCGAUCCUUAUUGGAAUUGUGAGUUCUUUCGGUUCUACUGGAACGAAGGUAUGAGGCUACCAUCUAUUGAAGACUGUCCUGAGUGCAGUGAUAUUACAGAGAGUUCAAGCCGAUCGUACAAUAGAGGCAAUCGGCUGAAGCAAGCUAGAGUUCCCGUUCAUCAAAGGUUGGGCCCGGCAAAUCAAAAUGAUUACUUGGAGGAAGACGAGAACGCGAAGACUCAGUGGUGUCCUUCUGAUAUUUUUACAAAGAAUCAGAAAAGAAGGGUUCAAAGGUUGAGGAAUAGGGAGCGCUUUCAGGAGGUCGAGCAAGAAAUUGGUCAUCGGCUGAGGAAAGCAAAGCCAAGGAAGGAGUGGCGUGUUAAGAAUCAAGUUCUUGGAGCCGAUGAUAUUGCAGCCGAUGAAGCAAAGAGGUUGGCAAAAGGGAAAAGUAUUGUAACGGCGCCAAUUAACAUGGUCUUUACUUUGCCAGCCGAAUUCGGGAUUGACCAAGCCGAUGUUGACGAACUGGAAGAGGAAUUGGCUAAGUUGGUUCUAUCACCAGAACGAGCAGUUUUUGAAAAGCCUGAAGGGACAGAAAAUCGGCAUCUUAAACCAUUGUAUAUAAAUGGCUAUGUCAAUGGGAAGCCGAUGUCUAAGAUGAUGGUCGAUGGUGGGGCUGCGGUAAAUUUGAUGCCUUAUACUACGUUCAGAAAGUUAGGUAGAACUACUGAGGAUCUCAUCAAGACAAACAUGGUGCUUAAAGACUUUGGUGGCAACCAAUCGGAAACAAAGGGUGUUCUGAAUGUAGAAUUGACAGUCGGCAGUAAAACUAUCCCUACCACAUUUUUUGUCAUCGAUGGGAAAGGUUCUUACAGCUUGUUGCUUGGAAGGGAUUGGAUUCAUGCCAAUUGUUGUAUUCCUUCGACCAUGCACCAAUGCUUGAUUCAAUGGCAAGGCGACAAGGUUGAGAUUGUACCAGCCGACAGGUCAGUUAAUGUUGCUAGUGCCGAUCUAGCUCUUUGGGAGAUGGAUGGCCUUGAUUGUUUAUCCAGGAAGAUUUGGGUUGGAGAUUUUCUAAAAGUGUCCGAUUCUGAUAUACAGCCGAUUGAAGAUGAAGAACCCAAGCUAUUAUUUUGAGGGCGUCGUGGAGGGUUCAAGCGUCUACGCCAAGGACACGGUAGAUGAUCUCGAUGACAAGCAAGGUUAGGGUUUUAUGUCGGCCGAUGAUUUAGAAGAAGUGGAUAUAGGUCUGGGUGAUCGACCAAGGCCGACAUUCAUUAGUAAGAAUUUGUCUUCAGAAUUUAGAACCAAGCUGAUGGAGCUUUUGAAAGAGUUUAGAGAUUGCUUUGCUUGGGAGUAUUAUGAGAUGCCAGGACUCAGCCGAUCGAUCGUCGAGCAUCGAUUACCUUUAAAGCCAGGGAUUAGACCACACCAGCAGCCUCCGAGAAGAUGCAAAGCCGAUAUGCUUGAACCUGUCAAGGCUGAAAUCAAACGUUUGUAUGAUGCUGGUUUUAUUCGUCCUUACCGAUAUGCUGAAUGGGUUUCUGGUAUAGUUCCUGUUAUCAAGAAAAAUGGUAAGGUGAGGGUUUGCAUUGAUUUCAGGGAUUUGAAUAAAGCUACCCCAAAGGAUGAAUAUCCGAUGCCAGUGGCCGAUCAGUUGGUUGAUGCUGCUUCAGGACAUAAGAUACUAAGUUUUAUGGAUGGGAACGCAGGAUAUAAUCAAAUCUUUAUGGCCGAAGAAGAUAUCCAUAAGACAGCCUUCAGGUGUCCUGGUGCGAUCGGCUUGUUUGAAUGGGUUGUAAUGACUUUCGGCUUAAAGAGCGCUGGAGCUACGUACUAGAGGGCUAUGAAUUAUAUAUAUCAUGAUCUGAUCGGAUGGUUGGUUGAGGUCUACAUUGAUGAUGUGGUUGUUAAAUCUAGAGAAAUAGAGGACCACAUAGCCGAUUUGAGAAAGGUUUUCGAGAGGACUAGGAAAUAUGGUUUAAAGAUGAAUCCGACAAAAUGUGCUUUUGGUGUAUCGGCUGGCCAGUUCUUGGGAUUUCUUGUUCAUGAGAGGGGGAUUGAAAUACCUCAGAGGAGUAUCAAUGCGAUCAAAAAGAUUAAGCCUCCGGAAAACUAAGACAGAGUUGCAGGAGAUGAUCGGCAAAAUUAAUUUUGUUCGAAGGUUUAUUUCUAAUUUGUCUAGAAAACUGGAACCUUUUACACCAUUGUUAAGAUUGAGAGCUGAUCAGCAAUUCACUUGGGGGGCAAAACAACAGAAAGCUUUGGAUAAUAUUAAAGAAUAUUUAAGUUCUCCUCCAGUAUUGAUCCCUCCACAAAAAGGGAUUCCUUUCCGGUUAUAUUUGUCGGCCGGUGAUAAGUCAAUCGGCUUGGUCUUGAUUCAGGAACUUGAAGGAAAAGAGAGGGUUGUGUUUUAUUUAAGCCGUCGGCUCUUAGAUGCAGAAACAAGGUAUUCUCCUGUGGAGAAAUUGUGUUUGUGUUUAUAUUUCUCUUGCACUAAGUUGAGGCAUUACUUGUUGUCCAAUGAAUGCACUGUGGUAUGUAAAGCCGAUGUGAUUAAGUACAUGCUAUCGGCUCCGAUUUUAAAAGGGAGAGUUGGCAAGUGGAUAUUUUCUUUAACGUAGUUUGAUCUUCGGCACGAAUCACCAAAGGCGAUUAAGGGACAGGCUGUAACCGAUUUUAUUGUGGGUCAUCGUGAUGAUUCAAUCGGCUUGGUUGACAUUAUGCCUUGGGUAUUAUUCUUUGAUGGAUCUGUAUGCAGUCAUGGUUAUGGUAUCGGCUUGGUUAUAAUUGCGCCUUGGGGGGCAAGUUUUGAAUUUGCCUAUGCUAUCAAACACCGUGUGACUAAUCAUCAGGCUGAGUAUGAGGCGGUCUUAAAAGGGUUACAGUUGCUUCAGGAAGUUGCAGCCGAUGCUAUUGAAAUCAUGGGUGAUUCGUUGUUGGUGAUUAGUCAAUUGGCAGGGGAGUAUGAAUGCAAGGAUGAUACAUUGAUGGUUUAUUAUGAAAAGUGCCGAACGUUGAUAAGUGAAUUUAGGAUGGUGACUUUGAAGCACAUAUAUCGAGAACAGAAUAUAGAGGCUAAUGAUUUGGCUCAAAGAGCGUCGGGAUAUAAGCCAAUGACAAAAGAUAUCGAGAUAGAGAUUGCUACAAUUACAGCCGAUGAUUGGAGAUAUGAUGUGUUUCAGUAUUUACAGAAUCCAUCUCAAUCGGCUUCGCAGAAAUUGCGUUAUAAGGCCUUGAAAUAUACUUUAUUGGAUGAUGACCUCUAUUAUCGGAUGAUUGAUGGAGUGUUGCUUAAAUGUUUGAGUGCCGAUCAGGCAAAAGUUGCAAUCGGCGAAGUUCAUGAAGGGAUAUGUGGUACACAUCAGUCGGCUCAUAAAAUGAAGUGGUUGCUCCGACGUGCUGGAUAUUUUUGGCCGACAAUACUGGAGGAUUGUUUAAGAUAUUAUAAAGGUUGUCAAGAUUGUCAGAAGUUUGGAGCGAUCCAAAGGGCGCCAGCAUCGGCUAUGAAUCCUAUUAUUAAACCGUGGCCUUUUAGAGGUUGGGGAAUUGAUAUGAUCGGUAUGAUUAAUCCACCCUCGAGUAAAGGACAUAAGUUUAUAUUGGUGGCAACCGAUUAUUUUACCAAGUGGGUAGAGGCGAUUCCUUUAAAGAAAGUUGAUUCUGGGGAUGCUAUACAGUUCGUUCAAGAGCAUAUAAUCUAUCAAUUUGGUAUCCCUCAAACUAUUACGACUGAUCAAGGUUCAAUUUUUGUAUCUGAUGAGUUUGUUCAAUUUGCCGAUAGCAUGGGAAUUAAAUUGUUGAAUUCUUCACCGUAUUAUGCACAAGCUAAUGGACAGGCCGAGGCAUCUAAUAAGAGUUUGAUCAAGUUGAUUAAGAGGAAGAUUUCUGAUUAUCCUCGGCAAUGGCAUACUCGGCUGGCUGAAGCAUUGUGGUCUUAUCGGAUGGCUUGUCAUGGAUCGAUACAGGUUCCUCCUUAUAAACUUGUUUAUGGUCAUGAGGCUGUUCUGCCAUGGGAAGUUCGAAUCGGCUCGAGGAGAACAGAGUUGCAAAAUACUUUAACAGCCGAUGAGUAUUAUAACCUUAUGGCCGAUGAAAGGGAAGAUCUGGUUCAAUCACGGCUAUGAGCUCUUGCAAAGGUUACUAGGGAUAAGGAGCGUGUUGUCCGGCAUUAUAAUAAGAGAGUAGUACCCAAGGACUUUUCGGAGGGUGAACUUGUAUGGAAGUUGAUUCUGCCGAUUGGGACUCGGGAUAGCAAAUUUGGCAAGUGGUCGCCAAAUUGGGAAGGACCGUUCCAAAUUUAUAAGGUGGUAUCUAAGGGAGCAUACAUGUUGCAAGGACUCGAUGGAGAAGUUUAUGGCCGAGCUCUAAAUAGCAAAUACUUGAAGAAAUAUUAUCCCAGUGUUUGGGUUAAUGCAUGAUCGACUAGUGUUGCCGAUACAUGAUAGCCGAUGUGUUUGCAUCGCCUGGAGAUGGCCGAUAUUGUUAUAUCGCCCUUAGUUGCUUUUCACUAUUGUAAUCGGUUGUGGUUUGCCGAUCUACAAAUGGCCGAUAUUGUUAUAUCGCCCUUAGUCGUUUCUAUAAUUUUGUCAAUGUUUUCAACAUUGUAAAAUUAGGGGGGCACAUACAUAGAGAAUUGCAAAGAAAAAUGAGAGAAUUGAAAUUUUUGAACAAGCCGGCACAAGGAUGGCAGCAAAGUAAUUAGGGUGUCUUAGCCGAUUACAACAGUUUUCUACAAACUAUUACAUGGAAAUCACUGAGACAAGUAUCGCUGGAUAGCCGAUAUAGCCCUUUGCCUAAUUUGAUCUAUUUCUUCGAUAGCUUGGGCGUCUUGAGCAUCGGUUCCAGGAAUGACUUUCAAGGAUUUAGUCAUCUCAGCAAUGUUCUUGAUAGCUGAUUUUAGCCUUGCCUUCUGUUCUUCGACAGCUUGCAUGAGAUCGGUUAACUUCUUGUGCUCUAGAUCCAGUUUAGCAUUGCAUUCUUGAAGUUGUGCCAAGAGUUCAAUCUUGUGAGCUUCAAGCCGAUCAACAUUAGAUUUGAUCGGGCCUUCAGAUAACUGAUCAAGCUUGGCUUUCUCUUCAUGAACACGCUGCCGAUUGGUUUGGAUUGUAGCCUCGAUGUCCUUGCGCUCCCGGCGAUCGGAUAACCUCUGCCUGGCUUUCUCCAGUUUGAAUUGAUGCUGCUCGAGGUAGACAGCUGGAGUAAGAGCAUCGGCUAAUUCGUCCGAAAGAAAGGCUUGGAUAUCUGCAAAUCUUGCCCGGAUUGAGCCACAGUUGGUCACCAGGUUAUCUAGUGAUGCUCCUAACCGAUGGGAGAUGUCUUCGAGUGUUUUCUUCAUAUCAUCAGACAGGAGAGCUAUCGCUUUACUGGUGGUGUCUUCUUCUGUUUCAUCGAGGUAAUCUUUGAUGUCAAAGGAGAACAGAUCGGCUAAGACCUGCAAGAGACAAUAUCAUGGAUGAUUAAGGAUCAAGAUAUGAUUGGCCGAUCUCAAAUUUAUGUUAAUAAACCUUACUGGAAUAGUAGGUGCAGCUAAUUGUUCCUCCUCUUCAACAUGAUGACUGCCUGCAGUCGAUGGAGUGUGGCCGCCUGAUUCUGCCUGCACAAGAGGGGAAGAAGGAGGAGGAGACUGCUAAAGGGAUAAAUAUUAGAUAUAAUCAGCCCAAAUCAGUUAAUGAGAUGAUAAAAGUAUCUUACUGUAGGAGCUGGUUUAAGGGUUGAAGUAGCUGAUCUAUUCCUCACAGCAAUUUUCUUUCUCUAUAUUUAUUAAAAUUGUGAGGAAUCGGCUAUAAAGUAAAUGACUGCAAAAGUGGACAGAUAAAGUCGCUUACCUUUGCCAAUUGAGCUGAAGCAGAAGGGGAUGGAGGAGAUUGCUUAGGUGAAGCCAAUGGUGUUCUUUCAGUAUCGCUUAUUUCGGCUGCAGCUUGGUCGAUGUCUUCCUCGAUUUCUUCUUCAUCCAGAGCUUGUUCAAUGGAUGGAUCUAGGGCGGGUAGAUCGUCAGCUGGCUUAGCUUUCUUUGUCUUAGCCUUAUUCUUCGGAGCCGGGGCUGAAGUAUCUGCAGCCGAUGAUCUGGUUCUCCGCUUCUUGCCGGCAUCGGCUGGUUCUCUGAUGAGUCCUCGGGGAAGUGCUGAGGUCUUUGGGGCAUUGUAGCCAAUGGCAGAAGGGGAUGGCCCACCUCCAUUUGGAAUUAGACCCGGAGCAUACUUAAUGACCUUGCCGCUAUUGCUCUGGUGAGGAGGAGAAGAUUCUGUUGUCUGCAAAACAGAAGAAAAGUUAGUCAAGGUUCAAAUCGGUUGAUUGACUAUUCAAGCAAGAUUGAAGAAAUAAAGAUUAACAUGAGGGAUAGCAUCAGGGAAUAAGUCUGUCAUGUACAUGGAAGCCGAUUGAUGGAACAGAUGCAGCUUCCACUCGCCCCACCAUCUGUCAAAUGUCCUGCUCCUGAACCUUGCCAGCUUUAUGUUCUCGAUGCUGCCCAACGGAGGUCCAGGGAUGUUCAAUAGCUGAUCCAUCAUUAAAGUUGAGGAGAUGUCGCCUCUGCAUUGGAUCUUGUUGGCAAAGUACAGACCGAUUGGCAAUUGUCCCAUUCCAAGUUGUCUGGCCGAUGACAUCGGAUGAUAAAACUCGUAAGAGACUUGGAUAUUUCUCCCUUGAUGGAUGCCGACUGGGAGGAUACAUGGGCUGAUAGCAGUAGUAAAGAUUUCUCUGGAUUGCUGAAACUUCUCAUGAUUAAUAUCCUCGAACCUGAAAUCGGCUGGCAGUUCGAAAUCCAUUGAGUCGGCAUAGAAGAACCAAACUCGGGCAUCUUUUUGGAAUCCAUCAUAAAAGCUGAAGAACCAGUCCUUCAGAAGUUCAGCCGAUAACUUUGCUCCUGCAUCGGCUGGUGUAGAUGCAUAUUCUCCGUAUGACAUACAUCUGCGAUGGGUGUGUUCUUCUCCAUCAUCUUCCACAAUCGGCUCCAAACUUGGAAAUUCAGCUUCUGUCACAGAUGGCCGAUUGACAACUUUCAUGACUACCAGGUUCAGCUAGGAUUGCAAGAGCCACCAUGGUCCACCUGUUCCAACCACUGAGCCGAUAAUUAUCUUGGCCGAUGCGUUGUUUAAUAUCUGGUAUAGAUAGCCGAGAAGGAUUUUGCCUAAGGGAAAUUGUUUCUUCGUUACUAGGGCCUCGGCUAAGAAUUGCCAGUUGGUUGUAGGACCGCAGCUUGAUCCGCAGAAAAGGAAUUUUUCCAACCACAUCAGCAAAAAAGCUACGUGCUCUCUAGGAGUGACUGGCCCUUUGCCCAUAUAUGCUGUGAUAUAUCCUGACCAACCCCCAAUGCUCUUAGUUUUGAACUCAAAAGUGUUCUUGGUGUUCAGGUUCAUAGGGUUAGCUGAUGAGGUUACAUCUAGGCCAGUGAGCAUGAUAAUAUCCAGCAGCGUUGGGGUCAUCGGCCCUUGGUUGAAAAGAAAAGCAUUGAGAGUGUUGGACCAGAAAUAAGUUGCAGCAGCCAUUAGGGGUUCAUCUUUGGCCGAAUUUGCUAUUGUGAGGGCUAGGGCUUGGCUGAUUCCGAUCUCAUCCCAAUGGGCUUGUUUGCUAGCCGAUAUCCGCUUAUACCAUACAGGCCAGCUUUUCUCCAAAGAAGGCCAGGAUUUGAAGGUGUUUUUCCAAUGGCUUGUGUUUGGAUUGGCCGACCUAAAAGGGGUUCUGUUGGUUUCGGCUAUGAUAAACUCAGUGGGGUCUAGAUUGCCGAUUGGACCGAGAAAGUAUUGUUGGUCAUGAAACAGACUGGGAACCGCAACAAGAUUGGAAAGAUGCUACAAGAAUAGAGAAGAAGAAAACAAGAUAAGGUGAGCGAAAACCGGUCUGAUGAACGGAAAAGGGGGUCUAGCCGAUGGGGACUUACCUCAGCGUAUUCGGCUGAUGAUGCGGCGGUCGGAUUGGUGGAGGUCGACAUCGUCACGGGUGAAGAUCUGGCCGGGAGUGGAAUCGCCUAGAAAUCGCCAUGCGUGUUGAGGAGGUCGCCGGAGAGAGAAAGGACGGGAUCUGUUUAAGCGGUGAAAACGGAAAUCACGACGUGAAGAUUCUUUGGGGCAACGGUUAGUAUUUAAAGUAGAGCGAUAACGGACAGGAAAACAGCAAGUGCGAGUUUCUCUCAGAGUCGGUAUAUGGCAAAUCCGAAACAUUAUCCAAUAUUCCGGACUUGGGGGGCAUGUGUUAACGACCAAAUUUGGUAAAUUCUAUCACUAUUGGCAUCGGAGGUGAAGAUCAGAUUGAAGUGGGAUCCAAAAUGAAGAUCGUUGCGGAAACAGAGUAAGAGUCGGCUGCAGUCCAAAUCGGCUAAGGUCAAGUCGGAAGAGUUCGAGUCGGACGAGGCUAGCCGAUACAGCCGAUUCUGAUAAUAUGACUCGGUGUACGUCAUCGGGUUCAAGUUGAUGUGCUUCAAGAUGGUUGCCAUGCAUGGAUAGAGUCCUGGGAAGGCAAUUGUAUCUAUUAAUUAGGAUAUUCUAUGUAAUUUCCUUAGAGAUAUGUUUGGGCAAAAGUCUGCCGUAAAGACUUAUGGUAUCUUAGAGUUUGUUAGAGAUAAUAGUCAUGUCCGUUGUGGACGUAUCUUGUAAUUCUCGGGUAUAAAUAGACCCGAGCCCUAUGUAAAAAAGGGACGACAUCCAAUACAAUCUCGGCGCAUCGCCACCCUUUUUGCUUUACUUUUAUUUCGAUGAGUUCGUACUCUCGGGUUGAGCUGCAUCGGUUUCGAUCUUCAAUAAGAGGUAAAACUUGUCAUGACGACUUAUGUUCUCAGGAUUAGUGCUUCCAUCUUUAUUAUACUCUAAUCUUGUCUAUAUAAUUCGUCGAGUUAUCAUAUAUCUCACAUAAUCUUCGAUAAUAUCUUUAUCUAACCUAUAAUCGGCUAACAUCUGUUAAUGGAAGGCAGCCGAUUAGGUUAGACAAUGACGUUAACUUAGAUUAUGUGAUAUAUCUACCACUCUAUGAAACUUCCAGCGGCUUGAUUGUCUAGAUAUUAUUUUUCUUUUCAUACUUAAUGCUGCAUCAGUUGAGUUUGAUAUAUUAAGUCGUGCUUAGAAUUGCAAUCUCUAGCCUGCUUUCUGGUCGCCGAUUAGGGUAGUAUCGGAGUUUCAACCGAUCUUAUCUGAUUUAACUACUUUUAUUCCAUAUGCUUAAUCUAUAUGUUAAAUCUGCCCUUUAUGUUAAGAUCUUGUCGCAUCUAAGUACAUUAGGCUUCUGUUUGGUAUAUUCUACUUGCUUUAAUAUCUUAAUAUAGAGUGGUAUCGGAGUAUUAGCCAAUACAUGCUAGAUCCAUUUGAUCGGCUAUGCUAUAAAUGUAUAUAAUCCCACUAUUAAUAUAUAUUUCGAUCUAAGUGAUUUAUACUGUCUCGGCAAGGCGACCGAUCUAUCCCAACCACUUGAUUCAAGUAUAUAUCGAUAUAAGGAUUAUAUAUCAUUAAUAUCUACAGCCGAUCGAGUAGAUUUAGUUCUGAUUUGCUUAUUGAUAUUUGCCGAUCGAUGUACGCAUGACAUCGGCUUGAAAUAAAUGAUAUGUCAUCGGCACCUAGCCGAUCGGCUAUCAUUUAUAGGAUUAAUUGCGGUUUCUUUGUUCUAUUUCUUGUUGAUUGCAGGAUCAAAUUAACUGGUACGCUCAUACAUCCGAAGGCGAGUUUUGGACCUGCACUGGAGUUAAGCAGAUCUCCCAGGCCUCGUGUUUUCUGUCAACAUACGCAUACUCAGUAAAACAUAAUCGUUCCAACGCUGUCUAUGACUGUCCACAGAUUGUUAUGGUAUGUUUUUUAAGAUUCAAGCCAUCGUCAUCAUUCUUCAAGAAUGAUAGCUAGAUCACAAAAGAGUAGGAUAUGAUAUGGCACAUUAACCACAAAUUGAAUACUACCUUGAGGGGAUCGAUCGUUUGCUCUAAUUUGUAUAGUAUAUGGAGUUAAAUAACUGGUUUCGAAAUACAAGGUAAAAUGGUCUUAAUUUUUUUUUCCUUAUGAAUCAUAUUUUUAGAAUCGCUACCUUGAGGGAAUCGAUCGUUUGCUAUAAUUUGUAUAGUAUAUGGAGUUAAAUAACUGGUUUUGAAAUACAAGGUAAAAUGGUCUUAAUUUUUUCCUUAUGAAUCAUAUUUUUAGAAUCGUAGAGCAUAUAAUACGUGGAAAUAAUUCAGUAAAUAAGCAGAAAAGAACGGGGCUAAUAAUCAAAUUAAGAAUCACUCCAGCGCAAUCAUAUUUUCCAAACCUAUGCCCCUUCCAUUGAUUAGUUUCAUCAACUGAAAGUUUGAUGCAGUACUUGUGGGGCAGAACAUGCAGACCAAUCAACAUAUAUCAACAGGUAAAAUUAUACAGUUGAAUAUUAUGAGGUUAUAAUUUCUCAGCCAAAGCUUCAUUCUCAAAUGAAUAUAUCAAAUCUGGUUACUCACACUAUAAGGAAUUUGAUUUUUUAUGACUGCAAAACAUAUUUAUGAGUAGACAGUCAUACAUCAUUAAAGAGUGGCUAAUCUACUGCGUUCAUCAACCAAAUUAAAUCUUGUAUCAAAUUGAUAUGUAAUUUGUGUUCAUCAACCAAAUUAAAUCUUGUGUCAAAUUGAUAUAUAAUUUAGCACAUGUUUUACAUGUUAUUAUUUCUCAAUCGAAUCAUUCUUUGUCUUCCUAUCUUUAACCAUCAUCUCUAGUUUUCCUUCUCAAAUCAACAGGCUCAAAUAAAAAAUUUGUGCCUCAUUCAAUAUAUAUAGUAUACAUUCAUCUAUAACAUUGAUUUCUCUGUCUUCCUAUCUUUAACCAUCAUCUCUAGUUUUCCUUCUCAAAUAAACAGGCUCAAAUAAAAAAUUUGUGCCUCAUUCAAUAUAUAGUAUACAUUCAUCUAUAACAUUGAUUUGUAAGCCACAUGACUAUUGAUAAGAAACAGAUUUAACAGUUUAGUAAGCAACCCUCUUGUUUUUCUCCAAUAUUUUAUCACAUUUAAUAAUGAUCUUUUGCGGUAUAACUAACCCAUAUUAUUUCAAUCAUGCCUAAAACUAGCACUCCUAUAUAUCACUGGUACGACAUAAACACAUCAUGUGUGCAAAGUUAGCUGUAUGAUGCCACUAUAUACUAUCACUGUCAUUUAAUUGCUAUGGCAUCAUGUUUAUGUUCCUUGCCCACUUAUUUGCUUCAUAAAUCACAUACGCAUGAACGCUAGCUACUCCCGCAUGAAUCAUUAGCUAGCUUACUUUAUUGAAAUGCAGAACGAUCAUGCAUGUAACAUGUUUCAAUUUUUAUGUUUUUUUUAGCGCGCCAAUUGAUCUCUACCCUUCUCUGCCCUUUUUGUUUUUUCUAAAGGUAUCCCACCCUCGUACUAUCUUUGGUUGAUUGGAUGGACCGACGAGAUGAAUGGAGAACUAUCCAGUUCAUGCUUUCUUGACAUCCUACUGUUUGGAUGCAUAAACGGGAUUAUAUGUGUUUGGAGACAGCAAGAUAUUACCUCCGUUAUCACAUAGAUGACAUUAUAGAAUGCGUCUAGUCAAACCUUGAUAUAUUAAAUUAAGCAUACAUAAGUAUUAGAAUUUAAUACACAAAAAUGGUAUUGAUAGAUUUAUCAUGAAAAAAAUAUUCACAUGGUUAUAUGUUCGUUAUUUUUAUAAAUAUACUGUUAUAAAAAAAUAAUGGCAAAACACAUGCAUUUGAGACGGUGUCAAUGUCCAAAAUGCUCAAUUAAAAAGAACAGAUGCAUAUAUGUUUCACUAAUAUUCUCAUAACUCCAAAGAUGUGUAUAGUUCCGUUCCAUAUAAAUAAUAUGGUUUUGGAGCGUGGUUCUUUGGCAAGUAACAAUAUAUGCUGGAGACGCAAUAUAUGUGAAGAUAUAUUAUUUAAUUGACAAAACAAAACAAUGAAUGAGAUGCACCUACACAAGGUUGGCCCAAUCCGGUAGAAAUGGAAACAAAACCAAUAGAAACAAAUAAAAACAAGAUAAUAAAAAAGAGAAAAUAAAAUAUGAACAAGAAGAUAAGGACAUGCAAUGAAAUAUUAUCGAGGAAGAUUAUGAUUUACUUACGUACCAACAUCUCUAUGAAAAUUAGAAAUAACAUAAAUUUUACCCAACCAUUCUGGGUCAUCUUUUACAAUAUUAUCAACCAAAUAAAUUGAUCAAUCGAACCGUAGAUUUGAUCAAACAAUCAAUAAGUGUAGUUAUUCUAUCCUAACCCCCAUCCAACACAUUGUCCUAUUCCAUUCAACAACAUCCCUCCAACAAAACAUAGAAUAUAAUACAUCAAAUGAAAUACACCUUAGUCAUAACAAAUGAGAUAAACAUAGAAUAUAAUCCAUCAAAUGAAAUACACCUUAGUCAUAACAAAUGAGAUGUGUUUUUUUACACAUAUCAUAGUAUACGUGUAUACUCAAUUACAUUGUCCAUUAAAUUUUAUUCAAUCAGAACCCAACCAAUAUUGAGGAUAAAUAGAAUUGGACAUAAUAUGCUCACAAUUUGUAGGUUAUGCGGACAAUGAAGAUAAUAUUUGUUUGAGUAUAUCAUCCUCCGAUGAAAUUACAAUUAUGAGACAUAAAAAGUUACAACUUAUAGUACUAUUUAAUAUUUAAAACCUAAAGCCCACUACUUAAAACACUAAAAAUGAUAUAAUUGGGUCGGUUUAAAUAAUAAAAAAAUCACACCAAUCAUUUAAAUACUAUAUAUAAUUUUCCUCCCUGUACAGAGAGAUUUCUUCUUAAUGAAAAAUGUAGAUAUAUUAUUUCUCCCCCAUACAGAGCGAUUGCUUCUUAAUGAAAAUAUGGAGUGAUCGAAUGUUUUUUUAUAAAACUGUCAUAUGAACCAUAUCAGAAAAUUCUAUCAUAACUAUCCCACUCGCAGGUUUGUUAAACCAUAACAAAAUUGACAUGAAUAUCUGUUCAAUCUAUCUUCACAUAUUUUCUUCAAAAUCUGGUGGGUAAGAAACCCCUCUUGCUUUCCUCCAAUAUUCCAUCAUGAAUUAAUGUUUCUUUUUCAGUGGAUAAAUAUGUAUUCUCAUCAAUACUAUCUAAUACGAGCCAAAGCUAAUAACCUAGCCAAAGCAUGUAUUCAUCACUGAUAUUUAUAUAUGGCAAUGUAUUCAUCACUCGCUGGAAGAAAAUCCAAUAGAUCAUGCGUGCAGUGUUUGCAUGCAACUGUAUGUUCUUCAUGUCACUUAAUUACUUGCUGUACAUGACACACUAUUCAUGUUUCUUUACUGUUAAUCUCUUCCAUGUAGUUUAAGAAGGUUUUGCAUGCAACUAGUCGCACGUUCGCGCGACUAUAACCUUCCUAUCUAUUAGCUGCUAUUACAAUUAACAAUAAAUUUUCCACCAUUCAGCUAAAUCAAUAAUUAAUGUAUAGACUCAGGGUUUAUAUUCAUCUUAUUCGUGUUGUUUCCUGCUUUACUUGAUUUAAUAUUCGAAAAAAGUAUUUGGUCGGAAGUGCAUGUUCAAUACAAAUACUAUGUUGUUUUGAUAUGUAAUAAAUACAUAUUGUAAUGAAAAUAAACAAUUUACUAUAAUUACGCUAAACUUGUGAUAUUAUUGUAAGAAUCAAAAUUAAAUUUCACUACUACCUCGGAUUCCAAAUAUCCUGGGUCUACAUUUAAGUAAAAUUGCACAUCAUAAUUGUAACUAUGUUAUAAGAUUUGUUUGAGAUGUUAACUUUUUUUUUCUAUAUCUUUGUUUUGAUUGUUGCUGACUGAUUUAAAGUGUUAUAUGUAGAAUAAUUUUUCCCUCUUAUGAAAUUAUUUAAUUGGUUAUCUAGUCUAAGGACCGUUUGGGUUGAUUGGCCAGGCUAAGCCAGCCCUAGGCCUAUUUGGGAGGCCAACAUGAGAUAACCAAUAAGAGGUAAUGAGUGGCUCAAACUCUUCCUUCUCUCUAUAUUUUACUACUUCUAGAAGAUUCCUCAUUUCAAUGGCUAGGAUUCUUCCUUGCUAUUUUGUCAUUUUGUGAAUCCAACUGCUAUUUUUUGACAAAUCAUGUGGCUAAUUCUGGUUGCUUUUUGAGUUUUACUUUUCAAUUAGGUAGAUGUCUAUGCAUUGCAAUGCAAUGGAAUUUAGAGUAGGGAUAAGUCUAUUUAACACCCUUCAACUUUUUGCUUUGUUAAAAACACACCCUCGAACUAUAAAAUUGGUUUCUAACACACUCAAACUAUCAAAACCAGACAUUUACAUCCUUUAGAGGUUUUAGGAUGGUUUUGGUAUAGCUGGACAUCACUUUGGAUGCCACAUUUUAAAAAGAUCCACAUCAGCAAAGGGAAGUGUCCCAUUAGUCAGUUCCAUUCCACCCCUCUUCUUCUUCCUUCCCCUCUAACUCGCUCUCCCCUCUCUUCGUGGAGCAGUUAAAGUUGACAGCGAGCUCCAUCCGUGGAGAGACCCCCACCCUCUCGGCUUGGAGCUCCACGCUAUUUCGCCGCCGUUGGCAGUAACACUGCUCAACAAGCUCGAGUUGGAGGUGAAGAUGGCGCGGGCGACGACAAACUCUUGGUGGUGGAGGCCCUGCGGCAUCGACUCCUCCGUCGAGUUCAUCUUGGGAUCAAGGCCGUGCUGCCGGCACCCGUCUCUUUAACCUCGGCAAGGAGGGGGAGGGGGUGGGGGUGCUGGGUCUAGGGUGGUAGUGGCGCUUGGAUAGGAAGCCAUCUACGAGCUCCCUGAGCUUGACGAGGAGAGUGCCGACGGCGGUAGUGGUGGAGCUUGGGUAGGAGGGGACGGCAAAGGCUUCAUGGAGGAGAGAAUUGAAGAACCACACCUUGGUCUCGUACUCUCGUCGACAUCGGGGAGGAGAGAUACCUCCAAAUUUCAACUAGCCGUAGCCAGAUCAAGAUACAGUUGGGUCGAUCCGCAUCCAUCAACCCUCACCAGAGCUUGCCAAUAACCCCGUCUUCUAUGUGCUUGGCGAACCCUCUUCUUCGAGCUUGCUAACAGCCCCUUCACCAAUCACGGCCAAGGGAGCAGGCUCCGCGUCAAGCUUGUCACCAACCUCCCUCUUCCCUUGAGCAUGGCCAAGGGGGUGGGCACCGCAUCAAUCUCACUGUCAACCUCGUCAUGGCCACCGCCAACCUCCCUCUUCUCUCGAGCAUGGCGAGAUCUCUAUGGCCGACUCAAGCUCGGUGAGGGAGGGAGUCAAAAGAGUGAGCCAUGGCGGCCUCAAGCUCGGUGAGGGGUGAGCGAGUCGAAAGAGAGAGGGAGGAGGAAGAAACCACUCUAACUAGUAGGGCCAGCUGAUAUGGCAAUACCAAAAAUGCCACAUAAAAUCACAACUUUCACGGAGAAAGGAGAACAACUGUAUUUUAAAGUAGUAGAGAAGUGCAUAUCUCAAAGACCAAAUAUGCCACAUAAUAAUACAGCUUUCGCAAUACACAUUUGCUUUAUUAACCACUAAUGCAUGAAAGCCAACUUGAGCAUGAAUCGUUUAGCUUAGUUUGCUGGAGCCUGGAGACGCAAAAUAUGAUCAUGCAAACGUUCAGAAUUUUAUAUACUGUUUGAAGGUAUGCAGUUCGUCUCCACCCUUGCCUUCUCCCCUUGAUAAUCAAAAUUCCCCAUUUCCCCUAUGAAGCACAUCUUGACCUUCUCCCCUUGAAUCAUCAAAAUGAGAUGCAGUUUCCGGGCUACUUUUCAGAGUUUACUUAAUUAUAUGCUCAAUUACAUUGUGUUCAUAUGUGAUGAAUUAGUCGUUCUGUAGAGACAAAUGGGAAGGCGGGGUGAGCUGCAAAAGAGCGGAUGAGAAACGCUUUGCAUUUUUCUUUCAUAUUCCAUUUGUCAUCCACACUGUCUAUGUACCCUCAAAGAGAAUAUAUAUGCACUGUAUUAGCUACCUACAAGCUAUAUCAUCCACAAGUGUCAACCUCAUUCUUGAAGCACCAAAACAACGCUUCAGUAGAUCUUAACAAAGUACAAACUCAUUAUCUACCUGGAGGCUGGAGGGAAUCUCCCUUGUGCCACUGGGAAUAUGCCCUUGAAUUUUGUUUCUCCCAUUUAUGGUACUAUUUCCAAAUCUUAUGCCAAAACAUGCUGUGGACAUUGGCCAUGCUGUACUGAGGAACGCAAUGAUGAUUUAUGCCCCCAUCCUGUAUUAGACAAACUUAACGACAUACUCUGUUCUUCACUCAUGAUGGUGGUAGCUCAUCUGAAAUCAUUAGAGACAAGAAGUCAAGAACAUAAAAAGAACAAUUUAUGCUAUGGGCCAAACGGAGACAUGAGACACAAGUACUGUGUAUUUAGAAAAAGGGUAAUUACCAUAUUAUAAAAAGGGUAAUUUCCUCGAAAAUACGAUAACCAAGGAAACGGUUGGUAAAACAACAAAAUCAUUUCCAUUUCUGUUUCUAUUUUUAGAGUAAAGUCCAUCACCGGUCCCUAAACUUGUACCGCUGUGUCAUCCCGGUCCUUAAACUCGCAAAUCGACCGUUCAGGUCCUCAAACUUAUUCGACUAUGUCAUCCUGGUCCCUAAACUUGCAGAUCACUCGUUUAGGUCCUCCAACUUGCUCAGUUAUGUCACCUCGGUCCCUAAACAGGACGGUCUAAAAACUUUAUAUCAAAAAAUAAUUCAUAACUUUUUCAUGUGAACUCUAAUGAAGACAAACUUUAUAUCAAAAUUGUAGCCCUCGACGUGACCUACAACUUUUUAGUUGAAAAGUUUUUGAAUUAAAACCAUUUAGGGUCUCAAAAUAUUGUUGCAUGUUUAUAGAUUUUGAAAUUUUAAUUUCACAAUUACAUUUUGGGACAAAAAAUGACUUAAAAUAAAAAAAAAUCAACUACAAAGUUGUAGAUCACGUCGAGGGCUACAAGUUUGAUAUAAAGUUUGUCUUCAUUAGAAUUCACAUGAAAAAUUUAUGAAUUAUUUUUAAAUAUAAAGUCUUUAGACCGUCCUAUUUGAUCCAGAUGAUAUUCAAAUCCAAGUUUAGGGACCGGGGUGACACAACUGAACAAGUUGGAGAACCUAAAUGAGUGAUCUGCAAGUUUAGGAACCGAGAUGACACAGUCGAACAAGUUUGAGGAUUUGAACGGUCGAUUUGCGAGUUUAAGGACCGGGAUGACACAGCGGUACAAGUUUAGGGACCGGUGAUGGAUUUUACUCUUUUUUUUUACCAUUUCCAUUUUUGUGUCUGUCAGUAACCAUUUCCAUUUCUAUCAGUAACAAAUCAUGAACGAUUACCGUUCGGUCGGUAACAAAUCAUGAACUAUAGCCAGUCGGUCAGGAAUUACCAGGGGCACUGUUUUUCACAACUUCACCCGUAACUGACCACGGAGUGGAAACAGCGCCAGGACACCUUGUGCAUGCUCACUCCUGUUAUGCACUCGUGACAGCAAUGAGGAGGCACCAAGCCCAUAGUAUAGGCUUGUGGACCAGAACUGCAACAGCCACACUGGGAUGUACGCAGUGGAGGUGAGGCUGCACAGGCAUUACCCAACCUACAUGGAGGUGGCAAGAAAUGCAAAGUUUUCCCAGAAUGAUGCAUAUCAAUUAUCAAAGCAGUGGCUCGACCACCCCAGAUGAGCAUAUCAGAGGUGCGGUUACGCACUCGUUGCCCAUCCUAUGUUGAGGUGGCAAGAAAUGCAAACUUUUGCCAGAUUGAUGGAUAUCAAACCUUAACCAGCGACACGAUCACCCAGAUGAGCAUUAGAGGUGGAGAGAUGCAAUCCUCAUACUGCCCUGUUCUAGGUGCUUCCCUUUGGAUGUGUGAAUGCCACCUUGCCAUCCUUUAUAAGAAAUGGGAUGUGUCAAUUACGGAUGUAGAGUUUCCUUCUUUCUUUGGGUUUAUGUGUAAUCAGAUGGAGAGUAGAGGUGCCACUUGGAAUAAAAAUGACAAGUAGUACGUUUGGGCCAAACUGUGUUACCGCCCGAUGCAUAUUCCGGCAUAGGUUCACAAAGGAGUGCCAUAUAUGGGAGAAGCAAAAAUCUGGUGGCAUCCUUUUCCUUUGGGUUCUAGUUCGGGAACCGCCAGUUUUCUCAAAACAUGGAUUUGGUUUCAGGAUCUGGAAAUUUCUAGUGACACGUAAGGAAUUUUCCAACAAUUUCAGUUAUGGGCCUAAUGGACUUCAAACCAGGGAUUCCCAGUUUCAUUUUGGAAAUAGAUUCUGGGCGAUAACCAGAAAUUUCAGAAAAAAUAACACCUAGAAUUGUUUGAACUUUGAUUUAAGAAUAGAAAAGCGAAAAAGAAAGAAAAAGAAGAAGGCAAAGAGAGAAAAACAGAACAGUUCUCAUACCAUAAAUUUCUUUUUGUCAGCACAUAUGUGUUACCACUGAAGGAGGCAGGCGUUUCUGUGUUGGAAGACCUGUGUUUAAAGCCGAGGUAUUUCCUGCUUAACAUCAGAGAGAUGUAAACAUCGAGAGCUCACGUUUGCUUGUCUCUCAAUGAACCUGGUGUGAUUAAGCUCAAAUGAGUCAUCCAUAACAAUGAUUCAUGUAGGUCCCAUCGGUUGCCCAUAUUCCCUAAUAAGCCAAAACGGCUUAUUAGAGAAUAAAAACUAACUUAUAGGUAAAACUUUUAUAUAUGUGUUCUUAACAACUUAAAAGCCAAUACUAAAAAAGAACUACGUUGAAAAUAUUUUAAAAUCAACUUCAAAAUUAAGUUUGAAAAUUCAAAUUUUGGCUUUGGCUUAUUAGGGCAACCGAUGGGGCUCGUAAUAUAUGCAAGCUCAUCAAAACAGAAACAAAAUAAGAGAUACCAAAAUAUUCCCUCCAUUUCAUAUUAUAAGUCGUUUGACUUUUUUUCUUAAUCAAAGUUCCUUAAGUUUGAUCAAGUUUAUAGAAAAAUAUCCUAACAUUUUCAAUACAAAACAAACAUAUUAUCAAAAUAUAUUCAAUGUUAAAUUUAAUGAAACUAAUUUGGUGUUAUAAAUGUUGCUAAUCUUUUCUAUAAACUUGGUCAAACUUAAGAAACUUUGACUAAGGAAAAAGUCAAACGACUUAUAAUAUGAAACGGAGGGAUUAUAUUAUUGCAUGAUAAAUUCAUAGUCUUCUUGAAAUGAUAAUUAGAGUAGGACGUAUCAUACUUAUUUUUUCUUGCAUAGUAGCAGCAAAAUCCAUGCCAUUUUCUCUCCAGAUAUAGGGAAGGACAUUUUGAAACAUAUAUAGUGUUGGAUGAACUCCAGAGUCCUCCAUCCACUGCAAAACCUACAGGCACAAAAAAUAAAGCUCAAAUAAAUAUCAGGUUUUGACCUAUUACUCUUGAAUCUAGCUUGUUGCAAGCGGUAUUCUGAGAUGAUCAGAUGAUGUAAAAAUGAGAAGGGGCCUUGUUACCUCAAUAUACUUUCUCCAUUUCCCAACAACUAGGAGAUUUCUAAGAACAACCGCAUAAGUAGAAAGACCCACAGUAGAACAUGAAGUCACCAUCUUGUAAAACAGCUGCAUAAGAGAAUCAAAUAAUUAAUGUAGGGAAACAGAACUGUAAAUGCAGAUCAUUAUUUCUCUUACAAGUGUAGUGGCAUGUUUGUGAUUCCAUGGCUUCCUCAAGUAUCAAUGUGUAUUGAUGUGAGAAGGUGAUGAACUGAUGAUUUAAAACUAGUCAAGAUAAAAUUGUUCUUAUUGCUAAAUCCAUUUUUAUUUUGGACAAGGAGCAGCAGGAAAAUAUAGGUGGUACAUGGAAGUAUGGAAUUACUGGUAGUACAUUGAUACUUGAACCUUCAGACAUUCAAGAAAAACAAUUCACUGCCAAAUAAGUAAGAGUAGAUGAAAUCAUAAAAUAUUUGUCAACUCCUCUGAAAAGGAGAAUCCUAUAAAUCUAUUUGAUUAUGCUGAGGACAAACAUAUUAAAUGAUUAUAUGUUUGGGAGAAAUAUAUUGUAUUGUGUCAGUGUGGCAAGGCCGUUAGUUCCAUAUCUAACCAAAUAUGGACUUCACUUUUAUAGAAAUGAACAGAUCGAUAGUUUUUUUCCCCCCUGAACAUGUAGGAGAACUGCAUCCCUUUGCAUUAAAAAGAAAGAUAUCCACUAAAACUAAAAACCAUACCACACCAAAAACAGAGUAAUGAAGCAUGUAUAUCCAUUGCACUGCAGAAGUUGGAUAUCUUUCUUUGGGUCUUAGAAAGAUAUCCACUAAAAUUACUGGAAUGACAACUAUGUUCUUAGAAAGAUAUCCACUAAAACUAUAAACUACCACACCAAAAACAGAGUAAUGAAGCAUGUUCUGAAAUGACAACUAUGUUCUGAAGGCCAACUAUACCUUCAUCAUGUUCUCUGUCUUCCCACAUUUUCCAAGAAAAUUUAAAACAUGGUUUAGUGUUCCAACAGAAAUGGAUGAGAGCGAAGAAUCCAAAUAUUCAAUCAUCUCACUUGCUGUUUUCCAGUCACGUAUCCUGUUAUGAGGAAGCAGAACAAAAUAGAAUAUUGAGUUAUUCAAUGCAUCAAAAGCUUGUAAACAACAUAACACCAGAUGUGUGCGGUAAAAAGGAAUUUGUUUCUGCUCAACACUUGAAACCACCAAUAUAUCACAAGUCCAAUACAAGUUACAUGAUGAAAGCAUGGCAGCAUGCCAUGAUAGCCUGAUUAUCUAAACCUACAAACAGUGAUAAUGAAAGGAGCAGAGGCUCACUGGCAAGUUGCUGUAGCCCAUCAAGGAAAAUGAAAUUAUCAAUGAGCUACAAUCCGAAUUGUGUAAGCGAACAAAUGUAGAUUGCCAAUACAGUAACCCCAACAUUCAAUUGAUUCAAGUUGUCAAUUACUGGAAUCGAAUUAACACUACACAGAACAUUCCACCCUGCUAUCUUAAUAAACUUGAAACUUCAUACUGUUUUUACCUAUUAAAAACUUAUCUUUUAUAUCGCAUGGUUGCUUAAGAAGAACAAGCAGAUGUUUGUAAGUGACUCAAAUGGUCACCUGAUUAAAAUAAUCCUAAAGCAAAGCUGCACAUGACAGGUAAGAUGACUGAGUCAUGUACACCUAAAAGCCAUAAACACGAUGAUACCAAAGCAAGUGUGAAUGCAUAUUUAUAGUGUUACUAGAUCAGCAGAUGUUGCACACUGCUCAGAUAAUAAUAAUAGACCUAAGUUACCAAUUUAGAAUUGCCUGUUCGACUUAAGACAUCAGUAAACGUACAUGGUGCAUGAAGCUAUUAUCUCAAAAUAAGAUUUUUGGUUCAACGGGAUGGAUUUUUUCUUCAUGAAUUCCAUCAAUUGAAGGACUCUUUCAGGUUCGCCACCCUUAUUGAAUGCUUCCAUGAGAGAUGAGCAUAUAAUGGCAUCUGGUGGAAUACCAUUUACUUCCAUCUCUUUGAACAGGUCCCAAGCUCUCUUCCAACCACCUUAUGGUCCAUAAGAACUAAAAGAUCAGUUUAAAUUCUUGAGAAGCUAAAUCAAUUAAUCAUAAUAACAAAAGAAUAUUACCACCAGCAUUAUAGGCUUGGAUCAAUGUAGUAUAUGUCAAAACAUCAGGAAAACAGCCUGAUUUUUUCAUAGAACUGAAAGUAGAUUCUGCUUCAGAUAGUUUGCCCUGAAUACAAAUCAUUGUUAGGAUAGCAAACUUUUUAGAGUAAACAACAGAGAAAAUAAGAGCAACACUUGCCUGUUUGAUAUACGAAUAAAUCAAUGAAGAGUAAACCUCCUUGGUUGAAGAAACCUUGGAGUCCACCAUGUCCUCAAAAAAUCUCAAAGAUUCCGUAUACUUUCCUAAUUUACUAGAUCCACUGAUGAGUAUAUUGUAGGUUACAGCAUCUGGUUUCACAUUGCUCUCCCUCAUUGAUGUAUACAACUCCAAAGCUUUCUCAUAAUCUCCAAAACUUAAAUAACUUUUAAUGCCGGAGUUGUAAGCAACUGUAUUUAGAUCAAUACCUCGGGACCUAGCUGCUUCAAGAAUUGUCUCAAUUCUUGUUAUCUGCCUGCAGCGACCGCAGGCAGCCAACAGAGUACUUAUGGAAACAACAUCUGGCUGAAUGCCAUCUUUCUCCAUUUCAUGCAGCAAGCCAACAGCUUCCUUCAACAUUCCCGCAGACCCAUAGGCAUCAAUAAGUGCAUUGUAACUGACUUUAUUUGGUUUGCAUGAGUUCUUCUUCAUCUUGUUAAAGACCUCCCUAGCCUUCUCAGGCUGUGCAGAUCUACCAUAUGCAUUCAGUAAGGAGGUAUACGAAACUAUAUCAGGUCGUAACCCAUUUUUCUUUAUUAAAUUAAAAAUUGCCAAGGCCUCUCUAUGCAUACCUCGUGAGGCAUAUGCACCCAAAAGCGAAUUAUAUGCUACAAUAUUAGGCUUCACUCCUUCAGCAACCAUCAAAUCAAAGAUUGCUUUGCAAUUUUCAACUUGCCCAUAAAUACAAUAAGAAUGCAUGAUGCUAGUAUAUGUAACAACAUCUGGAGGACAUUUGGUUCUUCUCUCCCUCAUUGAGUUAAACAAUUCAAUAGCUUCCCCACACUGUCCAAUCUUUACAAGGCAAUGGAUGAUAAUAUUUAACGUGAAAGUAUCAGAGGUGACAUUUGCUCCUUUCAUUAUUUCAAAAUAAGAUAUUGCUUUUGAGUACUGAGCUCCAUUCUUGAGAGCAGACAAGACAAUGUUGUGUGUAACCAAAUCUGGUCCCACACCAUUUUCUGUCAUUUUCUUACACAGUUCUAAAGCUUUUUUCCAGUUGCCAGCAGCCCCACAUGCAUUUAUCACAUUAUUAUACGUAGUCCGGGUAGGAGGUAUCUGCAGCAAAAGUCCGGAACACAACCUUCUUUAAUAAACAAUUAUGGCAACUAAACUAAAAAAAUGAAAUAUAUAAACUUUGCUGGUUUUCUAAUAGUCUCUUUGCAUUUCAAUAACGUAAGGACUGAUGAGGCAAUCAACAGUGAUGUGUCCUUGCACAAAGUGAGUGCAUGGAGCCAAAAACUUUAUAUGGUUCCAAGAUUCUCUUCAAAUUCAACCCAUAUUUUAGAGAGAAAAACUUCAACCCUUAAUCAAGCAAUUUUACCUUACUCAACAAACUCCCUUAAAACAGGAUUGCAUUUCUCGCUCUGAACCUCUGGUAGUUGCAAAACAUGUUUUUCCUGUUAUUUUUUAACUCUUCAUUAUUUUCUUUGGUGCACUAAAUCUACCAUAGCCAUUACUAUGUAUAGUAGAAAACAGAAGGACCCUAUUGGGUUUAUAGAUGAAAAAUUAGCUCAAUAUCAAGAAUGGUUAUAGCGAAAUGAGGAAAGCAAUAAACGCAUUGUACUCAUUGUAAAGAAGAAGCAUUUCCAAAAUUAUUUAUCUAAAAUGAAUAAGGUUAAAAGCACAAAAGUUAAUGUUUUGUAUUACUUCGAAAAAUAAAACACACAAACACAUCAACUUAGGCAUUUGCAAGAUGAGAAAGCAAGAAUAUAGGGUUUAUGUUUCAAGGAAUGAUACUGACAGCAGCACGAAGCAUAUCUUCCAUAAUGUUGAUGGCCCAACGCCAUUGACCAGCUCGAGAAUGAGCAUGGAUGAGGGAAUUGUAUAUAUCAGCAUCAGGUUUACACCUAAGGUUAUAAAUGUCAGUAUUUUGUCCAAAAAAAAAAAGAGAAGGAAAUGACAGAUAAUGAAAAAUGAUAUAUUUCUUAUCACAGUAGUGGAAAACAAAAUAUAGAAAUAGCAACCACAUGGAAAUUGCACUUAGUAUUACACAUAUUACAGUUUAUUAUGAUAAAGUAUAAAUUUCCUACAUGCGAGAUCAGCAACCAUCACUUGCGCUGUUCCCUAGAUGAUCUGGGAAGAUUUUGGAUUUGCAAACUCAAACAAAUUGAACCAUAACACAAACAUGUUAUUUGUAUAUAGACAAGUUACCGACGAGACAAUUACUCAAUUAUGAGGUGAUAAAUUUUUUUAGUAAUAUCAGGCAAAACUCUUUUUGAUGGUUGAAGGAACGCAGAAGCCAAAUUAAAACCUUAUGUCAGAAAUAUAUGUUAUAACAUUCAUACCGCCAUUCCUGCAUCUCAAAGAACAGGCCACGUGCCUGAUCAACCUGGUUAUGCCUCGCAUAUAGUCGUAUCAUCAUGCCAUAAAUGUCGUUACGAGCACAGUAGUUAUCCUGAUUUUUCAUCCAGCAGAACACAUGGACAGCAUGCUGUAAAUUCCCAGAAAUUGUGAUCUCCUACAAGUGAUACAACAUGUGUAAGCGCGUUAUUACCUGAAAAGGCUAGUUUUAUGUUAGCAAAUCGAGAGAUUUGAGCCUCGUCUACAAAAUUUGCAUGUGCAGCUGGUACUACCAUAACAACACAGCUAGAUCGAUUGAAUUGUUCAUGAUUUUUGUAAUUUCAAGCAAUCGAUAACAUUUUGGCCCCAAAACCAGUUUGUCAUUAGUGCCUCCACGCAAGGCAACCAUGGCAGCCACAUUGAUGUAUAUCAUCAGCAAUUUUCAAUUCAUGAAAUGCUACAGAGCGUGGGGAUGAUGGCCUUACGCGGAUGAGGAGAGGGAAGUUGCGGCGGGCGAAGCGGCCGGCCCAGCAGUUGAGCACGGCGUCGACGGCGCGGGCCUCGGCGCGCGGGAGCGCGAGCACGCGCGCGGCGGCCUCCGACACCUUCCAGUCCCGCUGCCACCGGCUCCCCUCCACGCGCAGGCGGUGGCGCGCGGGGAGCGAAGCGGCGCCCACGCCCUCCACCUCGGCGCGGGCCUCGCGCCGGCCCCGGUCGUAGUCCACGGACACGGCGGGGCGGCGCUCCGCCCACCCCGGCGGCGCGGCGCCCGGGUGCGCCAGCCGCGGCCGCGGCGGCCGUGGGGGCGCGCGGACCACGCGCGUCCGGGCCGGUGACGCUGGCGCCGCCGCGUCGGGCGUCGCAGCCGGCGACCGCGGCGGCGGCGGAGCGGAAGACAUCGCGGCGGGUGGUGGAGGGGGGGAGAGAAGCUUUACCGUUGGGGCGGUGUGAGAGCGGGUUUUCCGGAUAAGGGGCGAUCUUUUCCUCAACAGAAAAACCAGGAAAUGAACUCCAUCCGUCCUAAAAUAUCCUCGCGAAAUUAGAAUCAGAUUCGUAAAACGAGAAAGCAUUCUGUUAUAUCCUAGAUUUUUAUAUUUUAAAAAUAAGAUAGUAAUUUACAAGCACCCCAAUCUAAAAAUAUCACCGUAGAAAUGCUUUUAUUUUAGAAACUAGGUGAAACCCUACGUGUUAUUGUAGGAGUUUAGUAUUAUAAUAAUAUAAGUAAAAAAUAAUGCGUAACAUAGCUAGACAACAUAAACUAAAGUAAGUUGAUGUGAUUUAUGAUAAUUUAAAUUUAAAUAGUAUAUAAAAUGAUGAUUCAAGAUAUCAUUUUUUCAAUACGAUUUUGUAUCCGCCAAAAAGAAAUACCUGGAUUCGGCUCCGAUACCUAUGUAAACAUAUGGGUAGAUUAUUUUACCCUGAAAUUAUUACAGAUUAAUAUGGACAGACGGGAAAUACAUGUCCCGUUUUCACCCCUUGAUUCGAUCUUACCCGUCCUAUUUUCACCCCUUGAUUCGAUCUUAUCCAUUCCCGUUCUCUCUCUGAGUCGUCGUCUUCCUCCUUCGCCUCUCCUAUUUCACCCCUCCCUCCCCCCUCCUCUCCAAUACAGCAAAGAACUCCUUUAUGCAAACAUAGCGGCCGUGAUAAUAGGGCUUUUAUCUAAGGGUAAAUGGGCAAACGGGCACGAUUACCAUGGGCAGCCUCCCUCCAACCGAAGUACCGAACCUGCGCCGAGGGAGACAGUGCUUCUAUGGGCCGGAUUUUGUCGCCGUGGGCCAGGUGAGCCCGCUCGUUUUUGCUAACCUCGCUGGUUGCCGUCCGAUGCAGAUCGUGCGCUCCAUCUCCCCGCUAUUUCCCUCCCUCUGACUCCGAAUCCGAAUCCGUAGUCGAGUCUCUCCCCCCUUCGGCGUAAAAAGGAGAAGAGAAAUCCCCCGUCUCCUCCGCUCCUUGCGACAAGAACAGGGGGAGGGAGAGGCGCCGAUCCCCAUCUGCUCGAGCAAAGCAGCGGAGGGGAGGGGAUCCUGCAGGUGAGCAGCAUCCAUCCACAUCCUCCUUCUGAUUCAUGGAUUCAUCUCUCUCUCUCUCCCACCCCUACUUUUGUCUGGAAUUCGCUUUGUGUGCGUUCGUUAACCCUAGCUUUCUCUUGUAGAUCUGGAAGAAGCUCAUCUCUUAAUUUCAGAGAGAGCCUCAACCUUUUGAUACAAGAGUAACAGUAUUGGGGGUUCAUCUGAACCCCCAAAUGUCCCAAGUUGGAUCCGCCCCUGAGACGAUGGAUCUGGAGACGGAGAAUCGUCUUGCUUCUUUACUUCUCGAGGAGGCGAGGAGGUUGCAGGCGGAGGCUGACAGGGAAGGUGUUCACGCAUAUCUGCGAAAGCCCAAUGUAAGGCACCGUCCGAAUUCGCGCUUCCUUACGGCCACAGUUCGUGGAGUUCAGCAAGGUUAGCAUCGUAGUUUCGAUUUAUCGUUAUUCCAUACUUGAUACCUCCUCCUGUUGAUUGAUUAGCUAUCCAAGGCAACUAUAAUAAUUUCUUAGUUUCUUGACUCAUUGUUAAUCGUUUGGUAGACUUUUAUCUGGAAUUGAAUUAUUUUUUAUAGAACAUAUUAAUUUUAUUGUUUGCCCAAAAAAAUGUCUGUUCCAUGUCUUAAAGGAGAAUUAUAGGUGUGGUUAAACACAAAAUAUAAACCAAUCGUGUAAAACUUACUUCCUUUGUCUAGGAAUGAUUCGCUGGAUAGCAAGUAAUGACAAUCUCAUAAGUAUAGCUGAUCUCAUGUUGCUAAUUUUCUUGUCCAAAGAUAUCAGCGGUGUUCUGGUUGUCUACUUACUGAAUUGGCAUGAUAUGUGCUGUUCACCUACAGCGAACCGUGUUGUGGAGGUCAAUGAAAUGUGGCGUGCCAGAGAGAAGGAACUUGAACUGGAGUCUAAGAUGAAAAGGAGUAGAGGUCUUGGUGACGCCAGAGGUGAAAAACGCAAAAGUGACUUGAGAAACCAGAGUUCCAGUCCAAGGGUUGAAGAAGAAGGCAUAGCUUAUAACAGUUCAUAUUCGGAUCAGGAGGAUGGUCUAGGGGACGAUGACAUUGAGAAGUUUCUUCAUUCGAGGUCUGUAUUUUCUAUCUUUUGGUUGUUCUACUACCAACAUUUUACACAAGUAGCUAUCUGCAAUGUUGCUGACAGAGAUGUAACUUUGGUCUGCUAUAGGGUGAAGCGAGGUCGAGGGGCCGUUGGUUCUAGGAUGGAUGAGCCUGGUCCAUACCUUAAUGUUGCAUCUCGUAGUCAAGAGAACGAACCUAAUGCUGAUACUCAGGUGGAAGAAAAAUGGGAACGAAGAGUACAAGGCCCGGAGAAACCAGUGUCUUUGAGAUCAAGAUCACCUGAUGACUAUUGGCGUAGGGAAGCACUAGAUGGAGAACCUUCCAGCCCUGAACUCCACAAGAAAAAAGAGAAGAAGAAGGAAAAGAGUUCAGAGAAAAAGGACAGGAAAGAGAGAAGGAAGAAAAAAGACAAGAAGAAAUCUAAGCAUCGCCACCACCACCAUCACAAAAGUCGGCAAAGGGAGUGAUUGUUCUGCUUGCUGAGCAUAAAAAAUGUACACAAGAAACAUGUUAGCUUCUAAUUGCUACUGUUACUUCUCACUUGAAACAUGUUGUACCAAAAACUUGAUAUCGUGUGGAAUGGAGAACUGUUCUUCUCACACGGAGUGUUGAUACAAAGCCAUAUGUUAGAUUUUAGUGCUCUCGUUGGUCUUGUGUAUUUAUUAUCAUGAUGACUAAAUCACACCCUCGUUAAUUAGGAAUAACGUGGUUUUGGUAGCUAAAUGUUACAGCUUCCAAUCUUAUCUGCAACUAUUGUAUGUUGUACAAAUCGUACAAAUCGAUCAAAUUUGUAUGCUGUCUGUCUGUCAGGCAAGGAUUCCUCAAUUGGAGCACUUUGGAGUCCCUGUUUACUGGCAUUCUAGUUUCACUUUCACAUCAGUAGCCCAGAUCAGAUAUUCUGACUCAGAACUUUAAAACGCUGCUGAUUUGCACUUUGCAGUAUGACCUCAUGAUAAUCCUCCAAGCAACAUGUACCUUCGAGAGUUCUUCCCUAGAACUUUCAUUUCGAAAAAAAAACAAAUUCACAAAAAUAAAGAGAGAUUUUUCUCUCCUUUAAGAAUUAGUUUACAUUUCCUGUUCAUAGCCUGAUAAUGCAGCAUAAUCUGUGGAACUUCAUUUGAGUAUCGAUCAAAACAGUUCAGUACCCUUGCUGAGAGGGUGAAAAAGAACAUAGGGAUGACAUGAUUGUUCAUAUGUAGUUGCACAAAUGUUUACAGGAUUACAUGACAUAAAAAAAAUGUAAGAAUGAAAAGAUAAUGACCUAGAGUCUACCACUUCUGUUUACGCCUGAAGGCAAUCAGUGGAACGCUAAUCGAGAUUUAUGGGCUCUGUACAGUAUAAUGCAAUGUGUAUUGAAGGACUGGAUUCGACAAAAUCUAUCUGCAAAAAACAAUGAAAUUGUUACUAAUCAGAUCAAAUGAUCAGAAGCAUAAUAAGGGACGAAGUGAAGAUAAGUAGUAGUAAAUAGGCAUGUGGAAUAUGGUUAAACUGAUCAUGUAAACAUCAUUCACAAACAAGCAUGAUGAGCAGUGAUAUUUGAUAGCUUAAGAAUAGUUGUGCCAAGCGAAAGAGACUUAAUUCUGGAAGGUUAGUAAGAAUCAACCACAUGUUCGAUAAAUAAAAUGGUUUCAAGUUUCAACAUACACAAAGAAGUUAAUGACCAUUGUACUAUUCUAGCUGCUGUCAUUGAGAUGGUUUGGAGAUUUCAAGUAGUCAAGGUAAUUUGUAUAUUUUGAGAAUUUUUGUUGGGACCUGUAAUGACUACAAAAAAUUAACAUACUCAACAACAUGUUUAAAUUUAAAAGUGUAUAGCGAAAUUGUAUCAGUUACUCCCACUCAUUCAUUGUGCAGGUCAGUCAAAGCUACUCUAUGAAGAAAUGGCACUUUAGCUUAGUAAGUGGCUAUUGCCUUAGAACCAUGAGGCAUAUGUCUGAACGAUCAUGAUUAACCUGCCUCUUUCUUAAUAAAAGAGAAUAGCCAAACCUAUAUCUCAUUGCAAACUACAAAUAGCUGAAAUUUUAGAUUGAACAAUCGAAAAUUUGAAAUGUUGUCAGCGAAAUACUCCCUCCGUCCCAAUAAGUAGCAACCUAGGAUAGGAUUAGACCCAUCCUAAGACUAGGGUAUGUCCAAAUUCGUAGUCCUAGGAUGGGAUUAGACCCAUCUUGCUACAUAUUGGGACAGAGUGAGUACUCACAUUGCUUAGCAGUGAAAAGUACAAAACAUAAAAGGUGAGAAAGAUAGCACUGAAUCUAUUUUCUUUAAGGGAAAGCAUUGUGCUGUGCAAGUUCCUCAACAUCCAUGGCUAUUGAGCAACAAGAAACAACCAAGAGAAGGACCUGAGGCAAUCACCUGCAUCAAUGAAUGAAGGAAGAAUGGCCCAGGAGGAUUCAGCCAACAACAAAGGGGCUGAUCUCCCCGUUCCGCAUGCCGCGGGCUAUCUCACCGGCGAUCACCAGGCACGUUGAAACCCAGCCGGCGAGCACCAUCCACACCAUGUCCACAAUGUGAGCCGCAAGCCCCCACGACAUCGUCAUCCUCGCACUCUUCUCCCUCAAUUUCCUCUCCUCUCCAGCCUUUCCCUACAGCUGCUUCCAGGGAGGCAAUUCCACAAACACCUAGCCUGCAAGCCCACAAGGAACCCCCAACAGUUUGCCCCCCCCCCCCCCCCCCCAAUCAUGAGUGAGCCGACAAGAUGCCAUGGAGGUGAACAAGGGUUAGAUCUAUCUAGUUCUCCAAUAAUUGAUUCCAUCUUCUAAUCGAUGGGAUUGACAAGGCACAGAACAAUUACCUCUGUAUAAUCCUGAGAUGGCAAAUUCACCUCACCAUGCAACAACAGAAUCGACUCCAGUUUGCAAGAACCCUUCACCCAUGGCAGUGAUUGAAUCAGGAUCUUGUGUUUCACCACCCCAGCACGUACAAUUCUUCUCCUGCUUCAAUAAGAUUGGAAACCAAAUAGACCUUGGGGAAUCUUCAGACUCUUCAGAGUGGGACUGUUUCCCCCUUUGCUUCCGCCCUCAGAUUCUACCAAACCAUGGACGGAUAGAUCCUUAAAUUUAGACGGAAUCAAGAAGAGAUAAGACAGGAAAAAUAAUUUUUUUUAGAAAAUACACCAUCAAGUUUCUUGCUUGCUUUCCCCAAACUCUUGCCUUUCACCUGUCGCUGUCAAACUGACCCAACUGAGCAAAUUCAAGAAACACCUAGGACCAACCUGCACAAGAACCAACUGGAGACUGCCACAUAGGAGUCUCUGACCAGGAAUUUUGGAGGAGAUCCUCAUCCAAAUUGGUUUAUCCAAUCGUCUUUAUCUGUUUGGUUAGAGGAUUAGAUAGGGGAUUUGGACAAGUAUACAAGUAUUCUUCAGUUUUGUCUCAUCGUCAAUUCGUCGAAAAACACCUGCCCUCCAGGUCAGCACAGUACAUUGAACAGAAAAGGUUCUACUGCUGAGUAAAUGCAGAUUAAUCAUUUUUUUUAAAGAAAUACAGUACAGACACACGCUCAUAACAUGCACACUCACGUUAUAAACGCACACACGGACAUCUCAUUAUCGAUUGGUAUGUCAUCUACCACUAAAAAAAUAAUCGAUCUUUGACUCCAUCAACAGUUGUCACAAUAUAAGCCAUUGGCUUGUUGAGCUUUUCAAACCCAAUCUUAAAUUGUUGCAAGCAUUUUUUUUUCAUCGUUUUUUUUUUCUAGCCCAAGUCCUACUCGAAAAAUAAUAUCUUGUUGACUUAUUUAUUUUUGUACAGCAUGUGAGUCUUUUUUUUUCAUUUCUCAUACAUAUUGUGUUUGCUUCCCUGAGCCAGUUCCGGCUUAUAAGAUUUGAGUUGAUUCCAUCAUCUCCUCUCUAUGCUACAGUAGCUAUUCUUAAUUAAUUGAAUAUUGAUAAGUACUAAUAAGUUCUCUAGAUCUUUUUUAGAAAAAAAGAAAAGUUCUCUGGAUUGUUGGGUCAGAGACUCAUCCAAAUUUGGGCCAGGCUCUGGGUCGGCCUGCUGUCACUAGGCCAAAAGUCAUGAUCCAGUGGCCCAGAUCUUAUUAGGUCCCUCACUGUCAUUAGGAAAAUAAUUUGGGGACCAGGUGACCCUGCUUAAAAAGUUGGGUUAUGUUCAAAGCAGGGUCUCCUAAUCUCCUAUGAUUAUUUUCCGGAUUUCAAGCAUUGCGAUAGAUAAUAUAUAGCGGGUUGGUCGUGAAUUAAUCUCUUGAUAGCAGAUUGUGUAUAGAGAGUGCUAUAGCGGCUAGUAUGUUCCAACAUACUUCCUCCGUUUGUAAAUAUUUGACGCCAUUGAUUUUUUAAAACAUGUUUGACCAUUCAUCUUAUUAAAAAAAUUAAUUAAUUAUUAAUUCCUUUCCUAUCAUUUGAUUUAUUGUUAAAUAUACUUUUAUGUACAUAUAGUUUUACAUAUUUCAAAAAAAUUUUAAAUAAGACGAACGGUUAAACAUGUGCUAAAAAGUCAACGGUGUCAAACAUUUAGAAACGAAUGGAGUAUUAUCUUGGGUCCGCUAACUUUGUAGUGCUAGCAGUAGAGGACUACCAACAUUAUAGCGGUCGCCAUUACGGCCACUGCAAACACUAUAUUAAUUACCUUGCUUCCAAGUAACUGAGCUACAUGUGUAGAAGUCUAAGAAGUGGAUCUGAAGUGUUUGGGUUAAAGUCACUAUAUUAUUUAUAUUUACUAGCGUAUAAUAUCCAUGCGUUAGAUCAGAAUUAAGGAAACAUUGUCAUUAAUACAUUCUCGGCACAACAGGCGGGUCCUUUGGCCCCCACGCACAAACUCCAUUUUUUCCCUUCACAACAGUGUGCAGGGAGUUGAUGGUGUGAGUGAUGGAUGCGGAUUGACCAUUCAUCACACCUAGUUGUUUCAUUUAAAUUAGUAUAUGUAUACCUAGAAGGUAAUAUCAUGGUUUAAGCAUGACCAAUGAGUUUAUUUUUCUUCUAGAAAGGUAUAAUUAACAAGUUAUUACUUUGUUACAAUACCAAAGCGAAUCGAUUUUCUUUUGAUUCAUCACUGUAUGUACGUAGUAUGUGCUGACUUAUCAUCAAAUUUACACUUGAAAAGAAAAUUGUGCUGAUCUUUCAAAAAUAAAGAAAAGAAAAUUGUGCGCGGUUCGUUGUUUCAAUUUGUUCAAACAAGGUAAAAAUAUGAAAUACUACUCAUCACCUGCUCUUUAUUGCCCAUCACAUGAUAAUUACACACCGUUGCAAGAACAAGCAUAGCACGCGACCAUAAUCAUUUUAUUCGUUUGAUAAAUAAAUAAUCUAGAAUAUAACAAUGGCGAUUAUUAUUUAUCAUUAAACAGCAUCAGAUAUCAAUUAAUCACCAAGUGGCAACGGCGCGAUCCGCCGUCGUCGGCGCGCGUGUCGAGGUCGCACUCGUCGCGCCCGGGGAGCCCCUCGGCGAUGGCGGCCAUGGCCCCCUUCUUGCACGCCAGCGGCGCCUCCUCCUCCUCGACGAGCACCUCCACCAUGGCGCGCAGCGCGUCGCAGCGGCAGCGCGCCGCCACCUCCCUCAGCUGGUGGCAGCACCGCGCCCGCACCCCCGGCGGGUCGCCGCCGCCGCACCGCCGCAGCAGGUACGCCCGGCACCCCGGCAGCGGGUCCUUGGGCACCACGCCCUGCCCCGGCUCGCACCCAUCCGCCGCGCGCGCGACGCCGCCGUAGUACUCCUCGCCGCCCGCAGCCGCCGCGACGACGGCGCCGACCACCACCACCAUCAGCGCCACCAGCGCCACCGCCACCGACGACACCGAGAGCUUGCUGUUCUUCGACGCCAUUGUCGCCGUCAGGAAGAGAAAUCGAUGAGCAGUGCAAGGUUUGGGUUGUUGGGGGGGGGGGGGGGUGGUGAGAUUUUAGAUGGUUGGAAAAAGGGAGAGAAAUGGAAGCGUGGGGAGGAAGACGAACAGUUGCUUUUUUUGUUUUUUUGAAUUUGCCGGGAAGCGAAGCUACGUGGAGAGGGCGUCGUGCAUGGCGCGCGCGGGAAUUGUCAGUGGGCGUAAGGGAUUAGCGUCCAAAUUAAACAAAACGAAUUCAUCAGUGCAUUUCCAGGGCCGGGCUGCCUACUUGCUUAAUGGGCCGUGAAAGAUUGGGCCCAAAAGGGACCUGCACGAAUCUCAACUCGAUCGGACAAAGGGUCUCAUCUUUUCGCUUAUACUUAUUCUUAUCAGACAAAAUUUGAAUUUUUAAACUUAAAUUUGGAUUUGAUUUUAAGAUUUUUUCAUCGAAGUUUAUUUUUCAAUCUUUGCUUUUAAAUCGCUAAGAACACGUAUAUAAAAGUUUAAUUCACAAAUUACUUUUCGUUUGCAAAUAUGUCGUUUCGCUUAUUCAGCGAAACGAUGGCUCCGGAAGGGUUUACUUACUACUGGGCCCGCAUACUACCUCUCCCUUUGUGUUUCCACUCACCCCGCCUAUAAAAAUACCGCCAUUUCAUCAGUAUACUAUUUACUAUAGCAUUUAUUCAUUUGUAUUAAAAUAUACUUAUCAUUGAGACCAUGUAAAGCAAUUUAUGUGACUUCUAAUGUCCAAGUUGUCAACCUCUAUUCUCUCGUUUUCUGCACGCACACUUACCGAACCACUAAAUGAUGUGUUUUUUUAAUAAAAGUUUCUAUAAAAAGGUUAUUGUAAAAAUAGUUAACUUUGGCGUGAAGGACUAAUACUUCGGUUUCAAUUUGCCUCACGAAGAAAAGGGUGGAUGGAGGAAGAAGAUUGAUCUGACCGGUGGGUUCCAUGAGUAGAUGAGGAAGAAGAUGGAGAAGGAAGGAGAUGGAUGGAAAAUGUGAUGGCAGUGGUGGUACCAAUUUUGUAAAUUUUCAAUGGCAUGGUUACAAAUAGAUGAAUUGUAGUAGCAUUUAUCUGAAUCAACAUAUUUAUAAUGGCAUGGAUCCAAUUAACCUAAAAAUCAAUACGUACUAGCCCUCUUGGAAUCGUCUUUUUCGUACUGUAACUACCUUUUACUCUAGUUCGUCCAUUUUUAUUGGUUUGCAUUGUAAAUUAACCAUCCAUCCUUGCUGUAAAAGUGCGAAUCUGUUAAUCCUGAUGGGUGUUUACCCCAAUUUGUCUAAAUUUAAUAUGCUAGCCGAUUUUGAUCUCAAUUAUCAUCUUGGUCAGGAGUUUUUCUAGAUCACGGUUAUUAGCGAUUAUAUUCAUAUCCUAAGGCUCUCGGUGGUACAUCGUGGUGAUUGGUCCCUGAAAAAAGGGUCAACAAUGGCAAAUAUGCAAUUUAUUUCAAGGCCCCUGAACCAUAUUAUCUGAAAGUUUACUUGGUACGUAUUAUCUAAAAGUUUCCUCUAUAUAUGGUUGGCUGUUUUUUCUUUUACCUUUUUCUGAUUGCAUGUUGUCCCUAGGGACUAGUAAUUAUAUUAUAUAUUUCAGUGUCCCUCUUGCACAAAGGAAUUAAAGAACAAUUCGAGCGGGCUAGUGAAUCAACAUAAGAACAUCGAAGUUCAUCAUUUAUUCACCACAUACAUACGUUUCCAUGCAAAUGGAAACAGUAAUUACAGUAACUACACCACACCACACAAAGUAGCUAUAGCCUAGUGGCCAGUCGCCGGGUUCCUAAGAUAACCCAGCCAUUAGCAAACACCACCGAUGCCGAUAUGGAUAUCCACACCGCAUAAUGCCAGGAGGCUCGCCACCACCAUGCAUUUCAUGUUGUCUCUCCGGCAGCCAGGGAAUACCUCGUCCAUGGGUUGCCCGUGAGCCGCCGUGCCGAGCUCCUUGUACAUGCCUACCAACUUGUGGCUGAGCACCGGACACCUACAUAAGUUGUUGUUGAUGGUGGCGAGCUGCCUACAGCAGUCUCGCCAGACUUGCUCAUCCACGUUACCGGCUGCGCCACCGCCAAUGCACUGGCCCUUCACCAUUGUUCGGCAGCGUGGGAGUGGGUACACAUCGAGUAGUCUAUUCUUGGCUGGCAAAGCUGGCUGGGGGUAUACACCACCUAGCAGUGGUGGUCUGCCAUUGUUGUCGUUGCCACAAGCAUGGAGACAACUAUCGAGAGCAACACUAAGAACCAUAGUAUAAUUUGAAAUUUCAUUCUCCACUGGCAAGCAUAAAUCUCCCUGAAUUUUUUGGUUUUUUUGGUCAAAAUUUAUUUAAAUUCAGUCAAAAUAUGUUAAAAAUUCAAAUAAUUUCGGUCAGAAAAACCCGGAAAUCACACCAUAUUCGUUAACCCCUGAAAUUACACUACCUUGUUUGGUGCCAUUUUGUUUUUCUUUGUGUUGCAGAAAAUUUUAGUUAGUCUCAAAUUGUAUGAGAGGGUGUACAGGUAAGCGCUACAUCAAUGGUGGUUUUAUAUGUAGCUACAAAUACUAAAGUGAUUCCAGAACGGACACAAUUUUUAUCAUGAGUGAGUAGCUUAUGGUUUUGCAUGUAAUAUUUAUUGUGGUUCAAAGCUAAUCUAGGCAUCAUUUCGAAAAAAAAAAACCCUUCGUUUUAUAUGGACCACACUCUUUUCAUUUUCAUUCUUCCAUGCAAGAAAACAAAUGCACAAACUGCCAACAGAUAUAUAGUUUUGGAAGGUAACAAAAUCUUUUGAUCUUUAUUUGCAUGGCUUUUUCUAUAUAUAGUUGAUCCAAUUUGGUAAACAAGAAAAAAGAUAAUACUUCAGAACAAAUAUUGUUAAGAGGAAUGCUCUGGAAGCUAAAAAGCAUGCAGUAAAGAAAGCUGCAACACUAGAUUCAGAAAAUUAAGAAACGUGUGUUUAGUGAAGAAACGUGUGAUUAUGUCGGAGUAUUCUGAAACACAAGACGCGCACGUUCACUUAAUUUCCUUUUAUUGUGUACUCUAAUCUUGAGAGGACUGGGCAGUUGGAUCUAAGUAACAGAGUUAUUUUAACAAGCCACGGAAUUAUAUAGGGAAGCACGUACGCAUAAUCACUUUGUCAAAAAAAAAACAUUACAAAUUAAAGGCUAGAGAUAUUGUGUGUUAUUACCUUGUCGUAUUGCAAUUUGCAUAGAAAUGUUUUAAGUAAAGAGUAAGGAGAGCACAAGAAAUAGGUCUGAAGUGUGGUAGGUUUGUCAAUUUGCGAAGGAAUAAAAAGAGCGUUGUUAGCUUGGGGAGUGAGUUUAAUAUCUAUCGGAAAUGUAUUAAUUUAUUUUUAAAUCUUGGUUUUACCAUAUCAAUUAUCUUAAUCAUUGUAAAAUAAACUACUCCCUCCGUUUUAAAUUAUUUGUUGUUUUAGUUUUGUUACAAAUCAUAUGUCACUACAAUAAAAACCUCAUAUGGGACUUUUCUAGAGGAGUUUACAACAAAAACCUUAUAUAGGACUUUUCUAGAGGAGUUUGUAAAUUACCUCUAAAAUCAUGAGUUCUAUAACGUAGAGGCACUUUGUACUUUAAAAACUGCCCAGAAAACCUUUUACUCUAGAGACACUUUUUAUAUAUUUUCAACAUAUUUUGUUAAUUCUUAUCUCGUAGAGGCAUUUUUUCGGCACUUUAAAAUAUGCCUGAUAUGUAUAAGAAAUUUUCUUCAGGCAUUUUAAACUCUGUAUAAACACUGUUUAGGGCCACUAAAGGGUAAGACCCUGAGCAAACAAGCCAGGCCUAAGGUCAAACCUGUAACUUGCCUAGCAUAUGUUUGGUUGCUACCCUUAGGAUUCUAGCAUGAUGAAUCUUGCCUGAGCAAGCCAUGCUAUCUCGCUCCACCUGCCUGAGUAAAAUCACCGCAUUAGUGAAAAUGAGACCACUUCUUCCUCCUCCUCCUCACUGCUAGCCUAGGGUUUUUGCAGAGGCCAUUUCCCAUCGAUUCUUCCAUCGCUCCCGCAGCGGUGACCAAGGAACUUGCAGAUCCGGUGGCCAGUUGUUUCUUUUUCCAGUAAAAAUCCUGCAUUUGGUGAUCUGUUAGAGCGUACGCUACUGGAGAAGUGAUCUUUGCUGAGUCAUACAAAAAUCACAUAGUCCCGGUUCGAGUAGGAACCGAGACUAAAGAUAUUCUUUAGUCCCGGUUCAAAAACCUAGGGGUACUUUUUGAUCUUUACUCCUAGUUGAAUAGCUGUUAGACCCUCAACAAACUUUAGUCCCGGUUGGUGAUACCAACCGAGGCUAAUUGUCUCUCUCCUACAGCAUCUGUUCUCUCUCUCUUCCUUAUCUCCUCCUCCUCCUCCUGCAAAAUAAGCUGCCAUCAAACCGUCUUGGGACUUAUUUUGUAUCGGUUUUAAUAGUUGAGGGAUAUGUUGUAUUUGGUUUUCCGGUUGAAAGACGAAAAUCGGAUUCGUUGACAAGUUAAGGGACCUCAGAUGAACUUAUUCCAAAUUAACUGUAAUAUAUAUUUGGUUGGUUGCUUAUUUUUUAGCCUAGUAAUUAUAAAUUUCAGUAUUCCCUCUUGCACCAUGGAGUUAAAGAAAAAUCCGAGCCGGCUAGCGAAUCAUCAUAAGACUAUCAGAGUUCAUCAUUUAUUCACCACAUAUAUAUGUUUCCAAGCAAAAGGAAACACUAAUUAUAUAGGUACCACACAAGACACACAAGGUAGCUAUUUCUUAGUGGCCAGUCGCGGGGUUCAUAGGAUAACUCAGCCAGUAGCAAACACCACCAAUGCCAAUGGGAAUGUCUACAUUGCAAAACGCCGGGAGGCUCGCCGCCACGCGUUUCAUGUCGCCUCUCCGGCAGCCAGGGAACACCUCGUCCAUGGGUUGCCCUUUAGCGGGUGCACCGAGCUCCUUGUACAUUCCAACCAACAUGUGGCUCAGCGCGGGGCACCUACAGAAGCUGUCGUCGAUGGCGGCGAGCUGCCGGCAGCAGUCUUGCCGGACUUGCUCGUCCACGGCACCGCCGGCGCACUGGCGCUUCGCCAGCGCCCGGCAGCGGGGCAGCGGGUACAUCGGGUAGCCCCGUCCGGCAGCGCAUAGCUGCCCGGGGGUAUAAACCACCUGGCCACGGUGAUCCGCCAUUGUCGUCGUUGCCACGAGCAUGGAGACAACUACCGGGAGCAACACCGAGAACACUACCUUGAUGAAAGCCAUUUUCUUUCUAUUGUUGUUGCAGAAAAUUUUAAUUAUUCUCAAUCCUCAAUGAGUGGUUUUAUAUAUGUAGCUACUAAGACUAAAGUGAUAGUGAUUCAAGAAUGGACACAAAACUUUUAGCAUGAGUGAUUAGCUUGUGGUUUUGAAUGAAAUAUUUAUUGUGAUUCACAGCUAAUCUAGGCAUCAUCUGGGGAAAAAAAAGUUGGCUAAAGUGGAUUCAUAUGGACCACACUCUUUAAUUGUUUAAACCCAUUUUCAUUCUUCCGUGCAAGAAAAUAAAUGCAUAAACUACUAACAGACACAUAGUUAUGGAAGGCAACAAAAAUAUUUUGAUCUUUAUUUCCAUGGCUUUUUGUAUAGUGGUCCAAUUUGAUAAACAAAAAAAUGAUACUUCAGAACAAAUAUUGUUAAAAAGAAUGCUCUGCAAGCUACAAAGUAUGCAGUAAAGAAAGCGGCAACACUAGAUUCAGAAAAUUAAAUAACGUGUGCGUUCUCUGUAUAUACGUGCCUGAUCAAGCAUAUAUUGGAGUUUUCUGAAAAACAAAAUUCAUAUAUAAGAUAGCUUUGAUGUGCACGUUCAGUCUUUCACCUACUUUUUUUUUUUGUUGUACUGCAAUCUUGAGAGGCCUAGGCAGUUGGAUAACAGAGAUAUAUUAACAAGGCACGGAAUUAUAUUUAUAUGGACAUAAGAAGCACGUACGCAUAAUCACUUUGUUGAAAAAUGUUGCAAAUUAAAGGCUAGAAAUAUUGUCUGCUAUAACUUUUCCCGUUGCAAUUUGCACUACUAGGAAAAGCAUUAUCGCAAGCGGCCGAAAAGGGUCUUCGCAGGCGGGGCGGCCGUCCGCCUGUAAGCCAACGACUAUGAAGAUCGCCGAUCUUCGCAGGCGGGGAGGCCGUCCGCCUGCGAAGAUAAUUUUCGCAGACGGACGUUGGCUAGUCCGGUCCGCCUGCGAAAAUAGGAAUCGUCCGCUUGCAAAAAAGAAAACUUCCGCCUGCGAAGAUAGGUAGAAAAUAUUGAAAUUUAAAUAUAAUUUGGCCGUAAAUUACUUUUAAAUUAUUUAUUAGAAAUUCUUGCAGGUACAUAUAUUGGAAUAUUAUCAAGCAUUUGGUACUGAGAAAUCUACUUAUAUUGCAUAAAUCAAAAGUGUUGCCAAAAUAUAUAUAUUACAAUAUUGUUUUACAUUGUCACUUCAAAUAACGUCAUCUAGUUACAUUAUGGCAUAGCAGUGUUCCACUCCCGAAGAUCCUUGAAUUCGUCACUUGCCGCUAGGGCACCCUCUGGGUCGAAGAAAUCUCCUUUGACAUGACAGCACUCAUGGUGGAUGAAGUGGCACAGAUCACGCUGCACAUUUGUGAUACCUGUAUCGUCAAAGCUUGUUCGACAUUCUAAUCUUGGCAACUGCAUGCAUUGAAAUUAAUCAAUAUAUUAGUAUCAUAAAUAUCAAGAGCUGUCUAGUAAAUAGUAUAGAGACUUACAUCCUCCGCGUUAGUCCUGUACCGUCCAUUAACCCUAAGGAAUUCGCACGCAUAAUACCCGCAAAGGACCGUUCCUCGCGGUUGCUUGUGACACUGAAGGACAUAUCAUAGAAAAAAGUAGUUAUAAUUUGCAAUUAGUGAAACUAUUGGAAUACAUAAAGUGAGUGGAGUAUUACCGGCCAAUAGGUACGUACUAGCAGCUUCUCCCGUGUUCGUGUCUGUUCUCCACCCUUGAACUUGUAGUAUUGGUAUGCACUGUAUGAAUGUCAUACCAUUUCAGAGUAAGGAGGAUAUUUAUUUGUAAUACAUCCAUAUACAAAUGCAAGAGUCAUAAUAACUUACUACUGUAAGAUUGUUAGAAAUUCUUUGUAUUGCUUGUGUUUGUAAUCGAGAGGAUCCAAGACUACCACGGUUCCGUCUUUAGGGUGGAUGAGUAAACAGAUAUAAUGAUCGCUACAUAUUAAUAACAUUAUAAUUAGUUAGUAACAGCUAAAAUAAGACAUAUGUGUACAAGAUAAAUGUACCGAACUUACUUAAAAUUAUAAGCGGCCAUGACGACUCUCUUAUUUUGAAAGUGCAAGAAGGCUCGUCCAAUGUACUGUGCGACAGUAAUCAAUUUCUCCUUGUGCAAGCCCUUCUUGUAUUCUGCUAUCUCUUUCGGAUUCUUGCCCUUCAGCUGGUCUGACCCUGGAUCUAGCGUAACGGUAUGCUGUGUUUGGCAGAUCUGAGUUGGAUCCAAGAAGCCGAUGGGUUCUUUUUUCUUCUUAGCAUCCAUGUAUUGCAUCCUACAUAAGAAGUUUGUUAGUAGCAAUCACAUGGAGUUGUAUUGUACAUAUUUUUUAUCUAAUUAAUUAAAAUUCGUACUCACAUGCACCAAACACCGACAUAGUUGACGUCCAUCUUAUCCCGACGAUAUAUGGCGUGGAGAUCUGAGAAAUCUAGCCAUACGUAACCUUCUUCGCCGAAACAAUCUGCCGGUGAUCGAGCUAUUAUAUUGCCCAAGCCUUUCUUGCUGGCCUCCAUGUAGAAGUUAUGUAACCUUCUCAUCUCCCAUGGUGCUUCUUUCAGUGCCCAUUCCGGCAAGAGUGCUUUCCCAUGUUCGUACUUUUCCGGGCAAUCAUCGGUUGCGAAGUAUGUUGGCCCGGCUAGCACAGAAGCCUUCUGGGGGUCGUCAUCUCUGAGCUUGGCACGUUCCUUACCCCCUCUGAAGACGGUUAGCAUGAACUUCUCCUUGUUCGCAUCUUUGGACUUGGAUUCGUGGCUCCUAAUCACUCGUGGCACCUCGGGUUCUUUCGCAGGAGAAGGGUCUUCAAAUAUCUCUGGCUCUGUACCAUCCCAUUCCAAUCCUGGUACUUCAUCUUUGACUGACCCGACUGAUGCCACAAAUUCCACCUCUGGUUCUGCCACUGUAAUCUCUAUGGGCACAUCCGGCACUUGAAUCUCCAUGGCUGUCUCCGGCGGUGCAAUCUCCAUGGCUGUCUCCGGCGGUGCAGUCUCCAUGGCUGUCUCCGGCAAUGCAAUCUCCGGUGGCACUUCCGGCACUGGAUUUUCCUUACCAAGUUCAGGAUCAUCCGCCUUAUCAGUCACCUUCCUCUUAGGAGGCCUCGGAGGUUUUCCCAAACCCGGUUUAGGCAACACAGGUUUUUCCCCGGCGUCGGUGCCCAAUCCAAAGAAUAUGUCAUUCUUAUGCCAGAGAAUUACAAGAUCGACCGCAUCCCCAAGUACGGAUAUACCAUCUGCAGUCGGGUAGUCAAUGUCGUAGGACUCAAACCCUUCGUGGACCACUUGUGGCUGCACCUUGGCAUACGCAUCGGGUAAGAACUGUUCAUUGUAUGUUCUACCAGGGAUAGCAAUGGCUGUAGCGGCCUCAAGAGUUUUACCGGAGCGUCCAAUGGGAACGUCCAAUCUGCAGGGUGUAUUCUCCUUGAGGUCAUCGAAGGGGUAAUCUGGCUCAGUUUCUUUGGUUUCGGGGCGAAGCAAAAUCAUGUGCUUCGACCGUAGAAAUCAUGGACGAACGGUCGACGACGAGCUUCGGUCGUGGACAACGAAGGAAGGGCCGGCGACGAGGUUCGGCCAUGGACGACGAACGGCCUACGACGAGGUUCGGCCGUGGACGACGACCGGCCGAAGACGUCGUUCGCGGCCGAGGACGUAUUCGCUCGUGGACGACGAUCGGCCGAUGAAGCCGUUCAGCCGCGAGCGGAGGGGUGGGCAACGGUGGUGGAGGGGCCAACGGCGGCGGUGGCCGUGCGCGCGGUGGAGGGGCCGGCGGCGGUGGAGGAGCCGAUGGCGGAGGAGAGCGAGCUCGACGGUGGCGGUGGAUGAGCCGGCAGCGGUGGAUGAGCUCGACGGUGGCGGUGGCGGUGGAUGAGCCGGCGACGGGGCUGCCUCGGUGGAGCGUGGUGGACGACGACGGUCGGCUGCGGCGGAGGACGACGGUCGGAGAGCGAAGGUCGCAGGCGGGGCGGCGGCGGAGGACGGCGGAGGCGUGCGGCGGUGAAAAAUUUCGGCAGCCUGACGGCGCCAAAUUUUUUAGGGUUCCCGCCUGGACUUAGAAAUUUUGGCGCCGCGGGCUUGCCCUUAUAUAGGGCAAAGAUCUUCGCAAGCGGGCGGUCCGCCUGCGAAGAUCUUUUCAACAAACUAGUAAUUGCACAUAAAAAUAUUUACACUUUUCAAAUAUUACUAACUUUAAAUUUUUUUAACUAAAUUUUCACAAUUCAAAUGGUAAUUGCACAUAAAAAUUAGUACUUAGAAAUUAAUAUGCAAAAUGUUGAGUACAAUUGUUCGUCAAUUUGCGAUACGAUCACACAUACGACCAUUACAUAACUACUAACUUCUUAGAUGUUUAUAUGCCACUCAACAAUCAUUACCCUUUAACAUUUUUGCCCACACCGUCCGUGCGCAUGUAAGGCUUCACGGUCUUCUGAGUAGAUGUCUCGACAUUCUUAAUCUUCUGUACAAACUGACUAUAAAGUGGCAUACUAUCAUAUUGGUUGUAAUCUUCGACAUCUUCAACCCCAUCCACUCCCAAUAUCUUUUGUUUCCCUGGUAGCACUAUAUCUUUCUUCAAAUUUGAAGGGUCUUUCACAUAAAACACUUGUGCCACGCGAUUGGCGAGUACCCAAGGAUCAUCCUUGUGACCCACUCUCGCAAGGUCAACAACAGUAAGACCGAACUUAUCAACAUUUACCCUGUUCGGGUAUUUUACCCACUGGCACUUAAAUAUGGGGAAUUGCAUUGUGUGCCCAUAGUCAAUUUCCCAUAUUUCUUCAAUAAACCCGAAGUAUGAUUGUUUUUCACCGGCUUCAUCAAUUGCCUCCACACGGACACCGCUGUUUUGUGUACAGGUCUUAUUAUCUCGGGCUCUUGUGCUAAACGAAUAUCCAUUAAUGUCAUAUCCCUGCCAAGAAUUUACUGUAGUUGAUGGACCACAAGCCAACCGCUUCAUAGUUAUUUCAUCGGUAGUUUCUCCCUCAGGUAAGUCUAGGUCUCGCAACCAAUCUAUGAAGAGACGCUUGUGUUCUUUCAUUAUCCACUCGGUGGAGCGACCCUUAUUGUUAGCUCGUAUUAGUUCGAUAUGUUGAUCGAUGUACGGCUCGACGAUAGCAAACUGAUGAAGCACGCUGAAGUGAGCUUCUUGGAAUGAUUUGUGAUCAUGGGUGACGAAUCUCUUCUUUCCUAUCGUUCCCCUGCCACUCAAUCUGCCCUCGUGUUGGGGCACAGGUACUCCAAUUGCAUAUCCAUCCUUGAGAUAAUCGAUACAGCACUCGACAACCUCUUCAGUACUAUAAUCCUCAACCAUUGAUCCCUCUAGAUGUGCACGAUUUCGGACGUAACCCUUCAGAACCGCCAUGUAACGCUCGUAUGACCACAUUUGAUGGAGGUACAAUGGGCCAAGCGCAACCAUCUGCGGCACAAUGUGAACAAUGAGGUGCUCCAUCAUAUCAAAAAAUGACGGAGGGAAACACAUCUCAAGUUGGCACUGGGUCUCAUGUGCGAAUGUACGGAGAUUUCCUAACUCUUCGAGACUAAUGACCUUCUGUGACACUGCGUUGAAAAAGUAGCACAACCUUGUGAUAGCAACCUUUAAAUGCUCCGGUUUUAUGGCUCUUAUUGCAAUUGCAAGAAACACGGUGAGCAAGACAUGGCAGUCGUGUGAAUUAUAACCAGAUACCGACAAAUCUUUCAUUGAAACUAGUCGACUGAUGUUUGAUGAGAAACCUAUGGGCAGUCUGACAUUACGGAGUGAGUUGCAAAAUGACUUCUUCUCCUUAGGUGUCAGUGUGAAACAGGCUGGUGGAAGAUAUACUUUGCCAUUCUUUUCUCCUUCUUGAGGGUGUAACUCUUCCCUGAUUCCCAUCUCGACUAGGUCCAUCGUUGAUUGCAGACCAUCUUUAGUCUUCUUCGGCAUGUCCAACAAUGUUCCAACUAUGUUGUCAAACACAUUCUUCUCUAGAUGCAUGACGUCUAUGGCAUGCUGAACCUCCAGAUCUUUCCAGUACGGGAGGUACUUAAAAAAUAUGGAAUGCUUCUUGAAUGGGGGAGGGAGUUUAUCAUCUGGCUUCGAACUGUCAUCUUGCUUCUUACUAUCCCCUCCCUUCGUAUUCUUCUCGGGUUUCUUGCGCUUUGUCCCCUUUGAUGGUUUCUUAGUCAUUUUUCCAAACUCGCAAACAAUUUUCUCUAUCAUUGCACACACAUUUUCUCCCGAUGUAGGUUUUGGUGCAGGAUCAGUCUCUUCAGUACCAUCGAACUCCGCCUUCAUCUUACGGUACUUGUGAUUUGUGCGUAGGAACCGCCGGUGCCGCAUGUACACAAGCUUGUUGGAACCCGGGAGAUACCUAUAGGACGUUCCAUUCAAGCAGAUCACACAUCCUGUUUUACCUUUAAUUUGACCUGAAACUAAAAACAUUGCUGGAUAAUCGUUAAUGGUCACGAAGAUGAUUGCCUUCACUGUGAAGUAUUCCCUUAAGUACUCGUCCCACACUUUCAAUCCCUCUUUCCAUAAAUCGGCCAUAUCUUCCAACAAUGGUCCAAGAAAUACGUCUAUAUCAAUACCAGGCUAACGGGGUCCCUGUAUGAGGAUACAGAGUAGUACGUAUUUUCGCUUUUGACAAAGCCAGGUAGGAAGAUUAUACAUGGUGAGAAGCACUGGCCAAGUACUAUGUGAACUGCUCAUGUCUCCAAAAGGAUUAACUCCAUCAGUACUCAGGGCAAAUCUAAUGUUCCGUGGGUCUUUAGCAAACUCUCUAUACUGCGCAUCAAAGGUUCUCCAUUGACGAGCAUCUGCCGGGUGUCGAAUCAUCCCAUCCUUCUUGCGCCCUUCUUCAUGCCAGUGCAUUAGUUCCGCAUCUCGCGGGUUUGAGUAUAUUCGUGUAAUGCGGUCUUUCACAGGAAGGUACCACAUCACAAGCUGCGGGAUUUUUCUCUGUCGUCCCUCAGUUGCUUCAGAGGGUUCUAGGCUAGUAUUGCUAUUCGACUUGUACCAGCUUGCACCGCAUGUUGGACAUUCAUCCAAAGAAGCGUACUCUUUCCUAUACAGUAUGCAGUGAUUUACGCACGCAUGAAUCUUUUCCACACCAAGUGAAAGGGGGCAUAUGAGUUUCUUUGCUUGAUAUGUGCUGGAUGGUAGUGAGUUAGGCCUCGGUAGCAUUUUCUGCAGGAGUUCUAAAAGACUGUCGAAACUGGUAUCAGACCAUCCAUGUCUCGCCUUUAACCUCAUAAGUUCAAGAACUGACCGGAGUGUUGUGAAAUCACUGUCACAGCCCUUCGACUCAUCGUACAAAACUUCCUUUGCUGCCUUCUGUAAAGCUUCAAAGUUAUUUAGCCCUCUGGCCGACCCCAUCAGCACCUCGGGUUCUGCAUUACGUAACAUUUUCUCUAGGUCGAUUUUGUCCUCAACAGAACCAUCGUCAUGCACCAUGUCUUCAACUUGUGUCGGAACUACAUUUUCAGGCUCGUCCACUUGUUCUUCGCCAUGACGUGUCCAUAUUUCGUACUUGUCCAUAAAUCCGUGAGUUACCAAGUGCUCCUUCACUUUAAAAGCAUCGUCAAAGUCCCAGGCUAUUUCAUUCUUACAGUCAGCACACGGACAAAUUAUCUUCCUCAUAUUGUUCUUCUCAGCGUGAACCUUGGCAAUACCAAUAAAUUUAGCCACUUCGUUUCUAUAUGGAGACAAAAACCUCGGCCAAUGAUACAUCCAUUCCCGACUUUCUAUAUCUCUAAAAAAUACACGUAAAAUAUUUGCACAAUUAAUACCAAAUUUGUAGGGUUUAUUGAAAAAACUUAUAGCUAUUCAAAACUAAUUAACUAAAGGUUAAGUUGUAAAGUAAUAAAAAAUCAUAGUUUAUUUCAAUUUUUUUUACACAGACAUGCCAAAUUAGCACAUUAGGAAAAUCUAACAAAAUCAAUUCAUCGGCAUAUUACAAAAUACUAUAACUAUUUUUUGAUUGCACUGAAUAAAUAGACAUUUAAAAUUUUUUUCUCUCUCUAUACAUGACAAGAGCUAGAUCUAGAUCUAGAACUAGGUGGUGGAUAUGAUAGCAAAAAAUUAAAAAACAAGAAUUUAUGUUACCACAUUAAACCACUACAACAAGAGGCAUCAAGUAUUACACAUACAUCUAACAUAAACAAAUGACAAGAAAUAAAAUUAAAAAACAUGGAGCUCUUCCUUCAAAAUUUUGGAUGCAUAAAUCCAUCACAAAUUAAGGUCUAAAAGCUUAAAAAAAAUGCAUACCUAGUGUGGAAAUGAGUAGAUCUAAGUACCGUAGAAAAAUCCCCCGAAGAUUUGAAGUUCAAAACCUCCCCCCUAUAUUUAAGUCACUUUAGGAGAGAGAAACGUCGGGGAGAAUGAACAGGGCUCGGGGAGGAAGAAGACUAUAUAGGGGCAUCUUUGCAGGCGGGCCAUAUAAGCGUCGCCUGCGAAGAUUGAUCUUUGCAGGCGGGCCAUAUAAGAGUCGCCUGCGAAGAUUUAUCUUUGCAGGCGCACGUCGUCUGCCGCUUGCGAAGAUCGAUUUUCGCAGGCGACGCUUAUAUGGCCCGCCUGCAAAGAUCAAUCUUCGCAGGCGGACCGCCCCCUCCACCCCAGGUACCAUUUUUGCCGGCGGGGUUUUGGCUCCGAAUUACGUGCACGCCUGCGAAAAUUUAUCCCCUACGACGCCGAAAAUGAGAUUUCUAGUAGUGUUGCACCAGCCCUUCCCUUAUUUUAUAAGUAAAGAGUAAAGGAGAUUAAAAAAAUGUCUUAAGCGGGGUAGGUUUGUUCAUUCCUGAAGGAAAAACGAGGCCGGAUUUGUUAGCUUGGAGAGCGAGUUAAUUUAAUGUCUUUCAGAAAUGCAUUUACUUUGAAAUGUUGGUUUUACCAUAUAUAUCCAUUUACGAUCUUAACUAUUGCAAAAUAAACUAUAAACUAUUUGUGAUUUUUUUAACUUGUCAGACAAAGUCUCCAAUCCAUAUAGGUUUGUUGCCAUUCAUGUUUAUAAUAAUAUAUUCAUAAAAAAUAUUUAAAUAAAACAACACAAGUAUAUUUAUUGUAAAUCUAUGAAUGCAAUUAUUCGCAUAGAUUAUAUUAUAUCGCAUAGAUUGUAUAGACCUGUGACUACCAUAUGUUUUUUGACACGUCAUGAAACCAAUCCUACUGUUUGUCAGUUGCUUAUCGGGUGACACAUUUGAUGAAAACAAGCGUAGGAAUAAUAACAAAACUAAAAGAAGAGAGGAACAUCGUUUCUACUCCUUUCAAUUCAGAUUAUAAGUCGUUUUGACUUGGGUCAAAGUUAAAUUGCUUCAAGUUUGACAAGUUUAUAGAAAAAAAGUAGUUACACUUUCAUCACAAGACAAAUAUAUUAUGGAAAUAUAUUUAAUAUAUAUAUAUAUAUAUAUAUAUAUUAAUUGAAACUAAAUUACUGUUGUAAAUAUUACUAUAUUUGUAUACAAACUUAGUCAAAUUUAAACUAGUUUGAUUUUGACCAAAACUAAAACGACUUAUAAUCAGAAACAAAGGGAGUACUCUUAUUUCUUACUAGUAAAAUGGCCGUGCUUUGCUAUGGAUAAAAGAAAAUAUAUUAUAAUAUGUAAUAGAUAUUAAAAAUUAUCGAAUAUAUUAAUGCCACUUGCUUACUUGUUUGAAUAUACAGUAUUUACUUGUUUGAACCAUAUAUUUGGACUAUUCCAUAAUAUAAAAAAACAGGAGCCUAUUUGGAAAACAGUGGGGGUGGCAGAUUCACUACCACCACAUCUAGGGACUUUUAUGUACAACCUUCGUUUUGAAUAUAAGGAUGUGUCUAUGUUGUUUAUCAGGUGUUUGUCGAAUACUUAUAUCAAAAGAUUCAUUUUUAGUCACUUCAGUUGUCAAUUUUUGAAUUUUGAAUUAUUUAGAUAUCAUUUACAAGAAUCUGAUUACCUAUGCAAUCACUGAAAUGAUGGGAAUCAAAGUAAUCAGUGCAUGAAUACUUAUAGUGUGGUACCAAAGAAUGGAGGGAGUGAAUAAGAAAUGCAACAUUCAAAUAUUAUAGAUGUUACUAUUAAUUGUCAGAUCACAAAAAAAUACGGCAGCUUAUUAUAGAGGGCACCUUUAGGCUGCGAUUCGGCCGACAUGGGCGCUCUCCUCAACAAGAAAUUCCCUUUUUCCAUCAUGAAAUUAAAGAACAACGAAGGCUAGCUAGCAAACCAGCAAGAUAUAUUCAGAAGAACAUUGAAGUUCAUCAUUUAUUCACCACAUAUAUAUAAAUAGAUGCUUCCUGACAAAAGAAAGCACUAAUUAUUUAGCAACCCCACAUAGUCACACACACACAGCUAACUAUAGUAGCCUAGUGACCGGUUCUUGGGGUCCUAGGAUACCCAAGCCAGUAGCAGACACCACCAGGCCCAUUGGGGAUGUCCACGUUGCAGAACGCCGGGAGGCUCGCCGCCGCGCGCUCCAAGUCCCCUCUCCGGCAGCCGGGGAACACCUCGGCCAUGGGGUGCCCGGCCUCGGUGGCGCCGAGCUCCCUGUAGAUGCCUGACAGCAUGUGAUCGAGCGCCCCGCACCUGCACCAGCCGUCGUCGACGGCGGCGAGCUGCCGGCAGCAGUCUUGCCAGACUUGCUCGUCCGCGGCGCUGGCCGCGCCACGGCCAACGCAUUGGCGCCUCACCAAUGUUCGACAUUGCGGGAGUGAGUAUGUCGGAUAGCUUAUUCCUGGCCGACAUUGCUCACCGGGGCUGUAGACUUGGUGGUGGUCCGCCAUGGUCGCCAUCGCCGCCGCGAGCACGGAGAGAACGACGAGGAGCAAUACCGAGAACACUACCUUGUUGGAAGCCAUAUUUUGCUUAGUUUGUGAAAAAUCUUAAUUAACUGUGAUAGCUAGGCUCUUCGUCUCUGGGUGGUUUUAUAUAUAGCUAUAAAGACCAAAGUGAUUCAAGAACAGAUAGAAAUUUUUUGGCUGUUCAUGAGCUAUUUAUGGAUUUGCUUGUGGUUCUGUAUGAAACAUCUAUUGUGAUUCACACGCCUAAUCUGGGGCAUCAUAUGGACAACAGAUGGUUAAAGUGGAUUGAUAUGUACUACACUCUUUAAUUAUUUGAAUUUGUUUGAUCCUUACGUGGAAGAAAAUAAAUGCUAUAUGUGGCUAUAGAAAGACUAAUUAAAGUGAUUCAACUUUGAAGAACGGCCACAAAAUUGUUUUAGCUGUUCAUGCGUGGUUAGUAUGCUCUUGGGGUUUUGCAUGACUGGCAUGAGCAAUUUGCUUGUGGUUUUGCAUGAAAUAUUUUUUGUUAUUCACGGCUAAUCUGAGCAUUAUAUAUUUUGACAAAAAGUUGGUUUAAAGUGGAUUGAUAUGGACCACACUCUUUAAUUAUUUGAACUCAUUUUCAUUCUUCCGUGUAAGAAAAGAAAUGCACACACCGUCAACAGACAUAUAGUACUAUGGGUAACAAAAUCUUUUGAUAUUUAUAUUUAUCCAAUUUGUUUAAUGACGAAAAGGAUAGUUCAAAGCAAAUUAUGUUUAUAGCUACCCGUGGCAUGAUUUUGUUGUUAUGUCAUAUCGGAAGUGGUCUUGAAGUAAUAACACCUUGAUGUAAUUUGUAAGAUCAACAAAGUUUCCUUUGUCUUCAAAGAAUGUUUGCUAAUUUGCAAAAGGAAAAAAGAGUAUUGUUAGCUUGGGGAUUGAGCUUAAUGUUUUUCCAUAAAUGUAUUUAUUCUUAAUGUCGGUUUAUCAUAUCGAUGAUGUUAGUUAUUUCAAAGUAAACAAUACUCAUUGGGAAAGACUCUGAGGGAAAAAAUUAUGCGGGAUCUUUGAUGAGGACAUCCCAGCUACACUUGACGUGAACAAGGCUGAUGGUUACGUUAUACAUCACAUGGAGAAAUUUGAAGAUGACGUAAACCAAGUUGAUGGCUUACGUCUUAGUAAGAACGAUCAAACAUAUCAUGGUCCAAUUAUGCACAGCCAUGCUAAGAAAAUACAACUAGAGGUGAACUCACUCUUUGCUCAACUUAACCCAAAUUUUAAUGAGAAUUUUAUACUACCUAAAUAUUCUACCUUUGUCUUGCUAAGGUUUACAUCGGAAGACAUCAUUACUACGCCAAGAAGGAUGGGUUAUGUUGAGGAUGACAAGAGUUACACCGAGCAGGAAUUAGCCCAUGCACUACCAGCAGCUGUCUACGCCAACAAAAAGUUGGUUUACGCUACAAAGGCUCAACAUCCAAGGCUUGUACGACCCAGCCAGUCAAGUUACGGGUUGCAUGGCAUACAUGGUUGGAAAGAGGGGCAUGUCUAGCUUCCAAUGCUUCAAACCCCAUCUCAAUAUCACUUUCCAAUAAAAAGUUAGAGCAUUUUUACUGAGGACUGCGCAGGAGCUGAAGGGCUGUGCGUGAACCCGAGAAAACUUUUUGCAUUCUCAUUUAUGUUAGCCUUGAUCACCAGAACGUGGCUUCUUAUGUUCACACCUACGCUAGGAGGAAUGUUCCUAGUAUAAAUACACUUCUAAUUCAUCCAUUAGACAACUUUUGUUCAAUUGAAAACCUCAUGUAUGAGAGAUUAUUGAAGUCUGCAUAAGUCUUACCCUUUUUGUUCUCGUGAGUUCUUUUGGGCUUGUGAGAAGGAUCCUCUUGUGUCCCCUAGUUCGUGAUUUUGGCCCUCGGGCCUCUUGUGUGGAUUAGUUCUGGAUUGUGGUUCUGUAAUUGCUCGUUUUGACGGGUCAGAGUCCAGGAAACUUCGGAUCAUUCUCACACUCACCACUUGGUCGCAUCCAACCUUGGCAGGUAUAAAGCUAGUUAUCCUCUAGCUACGAGUAGCUAGUUACCCUCUUGUGUACAAUUUAUGCCGGUGCUCUUUUGCUUCAAACCUACUACCGUGAAGAUCGGGUCACCUCUCGCGAUUGCGUUCGCAACAACCUUGGUUAUUCGCUCUUCUAGAAAUACUUCUAUUUACUGUCGGCACGAAUCUUCACGAAAGCAAUAGCUUACAUAGACAUCUUUAAUACUAUAGAGGCAUUGCAAAAAUAUCGCACAAGUGCCUUUUGAAUAAUCUCUAUAAAUGGGGAAACAUUUUAUAGAAUGUCUCCAUUCACAAUGUGAUUUUUCUAGAAGCAUUUUUAUGUGUAUAAGAGAGUGGUAAAUUUUAAAGUGCCAAAAAGAUUGAUUCUCAAACAAAGUAAAUUUGUCUCUAAAAUAAAAAAAGUUCCAAGCAAUUAUUAAAGUGCUUCUAAAAUGUGUCUCUAGGCUAUAGAACUCCUAAGUUUAGAGAUGAUUUCAAAAUCAGCUAUAGAAAAGUGCCCACGUACUUAAAGUUUUUCAUGUGCUUGGAGCAGUCAUCACCUCCUACCUCAGCUCAUGUCCCCAAAUUCUCACCUUCUCUCUUGUCUCAACUCCCCACCUCCCUUCCUUCUCCUUGGCCGGAGGCCCAAUCUCCGUCCAGAGUGCAAUCCAUGUGCAGGGGCAGCGAGCUACCCCAACUUUUCCUACUCUCUCCCACUACCUAACUCUCCUUCCAUCUAAGCUGAAGUCCCAAUGUUUGGCCAGAUGCGUAGUGACGGUGCCAACGUCAACUCAUCCAACCAUGGGGACGGCCGUCAAAUUUGUUAAGGUUUAUUUUGGUUACAAUCUGAAAAACCGUGAAGUAUUUUGGGAUUGGUGAAAAACCGAGGUCAUGCAUAAUUUCUUCCACAUACUUUAGGAAAAUAUAUCGUAAUAAGAAUUUCUAAAAGCAUUACAUAAAAAAAAACUUCCAAGAACAAAACUAAAGAAGAGAGGAACAUCCAUUCCACUUUUUUAUUUCUUAUUAGUACUAUCACAUACAUAAGAGGAGAAAAUUAUAGAUGCUACAAUUAAUUGUUGGCGAUCUCACCACCAAAUUAAAAUAGUGCAGAUUAUUAAAGAGGGCACUUUUAGGCUGCGUUCGAGCGCAGGAGAAAGAGAGAAAUAUUGUUUCGUUUUUCGCGCGCACGCUUCCCGAACUACUAAACGGUAUGUUUUUUUCAAAAAAUUUCUAUAGGAAAGUUGCUUUAAAAAAUUAUAUUAAUCCAUUUUUGAAGUUUAAAAUAGUUAAUACUUUAUUAAUUAUGUGCUAAUGGCUCACCUCGUUUUGCGUAUCUUCCCAAUCUCCUCAAUCCCCUCCUUCUCAAACACACCCUUAGUUUGCAAAAUCCGCACUCCGUCAGCAUGGAUGCCAUGCCUGCCAUCCUCUGGCCGACGCAGCCCAGCAGCGGUGCUAUUCGGUCGACAUGAGCACCAUGAAAUUCUUUUUUUUCACAAAAUGAAAUUAAAUAACAACGAAAUAUUGCUACCCAAUUGGCAAGAUGUAUUCAGAAGAACAUUGAAGUUCAUCAUUUAUUCACCAUAUGUAUAUAUGCUUCCUGACAAAUGAAAGCACUAGUUAUUUAGCAACCCCACAGAGUCAUACACACAGCUAGCUUUAGUAGCCUAGUGACCAGUUCUCGGGGUCCUAGGAUAACCUAGCCAGUAGCAGACACCACCUGUCCCAUUGGGGAUGUCCACGUUGCAGAACGCCGGGAGGCUCGCCGCCGCGCGCUCCAAGUCCCCUCUCCGGCAGCCGGGGAACACCUCGGCCAUGGGGUGCCCAACAUCGGUGGCGCCGAGCUCCCUGUAGAUGCCUCCAACCAUGUGGUUGAGCGCCGAGCACCUGCACCAGCUGUCGUCGACCGCGGCGAGCUGCCGGCAGCAGUCCUGCCGGAGUUGCUCGUCCACGGCGCCGCCGGGUGCGCCGUGGCCCACGCACUGGCGCUUCACCACCGCCCGGCAGCGUGGCAGCGAGUACAUCGGGUAGCCCAUUCCUGGCUGACAACGCUCGCCGAGGCUGUACACCACCUGGUCUUUGUGGUGGUCCGCCAUGGUCGCCGUCGCGGCGAGCACGGAGACGAUGAUGAGGAGCAACGCCGAGAACACUACCUUGUUGGAAGCCAUGGCUUUUUGUUUGCAGAAAAUCUUUAGUCUGAAUUUGUAUGAGAGGGAUAGGUUUAAGGUCUUCAUCUAUUGGUGGUUUUAUAUAUAGCUAUAAAGACUAAAGUGAUUUAAGAAGGGACAUAAAAGUUUUAGCUGUUCAUGAGCUAAUAGAUUAACUUGUGGUUUUGUAUACAUAUAAAAUAUUAAUUGUGAUCCACGCCUAAUGUGGGCAUCAUAUGGACUAAAGUUGGUAAAAGUGGAUUGAUAUGCACCACACUCUUUAUUAAUUUGAACCUUCCGUGGAAGAAAAUUAAAGAAAUGCACAUAAUGUCAACAGACAUAUAUAGUUUUGCAUGCAAGGUAACAAAAUCAGUUCAUCUUUAUUUCCAUGGCUUGUAUAGUGAUCCAAAUUGUGGAACAAUAAAAAGAAUAGUUCUGAACAAAUACUUUAAAAAGAAUGCUCUGGAAGCUGCAGUAACGAAAGCUGCAUCACUAGAUUUCAGAAAAUUAAGAAAUUAACGUGCCUGAUGAAGCAUAUAAGUAUUGGAGUUUUCUGAAACACAAAUAUCAUAUAUAUAGAUAGCUUUACGCGCACGUUGGAUAACAGGGUUAUAUUAACAAGGCACGGCAUUAUAUAUGGCCAGGAGAAGUACGCACGCAUAAUCACUUUGUUUAAAAAUUAAUGAUACAAAUUAAAUGUUAGGAAUAUUUUGUGCUAUAACUUUGUCGACUUGUAAUAAAGUAAAAAAUACGUGAGGUUAAAAUAUAGGUAUUAUGUGAGGUGGAAGGAAGAGGUUUUUUAUUUCGUGACAAAGGAAAAAGAAACAAGCUAGAGGGUUGUUAGCAUGGGGUGUGAGUUUAAUGUCCUUCAAAAUCUAUAUUUAUUUGGAAUUGUUGGUUUGACCAUAUGAAUGACCUUAGUUUUUGCAAAAUAUACUAUACUCCUUGUGUUCCUUUUUAUUUGUACAAUCACGACAUAGUCUCUCUCGCCAAUUCAUUAAUUUUUAUCAUUCCUAUUGAUAAUCAUAUAUUCAUAAUAAACAGUUCAAUAUAACUACAGUUAUAGUCUUUUUUUUAUGAUAAAUCAAUGAGUGCCAUCUUUGAAUAUUAAAUCAUAUUAUAUUUUUGCAUCUAUAAGUGAUUAAAAAAAUAAUCAAGAUUUCAUUGCCUCCUAUACAUCCAAAACAGCAUCUAUUUGUGAACGGAAGCAACACUUUAAUGGCUUAACAAGUGAUCUUAUUUGUGCAGUCAGCGAUAUACUCUAUCUGUACUCUAUCUCAACAAAGGAGUAUAUGAGAACCCUUUUGUUGUGUAUGACAUGUAGGGGUGAAAACAGUACGGAAUUUUUCCGGAUUCCGGUCAUGUUUUCGGAAACGGAAUCGGCCGGUCGGAAUUUUUUCGGAAUUUCUCGGAAUCGGAAUCGAAAACGGAAAUAUUUUCUCGGAAACGGAAUCGAAUAUGAUAAUAGCAGUUUCCGUCGGAACCCGGAAACGAUCGGAAACAUUCCGGAAAAAUUGUCGGAAUUUCCGAAGUUAAAAAUACCAUAGAUUCAAUAGUCCAUAAUUCAUCCCUAGCUUCCCAGCCCAACCCAAAUCGCGGCGGCAUCUACCCUAACCGGCUAACCCUAUAGGAGAGAGACCGUCAGACUCAGAACUCAGACGCGACUCGCGAGUUGGAGGCGGAGCGGCGGCUGCGGCAUCCAGAUCGCGGCAUCGCGGCGCCGGCGUGCCCUCACGCCCACCGCCCGUGGCGCCGGCGCCCCACCGCCCACUGCUGGUCGCCUGGCCGGCUGGCCCCCGCCGUCCUCGCUCCCACCAUCUCGCGCCGCCCUUGCUCUUCGUCGUUUCGCCGCCGGCCGCCGCCACCAUCUCGCACCUCCGCCGGCCUGCUCGGUCCCCGCCAUCUCAAGGCGCCGUCCCACCGCGUCUCGCCGUUUCACCGUCGCCACCACCGCCGCCGACGACGGAACAACCACCACACCGACGAGGCGACGACGACACCACCACUGCAGUCUCUUCCUCACCGCCACCAACGCCGACGGCUCCUCGCCUCGCAGCAGCCAGCAGCCCAGCGGCAGCAUCUGAGCAACCAGCAGCAGCAGGUGUAUAUAGUGAUUGACUUUGCACUUUUACUAAUGCUCUAUCAUUUUUUUUGAAGGCUAAUGGAACGGAACAAGAGACAGAGACAGUAGAAGCGGAAUGUUCUAAUGAGGAUGGCAUUGCGCCAAUGGAUGUUUGAAGAAAAUGUUGGUCAAUUUAAUUUUCAAGUUACAUCUAAUUUCAAGUUUCCAUUUCAAAUUAGUGUACUCCUGCUGCACAAGUGGAUGAGAUAUGUUUGAACCAUGUACUGAUGUGUUUUGUGAUUGAACUAUGUUUUGUGAUGAACUAUGUAUUUAUAGGGUGAUGUGUUUUGUGAUUGAACUAAGUACUGAAACACUGAUGGACUGAUGUGCGUUGCUGUUCUGUGAUGAUUGAUGAACUAUUGCUGUUCUGUGAUGAUUGAUGUUGUGACCUUAGGUCACGAACAAGAUCGGGGAUAGGCCGGAAAGAAGUGUUUUCCCGCCUAUCCUUAGAAACGAGCUCGAACAGCAAACACAACUUUUGAGGAUUACUUUUGUAUUCAAGAUGUUUUGUCCUGCUACAGGUUUUUGACUGGCUUUUAUAACCAGUGGUCGUACACGUGAGAUUACAUUUUUACCCCUGUGGGUCUUUGUAAGUUUACUCUAAUGCCCCUGCCACAUCAGCGUCUGUGGGGGCAUUCUAGUACAUCUCCAGGGGUCUUUUAGUCUUUUAGGUGCUAGCUGGCGAGAGUGGUUGAAGGUGGUCCCCACGGAAUCUUCCCUUGGCAUCUUCUCUUGUUCGAGUAGUGCUCUUCCUCGAACUCUUGGGAAAAAUGCCUUUUCCGUCCUGGACCGUCUUCUUCCUCCCGGGAAUUCGAAUUCCCCUUUGCCUUCUCUUUCAUCCUUGGAAAACACCUGUGAAAUUGUAACUUGUCCAAAAUAUGUGUAGUUGUAUUAGCGAUUAUGGAAUGUCCCUAAAAAGGUGUUCUUCACCCGAAGAGGUAUUUUCUAUUCGAAUGAGUGUUCUUCCUCUGGGAAGGUAUUUUCCCUUUGGGAAGGUGUUCUUCCUCUUGGAAAGGUAGUUUCCACUCAAAAUGAGUGUUUUCCCUUCUGGAUACUUAGGUCUUGCAAAACCUCGUAGUGUUUUGACCGAAUUGGAGGAAAAGGUGUUUGCACCCUGCUACAACAAGCCCCUCACGGGUAAGGGCGAUGUGUGUUUUCGGCCGAAACCGUGCCUGAGUUUAUGGAAAAAGGGGGAAAACCGCCGUCCUCCUAUUCGGUCGAAACACACUAUUCAAAUAUGCAUAUACGCCACGUUUACUAUUCAUUUAUUUUUAUUCUUAUUAUUUUUCAUUUUUAUUUAUUUAUUUAUUGUGUUUUUUUUUGAAUGCCACGUGCCGGUAUUUCAUUGGUGCGCUCAAGGGGUCGCGUCGCUUCGGGUUUCGUGUCCGCUCGUAAACCCGCGACCCUUACCACCCUGCGCUAUAUAAGGCCAGGAGGGGUCGCUAUCACGUGACCCACGCCACCACUCGUUUGCUCUGCCAUCAACUCGAAAUCACAAAAUACUCGAACUAAAUCUCUUUCUUCCUUCUUCCAUUCGAGUUUUGGUGCUUUGCUUGAUUUCUUCCUUUCUCACUACACAACAUGGGGAAAAACAAGAAAACUGCGGAAAAGUCGAAGUCCAAGAAAUCAAAAAGCCACGAAGAUACUUCUUGUGGUAUUGGUGCCUCUUCGAUUAAGGAAAAAAACUUAAACGAUCUUGUUGAUGUUGGUUGGAUAUCUGGUCGAAACGUUGUAAUUCGACCAGUGGGAGAAUCAAGGCCUUCUCCCAAGCUGGGAUACACUCUUGUGUUUGAGGAUUUCUUCUACGCCGGGUUUAAAUUCCCAUGCAGCACUUUUUUGGUUGAGGUCCUGAAAUUGUUCAGACUUGAGUUUCCUCAAUUGACUCCAAAUGCUUUAGUUCGAAUUGGGCUUUUCGAAUGGAUGAUUCGAAGCUGCGGUGGGACCCCUCGAGCUGAAGACUUUGCAUACUUCCAUUGUACUCGGCACUACACCAAACAGAACUCGAAGUUUGGGUGUGUAAACUUUGCUCCUCAUCCCAAGCGCGGAAGUCCAUGGCCAGCUGUGUCUGCUAUUCGAGCAAAAUGGGGGAACAAGUGGCAAUCGAAGUGGUUUUAUCAUCAAAUCCCUCUCAGCCUGCUGAAUGAUAAGGAUUGUCCUUUUUCGUUCUCUGGGAAGAAACCGAAAACUGUCUCCGAGCCAUCAGUCUCUUUGUCGCCGGAGUUCACUGCCAUACAACCUCGAAUCGAAGAACUUGUUUCGAAAUUUAGCUGCCGAGACCUGGUGGAAGAGUUUGUUCUUCUCAAAAUUAGACCUCUUUCGAGCGGCUGGGAUAUCACUCUCGGAGAAAUCCCCGAAAAUUGCCCUUCCAGUCUUCCUCCAUUUGUGGUUUCGUCUGAUCGUAAGUUUCCUUUUCGAACUGCAAACCUUGUUUGUCUUGAAAAAGUGAUUUAGUUAAGAAGAUUUAUUUUCUCCCUUUGUUAUCUUCUUCCUUGUAGUUGUGAUUCCAGAGGAUAUGGUCCGCCCAGUUCGAAAAUUUCUUGGCCCUUAUACCAAGGAUGAGCAUUUGAAAUUUUUGACACUUCAAAAUGAGAAAAGGCAAAAUCGGGUCUUCGCCUCUCUAGGCUCCGAUAUCCCUGUCCGCGUUCAUCCUGAAAUUGUCCCCAAACUAAAGAAAAAGAAAUCUGUGAAGCCCUCUUCCUCUGAUGAUGAUGAUGAUGUUGAAGUGGAAGAUAUUGACGAAGAAAUUGGGGAAGAAAAUGCUGAAGAAGAAGAAGGCGAGGAAGGAGCUGAUGAAGAAGAGAACGACUCGGGUGAUGAUAGCGACUCGAGUAGCAGUUCGAGCGACAACUCGAGCGACUUGUCUGAAUCUGGUGAUAGCAAAACAGUUCCUCCUCCUACUGUUUUAGCUGAUUUGAAAAGGAAGAAAACUGCCAGCAGUCCUCCUCCUGAACCGAGUUCUAAACGAGUGCAACUUGUUAUUGACAGUGAUGAAGAGUUGGAUGAAGAUGAUAUCCGUAUUGAUCUUUCUGCUAUCCAUGUCACCCCAAUUCGAGCUGAUGCUAGUUUUGCCCUUUCGGCAAAAGAAGUAGCUUCACUGUAUGUUGUUGCCCCAACCACCACGGUUGUCGAGAAAGAUUGCUCGACCCAAGUGGGUGAUACUGUUGAGACAACAAACCCUCUUCGAGCUGAUCGAGACUUGGUUGCAAAAAAGGCAAAAACGCCCGUCAGUGCAGCCGAAAAGUCCGAAGCAGGGAAGAGUGCUGCUGAUGGAGGUGUUCGAACUACAGGUAGUUCGAACCCAACUCCACCUCCGUCACCGCCGUUCAUCGCAACCCCUUCCCCAGAGCUGAUACAAAACGUUCUUGGUGGUUUUAGCGAACGAUGCGCAAAAGAUGGACAUUGGCUUAUGGGUCUUCCUAAUUUCAACGAACUCGGGGAAAGUAGCCAUCAUGGCCCAAACCUGUGUUUGAAUGACCUAAAGUAUCGCCACCCCCUGAGUUCGAUUGGUGAUGAACUCGAGAAAGUUCUGAUUACUCCUGAUCUUGAAAAGGAGUUUUUGGAAGAAAAUGAUCUUAUGUCCUCUUGGACAGCACUUGAUGUAUCUGCUGCACAGGUAUUUUUAUUUAUCUAUUUAUUUAUUUAUUUAUUUAUUUAUUAUUAUUUUCUUUUUAACUUAAAACCUAUUUUCUGAUGCGCAGACUGCGAGCCUUGCUCGUCUUCAACGUGGUGUUGCUCGGAAAGCUCUUCGAGCUCUUUGCACGCAACGGAAGAAAUCACUUGAUCGCAUCGCUAAACUCGAAAAGGAUCGGGAUUAUCUUCGCUGCAAACUUGAUCGAAUGGCCGACGAGAAGAAAAUCACCACCGAUCUCGUGCGCAAGUUAAGCGGCGAAAAGAAAGAGCUUUCCGAAGAAAAGAAGUUGCUUACUGAGGAAAAGAAGAAAUUACUCGCUCAUGUAAAAGCAUUCGAGCGAAAAAUCAUCGAGUAUCAAGACGUCGCACGACAACGCGCUGAAUCAGAAGACAAGAUGAAGGAGCAAGUUGAGGUCUUGGAGAAGAAGAAUAAAGAACUCGAACUCGCCUGCAAAAAUCAAAGCGAGAAGAUAUCUGCUUUAGAGCUCGAGAGCGAAAGUUGCCGCCAACUUCUUCUGAAAAGUUGCGAGACCGUUCGAAUCACGUUGCGAAGUCUAGGGGCUGACAUCAGCUUGCUAUCGGAAGAAAAUACCUUAGCAGCUGUGGGAAAAUGGUUCGAGGAAUUUUCCAUUGGGCUAAAAGAUAGCGUUACUCCCUUUGCAUCUCGCUGCUCGAAGACUGCUGUGGAGAGCCUUUCGGCCUGUCUGCUUUCAAAUGGGUGUGAACACUUUACCACCCUUAAAACUGAUAUACAAGGUAUACUUAAUGAUGAGGCCAAAUUUGCACAGCUUCGAGAUGCAGCUCAACCCGUCGUAAAGGCUUUCCAAGUGCUUUACUGGAAGAAGAAAGGAUAUGAAGAUACCCUGAGGUCUCUCCGAGCAUCUCUUGCCUCGAGAUCAAAGUCACAACCGGCCAGUUCGAGCCAACAAGAUAAAGACAGUAGUACUCCGAGCUCGAGCGCACAGGUGUGACGUUCGUGAAAAGAAUAGUUAAGGAUGCUUCGUAUGUUCGAAAACAAUGCUAUUUUGCUGCUUCAAAACCGUUAUGGUUGAGAGCCUUUAUUGUAAAAAUUCAUCUCUUAUUGCAUGCUUUUCACGGAAAUUCCCUUUCUUUGGGGGGGCUGCAUGUUAACUCGAAUCGAAAACUUGUGAUUCGACGCAACAACACUUUGCCUACUCGAAAUGUGAAGCACUUAGCAUUUCGAGACCCUGCAAAGCUUUCUUCUACCAGGACCGCCGUCUCCGAUGACGAACUCGAAGCCUGUUAUGAUAAUACUUGUAUAUUUGCUUUUAAGUUUUUCCGAUGGCAACGAAGCCAUCGACAUGACAGUUUACGUGACUUUGUACUUGAGUUUAGGGAACGGCGUUCGAACAAUACUCUUGCUAGUAAAGCCUUUUGGCAAAACUUCCAACCAUCCGAACGCCAACGUAGAAUAUGGAAAAGGCGUUAUUCAAUAGUUCCAUAUACAGUAAUGCCUUCUCCUCUCAACAUUGUUUAUCCCGACUCUUUUCUUUCUUCUUUGUAGAGUUUGUAUGUAACUUGUUAUACCUUCUUAACAUCAAAUAAACCCUUCCUUUCUUCUUUUCUUUAUAAAUGCUCUUUAUUUCAAUUGUUCAAGCACCCUUAGGUAAACUACGUCCUCCUUAUCUUUGGAAGAAGUUACGAAAUCGAAACGUACUUUAUCUCGUCACGUGCAUUUUCCGCCUUUUGAGCUCGAGCGAGGGGAAAAUAGAGUUCGAGCAUUCUUUAGUUGGUUUUUUGGACUAAGGCAAAAUAGUUCGAAAACCGCCGUCCUCCUCACCUUUCGAAGGAGUGACGAGGUCGAAACGUAUUUUAUCUCGUCACGCGGAUUUUCCGCUUUUUGAGCUCGAACGAGAAUAGAGUUCGAGCAUUCCUGAGCUGGUUUUUAGGACUAAGGCAAAAUAGUUCGAAAACCGCCGUCCUCCUCACCUUUCGAAGGAGUGACGAGGUCGAAACGUAUUUUACCUCGUCACGCGGAUUUUCUGCUUUUUGAGCUCGAACGAGAAUAGAGUUCGAGCAUUCCUGAGCUGGUUUUUAGGACUAAGGCAAAAUAGUUCGAAAACCGCCGUCCUCCUCACCUUUCGAAGGAGUGACGAGGUCGAAACGUAUUUUAUCUCGUCACGCGGAUUUUCCGCUUUUUGAGCUCGAACGAGAAUAGAGUUCGAGCAUUCCUGAGCUGGUUUUUAGGACUAAGGCAAAAUAGUUCGAAAACCGCCGUCCUCCUCACCUUUCGAAGGAGUGACGAGGUCGAAAUUUGCUAGUCGAAAGUAUUCGACUCCUAGCGUGAGGAGUUAUAUUUUGUCGACUUUGCUAGUCGAGAGUAUUUGACUCCGAGCGUGCGGAGUUCUAUUUUGUCGACUUUGUUAGUCGAAUGUAUUUGACUCCGAGCGUGCGGAGUUCUAUUAGACUUUGUUAGUCGAGAGUAUUUGACUCCGAGCGUGCGGAGUUCUAUUUUGUCGACUUUGUUAGUCGAGAGUAUUUGACUCCGAGCGUGCGGAGUUCUAUUUUGUCGACUUUGUUAGUCGAGAGUAUUUGACUCCGAGCGUGAGGAGUUCUAUUUUGUCGACUUUGUUAGUCGAAUGUAUUUGACUCCGAGCGUGCGGAGUUCUAUUUUGUCGACUUUGUUAGUCGAGAGUAUUUGACUCCGAGCGUGCGGAGUUCUAUUUUGUCGACUUUGUUAGUCGAGAGUAUUUGACUCCGAGCGUGCGGAGUUCUAUUUUGUCGACUUUGUUAGUCGAAUGUAUUUGACUCCGAGCGUGCGGAGUUCUAUUUUGUCGACUUUGGUAGUCGAAUGUAUUUGACUCCGAGCGUGCGGAGUUCUAUUUUGUCGACUUUGCUAGUCGAGAGUAUUCGACUCCGAGCGUGCGGAGUUCUAUUUUGUCGACUUUGUUAGUCGAAUGUAUUUGACUCCGAGCGUGCGGAGUUCUAUUUUGUCGACUUUGUUAGUCGAGAGUAUUUGACUCCGAGCGUGCGGAGUUCUAUUGCAAUCAUACACAGAGGCAUGUUUUUUAUACAGGUUCGGGCCUCCAUUAUGGAUAAAAACCCUACGUCCUGUUUAUAUACAUUAACUUGGAUAUCAUUCGUAUUUACAUCUGAGUGAGUAUACUACAAACUCGAGCUCCCGUGUUCUCCUUUUUCUCUUUCUCUCUCUCUCUCCUUUUUUUUUAGGCAUAAAAUUUCUUUAAAGAAAUAGCAUUCCAAGUAUGCUUUAACUCAUCACCAUCAAGAUAUGCUAACUUGAAUGCUCCCGUUUCUGUCUUCUUUUUGACUAUGAAUGGUCCUUCCCACUUUGACUCGAGUUUUCCAACAGCUACCUCAUUGAGCACUUUCUUCAAGACUAAAUCUCCUUCUUCAAUCGGCCUUGUCUUUACUUUUUGGUUGUAAUAGCUCUUUGUUCCUUCUGUGUAUGAUGCCAUCUUCUCCAAAGCUUCAACCCUUAUUUCAUCUAGCAUUUCAAGAGUUAUGUCUCUUCCUUCUUCAUCUUUUUGGUCAAAUAUCAUUCUUGGAGAAUGUGCCCCUACUUCGCUUGGAGUCAUUGCUUCAUCGCCAUAAACCAAUCUGAAAGGGGUCAUGCCAGUCGACCUUACUACCGUAGUUCUUAGUGCCCAAAGCACUGAUAGCAAAUCCUCCGGCCAUUUUCCUUUUGCUGAUCCUUCUAACCUCUUCUUGAUAGCUUCCAUGAUUUUACCAUUUGCCCUUUCCACAGCUCCAUUUGUCUGAGGAUGGCCUAUAGAGGCAAAGUUGAUUUGCAAAUUAAGGCCUUUACACAUGUCUUGAAAUUUUCCAGAUUCGAAUUGCUUUCCAUUGUCACAUACUAUUUCCCUUGGGAUUCCAAAUCGACAUAUUAUGUUCUUCCAAACAAACUUUUGUAGUGCUGCAGAAGUUAUUCUUGCCACUGCUUCUGCCUCAAUCCAUCUUGAAAAGUAUUCAAUUGCAACAAUGAUAAAGCGCAAAUCUCCCUUCGCUCUUGGAAGAGGACCUACUAUAUCUAUUCCCCAUCUGUAAAAAGGCCAGACUGGCGGAAUUGGUUGCAGUUCUUUGGGUGGUGCUUUUGUCAUUGGGCCGAACUUCUGACAUGCUUUGCACGUCUUGAUGUAUUUCUCUGUAUCUUUCAUAAUUGUUGGCCAAUAGAUUCCUUGUCUUAUGACUUUUGAAGCCACUGACCGUGGUGCUUGAUGAGCUCCACACAAGCCUUCAUGUAUUUCUACCACCAUCUUCAUGCCUUCUUCCCUUGUUACACACUUUAACAAAGGAGCAGUAACUCCACUUUUAUACAACUGUCCCUCUACCACCUUGUAUUUUUUGGAUGUUAGUUGUAUUCUCUUUGCUUCUUCUUCCUUUUCUGGAAGUUGUGCACUGGCAAGGUAUUUCAAGAUCGGUUCUCUCCAAUCUCCUUCUCUCUGUAUGCAUGCUACUUCUUUCUUUUCGUAACUUGGCUGGGUGAUUAUAUCGAAAAAUGAAUUUUCCAAUGGUUGACCUGUUGCGGCUGCCUUAGCUAGCUCAUCAGCUUCUCCAUUUUCUUCCCUUGUUAUGGCUUUUACCGUUAUUCCCAAGAAAUGUUUCUCAUUCAGCCUUGCUUCUUCCAGAUAUUUAGCCAUAGUUUCCUCCUUUGCUUCAAAGGAUUUGGAAAAGUGACCUGCUACCAACUUUGAGUCAGUUUUGACUAUUAACCGCCGAGCCCCUAGCGCUCUUGCCUUUCUCAUAGCCAAUAAAACGCCUUCAUACUCUGCUGUGUUGUUUGUUGAAGGAAAAGCUAAUUGAACAGAAUACUUCAACGUUUGCUUCAUUGGUGUUUUCACAACUGCAGCGGCUCCUGCUCCGGCGGCAUUGCAUGCUCCAUCAGAGAAUACUAUCCAUGGUUUUUCGACUUCUUCCUGUUGUUCUACCUCAUUGGGAGUCCAUUCUGCCACAAAAUCUGCUAGUACUUGUGACUUUAUGGCUGUUCUUGAUAUGUAUUUCAGGUCAAAAGGUAAGAGUUCCAUUGCCCAUUUUGCUAUUCUCCCCGCGACUUCCUUGUUUGUUAACACUUCUCCUAUCGGGUAUGCCGAUGGUAUUGUUAUGUCAUGCGACAGAAAAUAAUGCCUCAACUUUCUUGAAGCCAUCACAAUUGCAUAAAUCAACUUUUCUACUUCUGAGUAUCGUGUUGUUGGUCCUUGUAAUGCUUCUGAGACAAAGUAUACCGGCACUUGCCUAUUUUCUUCUUCUUGUACCAAAACUGCGCUAACUGUCGCUGGAGUUGCUGCCACAUACAUUAACAGAGGUUGACCUUUUGGCGGACUUGCUAAUGUUGGCAUUUCAUGCAAGUAUUUCUUCAAGUCCUCGAAAGCUUGUUGGCAUUCAGCAGUCCACUCGAAGGUGUUUGCCCCCCUCAAAGUCUUGAAGAAGGGUAAUCCCUUUUCUGCUGAUUUAGAUAAAAAUCUACUCAAAGAUGCCAUUCGGCCUGUCAAUCUCUGCACUUCUCUUGUGUUUUUUGGCGGCUCCAUUUGAUGGAUUGCUGCGAUUUUGUCAGGAUUUGCCUCUAUUCCUCUUUUGGACACCAAGAAACCAAGUAACUUUCCUGCUCUAACGCCAAAAACACACUUUUCUGGAUUAAGCUUAACUGAGCAUUUUCUCAGGUUUUCAAAUGUUUCUUGCAAAUCUUUGCCAUGGGUAAAUGCUUGUUUACUCUUUACCACAAUGUCAUCUACGUAUGCCUCGACAUUCCGUCCUAACUGCUUAGCCAAGACUUUUCCUAUCAGCCUGGCAAAAGUCGCUCCUGCAUUCUUCAAACCAAAUGGCAUUCUGAUAAAACAAUAAGUUCCAAAUGGUGUUAUAAAUGAUGUCUUUUCCUCAUCCUCCUUCACCAUAAAAACUUGGUGAUAGCCAGAGUAUGCGUCUAAGAAACUCAUUAGUUCGCAUCCAGCUGUGGCAUCUACCAACUGAUCUAUCCGUGGCAAAGGAAAAUCAUCUUUUGGGCAUGCCUUGUUGAGGUCUGUAAAGUCAAUGCACAUUCUCCACUUGCCAUUUGCCUUCUUUACUAACACUGGAUUUGCCAGCCAUUCUGGGUGCAUCACUUCUCUUAUGACUUUCGCCUUCAACAACUUUUCAAGUUCAAUUUUUGCAGCUUGUUGUCUGUCUAUAGACAUUCUUCUCAAUUUUUGUUUUUUGGGCUUGUAUCCUGACUUAAUCGCUAGGUUGUGCUCAAUUAGACUUCUAUCAACUCCCUGCAACUCAUCUGGUGACCAUGCAAAUACAGCCAUGUUUUCUUUUACUACCUUUAAGAUUUCUUCCUCAACAUGUUUUUCCAAGUUUUCUCCUAUCAGAAUGAACUUUCCAGGGUCAUGUUCAUCCAACUGUACUUUCUUUGUUUUCCCUUCAGGAAUUGGCUUUUGUAUUUUUAUGUAUUCUCCCUGUUUUUGGUCAACCACAUGUACUCCUUUCACACUUGGUGUUCCUUAAAGCUCAUACUUUCUUCCUGCAAGCUGUUCUCCUCGGACCGUUAUUACUCCCCUUGGUCCUGGGAGCUUCAUACAUAUGUAGUUGUGGUGUAUUAUGGCCUCAAAAAUAUUGAUUGUUGACCUUCCAAGAAUUGCAUUGUACUGAUAUGGCAUAUCGACCACAUCAAAUACUAUCUCUUCUUUUCUCACAUUAGUGCCUUUUCCAAAGACCACUUGUAAAGAUAUUUUUCCAAUUGCAUGUACUUGUUGUCCACCAAAACCUUGUAAAGGUACUCAUGCAUUUGUUAACCUAUCUUCUGGUAUUUGCAUUUUCUUGAAAGCAUCAUAAAACAACACAUCCGCUGAACUUCCUCCAUCGAUUAACACUCUUUGCACUUCGCAUUGUGCUAUUUCCACUGAGACCACUAAAGGAUCUUGAUGAGGGAAAAGUAUUCCUUCUGCAUCUUCAGGCCCAAAGGAAAUUACCGUUUUUGAGUAUACUGGUGGAUUUGACUGAUAGCUUGUCCCGACAUGAUUUACCUGUCUGACAUAUGCUUUUCUUUGCCUUUUUGACUCAAUUCCUAACGAAGAGCCCCCAGUUAUGGCAUUUAUCACUCUCUUUGGCACUUCUUCAAUUGCCUCUAUCUUCAUAACUUGCGGUGCUUCUAUGGCGUUUUGUCCUCGUUGAUCACGAGCUCCUUCAUACUUGUUCUCAUAUCGAUUUACGUGUUUUUCCAACAAGUGAGUCAUUUGCCUGCAUUCUUCUGUGGAAUGACCUCCUGGACCAUGUAUAUGACAAAACUUACUGUAACAUUCUUCUGUGGAAUGACCUCCUGGUCCAUGUGUUUGACAAAAUUUGGUUUGGUCAGGUUUAUUUUCUCUUCCUUUUCCUCUUUCAUUGUUCCACCAUCGUCCUCUACCUCUGCCUGAAUUCCACCAUUGUCCUCGACCUUUUCCAGAUUGCCCCCAAUUGUUUCUCCCUCUGCGAGUGUUGUCCCAUUGAUGUUUUCCUUUUUCUCUUUCAUUGUUGGAUCCAUCUCCGAUAAAAUUUACCUGUUUCUUCUGAUCUUGUUUAUAGUCAUACUUGAACCUUUUCCAGGGCUUUCCGGUAUAGACGGCUUCUUCCUCUUGCACUCUCAACUCAUCUUCUUCUCCUCUUGCAAAACUUUCCAUUCUUUCAAACAAGUCUUUUGCUGUCUUUGGUCUAUUUCUAGCAAGAUCGAAACGAAGAGGACCGGGUAGCAAUGCCCUUUUUGCUGCCGCUAUGAGCAUUUCGUCAUCUACAUGCCUGAUCUGACAUCUUACCCUUGAAAACUUCACGAUGAAACUUCUCAAUGUUUCCCCUGGAAGCUGCUUCAUGGCAUACAAGUCAUCUGCCUCUUUUGGUUCUUCAUACGCCCCAAUGAAUCCUGCUCGAAAGGUGUCUCUCAUAUGUUCCCAUGAAUAGAUUGUCAUUGGUGGAAUGGUAGUGUACCAUGAUAAUGUACUCCUUCUAGCAUUGUUGGGAGUAUCUUAGCUUUCGUGGUAUCAUCUCCACCUGCUGCUUCAACUGCUGUCUCAUAUACUCUGAGGUAUUCAUUGGGAUCUGUGUCUCCUUUGUACUUUGUGAUGUUGGACAACUUGAAGUUUAUUGGCCAAGGUGCCAUUUGCAGGUUUUGACUUAAGGGAUUCUUUGUAUCUAUUGCUCUGGUCGGUUGAAAAUAGGGUUGUGUGGGCUGGAAUUGAAAGGCCUGGUUCGGUAUUUGACCUGCAUAUUGUAUAUGGUUGGCCAUUUGUGGGAUGUACCCUUGUUCAAGCAUCAUCUCUGGUUGUUGCAUAUGGAAAGGGGAAAAACCUUGGGGGACUUGGUGAUGGUUUUGAGCUGCUUGAGUGUUUGUUGAUUGCGUAUGUGUGAAGUUGGGCAAAGAUGUUUGAAUCUGUGGUAUUUGGGUUUGUGGAACUUGUAUUUGUGGUAUAUCAUUUUGUGGGAGUUGUGUUCGUGGGAUAUUACUUUGUAGGAUAUGAGGUUGGGGGAUUUGGAUUUGAUUGGGAAGAACUGGGUGGGUUUGAUGUAAUUGUGUUUGAGGAUAUUGUACUUGGUUAGGAAUUUGAGUUUGAAUUGGAAUAUGCGGCUGGAAAGAAAUGUGCGUUUGAAUGGGAAUUUGGUUUUGGCUAGGGAUCAAGGUUCGAGCUAGGUUCUGAGUAGGAAUGGUAAUUUGAGCUUGAGGUGUAUUCUGGGUAAGAAUGGGAAUUUGAGCCUGAGAUGGGUUUUGUACUUGACUGGGAGCUUGGGUUCGUGGUAGAUCUUGAGCUUGGGUGGCUUUGGUACUUUCUCCUUCUUUGUUCUCCCCCUGGGCAUCUCCUUUUGCCUGAUCUGAUUGCUUUUCCCUAGCCCCUGGUAUUGCACACUGAUCACUUGAUCCUCCUGCUCCUACUGUCUGAUUGUGUAGGGUUUGCAAUCUUUGUAACUCUUUUUGCAAUUCCUCAUAUUGUCCUUUACUCACCAUGACAGCCCCUUGCGCUUGGACCAAUUCAGCCAGCUCUACAUCACUCAUGGGUGUUUUCCCUGUUUCUUCCACCACCGCACCAGCAAUUCUUUCUUCUUGAGUUGUUUCAUUACCUCCUGCUGCUGUGGAUGUCUUGGCCAUCUCUGCCCACUGCUUAUCAAGUGUUUCCGUUGCUCUUGCCAAGUCACUUUCUUCCACUGCCUUUUCCCACUCUCUCUCGAGUGCAGCUGUCGCGCUUGCAAAAGCUCCUGUAUAGCGUACUGGCACAGUCUUCUGUCGUUGAGAACGUCGCAUUUACUGUUUGAGCCCAAUUCAAUGGAGACUUUCCGUCCCCACGGACGGCGCCACUGUUGUGACCUUAGGUCACGAACAAGAUCGGGGAUAGGCCGGAAAGAAGUGUUUUCCCGCCUAUCCUUAGAAACGAGCUCGAACAGCAAACACAACUUUUGAGGAUUACUUUUGUAUUCAAGAUGUCUUGUCCUGCUACAGGUUUUUGACUGGCUUUUAUAACCAGUGGUCGUACACGUGAGAUUACAUUUUUACCCCUGUGGGUCUUUGUAAGUUUACUCUAAUGCCCCUGCCACAUCAGCGUCUGUGGGGGCAUUCUAGUACAUCUCCAGGGGUCUUUUAGUCUUUUAGGUGCUAGCUGGCGAGAGUGGUUGAAGGUGGUCCCCACGGAAUCUUCCCUUGGCAUCUUCUCUUGUUCGAGUAGUGCUCUUCCUCGAACUCUUGGGAAAAAUGCCUUUUCCGUCCUGGACCGUCUUCUUCCUCCUGGGAAUUUGAAUUCCCCUUUGCCUUCUCUUUCAUCCUUGGAAAACACCUGUGAAAUUGUAACUUGUCCAAAAUAUGUGUAGUUGUAUUAGCGAUUAUGGAAUGUCCCUAAAAAGGUGUUCUUCACCCGAAGAGGUAUUUUCUAUUCGAAUGAGUGUUCUUCCUCUGGGAAGGUAUUUUCCCUUUGGGAAGGUGUUCUUCCUCUUGGAAAGGUAGUUUCCACUCAAAAUGAGUGUUUUCCCUUCUGGAUACUUAGGUCUUGCAAAACCUCGUAGUGUUUUGACCGAAUUGGAGGAAAAGGUGUUUGCACCCUGCUACAACAAUUGAUGAACUAAGUGUUGAUGGACUGAUGUUCUGUUGUUGUUCUCAAACCCAUUUCCUGGAGUGAUAGGCUGAUAGCAGUAUAGCACCUGAAUUGUGUAUACCUUAUAGGCUUAUACCAUUCUGUUUUGCUGUAUUCUUUUAGAAUAUUUGUUAUGCAAAUUAUAUGAAGUUAUAGAAGAAUAUAUUUUGCUGUGAGACUCAGUUUGAGGGGUUUAUGUAUUCCGAUAAAUUUUCGUUACCGUAUCCGCGCCGGUUCGUUUUCGCUCCGUUUUCGGUUUUGAUAAUAUUCGUUUCCGUUUUCGUUUUCGGGGUUUCCGAUUUCGAUUCCGAUUCCGAAAAAAAAUAUGAAAACGAAAACGAUAAAGGUUGUUUCCGUCCGUUUCCGUACCGUUUUCACCCCUAAUGACAUGCACGCAUUAUCAUACAUCCAUGUCUACUAAAUUUUUUUUUCAAGUUUAGUUUGCACCUAUAAAAAUUAAAAUCUGGAAAUUCAUUUGCACGGGCGAGUACUUAAGAGAACGCAAUGUUGAAAUUGAUCUCCACGGCUGUCGGUAUAUAUUUACAAAUCUCGCGAAUUUCAACGUUACAGGCCAUAUAGUCAGCCUCGAAAAUGCCCAUGUAAACGAACUAGCUAUCGGCGGUCUACACAAACAUUUUUUUAUAGUGUCAUGGUGACACUCAUUUUUUCUCACCUUGAAAAUUAUAAAACAAUGAAGCGUAGCAAGGAAAUCUUCAUAGAGAUAUAAACAGAAGAACAUCUGAGUUCAUCAUUUAUUCAUCAUACAUGCUUCCAGAUAAAAGGAAACACAAAUUAUUUAGUAACCAAAUCACACACAUGAACAGCCAAUAACUAGCUACAUACAGAAGGCUAGUAGCCAGUUCCCGGUAGCCAGUAGCAGACACCGCCUACGCCAUUGGGGAUGUCCACGUUGCAGAACGCCGGGAGGCUCGCCGCCGCGCGCUCGAUGUCCCCUCUCCGGCAGCCGCGGAACACCUCGGCCAUGGGGUGCCCAGCGUCGGCGGCGCCGCUCUCCCUGUAGAUGAUCCUCAGCAUGUGGUUGAGCGCAUCGCACCUGCACCAGCUGCUGUCGAUGGCGGCGAGCUGCCGGCAGCAGCCUCGCCGGACCUGCUCGUCCACCGUGCCGGGGGCGACGCACUGGCGCUUCACGAACGCCCGGCAUCGCGGCAGCGGGUACGUCGGGUAGCCGAUUCCUGGCUGACAUAGCUGGCCGGGAGUGUAGACCACCUGUUCUUGGUGGUGGUCCGCCAUUGUCGUCGUUGCUGCGAGCACGGAGACGACGACGACGAGCAACGCCGAGAUCACUACCUUGUUGGAAGCCAUUUUUUUUUGUUUGCAGAAAUUCUUGAUUGUUAAUUUGUAUGAGAGGGAUAGAAGCUCUCCCAUCUAUGGGUGGUUUUAUAUAUAGCUAUAAAGACUAAAGUGGUUCAGGAAAUGGAGACAAUUUUUUUUGGCUGUUCAUGAGGGAUUAGCUUGUGGUUUUGAAUGAAAAUUUUGUUGUUAUUCGUACGCCUAAUCUGGCAUCACACGGAUAAAAGUUGGUUAAAGGGGAUUGAUAUGCACCACACUCUUUAAUUAUUUCAACUUAUUUUGAUUCUUCCGUGCAAGAAAUUGAAUUAAUGCACACAUUGUCAACAGACGCGACGCAUAGUUAUGCAUGGUAACAAAAUCUGUUGAUCUUUAGUUCCAUGGCUUAUAUGGUGAUCCAAAUUGUUGAACAAGAAAAACAAUAGUUCCAAACAAAUAUUUUAAAAGUAAUGCCUCUGGAAGCUGCAACAGUAGACGUGCCUGAUCAAGCAUAUAUAUAUUGGAGUUAUCUGAAACACAAAUUUCAUAUAUAGAUAGCUUUAAUGCGCACAUUGGAUAACAGGUUAUAUUAACAAGGCACGGCAUUAUAUAUGGCUAGAAGAAGCACGUACGCAAAAUCACUUUGUGAAAAAAUGAUACAAAUUAAAGGCUACAAAUAAUUUGUGCUAUAAUCCUGUCGAGUUGCAGUUUGUGCCAGCCCUUUUUUUAAAGAAAGUAUAAGGGAUAUCAAAAUAUAGGUCUUAAGUGAGGGGCAAGAAAGAGUUUGUUAUUUUGUGAGAAAGGAAACAAAAUAAAACAAGAGGGUUGUUAGCUUGGGUGUGAGUUUAAUGUCCUUCAAAGUGUAUUUGUUUUAUCUGAUCGAUGAUCUUAAUUAUUGCAAAAUAAACAACUCAUUGUAUUCCUUUUUUACUCGUCAUACGUACCAUCUCGACACAUUAAUUCUCACCAGUUCAUAGGUUUUUGUCAUUCGUAUUGAUAAUUAUAUUAAUAAAAGACAGUUAAAUAUAACAAUAAUAAAUAUUCAUAUUUUAUUUUUGUGUAUAUUAGUGAGUUAAAAAGAAAUCAAGAUUUUGUUGCCUCCUAUCCAAAACAGCAUUUUUCCAUGAACGGGAAGUAACAUAUAUAUCAAUAGCUUUACUUAUAUUUUGUUCACGCUUUCACAAUUGACAUAUUUGUGUAGUCAUCGCAGCCAUUUUUUCUAUAUGUAUACUUCGUUGUAAUUUAUUUUUUUGCUGGCAUGCAGUAUAUGACAAAGUUAUUGUGUAUGGCUUUUACAGACGUCAUGAAAAAGAACAGAAUGUCCAAGAAGCAGUUGGACCAGAGAGGCCAAGGCGAACUUGAUAAGAUCUGAAAUGGACUGUGCUGCUACAAGGGUGGCAAAGGGGAUGCUUUUUGACAGGUCAUGAAACUAGUCCCCGCUUUCACAAUUAACAAGCCACGUAAUAGAAAUUACUAAGAACAUUACAAAAAAAGGGGAAUUUCAAGAACAAAAUAAUAGAAGAGAGGAACAUCGUCCAUUCCACUUUUUAUUACUUAUUAUUGUCAUCAGAUAUAUGGAGACGCAGCAAUCGUGGAUGUGAAAAUUAAUUAGUCGGCUGGCUAGUGCUAGCUAGUAACAAGCUACUCCCUUCGUUACAAAAUAAGAUUAUAGAGGGGACCUUCAGGUUUUGCAAUACACUAAUACACAAACGAUUUUUCUAUACUAGACUUCAUGAAUUUUUGCAAACAGACCAUAAGUGAUGGCGUAUGCAAAAAUCGACCUUCAUUUUUGCAUACGGCUUCUUAAGACGCCCGUAUGGAAAAACUGAUUUUUCCAUGCGGGUCACUUAAGAGGUCCGCAUGCAAAAAUGAGCUCAUUUUUGCAUGUGGAUCACUUAAGUACCCGCAUAGGAAAAUCUAUUUUUCCAUACGGGCGUCUUAAGAAGCCGUAUGUGAAAAUAAAAUUUGAAAAUUUAAAAAUUUGAAACUAGUUUAUCUCACUCGUAUGAACUCUAAAUUGGAUGAUUCUUUUUCCUAAAUGUUUCUAAAAUCAUACUCUAUCAUGUUAUUGUGUUCUUUUGCUAUUAUUUUGGCCAUUUUUCCUUGUGACUUCGUUUUAUAAAUUAAAAAUUUGAAUUUCAAAACUUCAAAUAAUAUUUUGAAGCAGUAAAUAACUUUAGUCGAAAAGUCAUCAACAACAAAGUUGUAUAACUCAUCAAGAUCUAUAACUUUUAUUUUGGUCAUUUCUUCAUUUGAUGAAGUGAUAGUAAUAUUUUCACAAAAUUUACAUAUCUCUCUUAUAGUUUAUAAAACCAUAUGAGAGAUAUGUAAAUUUUAUGAACAAUGUUACUGUUAAUUUGUCGGACGAAGAAAUGACCAAAAUAAAAGUUAUAGAUCUUGACGAGUUAUACAACUUUGUUGUUGAUGAUUUUUUUCAACUGAAAUCAUUUAGUUUUACAAAAUGUUGUUUGAAGUUGUCAUAAUUUGAAUUUCAAAUUCAAAUUGUUGAAUCAAAGUCAUAUAGAAAAAUGACCAAAACAAAAGUUGUAUAUUUUAAUAAGUUAUACAACCUUGUUAGUGAUGUAUUUUUCAUUUGAAAUCAUUUACUACCUGAAAAAUUAUUUAAAUUUAUUAUAUUUUAAAGUUCAAAUUUUAGAUAGUUCAAUCAAACUCGGAUAGAGAAAUGACCAAAAGAAAAAUGGUAGAUCUCAAUGAUUUCUACAACUUUGUUUUUGACAACUUUUUCACAUGAGUUGAUUUAGAACCAUAAAAUUCGAUUCGAAUUUCUCAUAUUUUUACAUGCAGCCCCUUAAGAGGUUCGCAUGCAAAAAUCUACUUAGAUUUUUUCAUGCUUACCUUUUAAGUGGUCCGCAUGCAAAAAUGCCACCCCAAUUUUUUUCAUCUCCCUCCACUCUCUUUUCCCUUCCACCACUUCAAUUUUUUUUCAACACAUCUCCUCUCUCUCUCCCCCUCUAUUAUUUAAGGCAAAUUUUGCUACAGGACACUUGUUAUGUGUGGUUUUAGCCCCAGGACACUGCCCAAACUCACUUUUGGGUGAAAACACUCCGUAAACGUGGUAAUUUACCAGUGGACACCACGCCGAUUAAAAUAAUGCUUUCUCUCAGAGCGCGCUUGCACGGGGUGGCGUCGGUCACGGCAAAGAUGGCGAGGAUGGCGGCUGGCGGAGUGGAGCGGGGUGGCAGCGGCGGUGGACGAGCGCGUGGCCGGUGGAGCGGCAGUGUCGGCCAAGCGGAGUGGCAGCGGCAGCGACCAAGUGCGCGAUAGGAGUCGCGGCGGCGGGCGGCUGGCGAGAGUGGCGCACACCCCAUGGCGACGGCGAUGGCGACGCAAGCUCCCACGUCGGCUGAUCUCUUUGGCGGCGGCGGUGGUAUUAUUUUAAUCGAUUUUUGACAUUUCACGCGAUUUCUCUCUCCUCUCCAACCGGAAAGUAUUAUUUUAAUCGGCGCGGUGUCCACUGGCAAAUUACCACGUUUAUGGAGUGUUUUCCCCCAAAAGUGAGUUUGGGCAGUGUCCUAGAACUAAAACCACAUAUAACAAGUGUCAUGUAGCAAAAUUUGCCAUUAUUUAUUUUUACUCUCCCCCUCUCUCUCUCUAUCUCCACGGAUCUGUCCUCUCCCUCUCUCCCCCUCCCUCUCUGAGAGCGGGUGCCGGUGACCGUGAGCAGGGACGGAGAUGGCAUCGGUGGGCGGCGGAUCCAGCGGCGCCGCCCUAGGGAGCGGCUACGGCUACGACGACGGCGGGCGCACAGCGGGGGCGGCGGAUAGAUCCGGCGAGUGGGCGGCGACGCGGGCGGCGGCGCCGUCCCGCGCAGAUCCGGCGCCAAGGGCUCUUCUCACCCGCGCGAACAGUGGGGCCGGCGGUCGGCGUCGACGGCGGGUGGUGGGGUAGUCGAUCCGGUGAUGGCGUGCAGCGGGGAUACGGCGCUCCGGCGGCGGGCUAGGGUUCGGGUUUGUUGGUUUUUUUUUCCGUGAUUUUAUUUUCGCAUGCGGCUGGUAUAAGCGACCACAUGCGAAAAUCCCAUUUCGCAUGCGGUUGCGCCGGCCACAUGCGAAGAGCGUCAUUUUGGCAGAUCUUCUUGCCCAUGCGGUUGGCAACCGCUCCUUCUCGCCCGUAUGCAAAAAGGGGUUUUCGUAGUAACGAUAGCCAUACUCCGUCAACAUAUACACCGUGCUGGCGAUCCUCUGGCCAUCGCAGCCCUGCAGGUAGUGCCACCAUGCGGCCGACACAUGGACACCCUCCUUAGCAUGACAUUCCAUAUUUCUCGUCAUAUCAAAGUUUAAAGAAGUAAAGAACGACGGCAGAUAGCUAGCGAAUCAUCAAGACAUAUACAGAAGAACAUGGGAGUUGUUCAUCAUUUAUUCACCACACAUGCUUCCUAACAAAAGGAAACACUAAUUAUUUUAGGAGUAAAUUGCAUUCACGGUAUAUCAACUUGGCAAGUGGAUACAAUUUAGUGUAAGAUAAUAUCUACGGGAGCAAUAUAUUCUAAGAUAAUAUAAGACUUGUGCAAGAGGUUCUUAUUGCCAUCUAUGGAUGAGGGUUAUGCAUAUUCUUGCCAACUAUGGCCUUGUUUAGUUGGGGAAAAUUUUUGAGAUUGGUUGUUAUAUCGAAUAUACAGACACACCACUGGUGGAGAAACCAUCUUUCGUCGGUCGGCCGAAUUCCACAAUAGUCCCGGUUGCAAUAAAAACCAGGACUGUUGACGAAAAAAUCGAACACACCAGCCUGGGAGAUCUUCUUAGCUCCUGUGCAGGUCCAAAAAUUGAUGAGAUGCGGGCGUGCCAGUCAGUUUGAUCCUGCAACUGACAAGAUAUGCAAAUAGUAGAUCAAAACAGCCGAACGGCUGACAAGCCGAUGGAGUAGUUCCAGCCGAUGCCGAUAAUAGCCGAUGCCGAUACCAGCCGAUAGCGAUAGGAUUUAAGCAAUCGGCUAUAUAAAGGCAAUCGGCUACUGAUAAUAAAAUAUAACAAUAAUAUAGUCCAGUAUAAACCAAUCGGCUAGCAUUGAUAUGAUAGAAUAAGCAUUGAUAUGAAGGUUAGAGCAUACAUCAGCUGGAGGUCCGAUGUCAUGACAUCCACAAGAUUAGAUUAAACAGUGAAGCCUUUGUUGUCAUCGGCUAAAUCCAACUUAUAUGUAUAUGCAAUUCUUAUGAGCCGAUGCAACAUCCAGAUAACUCACCGGCUGAAACCCCGAUGAAACCCUUAUUGGCAAUCAAGAAGCAGGCUAGAUAUUAUGGUUCUAAGCACGACAUAGUAGAUCAAACUUAACUGAUACAGCACUAAGUAUGAAAAGAAACAUAAUAUCUAGACAAUCAAGCCGUUGACUGAGUUUUCAGGGUGGUAGAUGUCUAAGCUAAUCUAAUCUAGCAACGGGAUUUAGCCGAUACCGGCAGAAACCCUAAAACGAGAAGUAGUCGAUAGAGCUAAAUUGAUAUGCUAAGACUAGAUUAACAGAGACAUAUGAUAAAUAGGUAGGCAAGUAUAUCAUCCAAACCAGAGCAAUCCAAGAGGUCGAAUGUACUGAUGCAGCCUUGAACGACGCCGAUGUAGACGAUACAAUUGCCUGGGCUGGCGGAACAUUGGACUUACCCCUUAGCCGGAGAUCGAACACCGAUGCAGCCCCGCGUCAGGUGCCAAGUCCCGCCGGACAAUAAAAUAAAGUAGAAAAGGUAAAAGGUGGCGAUGCGCCGAAUUGUAUUGAUCGUGGAGAUAGAUUACAUAGACCCUGGGUGUACAUAUUUAUACCCAUGGGUUGAUACAAGUCCUUGUCGGACAAGAAAGAAGCUUUCCUAAAGAUAAAAGGAAAAGAUAAAGUCCUUAUAGGACACUAAACACACUUUCCUAAAGAUAAAAGGAAACUAACAAACUAUUUCUAAUUAAUAGAUAACUUGCCAUGCCGCAUUCUCUUUGAACUCGGUCUUUUCUGGAUAAGCUUCCUUUAGUAGAUCAAUUUCCUUAACCGAAUAUAGCAAGAAUCCGACAACUAACGACUUGACAACUCUCAUCGGCUAAUCGCAGGACUUCGAAGCCGAUGCUGACUCUAAGCCGAUGACUACUCCGGGUUUACCAAAUUUCACUGUUAACAGGCGUUAAAGAUGAUCUUUAGUCCCGGUUAAAAAGGGUAACGGGCAUAUUUGAUCUUUAGUCCCGGUUGAGUCAGGGCCUGUCAGGCCCCCCCCCCCCCCCCGGGAUCUUUAGUCCCGGUUGGUAACAAGUAUCUUUAGUCCCGGUUGGUGUUACCAACCGGGACUAAAGAUCACGGGGAUCUUUAGCCCCAGUUCAUAACACUAACCGGGACUAAAGUCUCACCCUUAGAUAUUCGUCUUCUUCCUCCUCUAGCUGCCCGAGCAAGCUUCAAAAUUUCUUCAAAAAAGAGGGGAGGUCAUGCCAAAAUUUCUAGUGAAUUUAUUUUGGUGAUUAUAUACAAAUCGGAGGUGCCUAAAAGGUUAGCAACUUCAUUCUCCAAUGUUUUCUUUGUCAUAUUAUAUUUGGAGCUAUGUUUUGCACACUUUUUUGUCUCCAAAAUUUAGUUGUAAGUUGAUGAGAGAGAAAAUUUGUGUGGGGAAGAAAGAAUAUAUAGAAAUUUAGUUUAUUUGCUAAAGAAGGUUUUAUAAAAUAGUUGAGAAGGAAAAUAUAGUGAAAGUUAAUCUUAAAUAAUAGAAAACAAACUAAAAUGAAAAUUAAAAGAAGUACAACACAUUAAUAUUAGUUUAAAACUUUAGAAAUAGUAAAUAAGAAUUAUUUGGUGUAAUAUUUUAUAAUUUUUGUAUGAAUAAUGAUAUGUCAUUAUUGUAUGACUGUUGAAAGAGUUUGUAAUUAUUUUAUAAUUAUUGUAUGACUGUCAUUAUUGUAAGAAUAAUUAUUUGUGUACAAUUUUUGUUCAUCUCAUGUAGAUGGAUCGGCAAUGGAUGUACGCUGACCGGUGGUCCAAAGAGGUUAUUGACGGCGUGCGUUAUUUUUUGAGAAUGGCCGAAGCUAACAGGCAUAAGGGUUUUAUUUGUUGUCCAUGCAAUAAGUGUAAGAAUCAGAAGGAGUAUUCUGCAUCCAGGACUAUUCAUUUCCACUUGUUUGAGUCGGGGUUCAUGCCAAGCUAUAACUGCUGGACAUCCCACGGAGAGCAAGGGGUUGAAAUGGAAGAAGAUGAAGUGGAAGACGACAAUAUUCCGGACUUUGGUCAAUACGCUGGAUUUGAAGGAAAUCAAACGGACGAGGAGGAAAGGGAUGUUGAUGGUAACGACAUUGCGGAUGAUCUUGGUUAGAUGUUGCAAGACGCCAAGGAGGACUGCAAAAGUGAAAAGGGGGCCCAUAAAUUGGACAAGAUGUUAGAGGACCACAGAACGUUGUUGUACCCAGGUUGCGAGCAGGGGCACAAAAAGUUAGGAUACCACUCUGAAGUUCUUGCAAUGGAAGGCCAAAAAUGGUUUUAGUGACAAGGCAUUUGGCGAUUUAUUGAAACUCAUCAAGGACAUUAUUCCGGAGGGAAACAAAUUGCCCGAGACAACGUACGAGGCUAAGAAGAUAGUCUGCCCUCUAUGACUGGAAGUUCAGAAGAUUCACGCAUGUCCGAAUGAUUGUAUCCUAUAUCGCGGUGAGGAGUACGAGAACUUAGAAGCAUGCCCUGUUUACAAAGCACUACGAUACAAGAUUAGACGAGACGAUCCAGGAGAAGUUGACGGGCAGCUAACAAAGAAGAGAAUUCCUGCUAAGGUAAUGUGGUAUUUCCCUAUAAUAUAACGGCUAAGGCGUUUGUUCAGGAACAAGGGGAAUACUAGAAUGAUGCGAUGGCACGCUGAAGAGCGUCAACAGGACGGGAUGCUGAGACACCCCGCCGAUGUUUCGCAAUGGCGGAACAUCGAAAUAAAUUUUAAAGACUUUGGAAAGGACGCACGAAACAUACGGUUUGGUUUAAGUACGGAUGGCAUGAAUUCUUUUGGAGAGAUGAGCAGCGGCCAUAGCACUUGGCCCGUUACGAUGUGUAUCUACAACCUCCCCCCUGGCUAUGCAUGAAGAGGAAGUACAUAAUGAUGCUGAUUAUUAUUCAAGGCCCCAAGCAACCUGGUAACGACAUUGAUGUAUACCUAAGACCAAUGGUCGAAGAUCUUAAACUGUUGUGGAAAAAGGAAGGUGUCCCGUGUGGGACGAGGACAAACAGGAGGAGUUUAACCUACGAGCGCUGCUGUUCGUAACCAUCAACGAUUGGUCUGCACUUAGCAACCUUUCCGGUCAGUCCAACAAGGGGUACAAGGCUUGCACUCACUGUAUGGAUGAAACAGAAAGUACGUAUCUUAAGCACUGUAGGAAGGUUGUGUACAUGGGUAAUCGUCGAUUCCUUGCUGCAAACCACCCGGUACGGAAGAAAGGCAAUCACUUUGAACAUAAGGCGGACCACCGUGCGAAGCCUAAACAUCGCAGCAGUAAAACAAUGUUUGCUAUGGUUAAAGAACUUAAAGUAGUGUUCGGAAAGGGGCAUAGAAGCCAGCCUAUAGAGAGCGAAGAUGGUCACGCGGCGAUGUGAAAAAAGAACUCUAUAUUUUGGGAGUUACCCUAUUGGGAAUUCUUGGACGUCCGCCACGCAAUCGACGUGAUGCACCUCACUAAGAACCUUUGCGUAAACCUUCUUGGCUUCCUAGGUGUAUAUGGAAAGUCGAAAGAUACACUAGAAGCACGUAAUGAUCUAAACCAUAUGGAACAACGCGGCGACCUUCACCCAGAACCAAAGGAGAAAGGAAGCCAUUACUUGAGUCCAGCCAGCUACACUAUUAGCAAGGCAGAGAAGGAAAGUAUGUUUGAAUGCUUGGAGCACAUAAAGGUACCGUCUGGAUACUCCACGAAUAUCAAGCGAAUAAUAAGCACGAAGGAGAAGAAGUUCACAAACCUAAAGUCUCAUGACUGUCACCUGUUGAUGACACAACUGCUACCAGUUGUAAUAAGGGGUAUCCUUCCAGACUAUGUGCAUUCAUGAACACAAUUUCGCAGAAGGUCAUCAAUCCGGAUAGAUUAGAAGCCCUUCAGAAUGAUGUGGUGCAUUGUCUUGUCAGUUUUGAGUCGAUAUUUCCACCUUCAUUUUUCAAUAUAAUGACGCAUCUGCUUUGUCACCUUGUCAAAGAGAUCAGUAUUCUCGGGCCUGUGUACCUACACAACAUGUUUCCUUUCGAGAGGUACAUGGGCAUUCUAAAGAAGUAUGUUCGUAACCGUGCUCGUCCAGAUGAAAGCAUCGCCAAGGGGUAUGGAACAGAGGAGGUCAUCGAAUUUUGCAUAAAAUUUAUUGAAGACCUUUGCCCAAUCGAGGUACCUGAAUCACGACAUGAAGGGAGACUAUGGGGAGAGGGAUCUCUCAGAAGGAAAGCAAUAAUGGCGGUAGACAACAAUUUAUUCCGUAAAGCCCAUUUCACGGUUCUGCAACAAUCUUCAUUGGUAGCUCCUUACAUCGAGGAGCACUUGGCUCUAGUUCGCGUCAUAAACAUCGGUAAGUCCGAUGCAUGGAUUACACGGCAUCACAUUGAUACUUUCCCCGCGUGGCUACGACAACAUCUCAUGGGUAACGAGACGAUCAACCAACAACUUGUGACAUCCCGGCCUAGGGCUUAAUAGGAUUAAUAGAAUACUCAUAUCAACAAGUUGCAACUUCUUUUCCGGAAGCCGGUCUCGAAAGAACUCUUAGGUUAAGCGUGCUUGGCCUGGAGCAAUUUCGGGACAAAGUGUGCAGAAAACACUCACUAGUAGUGUGCACGAGUGAGGACAAAGUGUGCAGAAAACACUAGCGUUGGUCUGUGAGGGUAGUCUAUGUCCUAGGGAAGCUGCUAGAUGUAGAGAGGGCCCGGUCUCGGAGAGUGUGGGGCGUCACACAACUGGCCUUCCUGGCGGGGCCCGGUCUCGGAGAGUGUGGGGCGUCACACAACUGGCCUUCCUGGCGGGGGGACCAUCUGGGUCGAUCACGACAUUCCAAGGAUGGAUUAGGUUGACUGGUGGAGGUGUAAUGAUUGAUGACAGUGGGAUGACAACGGUUGACCUUAACAAGGUUGGAUACUCGGACAAACAUUUUGUCCUUGCCAAUGAUGUAACGCAAGUCUUUUACGUGAAGGACAUGUCUAGCAAAGGAAAGAAGGGCAGAGGACCUGACGAGCCGAAGCGUCACGUGGUUCUCCCAGGCAAAAGAAAAAUUGUCGGAGUUGAGGACAAAACUGACGAGGAUUACGAUCAGUUGGAUGGGCAACCCCCUUUCACGGUGACGAUUGACCCUAGCAUCCUUCUAUCAAAUGAAGACACCCCUUACUCACGUAGCGAUCACAAGGAGGGAACAAUAAUGAGGAGAAAGUACGUGCGGUCAACCGUCACCUUCGAUGUAUUGCCGUAAUUAUUGUGUACACGAUGUAAUCUAUUUUGGAUGUAUUGAUUAUCCAUAUAAAUCAAUUGUUGUAUGGCAUAUGUUAAUUACGUACGAUGAUUAGAGGUUUGAACAAUAUUAAAUCAUGUAAUUGCUAGUUAUAUGCGAUAAUUAGAAUUUUUAAAAGUUUUAAAUCAUGCAUGUGGCAUUUACAUAUGUUACUGAGAGUUUUUAACAAUUUUAAAUCAUGCAUAUGCUAGUUAUAUGCGAUAAUUGGAAUUUUUAAAAGUUUUAAAUCAUGCAUGUGACAUUUACAUAUGAUACUUAGAGUUUUUAACAAUUUUAAAUCAUGCAUAUGCUAGUUAUAUGCGAUAAUUAGAACUUUUAAAAGUUUUAAGUCAUGCAUGUGGCAUUUACAUAUGUUACUUAGAGUUUUUAACAAUUUUAAAUCAUGCAUAUGCUAGUUAUAUGCGAUAAUUAGGAUUUUUAAAAGUUUUAAAUCAUGCAUGUGGCAUUUACAUAUGUUAAUUAGAGUUUUUAACAAUUAAUUUAAUAUCAUUCAUAUGCUAAUUAUAUAUGAUUAUUUGAAUUUUUAUUAAUUUUAAAUCAUGCAUGUCGUAUGUAUUUACAUAUAUUAAUUACAGUUUUUAACAAUUAAUUUAAUAUCAUUCAUAUGCUCAUUUUAUAUGAUUAUUAGAAUUUUUAUUAAUUUUAAAUCAUGCAUGUCGUACGUAUAUACAUAUGUUAAUUAGAGUUUUUAACAAUUAAUUUAAUAUCAUUCAUAUGCUAAGUAUAUAUGAUUAUUAGAAUUUUUAUUAAUUUUAAAUCAUAUAGGAGUAUUUGCUUACUACGUUUUAUCCACUUAAUGUACUACAGACAACAAUAAUUUUUCGAAGUAAUUGUCAUUAAUUUGAACACAUUAUUUUCUAUUUUAGAAACACAUAUGUAAUGGAAAUUAAUAUUCAGUGCGCUUAUCAGUAGUCCCGGUUCUUAACUCUAACUGGGUUUAAAAAGAAAUUGGAAAUAGCGGGAAAAUAUCUUUACUCCCGGUUAUUCUCAUCAACCAGGACUAAAGAUCUAGAGGUAUAUAUAUUCCCGAUGCGCGCCUUCGUCUUCUCCACCAACACUUAGAAGUUUUUUCCCCAAUCAAUUUCUCUCUCGGCUUCUCCUUCGCCGCCACUACCUAGAGCAUCCCCGCGCCGACGCCGCCGUCGUAUCUCGCGGUCGUCUCGCGCGCGUUGUCGUUGCCGCCUCCGCCGCCGUCGCAUCUCUGGGGUGAGAGCCGCCGCCACCUCCCUCUCUCUCUCCGACCUCGAUCUCUCUCUCUCCCCAAACAGCCGCCGGCCGCCUCGUUGCCGACGCCGCCGCCGACGUCGUCGCGGCCGAACACGACUCCGCCGCGCCGAUGAUGACUAACUUGUCACGCCCGGAAAUUCACUAGUAAUUUCCGAACUUAUUUGUGCAUAAAAUCCUCGUCCAGGAAUCAGCCGAGGUACACAAACUGACAAUUUAAUAUACAGAUUCAUCAAAUUAGCUAAAACGAUAAAUACUUACUUAAGAGGCACUUAGUCCUCACCAUGAAGAAAACUGCAGCGGAAAAUAAAAUCUAGCGAAGCUCCGGCUCCACUCCCACAGGCAGCUCAACUGGGGUAUAAGCCAAACGUCUUCUCCUUCUGGAUCAUUUUCUUCAACUGAGGUUGAUUGAUUAUUGAAAGAAUUAGCAUAUGACAUACUCAACAAGCCACACAGCAAAUAUGCAAGUGCACAAGGAUACCAAAGGAUGGCAUAAUAUAGGCUCAUUUGCAAAAACAGCAUUUAGCAAAACAUUUAAGAGAAGUAAAACAGUGGAGUAAUUAAUCAGAAAUUUUAAUCAACACUGAACAACAUACCCAUGCUGCACAGGCCCAACCAUCCUGAACAACCAUACCCGGCUGUACAGAUCUAACUCCAAACCAGGAGCUAAGCAAAUUAUUACCAGGUAUAACAUCCAUAAUUAUUGUGAGAGGUGUGAGACUAAUCACGAAAAACAUUGCUCAACCCGCCCAUAACCGCGGGCACGGCUAUUCGAAUAGUUUUACUCUGGCCAGAGGUGUACCACUGUACCCACAAGACACAGCCCCACGACAUGUCACAAUGUGCCUCAGUACCACCACGGUACCUCGGAAAGGAGCUGUGACAUUACCCCUUGCAUAACACAACCCACCACAGUGCACCGUUCCUGGAUCAUAAUCACCCCCUCAAAAACCAGAGGCAUGGACUCCCCAGCGACCCCCGUGGGCUUAUCUCCGCCACUUCUCAGUCUGGUGCUCUGCAAUGAACCAUGCUAUACGAAAGGUAAAGCCGUUGCCCACGCUGGCUUGUGGUUGGCACGGUUAAUGUUUCACAACAGUAGCUCGCGAACCGGUCCUUAAUUGCCAUGAGCACGACUCUCAAAACCAUGUGCUCACAACCCACCAUUAUCAAGAUUUAGUUGGCAAGUAAUUAAUUAACCAAUCACGAUUGACCAUCGUGAACUAUCAUUAAGCCAUCAUUAAAUAAUAGUGAGUCAUAAGUUAUCCCAAUAGUGUGCUAAUGUUUCUAAGCAUGGCUAAGCAAUCAUAACUAAUAUCUAGCUGAACCAAUAUAUAAAGCCCAACUAGUCAAGUUAUAAUAACCCAAGGUAUCAAGGAAUAAAGUAAUCAAUGCAAACAGGCCAUAACAAAGGAAUAGGUUCACACCACCCAGUGACAUUCGAAAAUAAAUGCACAGUUGAAAUAAAUAGAGAAUUUAAAUAUAGGAUCAACAUGCUCAAAGGAUUGUGUUUAGGAUCUGUGUGACUUGCCUUGCAAUAAUCGGUCUUCAAUUAAUCUUCUUGAAUACUUCCGGCGCACUCACGAACCUCCGCAACGACGGAAACGACAAGCUAACACGCAAAACGAAGAAAAAGGCUAAUAAAAACCAAAUAAACAGUACAUAUAAAGUAAACAAACAUGUAGAUCAUGAUUUUAGAUGAAUUUAGCAACUUGAACCACUCAAAACCGAGUUACGAUGAUUUAGUUAUGAAUUUCCGAAGAUUUAAUCUAUUAGAAAAACAGGAAAAAGAAAAACGAUGAUGACGUCAUGAUGACCUCAUCAAUAGCCGGACCAAGAUGGCGACCUCGCCGGAGAUUGGAUGGUCGGCUGCGACUUUGGAGGACAUGUACACGUAGAGGACGACGAGACGAACCCAACGGUACUCACCCUCGAACCAAACGACGAACGACGACGGCCGACGACGAGGUCUAGCGGCGGCGCGGCUUCGGUCGACGGCGGCGACGGGGCUCCGGUGAUCGGCAACAGCGGGGAGAGAGCGGCCGGGCUUCUCCACACCUCGGCGUACCUUACGGCGGUGACGGCGGCCGGCGGCGACGACGGAGGCGGCGGCACGACGCGGAUGGAGCUCGGCCGGCGACGACGGCGGGGUGGAGCACGUGGCGGCGGCGCUACGAGGCACGGGAGACCACGGGAGAGGGGGCACACGAAAGAGGAGGACUAGGGGGUCCUAUUUAUAGCCUUGGAUUGAAGAGAUCGGACUCCUCCCGCAAGAAAUCGAUCCGGGAAAUCAAAAACUCGGUUUUGGAGAUAAACUCGAAAACGAGUUCGAUUCGGAUAAGAUACUCAACGAUUAGCUCCGAUUUUUGGGGGUAAAGAUAGAGGAGGAUAAGAGGAAUAUUUCCCCUCAACUAAUUUUAGAAAAAGGAGCAACGAGAGGCGAGAUUUUGGAAGGGGAUCGGCGGCAACAGGCACGGCACGGCUCUGCUCUGGCUCUGUCCAGAGCUGGAAGAUGAACAGUAGCGCAGGGAGGAAAAGUAGACUUCUUGCCGGGCUUUUCUUUUCUCAGCCUGUUUAGAAGAGGGAGCAAUACCAGACUUUGGCUAAGAGAAGAAAAGAGAGGAUGCAGGCUCGGGUUGGGCCGGUGGAAGAGAGAGGAAGGAAAGGAAGGAAUGGGCCGAAAAUGGCCCAAGCUGAGGAGGAGGAUUUUAUUACUUUUCCAAUUAAAAUAAUCACUUAAAUGAUCUUUGAAUUGUUAAAAAUACUUCCAAUGCUCAAAUAAUUUCAAGAAAAAUCCUGAAAAUACUUGGACACUCAAAGUACAUAAAAAAUUACAAUUAGACCAUUUAAUGAUUAAUUUAAUAUGUGGGUAAUUACUUAAAUGCUCUUUGUAUGAUUAAAAAUUACGAAUUGAGCUCCGAAAAAUCCGAGAAUAUUCCAGAGAGUAUAAUUAACCAUGGAGAAUUUAAUAAAAAUUAAAUCCAUCCAUGCUUUAUAUUUAGGAAAUUUUAUUUCCCACAUUUAACUUCACUUGUAAAUUAAUGAACAUUUAAUAUAAAUUCUAAUAAUAAUUUAUUAAAUAAUUUAUAAAUCCUGAAACAAAAAUCAGGAUGUGACACCAACCCUGACCUCGAUGCUGCCACCACCGGCGACGACGUCGCGCCGGCAGUGCCGACGAAGCUGCGCGCACCACAACGCCGGGCUGCGCCACGCCUCCGCGGCGGCACGACGCCGAGACACCACGACGCCGCCGCGGCACGCCCUCGCCGCGCCGCCACGCCGCCACCGCGCAACGCCGCCGCUGCGCCACGUCGAUGCCGCGCCGCCACGCUGCCGCCGCGCCAAGCCGCAGCCGCGCCGCCACGCCGCCGCUCCGCUGCCGCCACGUGAACGAACGAACGAUCGUGAACGAGAACGAAUGAACGAACAUGAACGAGAACGUGAACGAACGAACGAACGUGAACGAACAUGAAGAUUUUGGAAUACAAGAAUUUAUUAAUGACACCGGGCUAACUACGGAUCAAUUGCUACGAGGUGCACCAAUCAAAAAGGCGGAAGUGAAAUACAUGUACGAACUCGGUAAACCGCUUGUCAAGCCUGAGCAGCUGCAGUCCCUACCCACACAAAUGUACAAGUUCCAUCAACUGUACAUGGAGAUGAGCGCCACCGGUACAGAAAUGAUCGGAGCGAGGAUCAGGGACACGGACUUCUUGCAAGGAGAUGACAUUCUCUGGAUCAAUUUCAAGGGUAUCUACGAACUAUACCAGCUGGAUGCCCUCGACGUCUCUAUUAUGAGUUGCUGGAUUUUGUAAGUAUCGUUCAGUUAGAUUUCUUAUUAUGUUUCCUUUAAUUAGUUAGGUCCUUGUAUAUAAGUAGACUACAUAUAAUAUAUACUUCCUUUUAUUGUUGUAGAAUGGAGAUUCAAAGGGCCCGGCGGCGGGGGGUUUUCGAUACUGGAUUCAUCGACCCUCGGAAAGUAAACGUCGCAAUGCUCGACCAGUAUCCGCAAGCCACAGAGGACAAUCUCGUCCAUCUCUUGAAGGCGCAGCAUUACAAGACGUUCAUACUAUUACCGUACAACACAGAGUUAGUUUAAUUUUACUGUCUUCCUAUACCAAAUUUCAUUCCGUACGAACAUGCUAAGUGUUUCAUAUGUAAUGCAUCCCACGCACAUUGCAGAUUCCACUGGGUCUUUUUACUCUUCAACCUGGAGGCCUGCACCGUCAACGUAUAUGACUCAAUGGAUAAAAAAGAGUCUAUGUUUGACAAGGUUUUCGAACUUAUAGACAGGUACUGUCAUAAGUUCCUAUGUUAAUUAAGAAUCUUGUUAUAAUUAAUUGCUACUACGAAUCAUAGCUUUAAACUCCAUGUAGGGCUUGGUAUCGAUUCCGUCAUUUGGUCCGCAGUAAAUGGAGAGAAAGACUUAGGCGGAAGUUCAAUUUUCCUGUGAGUACACAUGCUUUACAUUUAUAUUGAAUCUCCAAUUCAAAUACAUACAAGUGUAUAUUAAUUAGAUCUCUCACCGUUUAUCAUUUAUUUAUAGUGCACAAAGCAAAAGCAGGGAACUAACUUGUGCAGCUGCUACGUGUGCGAGUAUUGCCACUGCCUUGUAGACCAAAUCAUCACCGCAAGAGAGCUCGAUGUACGUACAAAUAAAUUCUAAAUUUCAUUGCGUACGUAUCGAUUUGUUGUUUAAUUACUAAUUAAUUUCAUACAUUAAUAUAGUUUAUUCGCAUGAGGGAUAACCUGAUCACACACAAGGAAUUUAUCGCGGUGGUUCAAGAACAACUCAUGGGAUUUAUCAAUGAACAAAUCCUUGAUCCCAAGGGUGAAUUCUACUACGACAGAAAUACAAUUCAUAGGUCCUUAGCUUCUGAGAUAACGACUACUACUACGUCGAAAUCGUAGCUAGCUAGGACAUCAUAAUAGAUUGUAAUUAAUACAUGUCUAUUUUUCUAUAUGCAUGUACACAUUUUCUUUAAUGUAAAUAUAUAUUUUAGUCAUAUAUAUAUGCACAUAAAAUGUUAAGUGCUUUCAUAUAUAUAUAUAUAUAUAUAUAUAUAUAUAUAUAUAUAUAUAUAUAUAUAUAUAUAUAUACCUAUGCAUUUGCAUAACAUAUAUAUGUAUAAAUACAUAUAUAUUAUGCAUGUAUAUGUACUGAAACAUAUAUAAAUAUAAUAUAUAUAUAUAUAUUAUAUGCAUAUAUAUAUGUAUUAAAACAUAUAUAUGCAUGGUUUUUAUAUAUAUAUAUAUAUAUAUAUAUAUAUAUAUAUAUAUAUAUAUAAACCAUGCAGCAACAGGGCCAUGAAAAAAAAAAGGUCAGCUCGACUUUAGUCCCGGAUUGGUAGUCCCGGUUUGAAAACCGGGACUAAAGGGGGGUUACGAACCGGGACUACAAACGCUUUCUCCACCAGUGCACAUUUGAAGUAUUAAACGUAAUCUAAUAACAAAAUAAAUUACAGAUUCCGUCAGAAAACUACGAGAUAAAUUUAUUAAGCCUAAUUAAUCCGUCAUUAGUAAAUGUUUAUUGUAGCACCACAUUGUCAAAUCAUGGCGCAAUUAUGCUUAAAAGAUUCGCCUCGUAAUUUACACGCAAUCUGUGUAAUUGGGAUUUUUGCCUAUAUUUAAUACUCCAUGCAUAUGUCCAAACAAUCGAUAUGACACUGUAAAAAUUUUUGUUUUGGGAACUAAACCAGCUCUAUGGAUGAGGGUUCUUAUUGUUGUCUUUAGGCUGGUUGAGUACUGGUAGUGUAAGUGGUAGUUUUGUUGUUUCUAUUCGAGUUGUGAUUUUAUAAUUUUGUAACCAUAUUCGACCUAUAAUCGCUGUGUAAUAAUUGAUUGUAGUUUCUUUUGAAACCAAGACCAAAAAUAGACGACCGUUAAUUAGUAUUUGUGAAGAAGAAAAUACGUACACCAUUAAUGGUUUGGUAUGAACUCCACGGCAUGGAAGAACGAACACAAGACAAAUAAGGCUGAGACAUUUUUUUGGCUGCGAUCUUGCUUGCUGCGCCGUUUUCUGGUGUUUAUCAUUCUCCACUUAUUAAUGGGCAAACAAGGGGCCAAUUACAUGCAUAUAUAUGACAUAACGUGUACUUUAAAGCCGCCCGAGAGUUCACAAGAAAUCGUGCCAUCCCAGGAUCGAUCACGCGUACGGCCGCUAGGUCACAACAGUUACAAACACUGAAACACACACUGAUGUAGAAAUUGAAGCCUGAUCGACGUGAACAGGAACGAUGACACGAAACAAUUAAAAUAAUUAAACAAAGUAGUGUAGUAAAGUUUACGCCAGAAGUUGUACCAUUAAGUAGUAUUACUGCAUAAUAAGAGGGGCGGCGGCGGUGAUGGGGACGCUGUGGAGAACGAUAGUCUCGACGGUGAGGCCAGGACCGAAGCCGAAGAGGACGCCCCAGUCCAUGCCCUCGCCGGUGGUGGCGUGGCCGUCGUCGGCAGAGAGCUUGCGCAUCUCGUCGAGGACGAAGAGGACGGUGGCGCUGGCCAUGUUGCCGUACUCGGAGAGGACGUUGCGGGAGGCGCGCAUGCGGGCCUUGUGGAGGGCGACCUUCUCCUCAACCUGGUCGAGGAUGGCCGGACCGCCCGGGUGCACCACCCAGAAGAUGGAGUUCCAGUCGUGGACGCCGAGCGGCAUGAAGGCGUCGGUGAGCGCGCCCUCGACACUGUCGGAUAUGAACUCCGGGACGUCCUUGGGCAGGUGGAAGGUGAGACCCACCUCGCGGAGGUGCCCCACGAUGGCGUCCUCCGUGCCCGGCAGGAUGGUCUGGCUCGCCGACACAAUCUGGAACAGCGGCCGCUCAUCGGCUGCCUCGUCGGGGUCAGAGCCGACGAUCACCGCCGCUGCGCCGUCGCCGAAGAGCGCGUGCCCGACGAGGGAGUCGAGGUGCGACUCGGACGGCCCCCGGAAGGCCAUCGCCAUGAUCUCCGAGCACACCACCAGCACCCGCGCGCCGCGGUUGUUCUCGGCCAGGUCCUUGGCCACGCGCAGCACCGUGCCACCGGCGAAGCACCCCUGCUGGUACAUCAUCAGCCGCUUCACCGACGUGGGUAGGCCCAGCAUCUUGGCCACCUGGUAGUCGGCUCCGGGCAUGUCCACUCCGUUGGUCGUGCAGAACACGAGGUGGGUGAUCCGCGACAUCGGCUGCCCCCACUCUUUGAUCGCCUCCUCGGCUGCCGCCUUCCCCAGCUUGGGCACCUCCGCCACCACCAUGUCCUGCCUCGCGUCCAGCGACGGCGCCGUGAACACGCACAUGCUAGGGUUCUCCUGUAGGAUCUCCUCAGUAAGAUGCGUGUACCUCUUCCGUAUCUGCGAGCUUUCACCUGCAUAUAUCAUGGAUGCGCGAUAUUAAUUUGCACCUGCGCUAUUUUAAUCUUAAUUAUUAUUAAUUAUUAUUGUUAUACGGUUUAGAUAGGGUGAAAUUUACUCUGGAAAUUCGCUUAAAUUUUUUUAGAAAAUCACGAGCUGCAAUUAGGAGUCCGACUAUCGUCUCAAGUUAAUGUGCGAGUUUUUUUAAGAAAUAUUUCUUAUACGACUCCUUUUGUAUUUCAAAAAAUGAACAAACAAUAAAAUUGACUCAAACACGAAUCUAUAUUUCCAAAAGCGAACGAAAUUACAAACCGACUCAAAUAAAAAUGACAUACCAAAAUACCGACAAAAACAUGAUCAGUUUUUAUAAUAGAAGUGAUGGCGCAGUACUUUAAUUUCUAUAAAGGGAUUCACCUUUCACUUAUUUAGACUAGAUACAGUAUGUGUACUAGUAUAAUAUAGAUGCAAAUUAACUGAUUACUCAUUAGUGCUUACACAUCCUCUGGAACCUCUCCUUCAGGUUGGUUAGGUGCUCGCUGUUGGUGACCCUGAAGUAGUAGUCCGGGUAGUCGGUCUGGUACACGCAGUUAGCCGGCGUUGCCGUCCCGAUCGCUAGCACCGCCGCCAUCCCCUCCGCUCUUUGCAUCCUCCUAACCUCCUCCAACUUCACUGUUGAUGUCACCAUCUCCCCACUCACCGGCGGCUAAUCGUACCUAGCUAGGAAUGUAGUGUAUAUCUUGGUAUAACUGAGGGUACUAGCAGCUAGCUUGUUCGCCACAACGAAAAUGCAUGUGCGCUAGCUAGCUGCUGCCUCUCAGCCCGGCUGAUUCGAACAAAUGGUCGCAGCUAAGUUAUUUAUAGGGGUGAGCUGCACGUUUGUCUGCCAGAACGUUGUACCCUUUUCCAAUUUUCCUAACAAUAAUAUAUCUCCGUUGAAUUUGUGUGACGAUACUAUUUUUUUUUCUGAAAACGUGUUUAAUUAAGAUUCAUUGAAGUUUGAACAAAAGUUUCAAUUCGAUCUCAUAAGAUAUAUUCUUUUCAGCUGCAAAAACCAGUACUUUAAUAUAUAUACGAAUAUAUUGGUGUAAUUCUUGAACUAAAUAUAUUUGUAAUCUAACUAAACAGGAAGGAAGCAUGCGCACACAAACGUGGACAUCUUAUUUAAAGUUUCUUAAAAUUUUGCUAGCCUAACAUAUGCAUUUUUGUGCGUGGAUGACCUUUUUUGGAAAAAAAACAUAUUAUUUCAUUCUAUAUAUUAUGAACCUGCUAUCUUAUUAACGAGUUAUGAUUUUUUUAAGAAAAACAGUACAAAUGCACACGCUCAUAAUAUGCGCACAAUGACCCCUACGAGCACACACGCACACUACCCUACCUCUACGAGCACCUUUGAAAGACUGAGACGACAUAUGUUGGGAUUUACAAAUUGACCACAAGUGCCUCGAUGUAGACAGGUACGUUGGCUACUACUACAACAAUAGUUAGCCGUAAUCACAAACACCCGCGUAUCAAAGUCUAGGACAUAAAACCGGGUGGGUUGGUUCUACCAAAAAAACCUAACAAGUUGAGCUAUACUCACUUCGCGAUUUUCUUCUAAUUAUCCUCACAGAACAUAUAUAAAAUCUAAAGCAUAAUUAUAUUGAACCAUGGAAUCUUAAAUUGAUGAGAAAAUUAUUGUGUCGGAGUUGAUCCUAUGAAAUUAUCAUUUCUAUGAUAAGUGUUUCUUUUUUAAUUGAAUAUAUUUAGCACACUCUUUUUAUAGUAUAUAUACUUUGAGCAACUCCGGUUUACAUACACACACAUAGGACAUAUAUGGGCACCCGGGCACCAUAAUAUGAAAUACACAAAUUCGUCUAAAUUUUUCAAAAUUUUCUAUAUAUCUAGUUAUAAGUAUUCGAUUCAUACCUAUACCUAGCAACAAAACAACUCAAAUUUAACUUUAUAUAUAUAUAUAUAUAUAUAUAUAUAUUAAAAUUAACUGGGGCUUCAUGGGGCCCGGCCAACAUGAUUAAAAAUUGAGUAUGUACCUAAUGCUAAUGAGUCUGAUUUUUUUAAAAAAAUGUUUAGUUAUGAACAUUAACUUAUUUACUAGCUAGUUCAAACAAGUUUGAACUAAAUUUGAAUAUCUUUUUGUUAAAUUUUGAUUGUAGGUAUAUAGGAUCUAAACUUAUAUAUAAUUACUUAGGUAUGUAAUAAUGGAUUGUAAAAUAAAGUUUAAUUUAAGUUGAUUUAUUGCUUUGGUAUGAAUCAAAUUCUUAUGACUAAAUAUACACUCACAAUUUAAAAAAUUAUAUUUUUCAGUGUUUGUGCGCGCGCGCUAGUAAUAACUAACCAUUCAAAUUAAGAACCUAACCACCUAACCAUCGUACGUGAGAUUCAAACUUAGGUGAUAUGUGUGCAUAAGAUAUAUAGCAAAACAAUGUAACCACCACACAACUUGUCAACUUGUGGAUGUACAUGACGUACCCACUCUUCUUUUUGGAGUAUACGAGGUCAGCGCCAAGCGUUAUGGUGGUCAAUCCAUUGCAUCUUCUCGCGCAUCACCGUGAGGCCUUAUUCGGUUAAUCCUUAUGAGAGAGGAAUUGGAGGGGAUUUAUUUCACACCUAUUAUAGUCUGGAAUUAUUCCCCCUUAAUCCUCUCCAAUCGCCCUCUAAGCUGAAUAACGCCUGACGGGGUUAGCGGCAUCGAUCAGGGACGAUGCUGAGCUAUUGGACCUCAAUGCCAUACGGCCCCUGAGCUCAUGUUAUUUUUGCUGAAGAUUUUUACACGGUUUAUUUCAAAAUAAUUUUUCUAAAAGAUUAAUAAUUAGUCAAAAUUUCGAUGGACUUAUAGGCGGAAAAAUAUGUGUACAUGCGGAUGAGCCACCUGCGCCUCUACCAAAUUGCCAUAACCACAUGUAAAAAUCAAUUUUUGCAGGUGGUUAGGUUAAGCCGAGCAACUUGGGAGGUGAUUUUCGGUGAAAACAAAUAAUAUAGCUCAAAAAUAUCCAGAUGCAGUGCCAUUUCCUGCUCGUCCCAUUUCUACGGAUCCACACCACUGCAAAUCAAUAUCAGACACACCGCAAAUCCAAAGUCGAGAGUAAACUUCCACAUCACCAUAACAAUGCUCAACACAUAUAUAACGCAAUUCCAUAACAAAUUCACAUUUAUCUCAUAGCGAAAUAAAAGCGAAGUGAACAUAGGUCAAGGCUGCAGCAAAGCUUGCCGUUAUCGAGCUCAGCAUUGGCCCCUUUCUCCCACUGCCUUGAUCAUCAGCCUCCAUCUCAGCGCUCCUGCCAUGUACCUUGAUCUGGAUCUAGCUAGAGGUGGUAGUGGUGUGGUGGAUGCGAAGGAAGAAAGGGGAUAAGGCAGGGUGAGGCAACCUCCGGUGGACCGGUUGCUUAUGAGCCUUUAGGAGACCACAAUUGUCGUCAUCGUUUAACAAACCCUAUCGGCAGCAGAUCUGCCACUCCCAAGUCCACUGGAGGUUGAAGUUGUCAGCGGGUGCCUAGAGCCCACCAACAGGCGGUGAAUCCACCGCUCCUGAGUACGCAGGAGGCCGUAGCAAUCGGCAGCGCCUGCCGAGCCUUGUCAGCAUCGGUGAUCAUGUCGUUGGCUAUGAUUGACGAUGGCCUUGCGAAGCCUGCCAGCUGAGAGGCGCAUCGGUGAUGGGAGAGGGCGUAGAGGAAUUAGAGGGAGCAGAUCUCGACUCAAUCGUCCUAUCACACAAAUAAAUAUACAUGGUAGUCGUGUUACUGCACAUUGACCGUAACGUUACUACGCCGUUCCAGCGUGAUGAGAACUAAAAAAAAGUAAAUCUCAAUCUUUAGAGAGCAAUAUCUCUCACAUUAUAUAGUAUUUUUCUAAUUCGUCUGCACCAUGAUUUCUGUAAAAAAGUGCUUAACAAAACUAUUUUUCGAUGUUGUUGCUGCGAGAAAGUUGUCCUGUUACUACACGAUAACCGUUAUGUUACUGCGGGAUUCCUGCGAGACGUGAACAGCAAAGUGGUGGGUGGGAGAGGGAGUCAAUGGGCGGGUUUAACUCGGGUUUGACCGGCGGGAGGAGGCUUUGACUAGCCUUUGACUGAGGUGGGAGGGGAGAUUUGGGCCAUAUGAAUGGUGGGGGAGAUGGGAUUGGCCCAUGGGAGGGGGGUGUAGAAUAGUUAUUCUAGGGGAGGGGUGUAGAAUAGAUUUGCUAUAUAUAAUAAUCUAGGAUGGGAUGAAACCCAUCCACAUUUUGGAACGGAGUUAGUAGAAGUUAUAAAAGUUGCACCUCAACUUUCCGGAGGGAGUGUAAGCCAACUAUAGCUUAUGCCAAGACGAGAUAAAAAAAAUGAGAAGUGCUAGCUCUUAUGCAAAAUCUAGCUCUACGCAUGCUCCAAAGCAAAUGCAUUAGUUACAUAGGCGAGGGAAAAAGAGGAAAACAAAAAUAGGGCAACAUUACAACUAAAAUAUAUAUAUGGUAGGUUUAAUAUGGACUUAUUGUUUGAAUUAAUAGAUCGGUCUUAGCCCAUUCGAAGUUUAAUUCUUUGGAAAAUCAUAAAAGCCCACCUCAUGGGAUAUCAUGCAUGGGGAGUUUAGUACCGCCUUGCCUAUUCAAUGAGAGGAAGACCUCCUUUUAAGAGAGGAUGCUCUUCUAGCCACUUGAGGCAUGUGAGGCGGAGAGAACAGGGGGAACACGUGCUCCUGACAUGUCAGUUUAACUCGGGUUUAAUAUGGACUUAUUGUUUGAAUUAAUAGAUCGGUCUUAGCCCAUUCUAGGAGAGGAUGCUCUCCUAGCCACUUGAGGCAUGUGCGGGAAAUUCAUAUUUGUUUUUUUUGGAAACACUCGGAAUAAUCUGAUGAGUGAAACGGUGUGGAGUCCGUUUUGCUGCGGAAAAUUCAGAUUUUUUUUUUUGGAAACACUCCGAAUAAUCCGAUGUGUGAAACGGUGUGGAGUUCGGAUAAGUUACGCGUGACUUAUCUGGUUCGGUUCGGUUAUGCAGAGUGGAGAUCGUGUAGGCGCCCUGAUCAAGUGUCCUGAUAUCUCUAUAUAAUUUGAGCCGCCACCUCCUCGCAACAUACGUGGAAUCAAUCUUGGGUUGGCCUCCUCCUCCGUACUACGUUGUUGUUUGUAGUCUACUCCAUCCCACUCGCCGGUGCUCAAUGGCAAUCGGGAGAGCAGCUCUCCGAAACCUGCGCCUUCUACGUUUUGCACUAGAAGAAGGUAGCAAUAAGAUUUUUGGGUUUUUGGGAAGCGCUCCACGCGACUGCUCCCUAUUCGUUCAUACGGCUCGUCUUCCUCUUCGCUCGCGUGCUGUGCGCUACCGUUAAGGGACGGUACCGUGAAUUCUUCCUGCCGAGCAACCGGAUUUCCAAAACCAUCGGUAUCAACAUGUUUCGCAUCUUCGAUCUGUUCAUCCUUUACUGUCUUGUUUACAUGUAUAGAUCCUAUGAUGUGAUUAUACUAGUUUACAUCGACAAUGUCAUGAUUUAUUUAUGUAUUUAUGGAACAAAUUAAAUCAUUACGUGCUUAUAUAUUCAACACUUAUAUCUACUAGUAUUAAACUUGCUCAAAUACUCUGAAGUACAGUAAAUGAGAGUGGUUGAAGAAAUGCCAAAAAAUUAUAGCCAAUGCAUAUGUACUUCCUCUGUCUCAUUUUAAGUGCAACCAUCAUUUUUCGUGCCCAACUUUAAUAUAGUUUGUCUUAGUUGAUUUUUUAAAAAACUUUUAAAAAAACUCAUGCAUAAAGUACUAUUCAUGGUUUAUCAUCUCAUAACAAUAAAAAUACUAAUUAUAAAAAAAAUAAAGAGGACGAAUGAUCAAAGUUGGACACGAAAACUGAUGGCUGCACUUAAAAUGGGACGGAGGAAGUAGGUAACCGGAAGCUAUAUGAUAUAAUUGAGUGGAGGUAGCUCAAUUAAUUGUCAAUUGACUUGACAUGGAAUACCUGCAGAUAGCUAUGUUUGUGAAACAAAUGGAAUCUUGAUCGACCUAGACAUCUACCCAAAACUGACAAGUUGUUCCUAUUUUACAAAGUUCGAGCUGCCAUACUAUCAUUGAUAUUCUCAAAUUGGCUAAUAAACUACCUUGAAUAUGAGCAGUUCAAGAAAUGCAUAAAAAAUAUAUAUAGGCAGUGCACAUCUGGGUAACGGGAAGCUAUUUGAUCCAAUCGGGCGGAGUUAGCUCAACUAUUUGUAAAUCGUCCUAGCAAAGAAUUCGUGCAUACAACCCUGUUUGUUAAACAAUGGAAUCUUGAGCUACGUCCCACUACUACAUAAAUCAUUUUUACAUGCAGCCAGCACAAUCGCAUGCGCCAAAAGAUCUACAAAAAAUCGGAUUUUCGCAUGCGACCAGCGCAACCGCGUGCGAAAAUGGUAUUUUCGUAUGUGGUCACCUAUAUCGGCUGCAUGCGAAAAUAAUAUCAGCGAAAAAAAUAAAAAAACCGAAUCGGCCGAACCCUAGCUCGCCGCUGUCAUCAGUCGGACCCACGCAGGGCGGCGCCACUGCUGCUGCCAGAGCCCACCGUCCUCCGCGCCGGAUCCACCGUGCGCCUCUCGUCGUCGCCGUCAGAUCCGCCGCCCCCGCCGCCCAUCGUCGUCACCGGCACUGGAUCCGCGUGGGGAUGGGUCGCCACCGCCAGAUCCACGCUAGGCGGCAUUACUCCUGGCCACCUCCUUGUCAUCAACGGCGGCGCCGCCUGCUCCCAACCCCACCGCCUGCUCCCGCACACUCGGUGAGGAGAGGAAGACAAGAGAGUAUCAGAGGAGAGGAGAGGAACAGACAUAAGGAGAGGAAGAGUGAGAGGAGAGGAGACGAAAAGUUUUAAGUGGUGAGAGCGAAAAGAGAGAGCACGGGAAAAAAAAUCUGUGAAGAAGAGGGUAUUUUCGCGUGCGGACAACUUAAGAGACACGCAUACGAAAAUUUAUUUGGUAUGUGGCCCCUUAAGAUGACCGUAUUGGUAAAUAGACUUAUUUUUACAUGCGAUCCCUUGCAAAUUGCUACCACUAUAGAACAUGACGUCGUGAACGGGACAUCCAUGAUAGGGGCUUGCAUCCCAUCAUAUAGACCUCCCAUUUGACGGGACAUAAUAAACCUCGACACAAAAGCACCAUUACAGGCACUCACCACAGGCCUCUAGUCUGGACCUGUUACUAAUGACACUCAUCCUCGACACAGAUGAGUUUUGACAUCACUGACCAAUAAUCUGUAACUGGGCUCCUUGCCGACAUAGAAGGGACCCACCCAACAUGGAUGACCUAUUCCAUAGGUGUGCUGUGGAGUCUUGAACUACACAUCGUCUAUCAAAAACAUUGACAAGGUCUUCCUAUUUUACAAGCUACAAGGUACCAUUCUAUCAUUGAUAUUGUUGUCAAAACGACAACUGCAUACGUCGAAAGACGUGGUUACUCAACAGUGGAUGGGAAAAUGAAGUGUACUAAAUUUUGAAUUUUCCUUGGGGAUCCCCCAUUACAUGGCCCUAGGGGACUAUUUAUAGCCCCAUUACAGGUUCUUACUACUAGGGUUUAGGUUGUACAGGGAAAUUUACAUGAUUACCCUUACCAAAGGGGCAUUUACAGGGGUACAUAAUGUUAUAGGGGCUCAUGGGCCUCUGAUGGGCCGUCUGGCGAUCGCCGGCCUGUUGGGCCGGAAAGGCUUCCUCGGCCCUCACGGGGGCGAACUUGUCAAGGCGAAGUCAUCCUCCUUCGGCAGAUAGUCUUCGCCCUGCACCCUUCGCCUGAGACGCCUCUGGCCUGGCGCUUGUACGACUCUUCGCCUUGCGCCGUUCUUGUUCCAUAGCCUUCGCCAUGGGUUUCGGCAGGUUUGGUUGAAGGACCUCAUGCCAUCCGCCAACAAGCCCCUCACGGGCAAGGGUGAGAUUGGAGCUUCGGCCGAGACCGUGCAAACCAUGUGGUAUGGUAUGCGGCGCCCCCUUUCGACCGAUGCUCCUGCCGAAACCUACAUUAUUCCUGCGAAUGAAGUUUGUUAUUUGUGCGGCUGGUAUUAUUUUGCCGCGCUUCGCCUCCUGCGAUUGAUUUUUAUAUAUAUUCUUUUUUCCUGGGCCGAACGGAAGCCUUCCUAUCGUGGGCUUUUCACUGUGCCGCUCGGUCGAUGGGAAUUUACCAUUUCACCUACCCUUGCGACACGUGGCGCUUUAUUACUAGUGGUUAGGCGAACGGUCGCCUGGGUGGGCUAUAUAUUCCCGCUUCUCUUUCCUUUUCACCGCCCCACUUUCCAUUUUACCGCGAGCGCUCUCUUCCUCCGUCUCUUCCUUUCACAGCAUCUUUCGACCCCUCAGGCGUUUCGCCGAAUCUCGUUUUUCGCCACCGCAAACGCACCGUUCGCCAUGGCCCCACGUAAGCCAAACCCUACUUCGGCGAAAGGGCCAGAUCCCGGCCUAGUCGAUGACAACAGCACCGCCUUUCUGGGGGUCUCUCUUGUAGACGACGUCGAGCUGGCGAAGAUGGUCAGCUCCGGAGCGUUGGUUGAGGGGCAGGCUUUCGCCCCAGGGAAAACCGUGGUGCCGAAACCUGUCGACAAUCGGACAGUGGUGUUCGCCGUAUUUUUUGAGGCAAGGCUACGGUUUCCUUGCAACGUGUUGUUGCCGGAAAUCCUUCGCCUCUUCCAGGUGGAACUUCCGCAGCUGAGCCCGUCGGCGCUUGUUCAGAUCGCUAUCUUUGACUGGGCGUGCUGGACUUCCGGGUUUGAGCCUAACACCGAGCUCUUUGGCGCCAUAUUUUUCGCCACCGUGAACUCGAAGACGGUGAUUACCCCGGCUGGAAUGAAAAAAACAGUGUUCGGGAGCGUGAACUUCAACGUUAGCCCCGAGCGGUCCGAUCUCUAGCCGGUGAACGCUGCCAUGUCGAAGUGGGACCGCCAUUGGAUGGCGAGGUGGUUCUACCACACCAUCCCCUUCGAGGCUAUUUCUGAAUCAGCGAAAGCCUUCCGGUGCCGGCGCAAGGCGAUUGCGCCGAACCGGAGGCCCAAGAUUGCUGUGAACGGCACCAUGGAGGCAUGGUUCGUUCUACUACGGAAGGUUUGCUCCCGCCUUAGCUGCCGUGACUUGGUGGAGGAAUUUUGUAUGCUUCGAAUUUUUCCCCUCUCCCAGUCAUGGCAAGUCGCGGUUGAACAAGGCGAAGAGGUCGACGGUUUGCCGAACCUGAUACUUCCUGAGGGGGCGAACAGUAAGACUGUUGUUUUGCUAUUUACUGCUGUGCUUUGUUAUUUCGCCUUAUUUGACUUUUGACAUAGCUUCACACUCUACUUUUACAGUGUUGACCCUCGACCAGGCCGAAGCCAAAGCCUGCAGGAUGAUCGGCGAUGUUUCGGCCGUCGAGUAUAGUCAGCUGUUAACGCAUCAAGCGGCUGGGCGGGCGAACCGGGUUUACAAUGGCGAACUGCCUCCCCGGGCGAAUCCCCAAAAGGUCGACGACGAGGCAGGGCCUUCGCGAAAGCGGACGCGCGGACAAGUGAAGCUUGCCCCCAGGAAGCGAAGGGUUCCUACUUCGUCUGACUCCGACGCUGACGACGAGGAUGAUGCCGAAGAACGUGACGGCGAGGAGGAAGGAGAUGAAGAGGAGGAGGUGGAGGCUGUGGCUGAUAAGGCCGCGAGCGAGGCGGUCGAAGACUGCGUCGACACCCCCGGCUACACUCCUACCCCAAGUCCCGGUCACAACGAGACCGGGGUGGAGUCGAACAGCUCCCCCCUUCAUCGGAAGGAUUUGGAAGGGGCGAAGGCCCUAGUUGCGUUCUCUUCAGGUGCAGCGGCGAAGGGAGGUCCUGGCAAAAAGGUGGCUAAGAAGAAAGGACUCGUCGAUGUCGCUCGCGUUUUUAGCGACGACGAGUCCUUCGACGGGACUCUGACUUCGCCCGCUGGUCGCAGCCUGGAUCUUUCGGCCGCCCCCAUUCCUCCAUUCGACGCCGCGGGAGUGGACGGUAGUACCGCCGCUGGGGCUUCAGCUUCUGCGGAAAGGAUUGUGACGGCCGCGGCGAAAGUAUUCGGCAAUCCUCCGCCUCAGCCGGUUGCAUCGCCGCUGAUUGAGGUGAAGGGAAAGAGAGCUGUCGCUGAGACGUCCGCUUCGGAAUAUUCGAUCUCGGUACCCCGCUUCGCCCCUGGCGAUUUCGAGACGCGAGCGGACCUCCUUCCUUUUUUGGAGGGGGUAAGCAAUCUUGUACUGCCCGCCAGUGCCCCGAGCUUGUUCACGGAACUGAAUGAGUUCGACGAAGGGUGUUCUGCUAUAAAAAGCCUGGCUGUUCGGGUACGUUCCCCCCCCCUUUUUUUAUCUUUACCCUUCCUUUAUCUUGUUUUUACAAUUGACACUUGUUCUCUUCGCCGCUCGUAUUCUGCGCCCAGAUCCUCGCGGCUCACUGCUCAACGGAGCGAACCGUGCGAGCCCGACUUGAUGAGUUCAAAAGCCGUCUUCGGGCCAAGGAUGACAAACUAGGCCGUAAAAAUUUGGAGAUGGAGGCCCUUGCCAACACUCUUAAGGAGGCGAAGGCUGAAAACAAGCGGCUCCAAUCGGAACUGGAGAAAGGGAAAGAAGUCAGGGCCGAAGUCGAUCGCUUAAAGGCCGAACUGGAGAAAGAGAAGGCCCAUUCGGCGGUGCUCAUCGACUACUACAACCUUACUGAGCCGAAGAUAGUCUCUUCGCCAGAAGGCUAGCAGGGCUGAAGCGAGCGCCGCGGAGGAGUCGCAGCGGUUUUCGCGGGAGAUGGCGAAGACCGCCGAAUCUGCGAGAACGGCUUGCCAAACCCUCCGCCUCGCCCUUACCGACAUGGGCGCGAAGGGGCGGGGGGUCCCUACCGAGGAUGCCUCAGCCUUCGACUUCUCCGAGUGGACCCAGCAGGCCGGCGGAUCGGUUUCGGACUGCGCCACCGCGUACGGCAACUGCUGUGCGCGCGUGUCAGCGGCCUUUACCAUGGGCCUCCUGCAGCAGUUCGGCUGCGAGCACAUCGCCGAGUUCCCCAAGUACGCGAAGGGGGAUUGGGAAAUCAGUGCACAAGACAUUUCACCUGCACUUCGUGCGUGGCGAAAACAAUUUUGGCAGAAGGACGGCCGCUCCGCCGCUAAGGCGCGCCUUUUGGAGCAGCUGGCGAAAGCAGAGGCGGCGGACCUUUGUGAAGAGGAAGGCGCGGCGGCCGGAGGGGGUGGAGGCGAUGCCCAGGACCACCCAGAGGUGUGAGGCCCUCCACCCUUCUCUUAGAUUUUCAUAGUUUUCUUUUGGUGUUCGCUAGAUGUGGCGAACCGUUGUAUAUUCGGCAAACUGCCGCUAAACCUUAAAAAAGGCUUUUUGGUAUAUUUGGAAUGUAUGACAUAAUCUUAAUUACCUUUUGAUGAUCGAAGUCUUUGGCAUAUUUUUAUUUCACUCGUUUCGCAUUAUGCCAUACCUUCCCCUUCUUUCGCCUACUCUUACCAUUCAAGAUGUGUUUUGCCUUUUCUGCACUGUCUACCAGGGGGUCCGCCGAAAAUCGUGCAUUCGGCCCCCUUCUGGGAGCUGGCGAAGUCAAAACGAGAAAUUUGUGGCAUUGAAGGGGCUGCCGAAGACGCAAUGUCCAUUUCGGCAUGUUUAUCGCGAAAUGGAGAUAAACGGUCGUAGCUAUAAGAUUAUCAAGGUUGCCAACUGGCUACGUGUGCACCCCGGGCGAACCUUAGAAGAUUACGAUCUUGUUCAUUCAAGACGUUUGGAAGAUAUGGCUCGCUUUUGGCGAAACCAUUAGAAGACUAAACGUCAGGAAUCGAUCUUUCAGCGUCGUUACAGUUUAGUCUGUGUUUCGCCCCCUACUCCUCUUAAGGUUGUGUAUGAUAUUAGUAGUGAUGACGAACCUAGUUCGUCCGACCAUUCCUUAGGGAGGGAUAAUGAUCACUGGGGCGAAGAUGUAAUUUACUUGUAAAAUGAAUUGUAUCGGGUUGUAAACCUUGUAUUCUUUGAUUAUUUUUUUUUCGAAGCUAAUAAAGAACGUGCUUUAUUUCCUUUUCGCUAUUUUUCGCAUCGUCACAUUUUGUGCUUUUGUUAGGUCGGAACAUGCCGGCCCCUUUGCAUAUAUUAGCGAAAUAGGUGUAUUGACUUUUCAGCUUUUCGUCGUUCGUUUUUAAUCUGUAGCGUUCUGUGUCGAGAGAAACGCUUUUGCUUUUAUACUGAUCGGUCGUAACGUCGUUCGGCUAUUUAUUUUCCGAGACAAGCUGUUGCGGUUUCAAUGUUCGGCGAGCAAUGCUUCGGCCGAUUCGUUUCGCCCCCUUGGCCUUUUUCGCUGAUCAGGCGUUUGCCUUGGGGUUUUUCCACAAAUUAUCAAUCACACGAAAAGUAAGAAGAAGGCGGAGGACACAGAGAUUUUAUACUGGUUCGGGCCUCCAUGGUGGAUAAUAGCCCUACAUCCAGUUUUUUUUCUUUUUCUCUCUUUCUUCUUUUUCUUUUUUUUUCUUUGCCGAAAGGCUUACAUAGUGCCGAAGGGCUUACAUGAUAGUAUGUACAUUUUUACAAGUUGGCGAUUUGGGUGCCACCCAUUCUAGACAUAGAAGCGCUUGAGGGAGGCGGCGUUCCAGGAAUGGUCGAACUCCUCGCCUUCGAGUGUCGCUAGGCGAAAAGAUCCCGUCCUGGACUUGCGCUUGAUGAGGUAUGGUCCUUCCCACUUUGAUUCAAGCUUGCCAACUGCUACUGGGUUCGCCUUCUUCCUUAGGACGAGAUGACCAGGCAUGAGCUCCGUGGGUCGAACUUUUUUGUUGUAAGUUGCCGAAGUGCUUGCGGCGUACUUGUGCAUGUGCUCGAGCGCUUCGACUCUUACUGCUUCCAAGAGUUCGAGCGAUACUUCGCGUCCUUCGCCCCCGAAAAACAUCACCCUUGGUGAGUUAGCCCCUAGCUCUGCUGGGGUUAUUGCCUCAUCGCCAUAAAGAAGCAUAAACGGGCUAAACUUGGUUGGUCUUGUGGGGGUCGUCUGAAGGGCCCAGAGAACCGAUAGCAAUUCCUCUGGCCAUUUGCCUUUCGCCGCCCCCUCAAGUCUUUUCUUCAGUGCUUCUAGGAUCUUGCCAUUUGUGCGUUCGGCCGCCCCAUUUGACUGCGGGUGUGCGACCGACGCGAGCUUGAUUUCCAGGUCAAACUGCUUGCCGUUGUCAGUAAUGAACUCUUUUGGCACUCCGAAACGGCAAACAAUGUUUUUCCAUACAAACUUCUGUACUGCUGCCAAAGUGAUUGCCCCAAGCGGUUCGGCUUCAAUCCAUCGAGAGAAAUAUUCCACAGCUACAAUUGCGAAUUUAUACCCGUUUCGUGCCACUGGGAACGGCCCAAUGAUGUCUAGUCCCCAUCUGGCGAAGGGCCAUACUGGCGCAAUGGGCUGCAGAUCAUACUGGGGCGCGGCUUGGCUUCGGCCAUGACGCUGGCAACUUUCGCACUUCUUGAUUUGCUCAACACAGACUUUCAACACAGUGGGCCAAUAAACUCCUUGUCUAAAUACUUUGGAGGCCACUGUUCUUGCAGCCUAGUGCGCGCCGCAUAGCCCCUGGUGUAUCUCCUUUGCCAUUUCUUCGCCUUCGGCAAAUGAGAUGCAACGAAGUAAGGGUUGAAGUACCCCUGUGCGGUAAAGCUGACCCGAAACCAUCUUAUACUUCGUGGCUCUGAGCUGCAAAUGCUUCGCUUCUGCUUCGUCUACCAGAAGCCAGCCAGUUUUAAGGUGUUUCACAAAUGGGGUUCGCCAGUCAUGUGGGUCUUCACCCCAUUUCUCCUUGUCGAUUGCCAUGACUUCGGAGCAGUCCAUGGGCACACUUGGAGCAUGCAGGACUUCGAAAAAGAUGCCCAGCGAAUAUGGGCCGCCUUAAGCAGCGGAUUUCGCCAAGGCAUCUGCCUCCCUGUUCUGGUCUCUAGGCAAGUGUUCGACCAUUAUGCCGGUGAAGCAUUUUUCCAUGGACCGAACAGCCUCCAGAUACCUCUUCAUUCCCUCUUCUUUUGCCUCGAAGGAUUUGUCAACAUGGCCUGCUACCAACUUGGAGUCAGUUCGAAUUAGCAGGCACCGGACUCCCAAUGCUUUCGCCUUUCUCAGGCCCAGGAGAACGGCUUCGUAUUCUGCUGUAUUGUUGGUUGUGUCGAACUGCAAUCUUGCUGCGUACCGAAUCGGCACACCAUUCGGCGAAAAGAGGACUGCCGCAACGCCUGCCCCCUUGUGCGACCACGAACCGUCAGAGCACAUCACCCAGAACUGCUCGGUGGGCUCAGGGUCGGGGGCAAAUACUGGUGUCCAUUCAGCUACGAAGUCAGCUAGCACUUGAGACUUGAUAGCAGAGCGUGCAACAAAAUGCAAGUCGAACGGGGAUAGCUCUACCGCCCACUUGCUGAGCCGGCCAGUGACUUCCUUGCCUCGGAGUAUUUCGCCCAAGGGGUACUGUGAUGGCACUAUGACUUUGUGGGCCUGGAAGUAGUGCUUAAGCUUGCGCGAAGCCAUCACUAGAGCGUAAGCGAGCUUUUCCAUUUCAAUGUACCUUGUCUUUGCUCCUUGCAGUGCUUCGAAGACGAAGUAGACCGGUUUCUGUCCGGACUCUGUUUCUUGGAACAGUAUUUGCUCUUCGCGCCUGUUUUCUCCCGAGCCGAAGGCUAUCAGCAAAAGUGCUUGGCCAAGAACUUGCACUGCCUCUCCGCCGAACCCCCGGAGCGACGUUGGUGCCGGUGUAAGAGCUUGGGUUGGCAAGCCCAUCUUAGCAUAUGCUUCGGCGAAGAUCACGUCGGCCUAACUCCCUCCAUCGACCAGGAUUCGUCGGACUUCAAAACCGGCUAUCUCAGCUGAGAUUACCAGUGGAUCUUGAUGCGGGAACAGGACUCCUUCAGCGUCUUCUGGCUCGAAAGAGAUCAGCUGGUUCACGUACUGUGGCGCCCCCUCACCCGCCGAAGUGAUGCUGUGGACCAUGCGGAUCUACAUCUUCUUCUGCCAUUUCGACAACUGGCUUGGCGGGUCAGCUCUUGUAAUCACUUCGAUUACCCUUCGCUGUGCAUCUUGGCGUUGUUCGGCUGGGGGUGUUUGCUCCUGAACUGCUUCACGAGGUGCUUCGACAGUUGUUCCCUGCUGUGGCCUUAGGUCUUGCGCGUUGCCAUGUUGCCUAAUGUUUCAGCAUUGCUCCGUGGUGUGCGAAGAGCAUCCGUGAAAGGCGCAGUAGAGGUCUUUUCGGACCUUCUUGCGGGCUGGCUGCUGAUGGUUGCUUGCUUGCUGGGCGUCGAACUCUUUGCGGAGGGCUUGCACUUCUUCGACAGCCAUCACAGCCUUGCCCGCCCGAUCUGUUCUGAACUUUCUCCAAGUCAUGGGGGCUUGGCCUUGCCUUGGCGGCUGUCCCUGGAUCGCCGGCUGAGACUGGCGAACAGAGAGGGGAGGUGGUUCGGCAACUUGAACUUGUGCUUGAGCUUGAGCAGCGGCGACGUAUAGCUUGUCGUCGUUUAGAAUCCUCCUCACUCCUUGUGAACCCGUCAAUGAUGCGAAGUAGGUGCUCGAGCAUCUGCGGCUCCUUGUUGGCGAUUUUUCUUGUUAGUUCGCCCUCAAGCAGACUGGCCCAACUGGUGGUACUUGCUGAGCCGCCACGGAUGGGUCAAAAAUUGGCUGCAACCACAUCAUGGCAGCAUGGAUUGGUGCUUGGUUUGUUCCGAAGCCUAGAGUUGGAACUUGCUGCCGAACAGUUGGCACCUGAGCAGUGUUGACGAAGUCGAACUGCGGUCCUUGAUUCCACGGCGAAGCUUCCAAGCCUGGCUGAAUUGGUGGCAAUCAAUUGGGCGCACCAUGACUUGUAUUCCCCACCGGGUGAGCCGAUGGGGUUGUGCUUGAAAUGUAGUGGGGUUGGUUGAGUUGCUGAAGGAAAGCUUGGAGUUGCGCCUGCAGAGCCGAAGCCCCUUCCGCCACUGAUUGUGGCGCUUGGCCAGGUGGUUGAUGCUGCCCGGCGAAGUUCACCGGCGCCUGUGUGGCUAGUGGCGGAGAGGGCUGGGUCACCACUUGCGGCCGGACUUGAGGUGGGGCAUAGCCUGCCGAAUACUGAAGGAUUAGAGCCGACGUGGCCUUGGUCCGCCUUGCCGCCUCGUAUGCUUGUUGUUGUUCUUGCAUUUGGCGAAGCAUGUCUUGGAGCCGUGUCAUGUUCUGCCGCAUGGCUUCCAUGUCGGCUUCAGCUUGCGCUUCGGGGUCCAGGCUGAUUUGGGCCUGUAUAACGGUGAGCGCAGUUGGGGCCGCCGCCGGCUGCGAUGGGGCGGCUUGGGGCACCACCAGUUGGUUUGUCGAAAGGAUCUCCGCCCUAGUCUGGAGUGCCCUUCCGCCGUAGCCGCCUUCGCCACGUCGGCCGUGUUCGGCACUUGCACUGACGUUGCGGGGGCCGAAGACGGUUCUGAUGGCGCGGGGGCCGAAGGCGGUUGUGAUGGCGCUUGUGCUUCUCCAUCUUCGGCCACGGACGCCGAAGGCUCUGCUCCUUCUUCGGCAGCCAUGUCCGGUCCGGCGUCGCUCUCCUUCCGCCUGAUAACCUUCUCCUUCACGACCCUCUUCGGUGGCAUUCGCUCUCAGUGGUUUCGCUCGGAGUCCCCACGGUCGGCACCAGCUGUUGUCAAAACGACAACUGCAUACGUCGAAAGACGUGGUUACUCAACAAUGGUUGGAAAAAUGAAGUGUACUAAAUUUUGAAUUUCCCUUGGGGAUCCCCCAUUACAUGGCCCUAGGGGACUAUUUAUAGCCCCAUUACAGGUUCUUAUUACUAGGGUUUAGGUUGUACAGGGGAAUUUACAUGAUUACCCUUACCAAAGAGGCAUUUACAGGGGUACAUAAUGUUAUAGGGGCUCAUGGGCCCCUGAUGGGCCGUCUGGCGAUCGCCGGCCUGAUGGGCCAAAAAGGCUUCCUCGGCCCUCGCAGGGGCGAACUUGUCAAGACGAAGUCAUCCUCCUUCGGCAGAUAGUCUUCGCCUUGCACCCUUCGUCUGAGACGCCUCUGGCCUGGCGCUUGUACGACUCUUCGCCUUGCGCCGUUCUUGCUCUAUAGCCUUCGCCAUGGGUUUCGGCAGGUUUGGUUGAAGAGCCUCAUGCCAUCCGCCAACAGAUAUUACAUCAAAUUGCCUCAUAAACUCCCUUAAAUAAGAGUGGUUGAAGAAACACGUAAAAAGAUAUAGCCAACGCACAUGUUGAUAACCGGAAGCUAUAUGAUCCAAUCGAGUGGGAGUAACAAGAUUAGUUGUAAGUUGUCCUAGGAAAGUAUUCCUCCAGAUAACUAUAUUUGUUAAACAAAUGGUAUCUUGAGCUACACAUCUACCCAGAACAUUAACAAGAUCUUCACAUUUUGCAUCGUUUGAUAUUCCAAGUUGCCUAAGAGCAAUUUUAAUAGUUGGCAACUCCCUCCGGUUAAUUAUGACGUUUUGAAUAAUGAUAUGGUCUUCAAAAUAUAUCAUUGACUAUACAUAGUCAAACAUAUAUUUUAAAGAGCAUGUCAUUGUUUAAAUACAAUAGGAUAAUGUGUGUGUGUCUAUAUAUAUAUAUAUAUAUAUAUAAUAGAAAAAAAGUACCGUACUAAAAGUAAAAAAAUAUUUAUUUAUUUUAUAUAUUAUAAUAGAAAAAAACAAUGUACUUCUCCCCCGUCUAGUAACUUAGAAUGAGAUAAGACCUAUCCACAUUUUGAGACGGAGGUAGUAAAAGUUAUAAAAGUUGCACGUCAACUUUCCAGUGAGAGUAUAAGCCAACUAUAGCUUAGGUAGAAAGGAGAUAUAUAUAAAAAAAAAGAGAGAAGUGCAAGUUUUCAUGCAAAAUAUAGCUCUACACAUGGUCCAAAGCCCAUGCAUUAGUUACACUAGCCGCUAACCCGUACGAUGCACGGGUAUUAUAGAGUAUAGAGAUAUAUUUUAAAUUUUAAUCAUAGCUUAAAUAUGUAGGUUUUAUAUUUUUUUUAUUAUACUGACUCUAGCUAAAAGAAGCGCACACGUUAGUUACAACUUCACAUUUGUGGUUUCAAAAUUUCAAAUUAAAUUAGUUAUUUCAAAUUAAAAAUGGAAAGUCCGUAAUUUCAGAAUUGUGUAUUAUCAAUUUCGUAAAAACUAAUAAAGAAUCCGAUUCGUAUUUGUGAAACAAAUUGAAUCUUGUUCGACCUAGACAUCUACCCAAAACUCUGACAAGUUGUUCCCAUUUUACAAAGUUCGAGCUGCCAUACUAUCACUGAUAUUAUCUCAAAUUGGCUAAUAAACUACCUUGAAUAUGAGCAGUUGAAGAAAUGCGUAAUAAAUAUAUAUAGGCAUUGCGCAUCUGGGUAACGUGCAAAGGAUUCUUGCAUAUAUAACCCUGUUUUUUAAGCAAUGGAAUCUUGAGAGCUACGUACGUUCACAUCUAUCCAGAACUUUGAGAUUCCUAGAAUUCCGUAAUAAACAACGACGAAGAGAGGUUUGAAAACAUGCGUUAAAAUCAUGUGGCGGUAGCUCAUCAAUUAAUUGUCAUUUGUCCUUGCAAGUAGUGAUACCCGGAGACAAUGGCAUCUUCAGCGAGUACACACCUACCCAGAACUUUGACAAGUUCUUCACAUCUUACAAAGUUCGACGUACCAUACUAUAAUUGAUAUUCCACCAAAUUAGCUAAUAAACUGGCUUGAAUAAGAGCAGUUGGGGAAAUGCGGGAAAAAUAUAGGCAAAAUGCACAUGUAGAUAACGGGGACCUAUUUGAUUCAUCUGGUGGAGGUAGCUCACAUUGUAAAUUUUCCUUGCAAAUUAAGGCCUUGUUUAGUUCCAAAUUUUUUCUUCAAAUUUUCAAUUUUUUUCAUCACAUCAAAACUUUUCUACACAUAUAAACCUCCAACUUUUCCGUCACUUCGUUCCAAUUUCAACCAAACUUUUAAUUUUUGACCUGAAAACACACUCUAAGAAUUCUUGCCGACAACUAUGUUUGUCAUUGAAUCGUGAGCUACACAUGUAUCCAGAACUUUGAUAUUCCAUAAUCCCUAAUAGACUACAAUAAAUAAGAGUGGUUAAAGAAAGCGUAAAACUUAUAACCAAUCCACACACUAGAGAAAUGAUCUUUAAUACCGAUUCUAAACUCUUUUUAAUCUCGGUUAUAGUAACCGAGACUUAAGAUCUAAAGAUGCAUACUAAAUAAAAAAUAUAUAGGAUGUGGGAUUCGAACUUAAGAUCUCGCAUCUCAACCAUUAUCUGUGUUACCAUCUUACCUACUCCACACGUUUAACUUGGAUAAAGGUAUUUUCAUUUUGAACUAACUCUAGAGGCAUUUUUAGUACUGGUUGGUAACAACCAACUUGUAUUAAAAAUAUCUUUAGUCCCGAUUGAUAUUAUCAACCAGUGCUAAAAAUAUCUUUAGUAUCGGAUAACAGUAACCAAGACUAAAGAUCCACAAAAAUUAGUACCGGUUGGUGCUGCAAACCGGUUCUAAAGAUGUAUUUUUAAUAUCAGUUGGUAACACCAACUGGGGCUAAAGAUAUAUAUUUCUAGGUACCUAGGCUUUUAGAACCGAUUAUAAAUAGCUUUAGUACCGGUUCUUAAUGCAUCGGCCGGUAUAUUUGUGAUUUGGGGUAUUGGAUAAAAGUUGAUGAUGGUGAAAGUCUGACGAGAGUGGUGAUGCUAUCGCCAAAGGGGCCACAACAACAGUUUCAUGUAGAUGCAGUGCCAAGUAAGCAUGAGCAGCGAUACCACGCACUAUAAGAGGUGUGUGGAUUUUUAACAUUUUAUUAUGUCAUAAUAUAUGAAAUCAGUUGACGUAAUUCCAAACGUCAAAAAGCCACGUCAUAAAUUUAGUAUGUGACGUUUGUACAUUUAUUGUCACAAGCAUUUGACAAUGCUUUAUUGUCAUAAAAUCCUGGGGCUUGCCACGUGGCAGCUGACAUAACAGUUGACAUGGUUAAAAAAAAAGUCACAAAAUAAGAUUCGGCCUGCUAAAGCCCAUGUAGCUCAUGGGCCACAAAUAUAUUUUUUCUGGGGUUGUUGCUAGCUGGCCCAGUAUAUUUUUUGCUUGUUUGUUUAUGAAUGCAGCCUGUACAAAUUUUCAACCCACACCAAUUCGGCCCAUAUGAUUUUUCCAACCCGCACAAUUCAGCCCAUAUGAUUUUUCCACCCCCACAAUUUAGCCCAUAUAUUUUUCCAGCCCAAAUAAUUUUUUCAGCCCACAAAGCUCAACUGAUAUUUUUUCAGCCCAUACAAUUCAGCCCAGAUACUAUAUUUCAGCACAUACAAAAUCAGAUUCAAAUGAAUUAACAUUCCACAAAUGAUUGCAAUGUCACAUGCAUUUCACAUUCCAGAAGUCUUGAAAUGCAAUAUCAUUACAUCCAUCCACCAAUUCAGUACAUAUCCAAACUCUCAAAUUUCAUAUUCCUGCUACUGCGAGAGCAACAGCAGCACAUCUGCAAUAGCAUCACAGCAGCAGUAGCGCAAUGGCCAAAAGCACAGCAGCAACAGCACAACGGCCAGAAGCACAGCAGCACCUAAAUAACAUCCCACAAGCACAAUGGUCGCAAGUUCAGUGUCACCAAAAUAUCAUCUGGAACCUAAUUGAGUAGGAGUGCUUACUAUUCAGCAUCUGAUGAUGCAAAAUUGCUGCCAAACAAUUGAGUAGUUUCUUAUUGUACUUGAAUUACAUGUACCCCAGUGGCAUAAUGUAUCUAUGAAUCCUAUAAUACAUGAGUAAGCAAAAUUUAGUAGACUCAAGUAAACCCCCGCGGGGCAUUGCAUUUACGUUAGAAAACAUUGGCCGCAGUUUCAUUGAUAGAAACAGACAGAGUUGUCCGAAGUCCAGUGCAAAAAAGAACAAGUACCUUACGGCAUCUGACUUGAAUCCCAUCAGGUUUUAUAGUGCUAAACUGAUCCUCAAAUUGGGUCAUUGUGCAUUUAAUGGUAGAAUCCUCACAUGUAUUGUAUGAGCAGCAACUAUAAAAUAAAGAUAAUAAAUUUCAGGACAACAACAAAAUUAUCAUGUCUGGACUAAAGCCUACGAUUAUAGCAAAUACCUUAUGUUCAUACGUAUUGCUGCUCCAGCCCGUUUAUCUGCCGCAUGACAACGCACAGGUGGACAACGUGCAUGACGGCAGCAUCCGUAAGGAUUCAUCCUUAAUCAAAAGUAUUAUUUAGCCUUAGCCUUAGUCCACAUAUUGCACACAAAAAUGAAGAGUUAUUCCAUACAAAAUCGAAUCCAGAUUCAUCCUUAAUCAUACAAAAGCAUCUCUUGCUCUAAGAUUAAAAGGAAUGUGACAUCAAGCUAUGAACGAGCAGAACCGUUCAGCUUUCUUUAAUACAAGAAAUAAACAAGCUCACCUUGUGCCCAUUGUGGCCUUGGUGUUGCUUGUCCGUUCAGAGAUCUUGGGCUUCAUGCCAAGAUUCGGCACAGAAGUCUCGGCCAUAUCAACCACCGGCGCUUGAUGCAUCACAGCCACACCAGUGGCGGAGGACGGAAAAAAUUUUAGGUGUGGCCUACGAAUUACCACAGAAGUUAGCACAUAACGAAAAAUCUCAAUGCAUGUUAUUAUACGAUGCAAUAUUAUCACAACAAGUCUACAUUAAGCACGGUAAACAAGAACUAAUUAUAAGUUGAUGAUUCAUCAUCUAUUUGUAAACUAGAUAGAAGAGUAGGUACUCAAAAAAUACCUCAACUUCCUAAGAUUCAUGCUUUCAACAAUACAUCACAAAUAGGAAGUACAGUACUGAGUAUAGAUAGAUAUAGUACCAAAGAUUGAUUAAUGUUCACAUAUGUAGGCACCUGUUGAUGGAGUGAUGGAUGCUUGGCUUGUUGGCUUGUCGCUUGCUUGCUGUCGUCGCUGGGUGCUGCACGCCUGCACUGCUGUUGUGCCAUUCAUCCCACCCUGCCUCUGUCUCUGCUCUUCCUGCGCUGCGCGCCUGCCCAUUUGGGCCAUGGCGGCUGGUCGUGCUGCCGCCUUGCCGGAGCAGAUGCCACAGCCGCAGCUCUGGAAGCCUGGUGGCCGCGCCCUCCUCACCUCACCCUGCCCUCCCGCGCGGCGCGCACCACAGCAGCCCCCGUCCGCCGAUGGGGAUUGGGGAUGGGGAUUGGCGGAGGUUGGAGGAGAUGGUCAGAUGACUCAGAUGGGGAAAUUUGGGUCUCAUUUACACUAAACAAGCCUAAUGGGCCUACUAGCUAUCAGCGUGAGGACCAGCACUGGCAUUUGCGGACGCGUCCACGCCGUGUCGGCACUCUCUCUGACCCGGCUGCUGCUAUGCGCGGAGGAGCACGAGGAAGGGGGGGUGGUCAGCGGGCGGCGCGAGGAUGCUGUGGCCAACGUGGUUUGGAAUCGGCUAGCGGUUGGGCCCGUCGAUGCAGCCGCACGCCGUCCUCGAGCCGCCCGGGGAUUGCCGCCGCUCGAUCUAGCCGCCCUAGGCCCGGGAUCUAGCAGAUCCACCGCUCCCGAGCGUGGUGGCGGCGGAGAUAGAGGCGGCGUGGUAAGCGGCGAAGGAGGACGCCGCCGCACGCUGUCAUCGCCGAUACCCACCGCCGGAGAGGAGAGGAGAGGAAAGGAGAGGAGAAUGGAUGGGAGUGUGGCGGCUGAGGGUGGAGAGAGAGAGAGAGAGGAGGGGUGGAGAGGAGGGUUUUAUAUAGGGCUAGGGUUAGGGACGGCGAUCAGAACCAUUAGAUCGAAGAUGGACGGUCAGAAAUAGUUGGGCCAUUUGGGCCGAAACAGGAAUGAUCAUAUGUUUUUUUUUUAAUUUCAAUUUAUGAAAACAUUAAAUGUAAUUUUAGGUCGAUUUUUUUUGUUUCAAAUGAAAAAAUCAUAAAUAAUAAAAUUAUAGAACUAAUCGAGAUCUACAACUAUUGUAUUAGUCCUUUUUACAAAUAAGUUCAUUUGAACAAUACAAAUUUUGAAUUUUCAAAAAUUGAUAAUUUCGAAUAAAAAUUGGGGUUAAUAAAUGAUUUCAAAUGGAAAAGUCACCAAAACUAAAGUUGUAUAAAUCAUCGAGACGGAAAUUUUUUAUUUUUGUCAUUUCUCCAUCUGACUCUAUUUGAACAAUUUGAAUUUGAAAUUCAAAGUUUGAGAACUUCAAAUAGAAUUUUUUUAUUAGUGAACGACUUCAACUGAAAAAUUCAUCAACAACAAAGUUGUAUAAUCCAUCUGAAUCUACAAUUUUUAUUUUGGUCAUUUGUUCAUUCGACGAAGCGAUAGUAAGAUUGUUCACAAAAUUUUAAUAUGGUUUUAUAAACUAUAAGAGAGAUUUGUAAAUUUUGUGAACAAUGUUAAUAUCACUUUGCCAGAUGAAGAUAUGACCAAAAUAAAAGUUAUAGAUAUUUAUGAGUUAUACAACUUUGUUAUUGAUGACUUUUUCAGUUGAAAUCAUUUAGUAUUUGAAAAUAUUGUUUGAAGUAGUCAUAAUUUGAAAUUCAAAUUCAAAUUAUUGAAACAAAGUCAUAUAGCAAAAUGACCAAAACAAAAGUUGUAGAUCUUGAUAAGUUAUACAAAUUUUUUGUUGACAAUUUUUUCAUUUGAAAUCAUUUACUACACAAAAAAAUAUAUAUUUGAAUUUCUUAUAUUUUAAAAUUCAAAUUUUAUAUAGAUCAAUCAAACUCAGAUGGAGAAAUAACUAAAAUAAAAUUGGUAGAUUUCGAUAAGUCAUAUAACUUUGUUUUUGACAAUUUUUUCACGCAACUCCCAACAAUUUUUAGCUUGCGGGUUCGACUCCUAACUCCUAACAUUUUUUAGCCAUUUUGCUGAGUUAGGCGCGGCUGCUCGGCCUAGCGCACGGGUUGGCCCAUUUCGGGUAAGCGGCUGUUGGGCUAGCACCAGGUUGGCCCAUCUGAAAAUGAGAAAAGAAAAUCUGAUGUGGCAAUAAGGCUUGCCUACAUGGACAAAAAUAUUUAAAAUAAUACAAUAAAUAAUUUGUGACACAUAAAUAGGUCUUAUGACAUAGUAAAUAUUGUCACUGGAUGACACUAGACUAGCUAUAUGACACUUAUUGUGACACACAACUUUUUAUUGUCAUUAAGUUAAAAUGCUUCAAAUAAAAUGUCAUAAAUUAGAUGAUAUAGUGACAUUAUAACCUGUGUCAUAUAAGCCACACAUAACUUGUAGUGGCGGUCCGAAGGGGACGACGCAUGCAGCUAGCGGCAACCCGAAGCUUGGCAUAGUAGACAUGUUCCAUCCUACGAAGGCUUGUCACAUAUGGCCAUAUGGGCAUGCACUGUGAUCAGGCCAAUAGCACACAAUGCAACACAGCGAUAAACAAUGCCGGUUAUGCCGCGCAGAGCAGAGUCGAGGAAGGUGAUGUCGGGUAAGAUUGGAGCCGUGCAAAUGACGACGGAUGACUGUGGGCGACGCAAACCUGGGUCUCUGACCAGUAAAAAAACAAACACGAAGGUAGUGCACUAGUAAAUAGUAGAAGUGUAUCCUCUGUUCUCCAUUCGCCUCAACUACCACCAAUGGGCUCAAAUCUGUCCACAACUAUCUCCACUCUCUCUCCUCUCUUGGUCAAGGUCACAAGUUCACGGAGAGAGAGAUAGACAGAGCAGAGAUCAAGCAACCACCACUAUUGAAGAACCGAUCUUUACUGGGUUGGACGAAAACCACAAUAAUUCCGGUUCCAAAAAGAAUCAUAACUAAAAAUCAUCUUUAGCCUCGGUUGAAAAGCCCAUAACCAUUUUAUGAUCUUUAGUCCCGGUUGGUAACACACUAACCGGGACUAAACAUAGUCCCGGUUAAAAAAGUGUUUGCCCCCUACUUUUUUUAUUCCCGAUUAGAAACACCAACCGGAAUUAAAAAUCGGUGCAUAGUAUAUAAUUCCUCGUACUUAUCCUCUAGCAACCAUCUCUUCCCUUAUUCUCCUCCUCUCUUUUCUUAUCCUUUCCCUUUCCUCUCUCUAUUCUCGCACGCGGCAGUGGGCGAGCGAGCAGGGCGGGCUUGCGGCGGCUGAGGGAGGCGCGGCCGCCGGGUGGCAGGUGGUAGGGCGCACGUGGAGGGGCGUGACAGAGGGGUCGCGGCGGCUGCUGGGCGGUAGGCGGCCGGGCGCACGCGGAGGGUCGGCCGGCCGGAUGUUUUUCUUUUUCUUUUCCUUUUUUUCCCUCUUAAUUUGUGGAUGAUUUUUUGUUGGCUAUAUAUGUUGUUGUGGAUGAUUUGGGAUUGUGGAUGAUGAUUUUGUUGUUGUGAAUGAUUUGGGAUUGUGGAUGAUUUGGGAUGUCGGGAGAUGAUCUGUGGAUGAGUUCGGCUGAAAAAACAAGUGCAAGUAACUAAAAUCAAUUAUCCACAAGCAAAUAGAAAAAAUAAAAAAAAAUCUCUCCUCCCGGUUGGUGUUACCAACCAGGACUAAAGAUCGCUAUCUUUAGUCGCUAUCUUUAGUCCCGGUUGGUGUUAACAACCAGGAGUAGAGAUGCAUCUUUACUCCCUAGUAUUUAAACUGGGACUAAAGAUCGUCAUCCUUAGUGUCAGAUUUCUUCUCCCUGUUUGUAACCCGGGACUACAGGGGUUGCGAACUGGGAGAGAAGAGGCAUUCUCCUGUAGUGCACGGAGGCUGCAAAAGAUGACGUUGCAACAAAUAUAUAGUUUCAAACAGAUAUUUUUAAAAGUAAUGCCUCCGGACGCUGCAACACUAGACUUGCCUGAUCAAGCAUAUAUGUUGGAGUUUUUUCUGAAACACAAGUUUAGAUAGCUUUAAUGCGCACGUUGGAUAACAGGGGUUAUAUUAACAAGGCACGGCACAUUAUAUACGGCCAGAAGAAGCACGUAUGUAGGGAUGAAAACGAAACAGAAACGGACGGAAACUAGCUUUAUCAUAUUAGAUUUUAGAUUUUUUCGGAAUUGGAAUCAGAAUCGAGAACCGGAUACGGAAAUCAAAUCGAAUAUUAUCAAAUAAAGAUACCUAGUGAAUAUGAAAUGAACGAAUAUGGCAACAAAUAUUUGUCGGUAUAUAAAAAUCCUCUCAAACAUUUAUAUCGACAAUUUCGGAGGCGGUACUACAACCUUAUGUGAAAAUUGAUUUUCAAGGCAAUUCCCCUAAGAGACUCACAUGUAAAUAUAUGUAAAUAUGAUUAUUUAUUUUUUAAUCCCACGACCUUUUACUACAUGUAUAGCUUACUUACCAUAUCACUUAUCAAGAUCUUAUUGUAUAAAUUAGAGAUGUUAUUUAUUUUAUUUCACAUCUUCAAAACUUGUAGUGUUUGUUUUAUACUUUAAACAUUUUAAAAUACAAAUGUUAUAAACUACCAAGUGGUAGAUCUCAUUGAGCUCUACAAUUUUGAUAUGGAACACAUCUCCAUUAGAUGUCGUUUGAAUUGGAGAUAUGAGGUUUUGUAAAAAUAGAUAUGGUAUUUUAUAAUGAAUAUUUAGACUCAAAAAUGAUCUCAAAUAAUAAAAUAGUCAACAAGAAAUUGUAGAUAUCAUCAAGCUCUACAAUUUGAUCUAAAGUUUAUCUUCAUCUGACUCCGUAUGAAAAUGUUAUGUAUAUAUAAGUGCUUUUUCUAAAAUUUGAUCUAUGUAUGUGGAUAUCCGGACAAAAUUUCUGAACGUUUUCCCAUUCCGACGGAUAGUACCUUACUCUAUUCGUUUUAUUUUCCGAGAAAAAAGAAAUCCGCAUUUGUUUCCUUCGUCGUGACUAGCCGAUGCAUCGAGCCGGAUUUUUUUUUGAUUCGUGGAACCUCAAAAGUGUCGGAUCUUAAACCGGCACCUAUUUGUGUUUCUGUAGUAUCGGCUUCCACCCUCCUCGUGGAUCUUCCCGUGACCAGAUCUGAGGCUGGCCAUAGGAGGAGGGGGGUGGGGGGGGGGAGAGCUCCAUGAAGAAGAGGAUGUCUAGCCACUAGUGGAGCACGAGUCGACGCCAAUGCCCAAAAACUCCCCUGCAUGUUGCCAACUGUGAGGGAUGUCGCCGCCGUGUCUAAGGCCACGACCACCUCCUCAUGUCGCGACGGCGCCUCCGGCGCCAUCUCGCGCCCCUUGCUUGGUUGCUCCUACGGCUGCCAAUUGCCAGCUCUGGUGGCUCCCAGCGUAGUCGCCGCUGCCCCACCACCACCUCUCCUAUGCCCCCGCCGCCUGCCACCUCGUUCUCCCCUUCCUCCACCUUCGCCCCCUCCAGAUCUGGCAGCGCCCGCCAUGGAUCUGGCCUCACCGUCGCUCCUGCUCCACUCCGCCGCUUGUCUUCCCCCUUCCCCGCCGCUUGCUAUCUCCCUUCCCGCCUCCUUGGCUGCCACCGUCAUCCCAGGAAGGGGCCAAAUCUGGCCAGGGAAGCCAUGUCCGGCGCCGUCGCCACCCCCACACUGUUGGUAUUUCUUAACGACAUUACUAGAAAUAUAAUGCCCAGCAAUGGAACAGAAAUAUUUAUGUUAUAUUAUGGUUACAAAUCAUAUACGCAAGCACACGGAUAUACUAUAGUAGCAUUUCACCCGGAAGUAUUACAAGGGUAUCAUAUUUGUUUAGUCCCGUGGAAAGAUUAUAAUGGAGAAAACUAUGCUAAUAUUUAUAUGUUACUUGUAAUAAUCAGUCUAAGCAGGUGUUAAUUUAAUUCAAGGGUAGAGUGACACGAAGCAUAAAAACUCAUUCUCUCAUAAAUAAUAAGUCUAGGCAAAAUGGAAAAGAAUAAGAAAAUAAUCUAUUCUUACACCUCUAAUAUACAUACAACUUUAGUUAAUAUUAUCUGCUAUAUAAUUAUAUAGCCAAUACCCCCAUUACAAUGCCCUCCUGGUGUUUCGAGAGACCACUCCUGGUUGCCGAGUUUCUUACGACAACCCAUUAUGGCCAUCCAACCGGUGCUAAAUACGGAGAAGUAACCUCCCUAGAAAAGUAACUUAGGAUUAUAUACUAAUAUGGAGGAAUACUUAUACUGAGCUAUCACUAUCAGCGGCCCACCUCGACUGACCCGCAGCAUAUAACCCCAUAUAAUGAUAUUCAAUAGUCUAAGCACCUCGCUUAUACUACCAAAUACUACUCUACAAUCAUCGUCAUGACUUAGAGCAAUCAUACGAAUGAACAUUAUACCCACACCAAUGCAUCUCCCAGUUAAGCUAGCUAGACAAUUAUAUCUCAAAUAAUACAUUGGAAAGUUGGUACUCCAAUAAUCAGAGUGAAGUAAAGUACUGUAAAUAUAUUUUGAAGAAUAUUCUAAUAAUUGUACAAGUCUUACAAAAGAAGGAAGAGCUACUAGAGCCAUACCCGAAUUCUUCCGAAGGCUCCGAGGACUAAAGAAACUAUUUUAUUCCUGCUCCACUAGCACUAGAAUACUAAACUAAACUUAAGAGAGAGCUUGGAGCUUCUUGCUUGAGUGUGUCAUGGAGGGAGUGAGGUGAAGGCCUUUUCUAGGCAGCUUAUGACGGUUGGAAAGGUCGGAAACGCCCUCCAACCAUCAUUGGGAUCAAUCCCAGCCGUCCCACCAAACGCUGCAUCUGACGGCGCCACGCAAGGUUCGGCUGAACCAUGGGCUGGGCCGACCUGGCCCAUCUUCGGUAGAUCGCUUCCUCUCUGCCUCCUUUAUCCAAAAUAGUGAAUUUUGGGCUUGUUGGAUCUUUUAAAUUUGGUUUUCUCAGCCCAUUUGUCCAUAAGUCUGAUUCUCGAUAGCAUCUGAUUGAGUGAUCGUCUAUUUUGUUGUCGACUAUCCUCCCUUUUGUGUUUAUUCUCUGCAAGACGUUAGAAUCCUAGUGGUACUUGAAAAUAGUUUAUUCUACCACAAAUAUGCAUUGCAAGUAUAACUAGUUCUCCUUUAUUUUAGUAAUAUUAACUUGCAAAACUGAUCGAUUACGAUCGUCAAUACGCACCCAACCGCCUCCACGCACAACCGUUCCGCACCCAGCCGCCUCUGCAUGCCCAGCCUGACGCUCCGACGCCACUGUUGACUGUCGUUAGCGAUCAGUUUCGACCGUCAAUACUACCAAAAUAAUAGAGAGCUAGUUAUCCUUGCAAUGCAUAUUUGUGUUAGAAUAAUAAAUAUUCCACUAGUACUGGGAUUACUAACCUCUUGCAGAGAAUGAACAUAAAAUGGAGGAGAAUCAACAUCACAACAGACAAUCAAUCAAUCGGACGAUGAGGAGAAUCAGACUUAUCAAUGAGUGGGCCAAGAAUGCAGAAAUGACAUGACCAAUUGGGUCAAAAUUCACAAGUCUGAAGUGAACAGCAGAAGAGGAGGCCGCCAGCCGAAAAUGGGCUGGGUUGGGCCGUCCCCUCAUUCGGACAAACCCACCGCCUGGUUCGGCCGAACCCGCCGUGCAGCCGAUGGAUCCAGGGUUGGCGAUAGACGGUGUGGAUUGCUUCCCUAUGGCGAUUGGAGGGUAUUACCGACCUUUCCAACCGUCAUAACCAUCAUUACCUGCUUAUUUAAGGCCUUCAUCUCCUCACUUUCUUCACACACUUCGAGCAAAGUUCUCUCAUACUCUCUCAAGCUUAGUUUAGCAUUCUCAAGCUAGUGGAGUAGGAAUAGAAUAGAAAUCAGAGUCUGGAAGUCUUCGGAAGAGUUUGGGCAUGGCUCUAGCAGUUCUCCUUUCUUCUUUUGUAAGACUUGUACUUUAUUUAGAAUAUUCUUCUUUAUUCAAUUCUGGUAUUGUAAUACUUUCCAAGUAUAUGAAUGCCAACUUUACUUUAUAUUCAAGUUAUAUUGAUUAUACUGCUAGCUUAUAUAGGAGAUGCAAUGGUACGGGUAUAGUGUUUGCUUAUGUAAUUACUCUAUGUCAUGAUGAUGAUAUUAGAGUAGUAUCUGGUAAUUAGGCGUGGUGUCUAAAUUACUGGGUAUGAUUAUUUGGGUUAUAUGCUACGGAAGAGAGGUGAGUCGCUGAUGGUGACAGGUCAGUACGGGUAUUCCUCCGCGUGUGUAUAUAGUCCUAAGUUAAUUUCCUGGGGAGGGUACUCCUCCGUAUUUAGCUCCGGUUGUAUGGUCAUGACGACCUGUCGUAAGGAACUCGGUAGUCAGGGGUGGCUUCUCGAAGUACCAGGAGGGCAUCGAAAAGAGGGUAUUAGCUAGUUAAUCUUAUAGUUAGGAUGUAUGUAUAAGAUGUAUACUAGAAAUAUAGGAAUAGAUUCUUUUCUCUUUUCUUUCCACUUAGCUUAGAUGAUUUAAUAUGAAAAUAAGUAGUAUUAUGCUUGUGUGUCAUUCUACCCUAUGAAUUACAUUAACUCCUGCUUAAACUAUGGUUAUUACAAGUAAUAUAUAAAUUAUUAGUACGAUUCCCUCUACUAUAAUCUUCCCACGCCAAAAUUUGGAAUAAUUUUUAAUCACGAUAAAACAAUAAUUAAGACUUCAAACAGAGUGUAAUAUUUUUUAAUUAGGAAUUUUAAAACUAAAUUAUGAAGAUGCUAUAUAUAUUUGAGACUACUCCACAUGGAAUACAACUUGAUAUUUAAUAACUACGAAUAUAGGUGUCGAAACAUGAUUUCGGCAAUAAUAAAAGGGGGUAGCACACGAGACCUAAAAGUGGAUGGAUGCAGAGACAAAGGAUUUAGACAGGUUCAGGCCCUCUCAAUGAGAGGUAAUACCCUACUCCUGUUUGGGGAUUUGAAUCCGCCGGGUGUAGUAUAGAUCUGACGAUCAGGUUGUGUCAUAUGCCCCCUAGAGGGCCUCCUGCCCACCUUAUAUAGGAUGGGGGGCAGGAUUACAAGAUAGAAACCUUAACCAACACGGUAUCGGUUUCCUAAAUCUACUUUACAAUCUUAUCAAGCCAGGACUUUAGGCCGUUCCAUAAUAUACAGGGAAACGUAAUACCCAAGUCAUGAUCUGUUACAUAUUUCAUACAUAUAUGUUAUCCCCUAUUACUAGUCGGAUAACCAUGCCGUGUGGAUAUGGGGUACCCAUAAUCUCCACAGUAGCCCCUGAGACCUUCACAGUCGGAAAGAUAAUCUUCUCUCGAACUAGAUUACUCCAAAGCCGAGUGCUUCAAUCAUCCUCGCCAUGAUCUCCCGAGUACUUUUACCAAAUAUAAAGACUGUGGAGGGCUGAAAAAUAAAGUCAGGUGCAUCAAAUAGAUGUACCAACUGAGUGGUUUUGAUAAUUGUAAUCAACCAAGUGACUUGAUAUCAAUAUAUAGCAUAUGCGGUGUGAAUCCCCGAAUAAUAUAAUCCAAGUGAUAUACCGACUGCUUGGCAAAAUAUGAUGCGUACAACCUAAAGUUGACAACAUCUUUGAAAGUUCACAUAGCAAAACAACUAUAAAGAAGCUUGAAUGCUGUGAAUAAAGAAAUUUCCAAAGUAUUGGGCAUACGCCAUGCGCACACUGCUUUAACAGAUGUGCUUAAGUCCCUAGAAGACACAUGGUUCCACCACACCUGGAAAUAUAUGGCAUAUGUGGUAUAAAAUCCGAGUAAAUAAACUCAUAAAGGAUUUACCAACCGCCUGGAAAAUGACUACAAUAUAUAAUCAGCCUAAGCCAUAAUAUUGGUCAAUAAAAAUGCACACUUACGUGGCAAAAAGCAAUGAUAUUGUAUCCAAUCAAUUGCUUAAAAACCCAAACAGCACCUUGACUUAUAUAAAAAAGUCAGCGGGACAGCUAUAUAAAGCUUUACUGUUUGACACCUUUUAAGAUGCAUUGUACCAACUCCUAAAAAAGUUGAAUAACUGUGGUAUAAAAGGAUUUUAAGGUAUUGGGCACUUGAUCACGCGCACUUUGGCCUAAGCAAAAAGUGCCUAAGUCCCUAAAAGAACGUGAUAGGCCACACCUGAAAAUAUGGGCUGCAGACAUAUUAGGCCUAGGCCAAAAAAUAUGCCUUCGACACCCUUUAAAGGAUGACGCAUAUAACAUGCUCCCGAGUAAUAAAUCUUCCGGGUAAUAUAAUAAUUGAAUCCCGACUGGCGCAAGUAUUCGGUUGAUAGCCCUUACGGGGAAUAAUAAUUGGUCCAGUCUUUGAGCAUAGAAAAUAGACUCAUGACUAUGAAUCCAUGUGGAAUGUAUCCGGAACAAGUCCAAAUUGGAGAUAUAAUCCUCACGCUUGAGUUGAUGAGCCCCUGAGCAUAUAGCUUGUCCUUCUGUCAUAGUCAAAAUUGUCUAUUGGCAAUAGCUGAUGCAGUCGGCAUGGAGAUGAAAUGACCAACAUGAAGACGAAAUUGCUCAUCAGAAGUAACGGAAAAUGUCAGUGGUAGUAAAAACAGUGACACCAAUCAAAGGUAAUGAAGUUGCAUAACCAUGGAGGCGAAGAAACCAGUCGGCAACAGUCAGGUCAGCUAGCAGUGAAGAUGUAGGCGCCCAACAACAACAAAAGAACAGUCGGUGGUGACAAAAGCAAACCGACGAUGAAGACAUAGACGCGCAUCAACGGUGAUGGCGAAACCCACCAAUCAUGAAGAUGAAGAAAAUAAUCGGCGGCGACAAACGCAUCCGACGGUAAUGAUGAUUAGCGGCAACAGAGAUAGCCGACUAUGAUGACGAAGUUUCCCAUCAACGGCAGCAGAGUAGGCUAUGUUGAAGAGGCUUAACAAGAUGUUGAUGAAGAUGACGAUGUCGGUGAUCCAGUCAAUAGCGAUGUAGCAGCCGAUGAUAACGAUGAGAUCCUCUAUCGGCAGUUGCGUAGUAGGUCAACCGUCAAGGUGAAAUAAUAAGUCGGCGAAAACAUAAUCAUCCAUUAGCAACAGCGGAGAUGUCAGGGUCGAUGAAGCAGAGGUGCUGGAGAUGAUGUUAGUGACAAUAAUCCAUCAAAUUAAUGUUAUAGCUGUUGUAGAUGCUUCACUUGGAGGAGAGUUGAUGUUGUUGUCCAACUCGUCCAAACCGAAAUAUUUGAAGUUGUUGGAGUAGAAUGUCUGUUCCGAAGCAAAGAUGAAGAUAAUGACUCCUGGAGUUGACUCAUUGGCUUAUAUAAAAUUUGUCAAAUUUUGAGCCUUAUAUUUGUGUAGCCCCCGACUCUUUGGUUAGUUGGGAAACAACUGAACAUAGAGUCGAGAAUUAUAGCUUCUUGUCGUCGAGUAGUCAUUGCUUGAUUGAAGAUAUGUGUUGAAGAUGUCCAAGUAGAAAUCCGAAGAUAAUAAAGAUGAAGUCGCUCCACCAUGAUGACAAAGUUGUGUUGCCGUGAUGAAGUGAACACGAGUCGACGGCGGAAGACGAUGAUGUCCAUCAGUAGUGGUAGCUGUAUAAACCAAAUGUAGAGGCAAGGGCACUAGUUAGCAGCAGACGAGACGACCGGUGAUGAAGAUGGUAAGGCCAAUCAACACUAGCAGAAUCAUGCGGCCAUGGAAGUGAAGAAACCAGUCGGCAGCCAUGGCAAACGUAGGCAGCUUGUGUUGAAGAUACUGAUGCCUAUUAGUAGUGACAGCGAUGUAGCCAGCCGUGAAGAAGAUAGCAUCAGUUGGCGUUAUAACAGGCCAGCCGUGCAGGCGGUGACACCAGUCAGCGGCGGAUGCGGUGGCCGGUUGGUGAAGACGUAGACGCCCAACAACGGCGGCAUAAAGGCCAGCCGUGCAGGCGGAAACACCAGUCGGCAGCGGCGAAGGCAAGCCGGUCGGUGAAGACGUAGACGCCCAACAACGGCGGCAUAAUAGGCCAGCCGUGCAGGCGGAAGCACCAGUCGGCGGCGGACGAGGCGGCCGGUCGGUGAAGACGUAGACGCCCAACAACGGCGGCAUAAAGGCCAGCCGUGCAGGCGGAAACACCAGUCGGCAGCGGCGAAGGCAAACCGGUCGGUGUAGACGCCCAAUAACGGCGGCAUAAAGGCCAGCCGUGCAGGCGGAAACACCAGUCAGCAGUGGCGGAUGCGGCGGCCGGUUGGUGAAGACGUAGACGCCCAACAACGGCGGCAUAAAGGCCAGCCGUGCAGGCGGAAACACCAGUCGGCAGCGGCGAAGGCAAGCCGGUCGGUGAAGACGUAGACGCCCAACAACGGCGGCAUAAUAGGCCAGCCGUGCAGGCGGAAGCACCAGUCGGCAGCGGCGAAGGCAAGCCGGUCGGUGAAGACGUAGACGCCCAACAACGGCGGCAUAAAGGCCAGCCGUGCAGGCGGAAACACCAGUCGGCAGCGGCGAAGGCAAGCCGGUCGGUGAAGACGUAGACGCCCAACAACGGCGGCAUAAAGGCCAGCCGUGCAGGUGGAAACACCAGCCGGCAGCGGCGAAGGCAAGCCGGUCGGUGAAGACGUAGAUGCCCAACAACGGCGGCAUAAUAGGCCAGCCGUGCAGGCGGAAGCACCAGUCGGCAGCGGCGAAGGCAAGCCGGUCGGUGAAGACGUAGACGCCCAAUAACGGCAGCAUAAAGGCCAGCCGUGCAGGCGAAAACACCAGUCGGCAGCGGCGAAGGCAAACCGGUCGGUGUAGACGCCCAAUAACGGCGGCAUAAAGGCCAGCCGUGCAGGCGGAAACACCAGUCAGCAGUGGCGGAUGCGGCGGCCGGUUGGUGAAGACGUAGACGCCCAACAACGGCGGCAUAAAGGCCAGCCGUGCAGGCGGAAACACCAGUCGGCAGCGGCGAAGGCAAGCCGGUCGGUGAAGACGUAGACGCCCAACAACGGCGGCAUAAUAGGCCAGCCGUGCAGGCGGAAGCACCAGUCGGUAGCGGCGAAGGCAAGCCGGUCGGUGAAGACGUAGACGCCCAACAACGGCGGCAUAAAGGCCAGCCGUGCAGGCGGAAACACCAGUCGGCAGCGGCGAAGGCAAGCCGGUCGGUGAAGACGUAGACGCCCAACAACGGCGGCAUAAAGGCCAGCCGUGCAGGCGGAAACACCAGCCGGCAGCGGCGAAGGCAAGCCGGUCGGUGAAGACGUAGACGCCCAACAACGGCGGCAUAAUAGGCCAGCCGUGCAGGCGGAAGCACCAGUCGGCAGCGGCGAAGGCAAGCCGGUCGGUGAAGACGUAGACGCCCAAUAACGGCAGCAUAAAGGCCAGCCGUGCAGGCGAAAACACCAGUCGGCAGCGGCGAAGGCAUGCCGGUCGGUGACGACGUAGACGCCCAACAACGGCGGCAUAAAGGCCAGCCGUGCAGGCGGAAACACCAGUCGGCAGCGGCGAAGGCAAGCCGGUCGGUGAAGACGUAGACGCCCAACAACGGCGGCAUAAAGGCCAGCCGUGCAGGCGGAAACACCAGUCGGCAGCGGCGAAGGCAAGCCGGUCGGUGAAGACGUAGACGCCCAACAACGGCGGCAUAAUAGGCCAGCCGUGCAGGCGGAAGCACCAGUCGGCGGCGGACGAGGCGGCCGGUCGGUGAAGACGUAGACGCCCAACAACGGCGGCAUAAAGGCCAGCCGUGCAGGCGGAAGCACCAGUCGGCAGCGGACGAGGCGGCCGGUCGGUGAAGACGUAGAUGCCCAACAACGGCGGCAUAAUAGGCCAGCCGUGCAGGCGGAAGCUCCAAUCGGCAGCGGCGAAGGCAAGCCAGUCGGUGAAGACGUAGACGCCCAACAACGGUGGCAUAAAGGCCAGCCGUGCAGGCGGAAACACCAGUCGGCGGCGGCGAAGGCAAGCCGGUCGGUGAAGACGUAGACGCCCAACAACGGCGGCAUAAUAGGCCAGCCGUGCAGGCGGAAGCACCAGUCGGCGGCGGACGAGGCGGCCGGUCGGUGAAGACGUAGACGCCCAACAACGGCGGCAUAAUAGGCCAGCCGUGCAGGCGGAAGCACCAGUCGGCGGCGGUCGAGGCGAGCCGGUGGUGAUGUUCUGACUGAUCCAUUCCUGGAGCGUAAGAGAUAAGCUUAAAGCCAUGAAUCCCUUUUAUGCAUAUCUGGAUCUGGAUCCUGCAGAACAAACAUAUAGGAUGAGUAGUAUCUGAUAUAAAUAUAAUACUCGAGAAAAAAUCAAGUAUUUUAAAAUAUUUAUAAAUAUGUAUUUCUCCUCUUGUCAAUUUUGAUUUCCCCGAGCAGAUGAUUCAUUACGUUUAAACGCUCUGUCCGACUAGUCAUAGCCCCCAAGCAUCGGGAGUCGGCCUAGGCACUUCCCAGACAUGCAUAUGAGUGACAUGAGUUCGCCAUUAAUAGAACAAAGUUUCACGAAUCAGAAUUUACUACUCGGGUACUUUUGCAAUUAUUAAGAGCAGAAAAUAAAUUUAUCUCAUCUCUAUGCUUUUGAUUUAUUCCGAAUAAUACUUAGCACCUUGCGUUACUCGGUCCAUCCAACGAGCUCCCGGGUGCUAGGAAUCGGCCCAAAGGCAACCAUCCAUUGGCAAACCAAAUGGAAAGCAUAGGAAGAUAGAACUCCAUAACUCGAUAGGUACUUUUGUACUCAGAUUAUGUCGCAAGCAAUCAAGAUAAAUAUUAUAAAAAAUAUGAUAUAACAUCUGUAGCCCCCGACUCACUACUCAAUGGAAGACCAAUUGAUGUCGUGAGGCAGAGGAAAAGGAAAAAUGUCAUAUAAAGAAUAAAAUAAAUGAUGACUUAGCUUUGUAAUAUUCCCCUUGGUGAUGGCAGAAGUGGCCAAUGAGGGAACAAAGUCGUCCAUCAAUAACAAUGAAGACACCAGUCGGCGGCGACGAAGGCGGUCGACGGUGAAAGCGAAGAUGCCCACUAAUGGCGGCAUAAUAGGCCAGCCGUGUAAGCGGAAACACCAGUCGACGGCAACGAAGGUGAGCCAACGGUGAAGAUGUAGACGUCCAACAACAGUGGCAUAAUAGGCCAGCCGUGCAGGCAGAAACACCAGUCGGCGAAGGCCAGCCGGUCGGUGAAGACGUGGACACCCAUGAACGGUGGUGUGACCAACCGACCGUAUAGGCGGGGACACCAGUCGGCGGCGACGGAGGCAGGCCGGCGGUGUAGAUGACGAUGCCCAUCAACGGUGGUGUGACCAACCGACCGUAUAGGCGAGGACUCCAGUCGGCGGCGACGGAGGCAGGCCGGUGGUGAAGUCGUAGACGCCCAACAGCGGCGGCAUAAUAGGCCAGCCGUGUAGGCGAAGGCACCAAUCGGCGGCGACGGAGGCAGGCCGGCGGUGAAGACGUAGACGCCCAACAACGGUGGUGUGACCAACCAACCAUAUAGGCGAAGACACCAGUCGGCGGCGACGGAGGCAGGCCGGUGGUGAAGUCGUAGAUGCCCAACAGCGGCAGCAUAAUAGGCCAGCCGUGCAGGCGGAAACACCAGUCGGCGGCGGCGAAGGCCAGCCGGUCGGUGAAGACGUGGAUGCCCAUGAACGGUGGUGUGACCAACCAACCGUAUAGGCGAGGACACCAGUCGGCGGCGACGGAGGCAGGCCGGCGGUGAAGUCGUAGACGCCCAAUAGCGGCGGCAUAAUAGGCCAGCCGUGCAGGCGAGGACACCAGUCGGCGGCGAUGAAGGCAGGCCGGCGGUGAAGUCGUAGACGCGCAACAGCGGCGGUAUAAUAGGCCAGCCGUGUAGGCGGAGGCACCAAUCGGCGGCGACGGAGGCAGGCCGGCGGUGAAGUCGUUGUUGUUAUCAGCAAUGGCGGUGGCGAAGACAAGCCGGCAGAGUGGACUCGCGGCCGAUCGACCGGAAAGCUGAGACGCCUCGAGUCCAUGACCAGCAUCAAUCGCCUCAAUAGUGCCGCGUAAUUAUAUGCGAACAACAACAAAAAAUAGCAAGAGAUUAAUCUGGGAUUAAAAAUCAAUACGAUAAAUAAUGAUAAAAAUCAGAUUGAGUUUCCCCCUGACUGAUUUGGAUCAAGUUAGAGAAGAGGAGCUUGAAGAAGUGGUCGACGGAAAGGAAGUGAAAACUCCCAAAGCGAAAACGAAGUCGGCGACUCAUGAAAUUGAUUCCAUCGCGCUUGUUGAUAGGAAACUCGACGCAACCCCUACCUGGCGCGCCAACUGUCGAAACAUGAUUUCGGCAAUAAUAAAAGGGGGUAGCACACGAGACCUAAAAGUGGAUGGAUGCAGAGACAAAGGAUUUAGACAGGUUCAGGCCCUCUCAAUGAGAGGUAAUACCCUACUCCUGUUUGGGGAUUUGAAUCCGCCGGGUGUAGUAUAGAUCUGACGAUCAGGUUGUGUCAUAUGCCCCCUAGAGGGCCUCCUGCCCACCUUAUAUAGGAUGGGGGGCAGGAUUACAAGAUAGAAACCUUAACCAACACGGUAUCGGUUUCCUAAAUCUACUUUACAAUCUUAUCAAGCCAGGACUUUAGGCCGUUCCAUAAUAUACAGGGAAACGUAAUACCCAAGUCAUGAUCUGUUACAUAUUUCAUACAUAUAUGUUAUCCCCUAUUACUAGUCGGAUAACCAUGCCGUGUGGAUAUGGGGUACCCAUAAUCUCCACAAUAGGAAUCAUCAAAUCGUGAAAAAGGUUAAAUCCAAACCAAGUUUGUUUCUGUACAUAUUAAUUCAAAAUUGCUAAACUAUUUUAUAGCAAAAUGCUCACAAGAGACAGCAAAACGAGUAUAAAUCUAUAUUUCUAAUACUAAAUUUUGAAAUUAUGUAAUUUCAAAAAAAACAUAAAGUAAUAGAAGAAAUAUUAGAAUGGGUUAUAUAAGAAAUUACUAAUUAUGUUUUUGGCCACUAUAAUUUAAAUGAAAGUGUUUUGUAUCAACUUCUUUUAAACAAAAUUUACUUAUGAGUUUAACAAUAUAUUUUAUCAUUAUCCAGUGAAAUUUUAAUAUUUUGUCAUUCACAGUAACCCGUGCAAUGCACGGGUUGACCGCUAGUAAUAAGUAAUAAAAGGUGGAAUGGACGACGUUCCUCUCUUCUAUAGUUUUGUUCUUGAAAUUCUAUUUUUUUUAUGUAAUGUUCUUAGUAAUUUCUAUUACGUACGUACGUGGCUUGUUAAAUAUGAUAACUAGGUAUUAGUUUCAUGACCUGUCAAAUAGCAUCCCUUGCCAUCCUUGUAGCAGCACAGUCCAUUCCAGAUCUUACCAAGUUCGCCUUAGACUCCCUAGUCCAUCUGCUUCCUGGACAUUCUGUUCGUUCAUGACAUCAAUAAAAGCCAUACACAAAAAGUUUGUCAUAUGUCGGACUAACGGGGGCCCCGUGUCGCUCCAGGGGCAGGGCCGACACGGUCGGCGGCAACCAGCGCCUUCCUCCUCACCCCCGUCUUCCACCCUCCUCCGCCUCGCUGCCGCCCGAGCGGUCAGCCGAAAACCGCGCAGCUGCAAGGAUGGUGACAAUGGGGCCUUCCUUCUCCCUCGAGGUCGCAGGGUCGAUGCCCACGACCCUGACCAGAUUGGGGCGGCGAUGGUGCGGUGGCUAUUGGUAUUUCUUAACGGCAUUACUAUAAAUAUAUAAUUCCCAGCAAUAGCGCAUAAAUACUUCUGGUAUAUUAGGGUUACAGAUUUCAUCCACAAACGUACGGAUAUCCCAUUAUAGCAUUUCACCCUAGAGUAUUCUAAGGGUAUCAUAUUUUUAUGUUUCAGAUGGACACACAAUUUACAAACAAAAAUUAAGUAUAGCACAUAUGUAGAAGUCCAUGAUCACGCGCAUCAUCUACAGAUUUCCAGGUAGCUUGAGCUGCUAAUUAACUGCUGAGAUCAUCUGCAGAUUUCCAGGUAGAUUUGAAAAUAACAAAAUUCGAAAGUAAUAUAUAUCGUCACACAUCUGAAGCAUAAGUCAUUUCCAUGUUUUAAUAAUUUUGAAUUUUGGAAUUAAUCACUACCUAUAUUGUCCUUGUGUUGGUCUCCUAAUUUGGUACUAUGCUCCUGUUUUUAGAUACGCGAUUUUAAUUAGCACUUUUACAUCAUACAUUAAAUUAGUAUGCUAAAUUAAAAUUUCGAGAAAUCAUAGAUUCACUUAAACAAAUGUAUUUGGAUGAAGCAUGGAGCAGAUUUGUUAGCGAUAUAUGUUUAACUUAUCUGGAAAAAGGAAAUGUCCACUUAAAACUUGUUAUUAAUUUAUAGUGAACUUUCUCAUUAGCAAUAAAAAAAAGAUCAGCAACAUAAUUAAUUCUUUAUUUCAAUUAAAAUAAAAAAAUCAAGAAUAUCAUAUUACAUGAUGUGGGAGUUGACCCUAUAAUUAAAUUCAGGUGUUUACAUAUUCAUCAAUAAAUCCAAAGUUCUGUUUGAAUCUAGGUUAUCCAUCGGUGACCAUCGCAUCUACAAUCGACUGAUGCAUAUAAGAUGAUUCAUCAUUACAUCUACAAUGCACAAAGGUAUCCUGUUAAUUAAUCUUAAAUUAAUUUAUAGUUAGUUUAGAUGAGAAACAUGUAAGAAACAACUGAAUGAAACCCUAAAAAGAUUGAAUCAGAUCUUGCUCACUUGAGUAUUUUAAAUAGCCAUCGUACCUGCAGAGAUCAAUAUCUUGGAUCGAUAAAACACUUCCUCGCCAAUGCAUCCGGUCGACGGAGUUCCUCGGCUGCAGGGUCAAGUAGAUCGACGUAGCCUGCCGUGUUGUGAUCUCGUCGCGUGCAGAGUCGAGUCCGACUGCUGAGACCGAUAUGGGUACAAUUUGUAGACCUUGAAGGAAGCCUGUAUAGAUUGAAUGGUGGCCCAGACACGUGUUGGGCUUUAAUUAAAGGUCCAUAGUUAUAAUAUUUAAUCUACGGUCAUGAUUUUACGAUCUAGUUAAUCAAUGGUCAGAUUAAUCUGAUUGACGUGAGAGCUCUGGAAAAGUGCCCAAUUAGUAUAACGUGAGAGCUCUGGAAAAUGCCCAAUUAGUAUAGAUAUAGAAUAGAUAGAUAGAUUGUCUUCAGAUACAUAGGGACGCAGCAAUCGUGGAUGUGAAAAUUAGAAUCACUCUUUUCGUUCUAAAAUAAGUGGCCUUACUAUAGAGGGGGAUCUUCAGGCUGCAUAGCAAUACACCGUCGGCACGGUCACCAUGCCGACGACCCUAUGGCCACCACAGCCCUGCAGCGGCACCAUUCCGGCCACCGACAUGGGCACCCUCCUUAGCAUGACAUUCCAUUUUUCAAUCUCAUCAUCAAAUCAAAGAACAACGACGUACGGAUAGCUAGCGAAUCAUCAAGAUUUAUAGAGAGGAACAUCGGAGUUCAUCAUUUAUUCACCACACAUAUGCUUCCAAACAAAAGGAAAACACUAAUUAUUUUAGUAACCACACCACAUACAUGCACAGCUAGCUACAGUAGCCUAGCUAGUAGCCAGAUCUCGCCAGCCAGUAGCAGACACCACCUCCGCCGUUGGGGAUGUCCACGUUGCAGAACGCCGGGAGGCUCGCCGCCGCGCGCUCCAAGUCCCCUCUCCGGCAGCCGCGGAACACCUCGGACAUGGGGUGCCCGACAUCGGGGGCGCCGAGCUCCCUGUAGAUGCCUCCCAGCAUGUGGCUGAUCGCCUCGCACCUGCACCAGCUGUCGUCGACGGCGGCGAGCUGCCGGCAGCAGUCUCGCCGGACCUGCUCGGCGGCGGCGGCCGUGCCACGGCCGACGCACUGGCGCUUCACCAACGCCCGGCAACGCGGGAGCGGGUACAUCGGGUAGCCCAUUCCUGGCUGACAGAGCGGGCCCGGGGUGUAGACCACCUGGUCUUGGUGGUGGUACUCCGCCAUGGUCGCCGUCGCCGCGAGCACGGAGACGACGGCGAGAAGCAACACUGAGAACACUACCUUGUUGGAAGCCAUAUUUUUGUUGCAGAAAAUCUUAACUAUCAAUUUGUUUAUGAGAGGGAUAGCUAUCUAUGGGUGGUUUCUAUAUAUAGCUAUAAAGACUAAAGUGAUCUCAAGAACGGACACAAUUUUUUUUGCUGUUCAUAAUUGUGAUUAGCUUGUUUGCAUAGAACAUUUAUUGUGACUCACACCUAAUCGAUUUGGACAUGAUAUGGAUAAAAGUUUGUUAAAGUGGACUGUAUGCACCACAUUUUUUCAACUUGUUUUGAUUCUUCCGUGCAAGAAAAUUAAUGCGUAUACUGUCAACAGACGUCGAGUUACGCAAGGUAACAAAAUCUGUUGAUCUUUAUUUCCAUGGCUUGUAUAGUGAUCCAAUUUGCAAGACAAAGAAAAAGAAGAGCUCAGAACAAAUAUUGUUAGAAAAUAUGCUCUGGCAGUUAAAAAGUGUUCAGCAAUGAAGCUUUAACACACUAGAUUGCACAAAAUUAAGAAACGUGUGAUUUUAGUGUAUGGGUUCUUUUCCGUAUCAAAGCCAAGCGAAUCGAACAUAAUUAUACGAAAGCAAAAAAAAAAAAACUAUUACAACAAAAGAAAAGGUAAUCGAUUAAUACAAGUGAUCGAGUGAGUUUGUCUUCAUGUCCUUUCUCUUGCUUGAAAUUGAGCUCAAUCCUGUGAAAUCAAUGGUUUUGAUUUAUAUAUUUUGUGAUGAACAAAAUGAGACAUUUAAUUUAUAUUGGAUUUGAUAUUUGGUGAUUUAAAUCCUGAAUAUUUUGUGUUUAUUUAUGAUUUAUAGUUUGAGUGUUUGCCUACACACUGUACUGUAGUACAUCAUCCUUUUUACAACGAAGUAUUAAUUUAGUUAUAAUUUAAUUAUAUUUAAUUAUUUGAGCAGGGUAGAAACUAACCAAGCUUGCAGAAUUAAUGUAAGGCAUGUAGGAAAGCUCUUAUAUAUCUAAUAAAUAUCACUUAAAAACUAUCUUUCUAUAAUAGUUGACACAACAAAGCCUCUUAAUUAUUACUGCACCGAAAUAAUUUUUUUUAUCACUCUUGUUUUCUUUUCUUCACUCCAUACAUCAAAAUUUCCUUUGAUAAAUGCUAAAAGUUGACUCUCACUGUUGUCAUAUGUAGCAACAAUUAUCUUUUCUCCACUGUCUCUCUUCCAUUUCACCAAUAGUACUCUCCAAAUGAAAAGCUAUCAUAUAUCAAAUCAACUAAUUGAAGGCUGUUGAAGCCCAUGAAAUGCGGUGAACCACAUCCAUUUAUGUACAUCCAUACACAAAGACUGAUCCUCACCAGUUCAUCUCACAUUGAACUAAUUCAGUUUCUGCAGUGAUGACUUCUGUUCAUGCAGAAAGAUAACCUCUAGCUAGUAAAUCAGUGUGCGGUAGGGUUAGGAUGCAUCAGGAAAGAAGCCCCUAUCCAAGUCCAAUUAUCUGUUCAGGGAGCAGACUAGUCCUUGUGUGCUACAAUAAAAUUCGGUUGUUUCUUGAACAAGCAAUUUGUAAACAAUGUCUAAAGGUGUAACCAAUGGAAAACAUUUCUGAAUCUACUUCCGAAUUCAGCGCAUAUACACAAACACUAUAUACUUUUAAUUAAGAAGAUAAUGAAGUGAGGAUGAACGGUUCUUCUCCUCCUUCAUAUUUUCUCCACAAAGUAUGGUGAGUAUUUUCUACCGUCGAAGUGAGCUAUUAAUGUUCCUAUCAAAAUAGGAGCCCCUUAAUAUAACAUCUAAAUAAUAAUUUAUAUAGAUAUAUAAGGUGUUACUGCUUAGCACUUGAAUUACGUCAAAAACAAUAUUUACGUAAUAGGCUUUAUAAUAUUACCUUAAAAUUUAUCCAUUGCCCUCUUCUAUGAUUCUAUCAAAUCAUCCACUGUUUUCCCUCUCCUUUUCCUUUUUUUGCCAACCGAUACAAACUUUCUCAAUGACAUGAUAUUAAGGGCAGGUUAAAUUACUAAUGAAAAGAGUAAUGCUUUUAAUUAGUGGUUGAACUCAUAUAAAUUACAAAGGCUGCAAAACUACAAAUAUUGGUGUAAAUCUUACCAUUCAACAAUUAGUUGAUCAUGGAUGCAUAUGGCAAGUGAGUCGGCAAAAUGGGCUUGAUGCAGCUUCGUCCAAUGAUCCAAGCUCAAUCUCUAAGCUCUGAGAAGAGGAUCGGAGAAAGAAACCUAACAAAGUAAGCUAAAAGGUCCUCGCUUGUCACUACUCACUAACAACAUAUGGCAAAUUGGAUUGAGCUGUGGCAAGGAUGAAGAAAGAUCGGACGACGAACGUGAUGUGCUGGUGCUGCUUCUCACAUUCUCUUUUACACGUAGAUGCAACCAGAUGAUCGUCAGCGUCAAUCAAUGUUUCACUUGCAGAUUUAAUUGCAGCCGUGCAUGGUGACUGGCGGCAAGAGGCGUGGAUGCAUAGCCAUUGGAAUGGAGCGGUUGGCUGGCUAGCUAGCUAGAGCGACCUAGCAAAGCAUCGAGAUGUAUCCCCCCCCACCCCCGGGCACCAUGCCACGGUUAAUAUAUAGACGGAAAAAAAAAGUCAGAUAGCAAAUUAGUGGAUGGGUUCUGAAUAUAGAUAGCAAUAUGGCCUGAGGCCCGGCCCAAGGCAUGCCAAUUUGGCCCAGCUCAAGCACGGCACGGCCCAACUGGGGUCGUGCUUGGGCCGCUCCCCUCGGCAUGGUGGGCCGGCCUGACACGGCACGAUCGAAAAAAAAAUAGUAGAGAAAUAUAAAAUAGACUUAAUUAACAAUAUAAGACAAUGCCCAAAGACAAGAGGAAUACAAAAUAGACUUCUUUCCAGCCAUAUGGAUACGGCCCACAGAGUUUAGGGAGGAAAAAUACACUUAUUUUGUGGAGAAGAACGAUGGGUUGUUGUGCCUUUAGGCUGGCCCAGCACAGUCUGAGUCUUACUGGCCACGCCUGGGCCAUGUGUGCAGCCCGGGUGGCCUAUUUGGCCAUAUAUAGUUCUAAAGACUAUAUAUGGAAGGUAGUGAACUGCAUCCAUUUAUCCAUCCAUUAUCAUAUGUCCACAGACACAAUAUGUAUAAGGACUUACCAUUUGUCUUAUAUGCAUGCUCAGUAGCUAAAUUUAAUUUCUUCAAUGAUGAAAUCUUAUUAAGUUGAUUAUUCAAAAAUAUGUUGCAAACAUAUAUAUCACUAACAUGAACUUGUUAGGGGUAGGAUGCAUCGGGAAUGAAGCUUCCAUUACAGUGUUUGGCCAUCGAGCAAGCUUGGUGUUGUUCUCUACUGCGUGACAUAUGUGUGGAUCGAGGAGAGGUGCUUGUCCACACCUGUCUGGAGGACAGUUGGUGAAGUUCAUUGCAGGAAUACACACCGACAUCGAAAUUAACCAUACUACUAGACUCCCUCCAUACUCGUAAAGAAAGUCGUUUAGGACAGCGACACGGUCUCCAAAACACAACUUUGACUUCUUAUUUCUAUAAAAAUAUUUAUUGAAAAGUGAUAUAUAUAUAUACUUUUAUGAAAGUAUUUUUCAAGACAAAUCUAAAUAUAUAAUUUUUACAUUUUCAAACUCAACAUCUUGAGAGUUAUUCAUGAUUUAUAUUCCCAAGGUUUGACUUAAACAUUGUUCUAAACGAUUUUCUUCAUGAGUAUGGAGUAGUACUAACUAGUAACUAGAUUGACUGGAAUUCUACUGGAACUUGGUAGUAAUAAUUAAGAACAUUCAAGACACGUUUUAAUUAGUAGAUCAAUCUUGAGGUGAUUAUCAUAUUUAAGUUUUUAACUAAUCCAAAUCUUUAGUGGAGCUUAAAUGUAUACAUUGAGGGAGGUACAUGAUUAUUUCUUUUGAAGAGGAUGUGCUCAAUAGAGUAUAAAGAUCAUCCUCAAAUUGGUGCAGCAUUUUUGUGAUUGUUGUCAGCGCACAGUGUCUCUCCCACCCCCACCCCCCUCCAAAUAAAAGAACUCCCUCCAAAACCAUUCAAUACCUUGAUGUUUUUAUUGAACAAAAGAAUUAAAAAACCUAAUAUUUGUUCCGUAAAAGUUGCUUGAUACAAUUUGUAUGAAAAUAAUAACAAGGGAACAGAUCUUCACGCUGAUUGUCAGCCUUUUCUAUUAGUUUCUUAGAAGAGGGCUUUCCCUAUAAAGAGAAUGUAGCUAGGGAUGAAAACGGAUCGGAAACGGACGGAAACUAGCUUUAUCAUAUUCGUUUUCAUAUUUUUUUUCGGAAUCGGAAUCAGAAUCAAAAACUCAGAUACGGAAAUGAAAUCGAAUAUUAUCGAAUACAGAUACGGGGCGAAUACGAGACAGAAUGAAUACGGCAGCGAAUAUUUACCGGUAUAUAAAAAGCCCCUCAAAUUGAGUUUCUUGAUCAAGAAAGAGAUAUCACUUAUUAUUUUUGUUUAACAUCUCUAACAUUUAUAUCGUCAAUUUUGUAGAUGGUCUCACAACCGUAUGUGAAAAAUCAAUUUUAAUGGUUGUUCCUCCAUAUGCAAAUAUGAUUAUCAUUUUCAAUUCUCAAGACCUUUUACUAGAUGUAUAACUUACUUGCCAUUGUAUAAAUUGGAGAUGCUAUUUAUUUUACUUUACAUCUUUGAAACUUGCAAUAUUUGUUUUAUGCUUUAAAUGCUUUCAAAUACAAAUGUUAUAAACUACAAAGUGGUAGAUCCCGUCGAGUUCUACAACUUUGAUAUAGAACACAUCUCCAUCAGAUGUCGUUUGAAUUGUAAAUCUGAGAUUUGUAAAAAUUAAUAUGGUAUAUUAUAAUAAAUAUUUAAACCCUUAAAUGAUCUCAAAUAAUAAAAUAGUCAAUAAGAAAGUUGUAGAUCUCAUCGAGCUCUACAAUAUUGAUAUAAAGUUUGUCUUUAUCUAAUUCCGUAUGAAAAAGUUAUGUAUAUAUACAUGUUUUUUCUAAAAUUUUAUCAAUGUCUGCAGAUAUCCGAAAAAAAUUCCGGAUAGUUUCCGACCGUUUUCUGAUUCCGACGGAUAGUACCCUUACUGUAUUCGUUUUCGUUUCCGAGAAAAAAAAAUCCGAAUUUGUUUCCAAAUUCGAGAAUUUCCGGAUAGUUCUGAUCGAAACUAUCCGAAUCCGAAAAAUGGUCCGGACGGACGGAAACUAUCCGAACCAGUUUCAUCCCUAAAUGUAGCAAUAUACCCUAAUAAUAUAAAGGGUGCAAAAAGAUUGCGUGUGCGGAUGAUGAAGGGUUGCCACCAAACCAAAACACAUGGGAGGAACUACUCCUAAAGGAGCAACUAAAUUCUCAUAUACUGAAGUGCACAUUAAGGGCAGUCAAGGACCUUAAGUGUUUCGAAACCGCGUCCUCUUUUCAGAACACAUAGAUACGGGUACCAUACAACAAGUGGAGUUGGUUUGAGUUCUUGUAGGGUUAGGAGUACUGGGAACCAAGCUUAUGCGCCUCAGUCAUAGACAUGGCCUUUGGUUAUCUAGAUCUCAUGCUGACCCAGGUUCCAUCCAUAUUGAUAGUGCACCAUGGUCAAGAUUGACAAACUGGCAAUGCCAUCGGGUAGUAGCUAAUGAGGGUGCUGGCACCAAUACCCCCUGGAGCUUGGGUGUCAACCAGACAAUAGCUAGAUCUUCCAACCUGCCAGAGCUCCACGACGUCUAGUGCGCCUUCUCAAAGAGAUGGAAGCUAGCAAGCAUGCCUUAACUGCACAAAAAAACUCAGGUGCCUGCAUCUUUGUGCCAUUAGGGCCAUAUCUUGGCCGUACAUGCAAAUCUGGGUGUUUAGCUAGUGUUGCUUGGCAUUUCUUUAAGAUUUGUCUUUCUAUCUUGUUUAGAAUGUGUAGAAUAGUACAUAUAUGGAGAGAGAUUACGGAGAAUAUUGGAGAGAAGAAUUAGAGAUAAGGAAGAGUACGAUAGAAAUUAAUCAUAUCCUGAUGCAUGCAAUUCUUCUCUCAUACACGCUAACGGAAUGUAUGGAUGGUGCUUGGUUUCAUUUGUAGCACUGUGAAAAUUUAUCAAGAUUAGUUUAGGUGCAAAGAUGGAUUCGAAUGAGCUCUGUAUGCAAGUCAGAUACUGAUAUGGUGCUGGGUUAUGGUGUGCCAAUGGCAAAACAUCCCGGGGGCACAGCCUGUAGAUGACAACGCAGCUUGGUGGGCUGAUCUCAAUCAACUACACCCCAAACCUUUCAAAUUCAGGGUUAAAGGAUCUCUUCUCGCCACUUGGUGGAACGUUUGGUUGGAAAGAAACAGAAGAAUUUUUUAAAACAUCUCUUACACAGAGGAUCGCGUUGCGAGAAUAGUAAAGUCCAACCCCCCUAAUUGUCUUUUCUUUUUCGGAUUCCCUUUGUUUUUUCAGGUUUCUCCCUUCUUCUCCUUCGAUGUCUUCCCAUGUAUUCUCUGAACUGUUUUUCUCUCCUCUAAUAAAAUUCCGGCAGAGCUCCUGCCGUAACCUCAAAAAAAUAUAUGGUGCUGGGUUAAAAGGCUUAAUGACAUGGCUGGGGAAAAAAGAGUAGGUCAUUAUUUUGAAGAACUUGUGCAUGUUAGAGUAUAUUGUAUUGGUUGUAUUGACCUUUUAAACAGGUAUCAGAUAUAUCAGUUCACAGACAAUACAUAUGUGAAGCUUGCAAAUAAUCCUUGCCCAGCACUAGUCAAUGAUGAAUUGCAAAAUAGUGCCCUGAUUGUGCUAGCUAGCUAGCAUAUAUAGAAAUAAAAACAUUUACUAUACCACAUUUAAUAGUCUAGAAAUAAAAAUAAAAGCUACCAUAUAUAGAAAAUUAAUUGACGCUAGGGCCUAGGGACCAGAACUCCAGAAGCGCAAGAAAUGCAGUGAACAACAUCCAUUUUCUGUAUGUGCGCACAUAAGGCCUUCCUUACCUCAAUUCAGUUUCUGCAGUGAUGAUUUAUGUUCAGGCAGAAUCCUCUUGCACCAAAAACCAGGGCGUGUUAGGUCUAGGAUGCAUCCGGAAGAAAGACCCUAUCCUAGUACUUGUUUGGGAAGCAAACUGAUCCUUCUGUGCUGUGUUAAGAGAUGGUGUUAGCCCUCACACAAGCCAUUUGCCAACAAUUUGUGCCUACAGGACAAGGAUGGGCGCAUUGGGCUAGUGGAUCAGCUCAUAGAGGCGUGGAUUAUAUAUGGUGGAAAUAUUACUUGCUGUUUAGUGAAUGCAUUAUAUACAUUUCAUUCGAAGAAGAAAAGAUCACGACUGUGAACCAUCCUUUUCCUAUUCAGUUUUUCUCCAAAAAGAUACGAUGAGUAAUGUAUCCUCGAAGUGAGUAAUGUUUUAACGAAAAUGUUGUUCGUCACCACAUCAUAUUAUUGUCAUUAAUUUGAAAAUACAUACACAUAUAUUCACAGUACGCCACUACACUGGUCAAGGUCACCUGUGACGGGCCCAAACCCUCACCUUUGAUGGUUUUGGGCUUGGUCAGUGAUCAGUGGUCACUGGUAAGUCCAGUCACCUUUGACGGGUGGCCGGCCGUCAGUGGUGACAUCCACCUCUGACGGGCAAGUUAAUAGAAGGCCGUCAGAGGUGUUGGUCUAAGCUAGACUAGGGCUUGUUAGGACCCGUCACAGGUGUCUCAUCUCUGACGAGCCCCUAAAUAAAGGCCCGUCAGAGGUGAUGAUCUCCGGUAUAUAGUAGCCGUCACAGGGUGACCCACCUGUGACGGGCCCGAAAGUAAAAGCCCGUCACAGGUGGGUCACCUGUGACGGUCCGACGUUUGCGAGUCCGUCACAGGUGAGGUUACCUAUGACGGAUGUUUCUUCCGAACCGUCACUGAUGAGUUAAUUCCAGAAAAAAAAUAAAUGCUAAAUAUUGGCUAGCCUCAGGAAUUGCUAGCCAUGCCCUCUGAAAAACAGAAACAUCACAGGUACCAGUCACCCCCCCUCCAUAUCACAUAUUCCCCAACUGCCCAACAUCACAGAUGCAUCACAUAUCACAGAUCCAUCACAAAGCAACAAUUUACAACAUCACAUAUGCAACAAUUUAAUUUAUUAUAGCACACAAUUCAUACCCCAUGAAAGUCCUCAAAUGAUUACCAAAAUUUCUUGUAUUCUGUUCGUUGUGAACCUCCACAACCUGUCAAUAAGGGAAAAAAAAGGAGAAAACAUAUGAAUAGUACAACAUAAAUGAUAGUUGAUCAAAUGUGAUGACAAUUUAGUAAAGUACCAUAAAUAUUGCACAUAUGAAAGUAAAUUACAUUGCACUCUAUAAAAACAUAAUUUUUUACAUCGCCAGAAAUUAUAAAAACAUCUUUUUUACAUCACAAUAAAUUAUCUAGCCAAGUUCAUGAGUCUAUUUGGCAUGAAAACGUCCUUUCUUGUUCAUUAUUUCUGCAAGAAUAAAGGCGCACACUUCGCCUCUGAUAGCGGGGGGGUUGAUGGGUGAGAUCUUGAAGCCAGCUCUACCUUUCUGUUUAAUAAAUAAGAGGUUAAUUAGCACGUUUUGAAUAGUAAUGUAGAUAUUGAAAUGAGCUUAUUCGCCAUUAGCAACAACCUCAGGGUCGAAAUCUUUCACCUCUCUUAGAAGUGUUGACAUGUUGUGGCACACGUGGAAACCACAUUGGUCUCCGAUCUGUUGUGCGCAUGCAAACUUGGUGUCAUGAUAAAGUUCGUUCUUGCCCUCCUUGUGCCUACCACCCUUUUCCACAUAUGGGCCCCAAGCCAUAUUUAAGGCCUUGGUGAUUUCACUGAAAUCAUAAUCUUUGGACUUAUUGGAGUUAAGGUAGGUAACCCUACUCCACUUAGGUACGAUGACUAGGAGAAUCCAAUGUCGCCUGUGCAGUGGUUAUGUAGCAUUAGUACUAAGAACCUUAACUUCAAAAACAAUAUACACGAAGGGUAUUGUCCUCUUACUCUUGGUUGUGUGCGCACAUGAUGUACUCCUUGUCUUGAUGGGCCCAUAAACACCGGUUGACAUAGUCAACCACCUCAGUGAAGCUCUGUCGUAAAUUAACCUCAUUCACCAUGGAUGGAUCAAGGAACCCAACCUGAUUACCAUGGCGACGACUCUCGAUCCAACACAACCUUAAAAUAUUUACGUAUUAGAACUAAUUUAAUUAGGAGAUAUAGUCCAGUCAUAUCACAAGUAUAGAAGGUAUGCACUUACAAGGAGUAGCAUUUUAGAAGACCAGUGUCCAACUUCCGGAUCCUGAAAAGGUCGAAGAGGUCAUCAAAGCCUAUAGUUAUAUAGGCAGGCGACGAUAGGAACGGCUGGUGGUCGUGAUGUCCAACUAUGGAUGACUCCCUCAUUUUCCGCUUGGCAUUGCUUAGUUCCAUGUAUUGCUUAUGUAGCUCUCGGCAAGCAAUACCCAUCACAGCUAACAUGUACAUUGUCCUCCACCAAUGGCAUGCCUAGCUCAAAUUGGGCUGGCGCCCUCACGACCUUCCCCGAUUUGCUCACCGGCAUCGACGUCGCAGCCUUGCCCCGUUUUGGCUCCGGCGCCAACUCCCCGACCUUCCCCUUGCCGCGUUCACGCUUCUGGCCCUUGACAAGUGGUGGGGAGCUAUCGGCCUUUCUUGUGGUCUUUAUUGGAGCCAAGCUUUGAGCUAUAUCUGCCAAGUCCAUAUCAGCUCCACCGGGAGAAUGAGGUACUGACAAUGCCGGUCCACGGGGAGCCUCAAUUGAUAGCUUAGAUUUGGGAGGUGUAAGCUCCGUCGGUCGACUUGGACGAGGAGUCAUCUUCACAACUAUGUCUUCUUUGGGCCAUUGUAUGAACGUCUUGCGCGCAUCGCCCAAAGUCAUGAUUUCAUCAUUUGGGGGCACGGGCAGCGGAUAGCCUGACCAGGUGUCCUUUACUGUAUCGAUGGACACCUUGGCAUACUCAGCUAGCAGGUCUGCGCCGUGGACCUUGUCUGUAACCGAGGGCUUGAAAGCCAUGCCCUCAGCGACUUCAGGAGCGAAAGUUGGGUGGACUCUCGCUAGUAGGACACACUGUGCUGCGCCCUGCAUAAGGUGAAAGUUUGAAUUUAAUAUUGGAAUGUGUAAAUGUCUUUUAUUAGAUAUGGAUCGGAUAACAACAAUUACCUCGAUGUGGUCCACUGCAGCUAGUGGUGCGAUCGGGAGACCAGGGGCCGGCACCUCUGUGGAUGCACAACUACUCCUAUGCUGUGACGGACUCGCGUCGUGUUGUACACUCCUAUUCAUGUCGGCGAGGACCUUGUUAACCCUUUCUUCCACCCUUGCAUUCAUGCUAGCUUCUAGUUCUUGAAUGACCUCAACCUUAAGUUCGGCCUUCAAACGAGCGUCCCUCUCUUCCUUGGAGACUUUCCAUUUCCUGUAUUGGGAGCUGUACUGAGGGAGUCCAUGCUUCCAGGGCACAUCGCUACCAAUUCCCCGAGUUCGGCCAGGAUGUUCUUUGGUUCCGAGCGCCUUUGUGAGGAUGUCAUCUUCGCGCCUCUUCGGCGCGGACUCAACCUCGCUUUGUGAAGCUUGUUCAGCAACCAAGCCCAACUAGAAAAGAAGAUAGUCGUUUAUACGAACUUGUACUUUAUACGAACGGAAAUUAGUUAGGUUAAGUAGUGAACUCACCAGUUCCUGAUAGACGACGGCAUCACUUUUGUUCUCAAAUGUGACAGAGCCGUCCGGGUUGACCUUACCCCUUGCCCGCGCCCAGUUGCGAGCUAUUUGUUCAGGGAUGUCUGAAAACAGGGCAGGGACAUUCGCUGCUGUAGCGGCUGCAUCUUCUUGGGCCCAUAUUGCCUCCUUGCCGAUGUACCCUGCGGUGCCCAGCCGAUGCGGGUGCUCAUUCCGCUGUUGCAGUACGCGAUGUGCCUCGCUUGAUUCCCUAAACUCUUGGGUGGUCUUGAGAGAGCAGAAUUCCUCCCACACCGCUUCGGUUAUUUGAGGGUAUUCAUCGAACGACGUAUGAUUGCCGGGCGGGUUGACAAACUCGGUGAAGAGCUUCGACUUCCAAUUCUUCCAAGCUUUGCCCAUCUUUUGGAAUGCCUUCCGCUUGAGCCUAUCCUUUGCUUCGGCUGGAAAUGUGAACCAUUUCUCCAUUGCCGUCCAAGCUCGCUCUUUCUCGGCUUCUGUGACCUUCCUGAUAUCUUUAUGGAGGAUCCCGAAGUUCUCACGUGCCGCUAGCCCGCAGCAGUUAGACCAUCUUCCAAUGACAGUCCUGGGCGCCGUGGGCCUACCACUAGCGUCAACCUCUCUUAUAACUUGCACUGUGGUCGGCCAUAUAUUUUGUGACCGCGGAUUUCUACUAGACCUACUUGCACUUGUCCCUCCCGACAUCGACGUAUGUUGUUCCUGCUGCAAUUCUGCAGCACAAACAGAAGGCAAUAUUUGCUAAGGGGUGCUAGCUAAAAUUUAUGUGGUCAUGUGGUGAAAAUUUAUCCUAUAAAUUACCAUGAAUUUCGGGUUGUUGGUUUGCCGUUGUCGCGGGAUGACCUUCGGCAACUGCCUCUGUGGCUGGGUUUGCUUCUUCCUGGAUCCUCGCAGGUGUUGGGGAGGGCGGGUUUGCGCCGGGCGUUGACAUGGUUUAACUUUCGCGAAAAAGAUUAUAAAUUUCCUACCAUUAGACUAAAUAGCAUUAGAUCCAAUGUAAUACGGGGUAUACUAUGAAAGAUAUGGCCUCAGUUUUGCUGAGAAAUAUGCAUCAAUUACAAUCAUUUGCAUGAAGGGAUAAAAAGAGGAAAUCAUAACAUCAAAAGAGCAAGUGCAGAAAAUCUGUUCUUAUGCAUAAAAAAAGAACAAGUGUAGAGGUAUAUAACCACUGAAUCAAUCAUGCAAAUUUAAAAAACAGCAGCAGCAAGGGUACAGAAUUUGCAUGAUUGACAUAAAACAGCAGUAGGAGGAGUAUAUAUGCCACAGGGGUAGCAACAGCAGGGGCAAAUUAACUAAAACAACAUGUCUAGAUAUACUCCUCUUAUCAAUCCAGAAGAAAAGAGCAAGUGCAGAAAAUCUGUUCUUAUGCAUAAAAAAAGAGCAAGUGCACAAAAUCUGUUCUUAUGCAUAAAAAAAGAACAAGUGUAGAGGUAUAUAACCACUCUACACUGGCCAUUUAAUAAGGAACAAGUGAACAAGUGUAGGGGAAAAAAAUGAACAAGUGUAGAUAAUCUGUUCUUAUUGAGCAAUUCAUCACUAGCCAUUUAAUAAGGAACACAUUGGGCAGCAGCAGCAAGGGUAUAUAAAUCAUCAAAGAAUGACAGAAAACAAAAUGCAUGGAGAACUUUGGUGUCUAGGUCGGUUCCGUCCAUGGACUACACUGACCUAUCCUUUUUCAGCUAAAUGUAAACAUGAUCCACAAAAUUCAAUAGGUCUAGCAACAUAUAUAGCAGUACACACUCCAUGAAUGGUUAUAUGUCCAAAUGGCACUUAAAUCCACAUUCAAGUUGCACUUAACUAACAGUUGCAACCAUAGGCAGCAGCAUGGGCAAACAUAGACAGCAAGGGCAAACAUAGACAGCAGCAAAAUCAUGUAUAUAAAAUCUAGCCCCUACAUUCAUCCAAAACAUCCACAGACAACAAAUCACAUUUAAUUCAUCUAUACAGCAGCACCAAUAAUCGAAACAACAAAUCACAUUUCAUUCAUCUAAACAAUGCAAUUCAUCCAUCGAAAAAAAGGAGGAAUGGGGGAGGGUGGCGGCAUACUUGGAAAAGCGGCGUACCUGGAGACGGCGGCGCAGGCCGUAGUCAUCCUGGAUCCUGGUGGCGGCGGCGGAGAGGCAGUGGCGAAGAGGUCGAGGCGGUCGGUGGUGGUCGGGGAUCCCGGCGUCGGGGAGGUCGGGGUCGGGGAGGUCGGGGAAGUCGAUGGACGGACGGCGGAGAGGACGACCGGCGGCGAGGGCGGCGGUGGAGGCGGUGGCGGAGAGGGCGGAGAUGGCGGCAGAGAGGGCAGCGGAGAUGGCGGCGGAGAGGGAGGAGGAGAGGUUGAGGCAGCGACGGUGGAGAUGGCGGUGGAGAGGACGGCGGUGAUGGCGGCAGAGAGGGCAGCGGAGAUGGCGGCGGAGAGGGCAGAGGAGAGGUUGAGGCGGCGACGGUGGAGAUGGCGGUGGAGAGGACGGCGGCGGUCGAGAGAGUGAGUGAGGAGGCGGCGGUGGAGAGGGAGGCGGCGAGGGCGGCGGAGAGGGCGGAGAUGGCGGCAGAGAGGGCGGCGGCGAGGAGGGCGGUGGAGAGGGCGGUGGCAAUGAGGGUGGUGGAGAGGUCGAGGCGGCGGCGAGGAGGGUCUGGAUUGAGAGAGAGAGAGGCGAGGCGGCGGUCGAGAGAGUGAGUGAGUGAGAGUGGGUGCCGGAUCUGGAUCGAUCUAGAAGAUGUCCAACACUAGGUCAACCCUAGUCAAACUCACCUGUGACGGGCGCCAACUAUGUGGCCGUCACAGGUGGCCUCACCUGUCACGGGCGCCAACCGUGGAGCCGUCACAGGUAAGACCACCUGUGACGGGCCCAACACUCUGGGCCGUCACAGGUGAUGUCACCUGUGACGGCCCUACAGAUAGAGCCCGUCACAGGUGAGUUUGCCUAGAGCAAUUUUAUUUUAUUUUAUUUCACUUAGUUCUUUUAUUUUCCUUAACAUAUUUUCACAUACACUACAUAUUUUUUUAUACUUAAUUAUUUUAUUUCACUAUCAGUAGUAAUUGCACUUCAUUAUUAUACUACUUUAAUUAUUUUAUUUCCAAUGCUUAUACUUGCUUAAUUAUUUUAUUUCACUUCUAGUGGGUGCUUCACUUAAUUAUUUUAUUUGACUAUUUCAUAAGCAAUAUACUAUUGAUCAUUGCGAACAUAUUAGAGUCAUACAGAUAACAGACAUGUAGACAUAAACUACGUACAUAAAUUACAAAAAUAAUCCUUCCUCAUGGUCGACACGUGCAUAUUGAACUUCAUCUUCUUCUUCCUCCUCUUCUAGAGGUAUUUCUUGACCUAUGCCGUGGACGUGCUGGUUGUAAUCAUCCUCGUCUGCAAUGUUGUCCAAUCCAACAAUUCUCCUUUUCCCUUCACGAACAACAUGUAGUUUCUUGUUACACGGGUCAACUAUGUAGAACACUUGAACAACUUGUUUGGCGAGAACGAACGGUUCAUCCUUGUACGCGUUGUUAGCCAAGUUGACAGUGGUGAAACCUUCAUUGUCAACUUUUACAUUGCGAAGAUCGACCCAUCGACAACGAAACAACGGGACUUUGAACUUCAAGUAAUCUAGCUCCAAUAUUUGCUCAACUUUACCAUAGUAUUGAUCACGACGACCACCGUCACUAGCAGCCUCGAUGCGUAACCCACUGUUCUGCACUGUGCAUUUGCUGUCUUGCUUUACCGUGUGAAAGGUGUAUCCAUUUAUGUCAUAUCCUUGCCAGGUGGUGGCACUCCAUUCAGGACCCUGUGACAACCACUGAAGUGUUUCACUAGACAAGUUCUGCAACCUGGCAAUUCGGUUCUUCAGCCACUCGUUGAAAGAAGACAUGUGCUUAUUCCUGACCCAACUCUUUGAUCGGCCUGGGUUCUCUUGUCGGAUAACUGCAAGGUGUUCGUCAACGUACGGCACCACCUCAGUCAUAUGCUGUAGUACCGUGAAAUGAGCUUUAUCGUACACCUUCCGAUCCAACCUAAUAGUCUUUCUUCCAACAGUACCAACACCGUCAAGCCUCCCUUCGUGAUGAGAUCGUGGUAAUCCAAUUGAAGAUGUUUCUGACAUGUAGUCCACACAAAAUUCGAUGGCCUCUUCGGUGGUGUAACUCUCGAUGAUACUCCCCUCGGGGUGUGAACGGUUCCAUACAUAACCCUUAAGGAUCCCCAGGUACCUUUCGCAAGGAUACAUCUGCGUCAUGAAUGCUGGACCACAGCACUUUGUUUGCCUCACAAGGUGCACCGGAAGAUGUUCCAUUAUGUCAAAGAAAGUUGGAGGAAAGUACAUCUCAAGAUGACAUAGGGUUCUCACAAGUUCUGCCUGUAGUUCAUCUAGUCCCUCGGGAUCAAUGAUCUUCUGGCCGAUUGCAUGGAAGAAGGAACACAACCGCUGGAUCGUGUGUCGCACCUUAGGAGGCAAAAUAUUCCUUAUUGCAACGGGCAACAGCUGUGUGAUAAGAACGUGGCAAUCAUGCGACUUCAUUCCAACCAACUUAAGAUCUUGCAGUGGAACGAGCCUACUGAUUCUUGAUGAGUAACCAGAUGGAACCUUUAUACCACUCAAACAUGUUAGCAAAUCAAUCUUCUCUUCUUUCGAGAGAGUGUAGCAGGCUGGAGGAAGGUAAACCCUGCCGAAUUCCGUGGUUAUGGGAUGUAGCUCCGACCGAACACCCAUAUCUUCCAGAUCUCGUCGGGCGUUGAGACCAUCCUUUGUAGUACCUGGGUUAAGCAGUAAUCCCAUUAAACUCUCGCAUACAUUCUUCUCGACAUGCAUCAAAUCUAUGCAGUGGCGAACUUCAAGAUCCUUCCAGUAUGGUAGUCUCCAAAAUAUUGACUUCUUUUUCCACAUGCUCCUCUCUUUUGUCUUUUGUUUUUCCACAUGCUCAUCUGUUUUUUCCUUCGAUGUGCUCUUCUCUUUUCGCUUUCCAACUUUCCUCUUUUUUCCAAACUCGUUGGUUAUUCCCAUCACUAAGUUGUGCACCUCUGUCCCUGUUAGCUCUGUCGGGGGUCCGGCUGUAUCUCUGUGUCCAUUGAAAUUCUUUCUCAUAUUCCUAUACGGGUGAUACCUUGGGAGAAAUCUCCUGUGACCCAUGUAGACCAUCUUGUGUGAAUGCUUCAACCAUUUGCUUCUUGUUUCCUCCAUACACUCCGAACACGCCCAUUUCCCUUUCACAGUUUGGCCAGAAAGGUUGCCAAGGGCCGGAUAAUCGUUGAUGGUACAAAACAGCAUCGCAUGGAGGUUGAAAUACUCUUGUGCAUAUGCGUCCCAUGUUCGUGUGCCCUCAUUCCAUAGCCUUUCGAAGUCAUCGAUUAUCGGUUCAAGGAACACAUCGAUAUCGUUGCCAGGUUGUCUCGGUCCUUGAAUGAGCAUGACAAGCAUAAUGUACUUUCUUUUGAAACACAACCAGGGAGGAAGGUUAUAGUUAACAAGCAGAACUGGCCAUGUACUGUGACGACUGCUCAAAUCACCAAAAAGAUUAAUGCCGUCCGUACACAUUGCGAAACGCAUGUUUCUUGGGUCAUUUGAGAAUUCCUGGUAAAUCCUAUCGAUUGUCCUCCACUGUACUGAAUCUGCUGGGUGCCUCAGCAUAGUAUCGACUUUCCGUUCUUCGGCAUGCCAGCGCACAAGCUUAGCUUGUUCCUUGUUCGCAAACAUUCUCUUCAUGCGCUCCGCAAUUGGGAGAUACCACACCACCUUUGCUGGGCCUCCCCUCUUUGACUUACUUCCUUCACCUUCACUCUUUGCUCGUUUGUACCUUGAUGCCCCACAGAUAGGGCAGACAUCCAAGUCAGCGUAUUCCUUGUAAUACAAAAUGCAGUCGUUCGGACAUGCAUGAAUUCUUCUGACCUCCAGGCCCAACGGACAUAAUACUUGCUUCGCUUCAUAUGUCGUCUGAGGUAAAUUGUUCCCCUCUGGCAACAGAUCCUUUAACAGCUCAAGGAGUUCUGUAAAACUCUUGUCCGACCAGCCAUUACUAGCCUUAAGCUUCAUGAGUUCCAACACGCAUGACAACUUGCUGUGCUUCGACUUGCAUCCAUCAUACAACGGCAUCUGGCAAUCUUCCACCAACUGCCAACUGCCCGUCACUGGUAUCCGCUUACCUGUGACGGGCCAGAAAUGAAAGCCGUCACAGGUGGCGGCCCAUCACCUCUGACGGCUUCUAAUGUAUCGGCCCGUCACAGGUGAGGGGAUACCAGUGACGGGUUGGAAGCAAAACUCGUCACUGGUAUACCUCUGACGGGUUUUCCUUUCGGCCCGUCACAGGUGAGGGGAUACCUGUGACGGUCCGCGGCCGGAUGGCUCACCGGUGACGUUAUCCCGUCUGACCCGUCAGAGGUAAUGGUCACUAGUGACCAAAUCGUUUGCCCGUCACAGGUAUCCCGUCAGAGGUGUGAGGAUCUGGCGUAGUGUGCAACACUGUAUACACAUAUAUUUGACUCUGAUAACAUAGAGAGUAACAUCAUGGUUGAUUGAUUGACAGGAAAUGAAUGAAGUAAAAGCUAUAGCAAAUUAAAGGUAGCGAACAACAUCCAUUCUGUCCAUCCAUGAUCCACUUGUCCAUGGCCAUCAUAUUUGUAGUCUUACCGGUUUGAUCAUAUUCAGUGCCUAAAUUUAAUUUCUUGGUGAUGAAAUCUAACUAAGUUCAUGCAAAAAUCUGUUGUAAACCUAUGCCAAAUGUUAUGGUUAGGAUGCAUCGGGAGUGAAGCUCCCAUUCCAUUGUUUGGUCAUCAAGCUGGGUACUGAUUUCUGCUAUGUUUGAACGAGGUGUACUGAAGUAUGUUGUUUGUUCAUCACUCCUGCUGGUUGGAGGUUAGGAGCAGGGGUGGUGAGUGGUGAGCGAGGAUCUAGUGAGCAUUAUUGGUUAAGUCAAUUGGCAGAAUACACUGAUGUGGAAACACUACUAGCUACUUGGUAGUUGGUACUAACUACUAAAUAGAUGGAUUGUGGUUUUGCUACAAGAACUUGGCAGUAGUUAGAAUAUUCAAGAUUCACAGCACAUUUAACAAAAUCGAUCUUCGGGUUUUUCUCGUAUUUCACUACUAUUUUAAAUCUUCAUUGUAUACAUUGAGAAGGAGGUAGGUGAUAUCUUUUAAAGAAGAUAUGCACAUUGGAGUGUAUUGAAAGAGCUAGCAUCUCAAAUUGAGGCAGCAUUUUUCUGAUUGUGGUUGGUAAAAAGUAUCAUCUUCCUCCCAAAUUUUCCAAUACCUUAAUGUUUUUUAAUGGGACAAAUGAUUAAAUAACAGUUAAUUUGGUUGCAUAAAAGUUUCUUGAUAUGAUUUGUAUGAAAAUAUAAUAACAAGGGUUGAUUAUUGUCAACCAAGGCUAGACACAGUAAAAAUCUGGGUGGGCCUCGCUCGGGUAAUUGGCCAAGUUGGCCGAUGUGAUCCGGUCUAAUAUCAAGUUAUCUCGUAUUGACUGCUAUCCCAUGUACAUUUUUUAUAUAUAAUGGAAUAGAAUCCCGUCCUUUGCUCACAGAGCUACAACAAAUUAUCACAGAAUUUGAUCCCACGUACAUACAUACACUCAAAUUGAUCGAGCAAGUGUAUGAUACUGCAAGCUAUAUGAGUCUGAAAAUUCUAUUGGGAAUUUCGUAUGAAAUAUUCAAACAAAGUUUGAAUUGUGGAAUUUCAGAAAUUUUGUUCUGAAAUAUAUAUACAAUUUUAGGCCUGAAUGGUGGUGUUCGCAGCUGUGUCCAUAUUUAACUUUCGCGGCGAUAUGAAGCAUUUAAAGAGGGGUACAACCAAGACUAGUUUAAAUGGCCACCCUUGUACUACUAGGAAUUUAAUGCCGCUACCUACCAGCCUCACGCCCUUGAAUCUAGGUGGCCCAACACCUACUCAUCCCCCUUAAUUUACUAAGAAGAGGACGAUGCUACCCUGAGAUGGUGAUGCAAGUUUGAAGCACAAGUAGAUAUGAACAAUGUAACCUUGCGUGGGUAUUUCCUGAACCCAGGUCACGACACUAUAUGAGUGGAACCCAACCUUUGUUAGAGGCGCUGAUGGGCUUUGAGGGGACAUCUCCUCUUGUUUUCUAUUAUCUCAAGUUGUUCGUUCCGUUUACCCUCACAGACAUACUUAGUUAUUAGGGGCAAUUAUAUUGUCCUAACAAAAUAUUAGGACACUAGAUGCAGCUAUAUUUUUGCCGUGUAUAUGUUAUUGGAGUAAAGCUUGUGCAAACUGCAUUUUUUUUUUCAGUUAGCUGUAUGACAUGUUUGUUUUUCAGUCAAACCUUUAUGUGCACGAUCUUAAGGUUGUUAGGCCUUCACUUAGGAUUGCUUUGGGCAGAGACUUACUAUGUCCUCGUCGUGCCCAGUCAUUGCAUAAACUUUGGUAGAUCGCAUUCAUUUGCGUGGACGUGGGAUGGUGCAUGCGUACAGAUCAGAUCGUGGCAAAGAAAUCGGGGUGUUUUAGUUGUAGUCCUUGCAUAUAUAAUACCACCUCCGUCCCAAAAUAUAUCCAGAUUCAUUCCUAAAAAUACUUAUAUUUUAGGAUGGAGGGAGUAAGAGGAAGGAAAAAACCAGAAAAGUUGCGGCAGUAUUUGAGCGGCACAAACUGUGUCUCGAGUUCUCUGAGCAUCACUAGUUUUCUCUGCUUACUCUGCUCUCUUCUGAAUCUUGCUGAAUUGGCAAUAGUGUUCCAGAGUGCUAUUGCAAGCGCUCUAGUGAGCCACUGUUCUGAGUUACCAGUCAACACGUGUGUUAGAUGUCGUAGAGACCCGGUUUUAAUUCAUUAUCUAAGAUAAAGAUAAAGACAUGUGUGUUACCACGCGUCUCUAUUCUCUGCCUUUGAGGACAAAGAUAAAGAUUGUCAUUGGUUUCAUCUGGUCCAUCUGCCGUUCAACCAACAACUCUUGUUCCACUGCCUUAUUGAGCAACUGGUAGCCAAUUAAUUGAAAGAAUCAGUUGUUUCCACUCCAGAAGAAACCAACAAUCCAAUCUUCAAGGUAAAAUAGCAAACGGAAAAUGGACCACGCACCUUAUGCUUUUUGACCCCAACAGCAAAGAAUAAAGAUUCACAUCUAAUCUCUAUUUAUUCAUGAGGAACAAGAAGCUAGCAGUUGGAAAACAGCAUGAGAUAAAAUGCACAAGUAGACAAUAAAUAGCAGGGAAUAUAAUAGAAAUAACUCAAAAUUAGGCAUCAUCGGAAAAGGAUUGUUACUUCUUGUCGAAUAAAAUAAAAUUAGACAAAGUUUUCUCUUAAUUUGUUUUCUUGACCCAAUAGAGAAACCUUGUAGUUUCGAUCUGUUUACAAAAAUAUAUGUAUCACACCUUUCCCAAUCGUGCAUAUAAACAAAACUAGCUAUAGUAAAAAAAGUUAUAUUUGAUAAGUUACAUACAACCUUAAAAUACAUAGUAAAAAAAAUAGCACGUAGAUAAUGAAGGGUAGCCACCAAACCAUAGUAUGGGAGGAACUACUUGUAAAGAAGCAGCCAAACCCUCAUAGAGUUUUUUUUUUUUUUAGAAUUAACCCACAUAGACUGAACUGACAUUAAGGGCAGUCAAUGAUCUUAAGGUGUCCAUAUCCAUAUAUACACGUGGACACCACAGUGCUCGGGAAUCAUCCUCUUUUUAGCGCACAUAUAUGCAGAUACUCACAAUAACACAGCGGCGGAGCCAGCUCCUAGGCUGAUUGGGUGGCUGCCCGGACUCCGCCUCUGAUUUCUCCACUACAGAUAAAUGUCAACAUGUCUAAAAACAAAAAAUUGGCCGACCACCGAAAAACGUUGUUAGUCGCUCGGGUUCAACGGCACCACUGGCUCCACCGCUGCAACGACAGGUAGAACCAGAGAGCAGUCGGUUUAAGUGAGCUCUUGUAGGGUUAGGAGGUACUGGGAACCAAGCUUGUGCUUGAUGUCUGCGUGAGACGUGGCCUCUGUUCCCUUCCUUCAUUGUUCAGAUCAAACAUUUUGCUACGGCUAGGCGUACCACUUUACCAUGUCAAAUUUCUCAGGACCCGGUGGGAAUUAUCCUGAGCGCGCUGACUGAAGAUACAUGUUUUCUGCUUGCUUCCAUUCAAACAAGCUGGACUUUUGAUUUCUGGAGGAACAACGCCUGUUUGUAACUGACACCGUGUUUAGUUGUAAACUUUUCUUAUCAAACUUUCAACUUUUUCAUCACAUCAAAACCUUCCUACACACAUAAAUUUUCAACUUUUCCGUCACAUCGUUCCAAUUUCAACCAAACAUCCAAUUUUAGCGUGAACUAAACACACCCUGAGAGAGAGAACUUGAUCAUCAUUCAUGGCGGAGCGAAGAGGCUUUGAUACGUACCCUGGUCAUCAUUAUCCUGAUUGCCCAACCUAGAACUUGAAAUCAGAAGCUGAACACAGGUAGCUAAAUGCUUUGUGAUCGCUGUGCCACACACGACUGAGCUUGUACUGGUGUGCGCUAGCAUUUCAGCUGCUCGCAAUAUUCUGAGAUAGGUGACCUGUUUUGAAGGAGUUGUGAACAAUAUAUAGAGUAUAAAGAGGAUCCUCAAAUUGAUGUAGUUUUUUUUUUUUUUUUUUUUUUGUGACUGUGGUCAAUGGACAAGGUAUUCUCUCCCCACAACUAGGGGUGAAAUCGGGUCGGGUUGGGUCGGAUCUCACACUUCUCAUAUCCUAACCCACAUUGUAUAAUCGGAAUCGGGUCAGACACGGAUAGCGUCGAAUACGGAUAUAAGUUCGGAUAAUAUCGGGCAAAAAUAUGGACCGAAUACGUACCCAAAUGGAUACGUACACUCUCGGUUAUAAAUACUUAUUCGGAUAUCAAGUCGAAGAAACAAUCAUAAAUACCAUAUAGACAAUAACCAUUCAACAAAUCUAUAUCCAUAAUGCGAUUAUAUUAGGUCAUUAGGGCUUAGGAAACAAGACACCGUAGUACAGUACGUGACAGGCUCACAGCCACAAGCUAAAAGUAGUACAGUACGUCAGUCACAGCCACAUGCCAAAAUAUCACCAAUUCUUCAUAACGGAGACUUAUAGUCAUUACAGUCACAGGCUCACAGCCACAUAGUACUCCAGUACAUAAUACCAUAAUACUCAGAAACAUGUCUUGCCAGAUGCCAACCAGGAAACAUCACCAUUUCACAAGAGUCUUGAGCCAACUAGGAAACAUAAACCAUUUCACGUAAACCAUAUUUAAGGACAAGACACUCAAAUCAUCAGUAGGAGACGACGACCGGCGCACACGGCUGUCACGGCAGGCCUGCACACGGCAGGACGGCACGACGGAGAUGGCGACCGACGCAGGCCGUGCAGCAGCGGUGGUGACGAGCACCGUGGGAGCCGGCGCCGCCGGCGCGGGUGGCGCCGCUGGCAGCCGUCGCAAGGGCGCGGCCGCGGCAGGAGCCAGGAGGAGACGCCGUCGCCAAGAGCCCGUGACGGCAGGAGCCAGGAGCCGCCGCCGCCCAGGAAUAGGAACAGACGAACAAUCACUCCACUCGGUCUCCUCAUCUCUCUCCUAUUUCCUCGGGUUAGCAAUACUAUUGGGCCGGUGAGUUUUGGGCCUGGUUGUUGGCUUUUUGGCUAGCUUGCCUCAAAUCUGGUUGGCUGGUUGUACAGACUACGUAAUACGGGUACUAUCCGUAUAUAUAUUCGGGUAGUAUCCGUAUUUUUUACUGGAUAAUCCGUAUCCGUCGGAUACUGCGCUCCCGAAUCCGAUCCCAUAUCCACCAAAAAUAACCCGUAUUCGAACCCUAUAUCCAUAUAAAAUUUCGGGUACCCGAAUUUCUGACCCGAAUUUGUCCCAAAUUAAUACGGUCGGGCAGUCGGGCGGGAAAUACCCGUCCCGUUUUCACCCCUACCCACAACGUACACUCAACGGCUUCAUCACUUUACCGAGCACAUUUCCGGUGAGGAAUAGACAAAAGCGCAUGGGAAUAUUAUGUACCAUACCGUGCGUCCCACAACACGCGGGAACACUAUUUUAUACCGUGUACGAAUGCACCCGUUAUAUUUCUAUGUUACCGUGUGUGCAACUGCAGCGCACGGUAUGCUCCUAUGUUACCGGGUGUCAGAACAAACACCCGGUAUCAUUUGGGACAUUACUGAGUGUGAUCACAUACGCACGGUAACAUUUGUUAGCACACGGGAGCUUUACCAUAUCUGGUAAUGCAAUACCUUGAUUUUUUUACUGAACAUAUAAUUAAACAAAAGCUAAAAUUUAUUGCAUAAAAAAUUUCUUGGUAUGGUUUGUACGAAAAUAAUAAUAAGAGAAAAAUAUCUUCAUGAUUGUCCAGCCCAGCCCAAUAUGGUAAAAUCAGGGUGGGCCAGCUGGGUUGUCUGGUCCCUACCCAAGCUGGCCAUUACCAGAUAUAUAUAAUUUCAAGAUAUCUCCUGAACCAUUUAUAUUUGAUUAUUUAAGCUCUCCCUUAUAGCAAGCUCUCCCUGGUCACAUUUGAGUAAUAUAUAUCAAACUAUUUUAACCAAUGUUUUCUCCAUACGGAUUAUGGCCACUUUCAGGUAGCCCAUGUUGUUAAUUAAUAUGUUGCAUAUGAUGGUGAUCGAUUAUAUCCAUGUCAGGUCCCUUGCUUGACAAUGGUAUGAGAAAAUUGCAUAUCCACCAUAACAAAAUAACAGAUUUGUCGGAGGGAUGACUAAGGGUUUGUUCGGCACCCCUUUUUCCCAACCCCUCUCCCUCGUUUUUCACACGCACGCUUUUCAAACCGCUAAACGGUGUUUUUUUUAAAAAAAAUUUGUAUACAAAAGUUGCUUAAAAAACAAAUUAAUCCAUUAAUGGAUCGUUCCGUUUUCCGUAUUUACUAUUCCGGUUGGGAACACCUAACGGUGAAGACAGCCUAAGAAGCCCAGGAUUAAAAUGGUCCAAGAUGGUAUUCCAAGAAACACGUCCUAGUUAAGACUAGUAUUUUUUUGUCGCUCGUGAUAUUUCAGCAAAUUUUAUUCAUUUGCGAUGGUAGAUAUACAAUUAUCUCACAAUGGUACGUAGCUAGCUCGUGCAUGCUGAUUGUUCGCGAUUAUUAAAAUUUUCUAUCUGUUUGUCAGAAAAGUGCCUUUACAGUGCUUAGGAGGUACUGAACGUACCUUUCCUUGCAUAUAAUAAAUAUAUAUCCUCCACAUCAUGAAUCUGAUAUCGUACUGACGAUUUCUAGGUGAAUGUCUCACAAUCACAUAUAUUAAGCUUGAACCGCAGCAGCGUUUUAUCUUAGACACAUAUAUACCACAGCCCUCAUUCCGAAUCAUACAAAAUAAAACUAACUAUACUGCAAGUAAUGAAGAUACGUACGAUCGAUUACAAUAUGUAUAGUGCAAAACGGUAUUGAUGAAGGGUUUUUCUACCAAACCAUCAACCAUCAAAUGGGAGGAACUACUCCUAAAGGUGCACUAAAAUGCAGUAUAUAUUGGACCUUUAAAGAUGUCUAUGAAUUCCAUAUACGUGGACACCAUAGUGUUUCGAAACCAUGCAUGUUCAUCCAUUUUUUCAGAACGUACGUACGCAUACAAAUAUCUCGCAACAACGCGAUGAACCAGAGAUCAGUCGGUUUGAGUGAGGUUGUGGGGUUAGGAGGUUCUGGGAACCAAGUUUAUUCAUAUCCUCAGUCCAAAACCUGACCUCUUUUUCUCUUGAUCUCAUGCUGGCCAAGGUUCCUAAACCAUAUUCAAGAUUGGAAACUGGCAAUGCUAUACAGUAGUAGUAAGGGUUCUGCAACCAGUAACCCCUGGAGCUUGGGUACAACGUGGUAAUCAUCCAGACACCAGUUAUGAACCAAGCCAAAGAGGCAUAGAGCUAGGUCUUCCAACCUCUGCCAAAAUGCUCCAGAACGUCUAUUGCACCUUCUGCUAAAAGAUGAAGGCAAGCUGGGGCCGUAGCUUGACGAAAAUUCUCCAAUGUAUCUUUGCGCCAUCAUGAAGCUUUAGGCCACAAUCUUGGCUUGCUGUCCAUGCAAAUCUAGGUGUUUGGCAUUGCAUUUCUUUGAGCUUUUUCCUUCUGUCUUGUUUAGAAUGUGCAUGGAGCUGAGCUAAGGGUGCUUGGUUUAAAUUAUAUUAAUAUACCACUUUGAAAACUGAUAGAUGUCUGGAUCAAAUAUUUGAUAAGGUGGAAAACUGAUCAAGAUUAGAUUAGGCGUAAAGGUGGAUUAGAAUGAUCUCGAUCUGUACGUAAGUCUGAUAUGGCGCUCCAAAAAAAGGGCAUAAUUAAUGGUAUACUUCUCCUACUGUCAUGUUACGAAGAAGUGUGACUUCAGAUUCUUUUCCACACUCAAUACAUAUUUCAUCCAGUUAUUUCUUCUUCAAUACAAUGAAGAUACGACCCUAAAGGUGCAAUCAAACUCUCAUGUACUGAAAUGCACAUUAAAAGCAGUCUUGGACCAUAAGAAGUCCAUUUCCAUAUAAAUGGACGCCAUAGUGUUUCAAAGCCAUGCCUGCUCAUGCUUUUUUUCAGAACGCAUACAAAUAUAUCUCGCAACAACUAGAUCAGCAAGAGAUCAGUCCAUUUGAGUGAGCUUGUAGGGAUAGGAGGUACUGGGAACCAAGCUUAUGCAUAUCCUCAGUCCUAAACCUGACUUCUGUUUCUCUUGAUCUCAUGCUGGCCCAGGUUCCAUCCAUGUUUGACGGAGCACACCAUGGUCAAAACUCAAGAUUGAGAAAGGGUAGUAGUGAGGGUUCUGGUAUCAGUAACCCCUGGAGCUUGUGUACAAGGUUGUAGGCAUUAUGGACGAGCAGCUACUGUCCAGACACCAGUUAUCAACCAGGCCAUAGAGCUAGGCCAUCCAACCUGCCAAUUCUGAUCCGCCACAUCUAGUGCAACUUCUGCCAAAAGAUGAAAGCAAGCUGGGGCCGUAGCUUAAUGAAAAGCAUCUGCUGCAUCUUUGUGCCAUCAUUAGGCUUUAGGCCAUAAUCUUGGCUAGCUGUCCAUGCAAAUCUAGGUGUUUGGGGUUGCAUUUCUUCGAGCUCUUUCUUUCUAUCUUGUUUGGAAUGCAUGGAGAGGGUGCUUGGAUUAAAUUGUACCACUUUGAAAACUGAUAGAUGUCUAGAACAAAUAUUUCAUAAGGUGGAAAACUGAUCGAGAUUAGAUUUGGUAUAAAGGUGGAUUAGAAUGAUCUCUGUAUGUACGUUUGAUAGGGUGCUGGAAAAAAAGGGCAUAAUGGAUUGCUUGUCCUACUGUCACGUUACAGAGAAGUGUGACUUCAGAAUUUCAUACUUACUAUUCCACUCUAUACAUAUUUCAUCCAGUUAUUUCUUCUUCAAUAUGAUGUAAGGUUGAACUUUCCUGUAAAAAAUUAUAAGUAAUCAAUUGCCUAUAAUGUAAAAAGAGGCUGGAGAUUUCCACUCGCCACUUAAUGCUACAGGUUUAGUUUCGAAAAUACGAUAGAGAUUUAUACAUUUACAGGACACAAUUCUGAUGUAAUGCUUGCUACAGGGACGGGGCAGGUACAACCUUAACAAGGCAUUACUCAUAGCACCUUUUGUGAUGAGCUCAUCACUCCUUUGGAUACACAUGAGGGAGAGGUAGCAAGCACUUGCAGAGAGGCUAGGAGAUGGAUGCUCAAUUCAUAUCAAGUUCAAGUUCACCUCAGAAUCCAGAAGGAGUCCGUACUAAAAUCGUCGCUCAGAUCUCAAUUGGAUUUCAUUUUCGACGUUCUACAUAUGCUUGAAAUUAAAAGCUAACAAGAUGACCUUUCCAACACAUCUAGUGUAAUGCCAAAAUUCUUUCUAAGUCUAGGAAUCAUCGAAACAAGUGGGCAUCCAGAAUCAGCCUGGGUGCUACAUCACCGUCUUUUGACGCAUUGGACUAUGUAUCGUGUUGGAGAAUAUUAGGGAUGCGUCCAGGGGGGUCGCCGACCCUAGUAACCAUAUAAUCGUUAGCCGUCAUCGAGUUAGGGUUGGGUUUUAUUUAGAUUAAUCUGCAAUUGCAGUUUCGCUGCUUAGUUCAGUUUUGUGGAGCCCCAACCUGUGAGGUCAAUCGUGUUUCGGCCUAGUUGAUAACCAAAAGAGAAGUGAUGAUUGCGAGGGGUUCGAUUGUUUUUGGAUCAUCAACGUCAAGUCUUCAUAAUCGACCUAUGCAGUAACUACCAAAAGAUCAGGAUCUAGUUCCUCGUCAUUUUGUGCAAACAUGGAUGAGAAAGAAAUGAUAUGGAAUUGCACGAAGGAACGACUUGGGCAUAAGGUCAAGUUCAACUGUUGAGCCUAGUUUGACCUCCUUAACUGAUCUAUAAAUUUGUCAUACAACAUAAUGACUAUGAUCAUUAAUACUUUCCCUGAUUUUCUGUUCUGUUGAAUCUUUUGCUAAGAGUUGAUGUUUAGUGGAUAGUCAAUGCUUUUCUCUCUUCCCUACUUAGCGAAGCUAUGGGCCAGUUCAUUUUUGUUGUUGUACAUACCUAAUAUAUAUAGGGAUAAUUAAAAAGUCUAGAUGAUUGAUAUUAAACAUUAUGCUGGCAUUUGUGGAUAUCAUUCAGCCCCUUGUACAUGUGAAAUUUGGAGUUCUUUAUUCAAUUUGGACUAUAGAGAUGGUUGCUUUCAAAACAUUGAACUUGACUUAACCGCUGAUACGCAACGCAACAAACUGAAUGACUGCUAGCGAGCUAACAUUAUAGAGCAGUGAAUAUAUAUAUGCCCCAACCUCGACCAAACCAAUAAGGCUUUGAUGGGACACCCUGAGCUACGGAGGGUGUGAAUUGGAUCCUCAUGGACAUGUCUAGGGCCCGAAGGGAGGAAACAAAGUAGGAUAAGUGAGAAACCUCCGCCUUCGUUGUUGUGGUUCUUGGAGGGAGGAACCUACAAGGGCCAACCAUUGAAGCCCCUUAGUCGGUUGAAGGGCAAUAUGAACCAUUUAAAGAGGAGGGUGGACAAGGCCAGUCUAAAUGGCCGCACUUCAUACCAACUAGAUUUAGUGUCACCACCUACAGAUUCAUGCCCCUGAAUCCAGGUGGCCUAAUGCAUCCAUGUGGCUCUCCGGGGCGAAAUGGGAGUGUCCCAUCCUAGUAGAGGUAGGCCCCUAAUCAGCUGGCCUUCCAACCAUGGCUAUUCCCCUUAAUUAAUAGGCUAAGAAGAAGGCGCUGAUCCUAGUCAGCGCACUAUAUAUAUAAAUGGAACCCUACCUCUGUUAGAGGCGUGCACACAUCUCCUCUUGUUUUUUAGUAUCUCAAGUUGUAAGUUCUAUCUACUCCCACACAACCAUAGUAAAUUAGAAGCUGCUAAGUUUUGGCCAUGUACAUGUGUGUUGGAUGUAGAGGUCUGGUUUUAAUGAACUACCUAAAACCCGCUAAAGAUUACACAGGACUAAAGAGCAUAAAAAGCAUGAUCAUUCUGAAAUAUCUUGUAGACCAGUACACAAUAGGAUUAGGAUGAAUUGGGAAAAGUUUGAUGAGAAAGACAGAUUGCCAUUGGUUUCUUCUGAUCCAUCCGCCGUUCAACCGACAACUCUUGUUUUAUAUGACGAACUGUAGCCAGUUAAUUGAUAAUUGGUUCUGUACACUUCUGACGAAAUCAACAAUCCAAUCUCCAUGGUAUAAUAUAAAAAAAAUGGAAAAUGGAGCACACACCUUUAGCUUUUUUUACCCCAAGAGCAAAAAAUAUGGAUCCACAUCUAAUCUCUAUUUAUUCACAAGGAACAAGAAGCAAGUUGUAGGAAAACAGCAGGAGACAAAAGACACAAGUAGACAAGAAAUAGCAGGCAAUAUAACAGAAGUAAUUCAAAAUUACACAUCAUCUCGAAUAAAACAAAAUUAGUCAAACUUUUAUCUUAUUUUGUUUUGUUGGCCCAACAGAGAAACCUCGUAGUUUUGAUCGGUUUACAAAAAUAUAUGUAUCACACCUUUUUGCUGCCUGUAAUGAAUAUAUACAUCUUCCACAUCAUGAAUCUGAUUUCUUAUUGACGAUUUACAUGUGAAUGUUGCAAACUCCUUAUCAAGCUUGAACAUGAUUAGUUUAGACUAAAUCAAAGUUGGUGAUUUAGUUUAGCAUAAAUCGAAUUUACAAAGUUAGGCACACUUGAUUGCAUCAUGCUCAUAUAUAUAUCACAACCCACAUUCCCACUCAUGCAUAUAAACAAAACUAGCUAUAGUACAAUGAAGAUAUGGAUGAUAUAUUACAUCCUUAAUAUACACGGUGCAAAAAGAUAGCGUGCGGAUGAUGAAGAGUUGCCACCAAACCAUCACAUGGGAGUAACUAGUCCUAAAGGAGCAAGCAAAUUCUCAUUUACUGGAGUGCACAUUAAGGGUAUUCAAUGAUCUUAUGGUAUCCAUGUUCAUAUAUAAUGGUGGACACCAUAGUGUUUGGGAACCAUCGCUCUUUUCAGUACACGUAUAUACAGAUACUCACAGCAACACAGUGGUGGAGCAAAUGGGGGCUUGUUGGGUGGCCGUACAGACUCCGACGAUGGUGUCUGCCCUGUAGAUAGCUUCAAAACAAAUUGGUCAACCACUAGAAAUGUUGUUAGUAACCUAGCCUCAAUGGCUCCAUUGGCUCCACCACAGCAACAAUACUAGAACAGGAGAACAGUUGGUUUAAGUGAUAUCUAGUCCCUCCGUCCCAUUUUAAGUAUAGUUGUGGGUUUUAGUGUCCAAUGUUUGACCAUCCAUCUUUUUUGAUUUUUUUUAUAAUUAAUAUUUUUAUUGUUAUUAGAUGAUAAAAUAUGAAUAGUACUUUAUGCGUGACUUAUUUUUCUAAACUUUUUCAUAAAUUUUUUAAAUAAGAUGGAUGGUCAAAUAUUUGACACACUUAAAAUGGUACGGGGGAGUAGUUGGGUUAGGAUGUACCGGGAACUAAGCUUAUACAUAACCUCAACGUGAGACAUGACAUCUUUUCUCUUUCUUGAAAGUUCACAUCAACCUUAUUGUCAGGCACAUUAUGACACUUGUGCGAGGCAAACCCCACCUAGGCAACGCAUCAGGUUCACCCAACAAGAACAUUAUUACUGACGUAAUACUCCAAGGUGCAAAACUACCUCAUUGUCAGAGACAACAUGGCAGUUUUGGAUUUGCGUAAACAUUAACGUAGAAUGUUAAGGGAAUUCUAUAGCUAUUAUAUCCUAGCUAGCUAGUUUAGAUUCUUUUGUGGGAUUGGGUCUGGGUGGGCGGUGCCAAGGUAAAACAUGUUGAUUAUUUUGUAUAAAUGUCCGCCUAAAUCGUACUAGAGUAUAAAAUUGAAUUGGCAAAGAUUUUGCUAUGACGAUUAAGACUACCAGUUUAUCAUGACAAAUUUCUCAAGUCUGGUGGGAAUUAUCUGAGUGUGUUGACUAAAUAUACGCCGCAAUCUGUUGGAUCGUUUUUCUAUGUGUGGAAAUUGUGGAUCAAGGUGUGGUUCUAGCUAGCCCUCAUUUCAUUUGAUUGACGACUAGAUCAAGAGUGCAUAGGAGUGCAAGCAGUAGAGGAAUAUGUGACAUGAAAACAAAACUAACUACUUAUUGGAUUAUAUUACAAGUUGUUUCAUAUCAUAGUACUAGUGACUUAAAAUAAGUAUUAGAAUGCCUGUUGUAAUUAAUUAAAUGCUCUGAAACUUUAGUGGAACUUCGGUGUAUACAUUGGGAAGAACCGUAGGUGUUUCUUUUGAAGAAGUUUGUGCACAUUAGAGUCUAUUGUAUUUCCCGUAUUGAACUUUUAAUUAAAAAGAUAAGCUUGCAAAUAAGCCUUGCCUUCACUAGUCACUGAAUUGCAUCAUAAUGCCCUGUUUUGAUCUGCUAGCUAUCAUUUAUACCGAGUAUCCUACUUCCAAUACCACAAUUAAAUGUCUAAAAUCAAAAUAAAAGCUACCAUUUACUAGCAAGUUAAUUGUGGCAUUCUUCUAAAGUUGAGUCAAUUUACUACAGCAAUCUAGAAUUUUUAUGUGAGGCAAAUAGGAACUGCCAAAAAUGAGAAUUCUCUUGUCGGGUCCUUUGCACUACCACGAAAAAAAUGCAAAUUAUUAAACCUGGGGGGUUAACACCAACCUGAUAAUAAAUUAGCCUGAUGGUUUCAUUCAAAUCUGUGACGGUGCACGAACCUAACGAUAGCCUUAUUUCCUUGGUAGUGGUUGCCACCAAAAAAAUUGUCAUUGGCGGUUAACCGCCAAGAUAGUUCGUUUUCCUUGUUGCUCUAUUCGUGAGUGCUUUUGCGUGGUGGCUCACUGACACUUAGUCUUUCCUUGGCCGUUUUCCACGCUCACGAAAUUUUGGUUUUCUUGUAGUGAUUCAGUUUCCACUGUGAUGAUCUAUGUUCAUAUGCAAAAACCAAUGCGCGUUAGGGUUAGGAUGCAUCAGGAAUGAAGAUUCUGUCCUAGUAUUUGUUCGUCUAGCAAACUAGUCCUUCCAUGUUAUGUCAAAAGAUGAUGUUAGCCCUAGCACAACCCAUUUGCAAACAAUACAUACAGAAGCAGCCAGUGGAAUACAAAGUUUGAGGGUUGAAGCUACUGCCUAUAGGGUCGAGGAUAGGGCUGGGAUUCAGCAGAUACAAGCAUUGUUGAAUUCAGUCACUGCAAUACGAAUGAUGGAAACACUACUACUACCGUCAACAUAUUUAGUGGUUGCAUUAUAUCUUAUUAUACUUUCAAUAUAAAUAGCAGGAUGCAUUUCAAUUUCCAAAGAAAAGAGCAUGAAGUGUACAGCUCUUUUCCCCUACAGAUUUCCUCUGAAUGAUAUGAUAUGCAAUCAAUCUAUCCUCGGAGUGAAUAAUGUUCCAGUUAAAUGCUGUUCGUCACAACUUAAUAUUAUUGUACUUAAUUUGAAAAUACAUACAAAUAUAUUGAUAGUACACAACACUGUCUGAAGCUUGCAAUUAAUUAAUAAACCUUUCAUCAAUGACUCUAAUAAGAUGAGUAUCAUACUACCAUUAAUAGAUCAGCAGGAAAUCAGUGAAAUCAGAUAUACAGGAAAUUAAUUGAACGAUCCAGAAGGUUAUAUCUACAUUAGUGAAAAGAACAUCCCAAGAUGCCACCAGGAUGAGUCACAUCAUCAAACAAAAAAUUUAUUUAUUGCAGUCCCCAAAAUUUUUAUCCUCUUGUAUCAUGGGCUAAGAAUCGAUGUUUAGUUGAGAUUUAACUCUUUUCUUUCCUCCCUGUCCCUCGUCCACAAUCAGUAGAGUUAGCGGAUAAUUUAUUUAUUGCUUUUGUAUAUACCCAGAUAUGAAAGCAUAAAAAGUUUGAAUGAUUGAUGUUAAAUGUUAUGUCGAUCGUCUUUUGUGCAUUUCCCCCGCCCAUUGUAAAACGUCAAAUUUCGAGCUAUCCUUUUAAUUUGGUAACUUGUACAGACGGUGUUUCAACAACCAUUGUACACGAUUCUGACCAGUUGAAAUGCAAUGCAGUAUAAUUGAUUGACUGAUAGCAACAAGUAUCAUAGAGCAGUUAAUAUAUGCAUAGGAAAGUAAAAUUUUGUUCUGUCCGAUCCAAAAAGGGUGCGACAAAAGGGUUUCCGUCUUCCGUAAAAAAGUUGAAUAAUAGUGAAAUAAAAUAUUUCUGUCCGAUUAAAAAAAAUCUCGUCGUCCAUCCAAAAAAAAAGCGUGAACAUUAUUUCUGUCCGAUUCAAAAAAAAAAGUUGCGAAAAAAUGUUUUCCGUUUCUCUUUCUCUAUCUCUAUCUCUAUCUCUUCUGUACUCUCUACUACUUAAAAAAGAAGAGGUGCUUCCAUCGUCCGUAAAAAAAACCGGGUGAAAAAAAACCAAGCAGAAAAAACUAGGUUUGUCCGAUAAAAAACUAGACGAAAAAAAGAAGUUCGAUCCAGAAAAAAAAGGGCGAAAAAAAAACCUGGGGAAAAAAACCAGGUUUGUCUGAUAAAAAACCGGGGAAAAAAAAAGUGCAAACCAAAUCGAAUCCGAUUCCAUCGACACGGUAAAAGAAAAAUCGGGAAAAAAAUGUAUCUGUCCGAUUCCAAAAAAAAUGAAACAAACUCCCAUCCGUUUCUGUUUGGGCUGAUUAGGACUUUGUUUCUGUUUGGGCCGAAUAGGACUUGGUUUGAAUUAUACCAAGUCCUAUUCAGUAAGCAUCACCAGGAGAACAAGUGCAUAUCUAUCUACUACUUCUACUACUACUUAAAAAAUAAGAGAUGUUUUCUUCGUCCGUCACAAAUAAAAAAUAGCGAAAAAAAUAAAAAAAGAAAUCCGAUUCCCCUUAUAAAAAGGAAAAACAAAAAAAAAAUCAGAGAAAAAGUAGCGAAAAGACAAAAAAAACCGUAGUCCGAUUCCCCUAAUAAAAAGGGAAAAAAAGUUGUUUCCUUCGUCCGUCACAAAUAAAAAAAUAGCGAAAAAAACUAAAAAAAAAGAAGUCUGAUUCCCCUUAAAAAGGAAAAACAAAAAAAAUCAUAGAAAAAAUAGCGAAAAAAAAGCAUAGUCCGAUUCACCUAAAAAUGGUGAAAAACAAAACAAAAAAGUCAGAUUCGAAAAACAGAAAAAGUGGCGAAAAAUUUUUAUCAUCAAACAUCCAGUCUCCAAAAUUUUUAUCCUCUUGUAUCAUGGGCCAAGAAUCGAUGUUUAGUUGAGAUUCGACUCUUUUCUUUCCUCCCUGUCCCUCGUCCACAAUCAGUAGAGUUACCGGAUAAUUUAUUUAUUGCUUUUGUAUAUACCCAGAUAAGAAAGCAUAAAAAGUUUGAAUGAUUGAUGUUAAAUGUUAUGUCGAUCGUCUUUUGUGCAUUUCCCCCGCCCAUUGUAAAACGUCAAAUUUCGAGCUAUCCUUUUAAUUUGGUAACCAUUGUACACGAUUCUGACCAGUUGAAAUGCAAUGCAGUAUAAUUGAUUGACUGAUAGCAACAAGUAUCAUAGAGCAGUUAAUAUAUGCCGAGGAAAGUAGAAUCGGCUAAAGACUGUUGGGACCAAAGAGCAUAAAAGGCUGUGAGUGUCUACAACAGAGAUACAUGGGUACGAUGACACUUUCAUGACCAUGCUGUAAUCUCCUGUAGACCGACCGGUCCACGAAAGGAUUAGGAUGCAUCAGGAAUGAACAUUCCACUAUCUGCACUUUCCAUUCGGACUCACGGCUUCGUUAAUUUGCUUCAGACAUCUCUUCCGGUUUGAGUUUAUCCCAGAUGGUGAGGUGAACAACCAUGUUACUGUGUCCCACGCAGUGCAAAAUAAAGAUGGUAAUUUGGACCCCUUUUAGUUUAAUUCGAAAAUUCGUGUACCUGUUUCCCUCCGCUUGUGUUUCAGUUCAAAAUUGUCCAUCUAUAUUCAUUGUCAAACAGUUCAUAAAUGUGUGGUGAGACAUAAGCAACCAGUUGCAGUGUGAACAUCCUACGAGUAGGACCAGGGUCAGAAGACUCAAAGGGGAAGGCCAUAAACUGUAUCAUAGAAGCAGAGACCCAGGCACAGAGGGGUGAUGAAGUCUGAAUAUAUUACAACCAUUUUAGUCUGAAUGAAAGUCUGACCAAAAUAAUACAUUAUGAGACAACAAAAGUUAUGAAAGCAAAAGAUAUAGCCUUAGAUGUCACCCCUUUUGCUUAUUAAUAUAGGCGUGAGAUAAGUAUAUGUAUAAUUCCAUUGGCUGUUUAUAUCCUUCGUGGAUAUAGAGAUCGGAUUAAUGAAAAUCCAUUAUCUAAAAAAAGUAUAUGUAUUUUCACGAAGGACUGCUCGUGUAUAUAUAAGGCCAUGCUCAACUGUUAUAUAUAAGCCUGGUUUGUGUUCCCAUAUAUAGUUCAUGCUAACAAAUUUGUGUUCCCAUAUAGUUCAUGCUAACAAAUAACUGAUCUAUUCUAUUUUUUUUCUUAUCCUCUCUCAUACUAAGAGUUGAUGUUUGAUGGAAAGUCCACUCUUCUCUCUUCAUUAUCUCUAUCAUCCAUAUCAGCUUAGACUUAUGGGCCAGCUUAUUUAUUGAUAUUGUACGUACCCUAAAAUAAAGUGUCAAAGAAUAUAGACGGUUGGUAUAAAAAAUUUACGUCGGAUGUUGUGUACACUUGCACCCCCCCCCAGGAAACAUGACCACUAGUACACAAAAGAUUUUUCCGUGUGGUCAAAAUGCAUUUUUCCGUGCGGAGGUCCCACCCGUCUGCUCCCAGGUGUGUGCGAAAAUCCAUAUUUUCGCGUGCGGGCGACCCAACUGCAUGGGAUAAUCCAUCUUCUCGUGCGGUUGGGUUAAGUGGACUGCACGGGAUAAUCGAUUAUCCUGUGCGGUCAAAUUAUAAUGCCUGCACGCAAAACAAAACGAAAAAAAAUAAAAAACAUCAAAAACCCUAACCAUAUCCCUAGAAUGGCCUGCCGCGCCGCUCGUGGUCGCCAUUGUCCUCAUGUCGUCGCCGUGAUCGCGCCGCCACCGCUCCCGAGUCCGCCACCGCUACUGCCCGCCGCCGUCGCCGUUCCCGGGCACCUUUUCCUCCUCAUCGUCGGCACAGCGCGGAUCCAGCCACUUGCCCACCGUGCCACCCCCCGAGUUGCUUGUAGCCGCCGCGCCGUCUCUGCCAACAGUUGUCGUGCCGCCCGCUCCCGGCUGCCGCCUUGUCGGCAGCGGCGGCGGCAGCCGGACGCCUCCCACGCCCCGUGUGCUCGGUGGGGAGGGGAGGAGCUAGAGGAGAGCAGAGGAAAGGCACAUAGAGGAAAGAGAGAAAGAGGAGUGAUUGAGAGAGAAUAAAAAGGAAAAGGAAGAGAGAAGAUGAAAUAUUUGAAGUGGGUGAGAGGGAAAAGAGGGAGAUAAAUUUUCGCGUGCGGUCCACUUAAGAGGCCCGCACGCGAACAUAUGCUUAUUUUUGCGUGCAGACCGUUAAGAGACCUGCCUGCGAAAAUCGAUUUUUGUGUGUGGAUCUUUUAAAGGUCCGCAUGCGAAAAUAGAAGUUUAAUUUUUGCAGAUGCAUGCGAAAACAGUCCGUCUAGGAAAAUGGAAGCUCCUUGUACAGGAAAAUGUUUUGUUUACUAGUGGAAAUUUUGAGUUUUGUUUUAAAUUUGGUGAGUUGUUUUACGGACGGUAGCAGUACCAUUGUACGUCAUAUUUACUGACUGCUAGCAACUACAAUCAUGGAGCAGCUAAUAUAUACACAUACACUUGGAAUUAGAAGCAUCUCAAGAGUGUAGGACGAUCAUAAAAAGCUGUGAGCAUCGUCUGCAUGGAUACAAGUACAAGGAUAUACCAUGACAAUUUCAUCAUCGAGUUGAAAUCUCUUGUAGACGAUAUAGGAUUAGGAUGCAUGGGGAAUGAGCCUUCGACUAUCCACCCUGCCCAUCCGUACUAACAGCUUCAGUAAUUUCCUUUAUUGGCUCUAAGUCCCUGUUUUAGCUUUUAUUUGAGAGUGAAGUCAACAACCAUGUUGUUUUUUCCCACGCAGUGUGCAAAGUUGGAAUGGUGAUUUUGUAUCGAUUUGUUUUCUGGUUGGAGCAAUGGAAAUAAAACUAGUGACACCAAAAUUAUUAGUACAAAUUUUGUACCUUAUAGUACUAGAGGUACCAAGAGAUACUAAGUUUUACACUAGAAAAAGAAAAUAUGGUAUUUCCUAAAUGACUGCAAAAUCAGUUAAAUUAGAUACAACAUGAGGCCGAUGGAAAGAGGGAUAAAGUUAAUUAUAUAUGGGCAAGCCAAUUAAUUAACUUGGGCUCUUAAGGUUUUGAUGAGGAGCCAAUGUUAAGAAUGUUGCAAAUGCUUGUAAUCUUGUAAGCAUUGUCAUGUCUAAUUGUUGCAUCAGUUUGGUAGUAGCUUUGGACUCCCAUCAUGCACAUAGUGGCUGCAAAAUAGCAGAACAUGUGGUUUCCGUCAUCGGUUUUCUCUCAUUUAUUUCACUAGGGAAGAUUGAAGCGGAAUCGGAUCGUGGGAGGACACAGUCAGUAGUUGUUUGUUCCUAUAAAAUCGUGCAUGUAACAACCUCCUAUACAGAGAUGAAUAAAAGGAAGAAAUUAAAUCUCUGGAAAGCUGGAAACAAUCCGUAACACCAACUGUCUCUUUGGUUCUGUUCUUUGGUGUCUUUUCUCUGAUGUUUUUUUUUUUUUGAAAGGUUCAGACUUAGCUAGAUAGCGUGUGAGCGCGAGAUCCUGAGAAUUUCAAUAUAAUUUGAGUCCUAAUUUUAAUCGGGUGGCCUCUUAUUAGCAGUAUUGUGUUACCAAAAGAGAUUAGAACAAGAGGCAGAUUAUUCGCUUAUUAUGCUUAUACUUAUCAUCGAAAAUUUGAUUUUUAACUUUAAAUUUGAAGUUGAUUUUGAGGAUUUUUUUCAUCGAAGUUUAUUUUCCAGCUUUUAGAUUGCUAAGAGAACACGUAUAUAAAAAUUUUAUUUACAAAUUAUUUUCAGUUUGCAAAUAUAUCAUUUGGCUUAUUUCGCGAAUAAGCGAAACAAUGAGUCCUUAGUGUAUAUAUUAAUUAUAUUUCAUUGUUUCCAGAUGUAGGUUGAAUUACGAAUCAAACCAUUUAAUCUUCCAAACAAAAGAAUACUCUGAUUAUUUCGCAACCUCACUAUAUGCAGCAAGAGAGGCAGAUAGACAAGUGGCUAAUGCUUUGGGGUAACCCGGGUAAUAGCGGACUCCAUCGCUGCCGUUGGGGAUGAACUAGUUGUAGACCGCCGGUAAGCGCACGCCAAGGCCUCCAUGUCCCCUCCCACGGCCAGGAAACACCAAUGUUUGCAGCUGGAAAUCUAGCCCAGCCAGUGGCAAAAUCCAGCUGGAGCUGUUUGGUUGGAUUUGUGGUUAUCUAGCAAGUAGUUGAACAUUUUCGAAUCCCAACUCUGUAGCUUUUGAUGCCAUAUGUAGUUCUACUUACAUAGAUAUAUAAGGUAACAAAUUUGUAAACAAACAAAAAAUAUGUUGAUAUUUAUUUGCUUGGCUUGUAUAUGCGUCCAAUUCAACAAACAAGAAACUUUGCUGACAAGAAAUGAUCAGGCAGUAAAUUCGGAAUAAAUUGGCAAAUUUUGCUACAGGACAUCCCGACUUCGUGGUUUUAGCUGUAGGACACCGCACAAAGUCACUUUUGGGGAAAGACACUAUCAAAAUAUGGUUAUUUGCCAGGGGACACCGCAGCCAAUAAAAUAUUAAUUUCUGGUUCAAUAGGAGAGAUAAACAAUGUAAAAGGUCAAAAAUGCCCUCGGGCCCGCUUGUCAUAUUCUUCCCCCACCCCAAACCUCCCUCCUUGCCUCCUCUACCUCCACCGGCGAUGACGUCCUCACCCCACCCACGGCCACGAGCAACGAGCUCGGCGCUGGGAUGGGCGGCCAACUCGGCGCAGGGGGAGGCGACGCACACCGACAGCGCCCACGGCGGCGGCCUCGCCAGAGCUCCGCCACGAAUCGAACUCGCUGGGUUGAGAUGAAGAAGCGGAAGAGGUGCGGCGGUGGCACCUCCGCCGCCUUCGACCGGAGCGUCUUCCCCAUCCUGCUCGCCGCCAUCGCAGCCGGACGGCGCUAACCCGCGACCCCAAGCAGCCUCCGCCACCGCCCGUCGCCAUCCCGCCGUCCCAAGCUGCGUCCGCCCCCGGUUGUCCAACGCCCUCCUCGGCGCCGUCCGCCGCUGGCGCAUCACGCGACGCCCUCGUCGGCGCCGCCUGUCCCCGUGCGCCGCCGCCCACGCCCAUCCCCACGCGCCGCCGUCUUCCGCGUGUACCCGCAUGCCGCCGCCCAUCGCCCACGCGCCGCCGCCCACGCCCGUCCCCACCCGUCGCUGCACCGCCGCGCCCAUCGCCCACGCGCCGCCGCCCAUGCCCGUCCCCACGCGCCGUUGCAACGCCUCAGUAGCGGCCUCGCUAUUAAAGGAGGAAGAGAGAGGAAGAGAAAGAGAGAGGAGGGCAAUUUGGUCAUGCCAUGUAAAAAAGUAGGCCCCUUGUCGCUUAGUCAGCACAAAAAUAUUAAUUUAAUGAAUGGAGUGUCCCCUGGCAAAUAACCAUAUUUUGAGAGUGUCUUUCCCCAAAAGUGACUUUGUGCGGUGUCCUACAGCUAAAACCACAAAGUCGCGAUGUCCUGUAGCAAAAUUUGCCUUUAUAGUAAUGCGAUUGCAACACUUGAUUGACUCUUAAAAAAGAGAGAAAUGGAAACUCUUUUUCCGUGGAGUACUUCACCCGAUCCUUUUUUAGGACACUAAUGCCUCACUAACAUGUGGACCUAGCGAUGCAAGCAGGGCUAGCAAGUGGGCUUUUUUAGCCCCCUUAUUUCACUUCUAGUUCAUUUUUUCUUCUAAAUUUUGUACUACCAUAUGAGAAAUUAACUAGCAAGUGGGUUUUUAUGCAGGUACGUAGCGGUACUACCUACUUGCAUCCCUAUGUGGGCCCCAUAUGUGCGUUAUGCACUUGCUUGAGCAUAUAAAUUUCUGAAACAGAAUUUUCAUAUGGCUUUGACUACUUUCAGUUAGUGUGUGUUGGUAAUAUCUCAUAACGAUAGUAGUCCAUGUCAGCUCCCUGGACAAUUGUUGUCUUAGACUCUUACCAUCAAAAACUGAAGUUGAUUACUGUUUUGGCGUACAUUGAAUUUACAAGUUAGGGGUCGCCACCAAACCGUCAUCACAUCUUAUGAUAUACUCCCAACGGAGCAACUAAAGUCUUACAUAGUGAAGCUCACAUUAAAGACAUACAAGGAACUUAAAGGUGUCCAUGUCCAUAUAUAUGGACAUCACAGUGUAAACAUGUAGCCAUCCUAUGUUCAGAACACAUUCAGUUGUCUCACAUACAACAACUAGAACCAACUGGAGAGCAAGUUGUUUUUGUGAGCUCAUAGGCUUAGGAGACACCGGGAACCGAGCUUACGCAUAUCUUAGGCCUCUCACAGUGCUCCUAGCUGGAGCGUUCCUUAGUAGUGCCACGGAGGAAAAGUGUCGACGUGGAGUGGACGACCGCGUCCUAGCUAGGUUUCUCGCCUCCUAGUUGAGCGACGCGAAACUUCGUUCUGGCGAGGGCUCGAGCGGACGGGGAAAAGCGAGGCACGCGCGCUGUGGGCAACGUUUCUUCGCUGCCCUGUGCCCUCGCGCGCCUGUGGAGGGGUAAAUCCCCAAAUCACCCUCCAAAAUCCCCACGACAUCAGACAUAUCAGACAUGCUAGCAAUUUUAGAUCAAAAAAACAUCCAUCUCCGAAAGAACAAUCAAGAACAGAAACAGAUUGAAUCACAAUUAUUCUUCAUUAAAAUCUGAGAAAGAGAACACAAAAUCCUUUGGUAGAGGAAAGGAAGAAAACCACCACAGAUGUAGACCAAACAAACAAAAUUUCUCGAGUAAUUUGGUAGAGAAAAGAAAGGGGAAAUCGGCGAGGAGGAGAAGCCGUCCGCUCCCGCCGCCGGCCGCCGUCGGCUUCGAGCCAUUCACUCCCGCCGACCCCGGCCAGAUCCAACGUGAAGCCGCGGAAGCCGCCGACGACGACAAGAAGAAGCAGGCGCAGGUCAAGCCCCCGCCGCACCUGCACCCGCACCUCCUCCGUGCCGCCGCCGGCGGCCCGGCCCACCCGCUCCUCCUCCUCGCGGCGGCGGCGGCUGCUCGAGGUGGAGGCGUCCCUCGGUGAGGUCGCCGCGGUGGAGCCGCCUGAGCAGCAGCAGCCGGAGAAGGAGGCGCGGCGAGGGAGGCGACGAGGACGACGGGAGGCGAGGAGGACGCCAGAGCUGCAGCCUUUCCCCUCCUCCUCCGCCGCCCCCGCCUCUCCCACCGUCGGGAAAGGCGUGGCGGUGGACCGGGAGGAGGCGCAGCGGCGGACCGGCGCGGUGGCGGACCGGCGCGGCGGCGGACCGGGAGGGGAGCGGCGUGGGAGGCGAGGAGGCGAGGAGCGGUGUGGGAGGCGAGGAGACGCCGGGAGGGGAGCGGCGUGAGAGGCGAGGAGACGGGAGCAGGGGUUUUCCUUCACUCACCCGUGUCUUUAAAACUGGGUCACGAGCGUUGUGGGGUUUGUUCCCUUACAGUACCUCCAUCCAAUUAGGUCACGUAAAAUAGGAUACUUGCACUGUAGGAAUGAGUGUCUUUAGAGCCUUUUUUCGAACUAAGCUACGGGGACCGGUGCUUGCACUGUGAAUGGCCUUAAGUGGGUGCCAGGUGCUAUUGCUUCUUUCUCUACCGAUGAGUGCUGAUCCACGACGGUUGUGUGUCACACCUUUUCUUUUUUUUUUUUUUGAACUAGGGCUUGAAAGCCCCCAUUUCUAUUAUCAGAAAUGCAACAGUAGAAGUCUGCUAACUGCUAAGACAAAAGAGGAAGAAAAAAAGAAAUUACAGCACGCAGGCUGUGAAGUUUUUUACAGACCAUAGCACUGUGAUUCAUAAACAAAAUGAGAGGAGCUCCCACACCCUCAACCCAGAUCUGGUGAUACCUUCCUAAGAGACUGCUAACUAUAUAUGAGAGCUUAUACUAUACCAAGCAGGAAACAAAAGAUCACAGGGAUGAUUCUCCAGCAGCAUCACGCAUCAGUUGGUUGUGUGUCACACUGGCAUUGCCAUCGGAUAUACUCCCUCCAUCCCUAAAUGUUUGACGCCGUUGACUUUUUUAAACAUGUUUGACUGUUCGUCUUAUUCAAUAAACUUAAGUAAUUAUCAAUUAUUUUCUUAUCAUUUGAUUUAUUGUUAAAUAUACUUUUGUGUAUACAUAUAGUUUUACAUAUUUCACAAAAGUUUUUGAAUAAGACGAACGGUCAAACAUGUUUAAAAAAGUCAACGGCGUCAAACAUUUAGGGAAGGAGGGACACCUUGUCAACAAGAUAUACAGGCACAACGGCCUUAGCCGCACAUGGAAACUCCUCCUUAUCAUUUUGGCAUUAGGCCAUUCUUGGCUGAGUUCGUUUGGAGGAGAUGGUAACCAAUCUCCUACGCACGGAAAACAGAGCAAUCCAUUAGCAUGUAAUUAAUUAAUUAUUAGCUAAUUUCUUUUUCAAAAAUGGAUCAAUAUGGUUCUUUUAACAAACUUUCUUAUAGAAACAUUUUAUAAAGCGUGCGCAUGAAAGACGAGCGAGAGGAGUUGGGAACAUGUGGUGCUGAACACAGCCUUAGGCUAUCCAAUUAAAGGUUUUAGGCUAUCCAAUUAAAGGUUUGUAGAAAAAGGGUUAGUAGUUGGUAAUAUAAAAAUAACCUUGCUAGUAUAGGGUAGCAAGAAACCCACCUUUGGUCGCAUAUACAAUUAAAUGUCACUCUUAUGUUGCUCGGAGUUUAUUUAAGAUUUCAUUUUCUUUUAGCUUGUUUGGAAUGCAUGGAGCGUGCAAUGAAAACCAAUAUAUGUAUGGAUCGAACAAGUACUAACCUGAUCAAGUUUGGAUUUGGUCGCCGGCAUGGGCUUCCUCAGCUUCCUCCGGCACAGUGACGGCCUGCGCCAGCAGCGAGCAACGGCGAUGUCCGGGGUGGGGGUAGGUUGUGAGGGGGAGCAUUUUAGUUAUUACGGACCUCGGGUGCAGUUAUUAGGAGACUUAAACAGACUGUACCUGUUUCAACAACCAUUAUUGUACAUGAACCCUAAUCAACUAGUUGAAAUUCAAUGCAGCAUACUUGUACAUCGCGAGUAACUAGCAUCAUGGAGCAGUUAAUUAGUUACACUGGAAAUUAAUUAGAAUCAGCUAAUUAAACUUCUUAAAACUAUAUAUAGGACUAAAGAGCAUGAAAUUAAAGUAGUGGUAUAGGUACAAGAACACGUUCAUGAUCCUCCCGAAAUCUUUUUGUAGACCGACGUCCUGUCUACAGUACGUAGGAUUAGGAUGCGUCGGGAAUGAACCUCCCACCUUCUGCAUUUUCCAUUCAGACUCACUACUUUGCUUCGAAACUGUCUGUAUCUGUUUCAAUUUAUCACAGUGAGUGGACUGAACGAUCAGGCUGAGUACGACGACCAUGCAGUGUGCAAAGCAAGUCUAGUGAACUUGUAUUUUGAUUUGUUUGAUUGCUGGAGCUAUGUAAAUGAAACUAUACCAGAUACACGUACAUCAACAUGAUGGAGCCAGGGAUGUAGUUAUGGGCAAACCGGCCAAUUAAUUAUAGUUUGGGUUCUGAAGGUUUUGAUUAUGACUCAAUGUUGAGAAUCAGUAUAAUUUGAGUUACCAUUUUAAUCUGGUGGUCUAUUAUUAUUUGUAGUUUUAGGAUCAAAACAAAACAAUCAAGCCUACCGGAGGGGUAAGGGUAGGAAUACCAAAAACCAAAACUUUUAGGGGAAUUAAAAGUUACUCUGAAAUUCGAUGAAGUAUGUGACGAAGUCCGAUGUGAUCGCCAGAUGUACACUUGUUAGACUGCUGGUCUGACCGGGGCGAUAUCGUUGGUCCAACUGUCCUCUGAGCAACUAUUGUCUGAAGCCACCGCCAGUCUGACCGUCGCUACCUCGCCAAUCUGACCGCUGAGAUCAGGAGAAACAUCGAUUGAAGAACUCAUAAAAAUAAAUCAUCUUUAUUACUUCUAAUUAUGUUUACAAAACACAACAAUUACACUUGUCUCUCAACUUUUGACGAAACUCGAAAUCUAGGCUAAACCUAAACUUUUCUCUCAACUAAUAAUCUCACAAAAUCUAUACCUAGAGGCAUCAACCACUCUUUUAUUUAUACCCUGAUGUGGUUGUACAAAAACCACAAAUCCACUUUGUAGAAAAAGUCAUAAUUUAGUAGGAAACCUACCCAUACAAGUAAUCCACCUGAUCAAACUCCAAUCGUCCUAAAUUUAUACUACUUCUAAAUUCGACUUCGCAUCCCAAACACACAAAACUCAUUUUUUAUAUUGCAUGAAAUCUUCGCUACUAUGUGCACUAUCAUUUAUCCUAAGCGUCCCGCGUGAUCUAGUGAUCAUCUGGACAUCAACUUCUUCCAAGUUGACUCCUGACCCGUCACUGGCAAUACUCUCUUGACACAUCAAGGCACACUAACACAUAAAUAAAUAAGAAACCAAAUCCGAGCACAAAUUAUUCCACAACUUGACUCAACAUUAGUAUACAACAAUAUUAAAUAUAUAGUAAUAGUCUAGAGUCAUAAACAUAAAGUAAUCACGAGUAUACAAACAAACCAAUCCGAAACUAACUCCAAUAAAGUGCUAGGCAGUUAGACCGUCGGGCCGGUCGGCCUAAUUGCCUCAACACCACUGGUUUGACAAGCCCACCUUGCGCGGUCUGACCGGCUCCACACAAUGGAAAACAUGUUCAUCGUACUACCACUAUUCAACGUUGUUCCCACACUACUACAGAAACGAUUUUCCUAUGCGAGCCCCUCGUUAGAUUCCAGACAUUCGAUAACUGACCGCGUCUGAAAAAAUCAUCCUACCAUUUUUGCGUGCGGACCCUUAAGAGAACCACACGCACAAAUCAAUUUUUGCGCAUGGGCCUCUUAAGGGUCCGCACGCAAAAACAAGUGUAUUUUCACGUACGGGCAUCUUAAGAGCAUAGCACGCGAAAAUACCCUCCCUCCUCAGGCAAUUUUUCUCUCUCAACCACUUCAAAAAUUUAUAUCUUAUCCUCUCCACCUACCGAUCCUUAUCCUCAUUAUUCCCUUUCUUCUCUCUCUCGUCUAUCGUCUCUCACGGGCAGCGUGUGGGCUUGGUGGCUGACAGGUGGCAGCCAGGAGCGGCGGCGACCCUCGCCCGCCCGGAUCUGGAGGACGCGCCCCUCUCCCGCCGGCUGGAUCCAGCGGUUGGCGGUGGCGACGUGGCCGGGAGCGGCGGUGAGCUUGGGAGAGGUGACGGGCUUGUGAGCCAGCUGCGGCGGCCGGUCGCGGCAGAAGGCGGCGACGCCGCCACCGACGACGACGAUGGUGGCGCACGUCGACAACGACGGCGACGGCGAGGAGGGUGGCGGUGGGCGGUAGCUAGGGUUAGGGUUUGGAUUUUUUUUUUGGGUUUUUUUUCCAUGUGGGCGACAUAACCCAACCGCACGCGAAAAUCAUUUUCGCGUGGCACAAAAAAAUUGGAUUUUUGCAGACACUUAGGUGCAGACAGGGGUGAGAUCCGCACGCAACAACCCUUUUCGACCGCACGAAAAAAAUCGUUUUCUUAGUAGUACCAGUCUAACCUUUACGCAAAACCCUGCCCAAUAUAGAGGCAACCACUUAGCCAAUAAAUUACCAAAUAGACAAACCAUUACAAAAUAAUAAUAAUAAUAAUAAUAUUAUUAUUAUUAUUAUUAUUAUUAUUAUUAUUAUUAUUUUUAUUAUUUUUAUUUUAUAGUAGUUUAUUAGGAAAGGAGACUAGUAAAAGGCCAUAUUAUCUUAUUAUUGCUUGUUUCCUUGUAGGGUGUAUUUGUAAUUUUGUUUGUUUCCAGGAAUAGGCCGUAAAAUGAUUCAUGCUAACUUCAAAACAAAAGGAAACACUCUGAUUAUUCAGCCACACCACACAACGCUACCUACCUAGCUAGAUUGGUAGCUUAUACUAUAGUACCCAAUACUUGGAAGCUUGGAGUGGUGAAUUUGACAAAUUGACCCUUUUACGGCUGCCGUCCAGGAUGAACUCGUUGCAGACUUUCAGUAGUACUACUCUUGCAUCAGUACUAAUCAGGGGCCCUCCAAUCUAUCAUCAAUACUAAUUAUCCAUGCUUAACUAGCAUCAGAUUAUAGGACAAAAUAAAACAGAAAAAAAAAGAUUACAGGGCACAACCUUAUCCCCUGAUGAUUAACUUCAGUUCAGUUUGAUGCUUUGUUUCUUUCAUCAUCAUGAGUCACCCCGCCGCCAGCUUGUCGGCUUCAGCUUGCCUCCUGUUCCUAAUACUUAUUCCUGAAGUUGUUCACAACAUGAAACAUGUAACAAAUAGUAGUAGAUCGAAUCAAUCAACAGUCUAAGAUCACAUCAAUUUCAUGGUGCGUUCUAUGACAUUUCGUGGUGUUCUAACACAUAUCUUGUGCUGUACUAUUGUGUUCACGUGCAUGUGCCAGUUGGAUAAACCAGUUAGUAGGACACAGCUCCUCUGACGUAAAGACAGAGAGACGUGGGUCGCAGACAGGUGGGGCCCACCUUUAUGGGCCUACACGUCAGUGACCACGUCCAUCUAACUUUCACUGGUGGAGAAUCCGGGACUAAAGAUCGCUAUCUUUAGUCCUGGGUGAAAAAACCGGGAGUAAAAAUCCAUUUUUAGUCCUGGUUGGUGUUACCAACCGGGACUAAAGAUACUCUAUCUUUAGUCCCGGUUGGUAACACUAACCGGGACUAAAGAGGCUAGCUAGGCUGCUACUUUAUUCUAUUCUUUUCUUCAUUGUUUUUAAUAUUUUGAUUCACUCUAUCCCGUCCCAAAAUCCCAAAUCAAUCGUCAUCCCCGAAUAGUCUCCAAAUUCUCAAAUCAAUCUCAAAAUACAUAACAAAAUCUUAAAAAAAUUACAUCACAGCUUCUACAAAAUUCAUCACAAAUACAUCACAUAUUCACAUCACACACAAAUCAAAUACAUCACAUAUUCACAUCACACACAAAUCGUCUUAGAUCCAAAUCACAGAUUUAAAAAAAAAAGAAAGAAAAAAGGAAGAAGAUGAACGGCCCGCUGCUGCCGCCUCGCCGCCCGCCGCCAGCGUGCCGUCGCGCCCGGCCCUCCGAGCGCCGCGCCGCCUCACCGGCCGGCAGCCGCCGCGCGCCGCGCGCCGCCCGCCUCGUCCCUGGCCGCCGCCGCGAGGCCACCAGCCGCCAGCUCGCCGCCUCGCCCGGCCUCCGCGCGCCCCGCCGCCGCGCAGGCCGGCCGGUGUCACGCCCCGAACUAGUCCCGACCGGAACUAGCCCGUGACGCUCCAAUUUAACCUGUUAAUCGAUACCAGUCCCAGGAAGCAGUGCUGGUAUCACAGGGAGACAGAAUAUCACAGCAACAGAGGUCUCUUUAUUAUAGAGUAGAAGUACAGUCAUGUUGGGCUGCGGACAGAUCCCGAGCUUACAACUGCAUGACAAAAGGAAAGCGGAAGCCAGGACUUGGACCAAACAAUCACAGGCGCGACUUGGGAACUAGGCCGAAACCCUAAAACUCAUCGUAGCCGGCUUGCUCCUGGAAGAACUCCUCAUCAGCAGGAUCCGCUUCAUCUUCUUCAGCAACUGGGGGGGUUAUUUAUAUAGAGCAAGGGUGAGUACGGGAGUACUCAGCAAGCCAGGGGAAAUAAGUGUUUAAUGCAGGCUUCAAGGAAAGGCUGUUGUUUUUGCAAUUGAUUUUAUUUGAACUCUUUUUCUAAAAUAACUAGGUGAGUGCUUCUCAAACGACACGAAUGAGACAGUGCGUCUCGUCCGGUCGGAGUAUGUGCAAUGUAUCAGUCUUCAGAUCUUGAAACAAGGUUGGCACCCGGCCAACAGCUUUUCAAACGGCCACCCGGGCCAACAACUUUUCAAACGGCCACCCGGGCCUAGCUGAUCCCGUCAGCUGCUGAUUUUCCAAACAUCGAACCCAUUUUCACAACAGCAAUUUCACAAGCAGUAGUCAAACAAAACUACGCUAGGAAUCACCUCACAUCCGCCCAUGACCGUGGGCACGGCUGUUCGAACAGUUUGUUAACCUCUGCAGAGGGGGUACACUUUACCCACACGACAUUACUAACCCGGAUCACCCAGCCGUGGGGAUCAGCCACGUCGGGAGACCUCCAAGCUUUCAUGACAAGGCAUUUCGAAAGCCGAUACAGGUUUACCAUAUGCCGACGAGAGGGGUCCCAGACCAACAACAGGUUAGGUCCCAGACCAUACUGUGCCAGAAAGCCCAGGGGUCCUCCCCGACACCACCCCGGCGAAUCCACAUGUCUCUCAGCAUCAAGGCUCCCCUGAUAAGCUAGUUACUCAGCCAGGGGUGUCCCAUUCCACCCAUGUGGUCGUACUUGUCUUAUGUUUGGAUGAAAUUCCAAGGAAUCGGUCCUUAAGUGCGAGAGCGGGAAACCGUACACCCGGUACGUUCCCCGGUCCGCGGUUUUGGAAAUUCAUUUAGUUCGCAAGCACCGACCCAGGUGUCGGGUUUUCCAAGUCUUUUGUAAAACUCCAGUUUUACCCAAGUUGUUACUCAGAUUUUAAGUUUGAAGGCGACCGUCGAUACUUGCACAGAGUGCACGAAUAUCGAGGUGCAACUGGGUGGUUACAAGGGGACAUAGUAUGGCAAUUAACAAUGGAAGGAUCAAAUGCAACAAGUUAGGUAAGUCCGCCAAUCUGUCUUGCAGAUGGGACAAAAGAUUUAGUGCGAUCCUAUCAAUGCAUAAUAUUUUGCAAGCAAUAUAAUUAAAUUUCAAAUAUAGGCUCAAGAUGUUCAAAGGUGGCUUGCCUUGCUCGAGAUCUGGAGCUUGAUCCUCGAAAUCCUCGCACUGCGGGUCUUCUGGCUCCGAAACUACACGCGAAACGGGACAACUCAACAAACGGCAAAAAAAUAAAGCCCUAUUAAUGACCUCUAAGCGUGCCAUUAGAUAGAUCUCGAGAUUUGGGGAAAUUUGGAAGUUGAAUGGAGUCAAACGGAUUUACGGUUGGGAAGAUAUUGAAUUUCUAAGAUUAUUGAAUUUUUUAUCUAAAGGAAAAGGAUUUAAUUAAAUCCUUUUUGGAAAAGAAAAGGAAGAGGGAGGAGAAGUAGACUUCUCUCGGGCGGCUAGGGCGCGGCCCAAGGGAAAUGGAGUGGACCGGCCGAUCUUAACGGGCCGGCCGGCCCAAGACGGCCCAAGCGCGCGCGCGCGUGGGAGGGAGGAGAGAGAGUCCGGUGGACUGGGCUCACCACGCGCGGUCCCGGGUGGGACCCGCUUGUCAGCGGCUCGGCUCACCGUGCGGAGGGAGUUUGCGGCGUACGCGCGCGGGCGGGGCUGGGACGCGGUGCACGCGCGCGGUUCGCGGAGGAACGGAUGCGGCGGGCCCACGCGCAGCCUCACGGCUCACCGCGGACCAUGCGCACGGGGGAAAAACGGAGGGAGCGGCUGGCCGGGUCGGCUUAUCCGGUCGCGGCCGAGGUGGCGCCGACGUGGCGCCUACGUGGCAGCCACGCGGGCCGGCGGGAGGUAGACGACGACCCGGCCGCGAAUGGACGGCGGGCGACAGCGGCGAGCGGCGGAGCGAGCCACGGCGAUACCGGCGAAAGCGAGCACACCGGGUGGCAGCACAGGACGAGGGGAGACGAGCCAACGGCUCGGAUUCGCCGGAGGGAGUCCGUCGGCGGCGGAUUGCGGCGGCGGCAACCGGCGGAGAGGAAAGGGGGAAACGGCGAUGAGGUCCCGAGGGGCUAAUUCCCGGCGGCGAGAGCAUCUACGCGGCUUCGGGAACUCGACGCUUGCGUCGGAUUGGACGGAACUACGCCGAGCGAGGCCGGCGACGAGCGGGUGCUACGGAGCUCGGGCGGCGACGGCGGCGAGCAUACAGCGAGCGAUGGCAACGGUCGGGGCGGCGCCGGCUAACUACGGGGAGUCUACUCAAGCUACUACCGAAAGCUAGGGGGAGGAGAUGGAGCGAGGAGGGAGAACGGAGGGAGGCACUACCGUGCGGGACGGGCGCAGUGACGAGAGGCCGACGGCGCGGGAGUGAUCUCUCCGGCCUCGGGCCGAGGAAGAGUGUCGCGACCGGGAAAAUUGCCUUUUCCCGAACGCUAGUGUAUUAAUCCCCGUCCCAGGAAAAGCCGGGGUACACCACACAAACAUGAUAUAAAAGACACAUCUUUAUUAUAUCGAUAAUAUUUACAUUAUUACAAAGGCGCUUCAGGCCUGGCAAUCAAAAAUAAACAGCAGCGGACUAGCAGGCCUACGGCUCCAUCUUCACAGGCGCUCAACUGGGGUAUAAGCCAGGACUCCACCUAAGACAUCUUCUCCAAAGCUUCUCUUACUGAAGGGGGGGGGGAGAAAGAUAGAGCAAGAAUGAGUACAACCACAGUACUCAGCAAGCCACACCGGAGAUGCACAAUUAAUGCAAAGGAGUACAAGGGGAUAAUAAUAUAGGGGUUAAGUUUUGCAGUAAACAGCAUUUAACAGUCACUUAGUUGCCCAAAGCUAUUUUGUAAACACGAUCCUAGAGCUAUACAAUAUUAUUAAUCAAGGUCGUGAACCCACACGAACCUGCCUUAACCCAAGGCCUACGAUGAUUCAGACCGAACUGGCAACCCGACCCUGGGCCCCAGCUCGUCCCAAGCCAACCCAGGCCAACCAUUCCACAUUUUAGUUGUUGAGCAAAUUUUAAGAAUUAUAACACUGACUUGGGUACAUUGCUCGGCUUGCCCAUAACCGAGGGCGCGGCUAUUCGAAUAGAUUAUACUCUGAUCAGAGGUGUACAUCUUUACCCACAAGACACAUCUUCCUCACGUGCAACCACGUGCCACAUACCACCACGGUAUACAGACGGAAGACGUGACAUAGUUCCCAACCCAUCCUAGCCAUAAACAAGAGUACCGACCCAAUCCCACCUACGGCCGGAACCCCCGGGACAGGCAGGCAGGACUGAGCCCCAAGCAGCAGGGCACCAACCCUCUGCCACGACAUCUCGACUACCGGGCCGCAGCUCGUGUAGCCUUCAUUUGUCCUGGAGAAUGUCCAUCGACCCCCGACUUCAUCCAUCUCCAAUCCGUGUACUUUUGUUUAUGACUAGACUGAGCCACAAACUAAGCCUUACCCACUAGACAUGUGGAAGUACGGUAGUGCUUUGCAACAGAGGCCCGAGCUUAAUCCUUAUAGUGGCCGGGGUGCUACUUCCCACAACUGGCAUGCACCCAAACCCCACCGAAAACAGGUUUUAGGGGUUUUGAAAGAGGAAGAGAGGUGUAUGUCCAAUUCCACCAUAACCCAACAAUUCCAUAGUGUCCAAAUGAUAUGAGAAUUCCCAAAGUCUAAAGUUAUAAAACCACCUAAUGUUGCCUAAUUAAUCAGCGAAUCAUCUACCUAAAUUUAAACUAGGGAUACCACGAGUAGAGUGUCCACUAGUUGAGGUUUUGUUUAAUCUAGGGUGAACAAGGUAGUAAUAAUAACAAUAACAAUAAUAAUAUGGUCAUAACAAAGGUAAAUAGGCAUGGCUAAAUAAAACAGUGAUAACGCGGGAAUUUAAAUAAAGCGAUAAUGCAAUAAUUUAAAUCAACAUAAUUUUACAAACUGGGAUUCAAUAUGUUCAAAGAUGAUGUGACUUGCCUUGCUCAGAGAGAACGGCCUUCCGAACCUUCGGCGACGACCGCGAACCACGCUUCGGGAACCUCCGGAACGACGAAAGCUACGCGAAGCACACAAGCAAAGCUACAAGCCUAUAAAGAAGCAAUAACAAUACAUAAAAAGAAAGCACAGGGUUCUUUAGGUUAUAACCAACAUUAGGAGACUUGAACGGGUCGAUUCAGGGUUCGUAUGACCAAGAUAUGAUCAUCCGAGGUUUAAUGCUGUUAUAUGGAGAUUUGCGGAUUAUUAUAAUUAAGCUUUGCAACUAUAAAACGUGUGUAAGCGCUAGCCUGGAAAAGACAGGAAGGCUGCGCCGUUGACAUGCGGACCCCACAUGUCAACCUAAAGGACCGCGGUAGACCAGGUACACAGAGACGGUCCACGGGUCGACGGAAGCGGACCCCGUGUGUCAACCGAGGCGAGUGGCCGACAAACGGACUCCACUAGACACCACACGGCCUGCACACGUGGAAACCACGCGGCUACCGAGCGGGCACGCUAACACGGUCACCACACGCACAAGCGAACGACUACCAACACCGGUACACGGGUACCGGGGCCGACAACCGCACAACGAGCACGGGCGACACCGAAAGGACGAGGACGGGGCAGCGGGAGAGGGAUCCUUACCACCACGCGACGAGGCGUGGGAACGACAACGACGAACGGGCGCGGCGGAGGCGGCCGGGAACCACGGAGACGAACGGCGAGGGGACGACUUCGGCGGCGAUCCUAGGACGAAGGCGAGACGCGGCCGGCACGAGGCUUGACGACGCGGAGGCGAGGACGAAGACGAUGAUGGGGCUGCUGCACUUGACGAAGCGAGGACGACGAACGAGAACGGCUUGACGGAGGGACGAACGCCACGACGAUCGGAACCGGGAACGACGAGAGGACGACGACGACGACGACCGGAGCCGGCGAGGAGGCGACGAGGGCAGCCGGCGGUGGCUGCACGGAGACGAGGACGACGUGGAACACGCCGCUGCGAUGCCGACGACGGAGGCGGCGCCGCGAGACGACGAGCCGGGCAACCGACGGGACGUCGACGACGAGAACGAUCGGAGACGACGAUGAUGGACCGCGGAGGGGUUUGGAUGGAGGGGAAACGAUGCCGAGGACGACCUUGCCGCUGCGAUGCCGGAGGUGGUAGUGGUGCAGCAAGCCGACGAGCCGGGGAGGAGGAAGGGGCGGCCGAAAGGACGCCGGCGACGAAGAGGAUGGAGAGGCCGGCGCGGCGACGGCGUUCCGGCGAAACCGAGGAGCAGCCGGAGGGGAGGACGACGCUGCGAUGUCAACGGAGGAGACGGCGACGUCGGUCGGCGUACCGGCGACGAACAGCAGCCGGCCGGAGACGGAGAAGUGGUGGCGACGCCACUGGACGCCGGCGAGGAGGCCACUCCAGCGAGCUUCGGGCGAGGAGGAGGUGAUGCCGGGGAUGAGGGCGGCGUCGCGGAGCCGAGGGAGGUGGUGGCGACGUCGUCCGGCGCUCAGGCAGGGAGACAGAGGCGGCUGGAGGCGGCCGGCGCGGAGGAAAGGGAUGGGCGACGACGGGAACGCAGCUCCGGGGGUCUCCGCGCGAAACGGAGGGCAGGCCGGCGAAGAGGAGGUGGCGGCGACGCUGGAGGAGGCGACGGCACGGCCGGACGACGCUCCGGCGAGGCGGGAGAGGCGGCUGGAGGCCGGCCGGCACCGGAGAGAGAGAGGGAGAAGGUGGGGAGAGGCGGUGCGGCCACGGGGGAGCUCGGGAAGAGGCUAAAACGGUAGAACGCAUAGAGGGGGUUCCAUUUUAUAGGAGAGGAGAGGGAGCCGGCCACGGGGGAGGUCGGAACGGCGACGGGAAUGGCGGCCGGCGGCAAAGGUAGGCGGCCGGACUUGGCGCGUCCGUUCCCGGCGAUUGGGGGCGCCAUUCAAGGGGGAAUUAAGGGGGAAAGAGAGAGGAGGGAAAGGGGAUUAAUUCCCCCUAAUCAAUUUGGGAAUCCCAUGCUUGAAUCGCGCGGAUUUGAGGGAGGAAUGGCGCUAGGGUUCACGGGAGAGGGAGAGAGGACGGCCGGGCGGGAGGACGACGAUGACUCGCCUGACGCGCGGGCCCCACGCGGUCAGGCGGCGGCGUCAGCGCGCGCACGCGCGCGGCACGGGCGGGAGGGCGCCGCUUGGGCAGGGGCGCGGCUAGGGUUGGGCCGAGCGGCCGGCCCAGGAGGAGAGGAGGGGGAGGCGGCCUGGGCCGGGCAGGCCGGGAGGGGAGGGGGGGGGGAAAGAGGCAGCCCGGGAGAGAGGGAGGAGGGAGCUGGGCCGAGGGGAAGGGGAGCCCAAGAGAAGGAGGGAGAGAAGGAGAGGGAGAGAAGGAGAGGGAGAGAAAGAGAGGGAGGAAAGGGAGACUUCGGCCGCGGGCCGAGGGGAGAGAGGGAGGACUUUGGGCCAAAAUUGGCCCAAAAGAAAAGGAGGAUUAUUUUUAGAUUUUCUUUUUAAUAAACUUUGUUAAUUGUUUUUGUUGCUUAAUAAUUAUUUCCGGUGCUCUGAAAAUUCAAGUAAAAUUUGAGAGCUCCAUUUAGACCAAGGAGAAUUUAACAAAAAUUCUCCGGGCCACAUUUGAAUUUUUCUUGCACGUAUUUUAGUGUUUGCCAAUUUCUUUUCGUAUUUUAAUUAAUUCUAUUAUUCCUUUUAGAAAAUGAUUUUUAUUUUGGGAUGAAUUUAUCAGGACGUGACAAAGAGGGUGAAGAGGGCGCGCCCGGAGUCCCCUUCCGCGUCCACGAACGCACCGGCUCUCCCGGCGCUUGGCGAUGGACGGCGGAGGCGAGGCAGAGCACGGGAGCGGCGGCAAUGGCGCGGAGGCGAAUGGGAGAGGAGGGGAAAGGGGAGGCUGGGGUUUAUAGGGGGCGGCAAUGUCAGUUUGGGAACCGACUUGCGCGGUCAAGGGCGCGAGCUGGCGCUCCGGCUAGCGGCCAAAACGGCGACAGGAGGAUGACGCCGGCGAGAAGGGAAAAAGGGGAGAAAAAGAAGAAAAGGAGGGAGAGAAAGGGGGCUCGCCCCUUUGCCGAUUCGGGAAAAGGAGGAGGGGGCGGGGCGACGCGGCAGAGGGAAGGGAGAGCUCGGCCUCCGCCUCUUGGCGGCUUGCGCGCGGAGUGGCGGGGCCGGGGGAUGACGACGGCGAUGACGGUGAGAUGGUUUGGAGCGGCGCGACGACACGGGCGACAGGCGCGGCAGGCGCUGACGACGGCGGCGACUGGGCGGUCGGCCACUCAGCGCGCGCGCGCGGGAAACAACGGGCGGCGUCCGCGCGGGCGCGCGCACGCGAACACGGCGCGCGGGAAGCGGCUUUGCGAGGGGAGGGGCGCUUAGCGCGGGCGACUCCCGCGCACGCGCGCGCGGCGCGCGGGCGGGACGGAGGGGAAGCGGGGAGAGAGGCGCUCGGGGCGGCUCUCGCACGCGCGAGCAGCGUGCGGGCGAGGCUGAGCGGGGGGGGGGGGAGGAGCGCGCCGGGGGGAGAGAGAGAGAGAGAGAGAGAGCGCCCGGGAGAGAGGGCCGGGGGAGAGAGAGAUGGGCCGAGCGAGAUUCGGCCCAUCGACCUCGGGGGAGGCAAAAUAGACUUUUGCGGAGGAAUUUGAUUGGAAGGAUUUGGAUUCGGAAUUGAACUCGACGAUAGAUCGGGGAUUGAGAUCUUGAGAUGGCACGGACACUAGACAACAAUCAAAGAAACAAAUUUCGCAAUUAGGGUUUUUCGGAGAUUAUUUUCCCGCUAGGCACCACGACGGAACGGGCGCUACAGACCAACCCCCCCUAACAAGAAUCUCGACCCCGAGAUUCAGCACCUAAGGGAGCAGCUCCGGAAACUCGGCGCGGAGAAGAUCUUCUCGUUCCCAUGUUGCCUCAUCUUCGGAAUGAUUGCUCCAUUGGACUUUGUAGAACUUGAUGGUCUUCCUUCGAGUCUGACGUUCUGCCUCUUCAAGAACCUUGAUCGGUCUUUCCUUGUAGGUCAGAUUCUUUUUCAGCUCGAUGUUACCCAAGGGGACUUGCUCUUCUGGAACUCGAAGACAUUUCUUUAGCUGGGAUACGUGGAACACGUUGUGCACAUCUGCGAGACCUUCAGGUAGCUCAAGCUGAUAAGCCACUUCGCCACGUCUGGCGGUUAUGAGGUAGGGGCCGAUGUAGCGGGGUGCUAACUUGCCGGACAUCCCAAACCUUCUCAUACCUCGGAGUGGUGAUACCCGCAGGUACACAUGAUCUCCCUUUUCGAACUCAAGGUCACGUCUCCGAUUGUCAGCGUAAUUCUUUUGGCGGUUCUGCGCUGUCUUCAGACGUUCUCGGAUCAGCUUAACUUGUUCUUCUGCUGACUUGAGUAUGUCAGGACCGAAUACCAGGGCUUCGCCCACCUCAUUCCAGCACAAGGGGGUGCGGCACUUUCUUCCGAACAUUGCCUCAUUCGGCGACAUCUGAAUGCUGGCCUGAUAACUGUUGUUGUAUGAGAACUCAGCAUACGGCAAACAACGAUCCCAAGUGCCUUCGAAAUCCAAGGCACACGCACGCAGCAUGUCUUCUAGGAUUUGGUUUACCCUUUCUGUCUGACCAUCGGUCUGUGGAUGGUAGGCCGUACUAAAAUUCAGAUCAGUUCCGAGGGCUUCAUGCAACUGCUUCCAGAACCUUGAGGUGAACUGAGUGCCUCGGUCUGACACAAUUUUCUUGGGACAGCCAAAUCUACAUACGAUAUGGGUCAUGUAGAGUUCUGCUAGUUUCUUUCCAUCAUAGGUGGUUUUUACUGGCACGAAAUGAGCUGAUUUCGUGAGUCGGUCCACGAUUACCCAAAUGGAGUCGUACCCGCUGGGGGUUCUUGGCAAACCGGUGAUGAAAUCCAUUCCGAUCUCUUCCCAUUUCCACUCGGGAAUCGGUAGGGGUUGCAGCAGACCAGCUGGCCUCUGAUGCUCUGCCUUGACUCUUUGGCAAAUGUCACACAAGGCUACGUAUUCUGCGACAUCUCGCUUUAUUCCAGCCCACCAGAAGUAUGCCUUGAUAUCUUGGUACAUCUUCGUACUUCCUGGAUGAAUGGAGUAAGCGGACUCAUGAGCUUCCUUUAGGAUGAGAUCUCUUAACUCCUUCUUGGCCGGUACACAGAUGCGUGGACCGCACCAAACUGUGCCUUGAUCGUCUAUGGAGAAAUUGGUGUCUUUCUUCUCCUGUAUUCUUUUUAUUAACUCUUUUAUCCCUUCGUCGUCUUUCUGUGCCUCCCGGAUUUGCGAUUCUAGGGUAGGCUGUACUGUCAAGCUGGCAGGGACUCCUGACUGUACCACGGUCAGCCUUAACUUCUCCAAUUCUCUGCACAGGUGAUCUUGGUCAGGCCGUAUUUGAGCUACAUUGCAAUAGGCCUUGCGACUUAGUGCAUCAGCGACCACGUUGGCUUUACCAGGAUGAUAGUGGAUUCCAAGAUCGUAAUCCUUGAUUAGUUCCAACCAUCUUCUCUGUCUCAUAUUUAACUCGGUCUGAGUGAAGAUAUACUUAAGACUUUUGUGAUCGGUGUAUACUUCACAUCUGUUCCCGAUUAAAUAGUGCCUCCAGAUCUUAAGAGCAUGAACCACGGCUGCCAACUCGAGAUCAUGGGUGGGAUAAUUGACUUCAUGAGGCUUGAGCUGCCUGGAUGCAUAGGCCACAACCUUUCGUUCUUGCAUUAGGACACAUCCUAAGCCUUGUCUUGAUGCGUCACAGAAGAUCUCGAAAUCUUUUCGGAUAUCUGGCAAGGUGAGAACUGGGGCAGUGGUCAACUUUUUCUUCAUUUCUUGAAAGCUGUCUUCACAGGCUGUAGACCAUUGAAAUUUCUUUUCCUUCUUUAACAGUUCGGUCAUAGGUCUGGCUAGCUUAGAGAAUCCUUCAAUGAAUCUUCGAUAAUAUCCAGCUAAGCCAAGGAAGCUGCGAAUCUCUGACACAUUCUUGGGCGGGUUCCAAGCAAGUACAGCUUCAACCUUGCUGGGAUCUACUUCGACACCGUUGGAGGAGAUCACGUGUCCAAGAAAUGCUACUCGGUCUAACCAGAAUUCGCAUUUCGUGAAUUUAGCGAAUAGUUGAUGAUCUCUGAGCUUUUCCAUUAUCAGCCUCAGGUGUUCAGCAUGUUCUUCCUCAUUUUUGGAGUAUAUCAGGAUGUCAUCGAUGAAUACCACGACAAACUGGUCCAGGUAUUCCAUAAAGAUUUUGUUCAUUAAGUUCAUGAAGAAUGCUGGAGCAUUGGUGAGUCCGAAGGACAUUACUGUGAACUCAUAUAGACCAUAACGCGUUGAGAAAGCGGUCUUUGGGAUAUCUUCAGACCUGAUUUUCAAUUGGUGGUAACCUGACCUCAAGUCAAUCUUUGAGAAAACUCUUGCUCCUUUAAGUUGAUCGAAUAAAUCGUCAAUCCGUGGCAACGGGUACUUGUUCUUUAUAGUUACUUCAUUCAGGGCUCUAUAGUUGAUUACCAUUCUCUCAGAGCCAUCCUUUUUCUUAACCAGAAGCACUGGGGCUCCCCAAGGGGAUGAGCUAGGUCGCACAUAACCUUUACUCUCCAACUCUUCGAUUUGUCUUUUGACUUCUGCUAACUCAUUAGCUGCCAUUCGGUAGGGUCUUUUUGCAAUUGGAGCUGUGCCUGGUGCCAGUUCUAUGGCGAACUCGAUCUCUCGGUCUGGUGGCAUUCUUGUUAAUUCUUCCGGAAAUACGUCGGGAUAUUCACAGACUAUGGGCACCGACUCCAAGGAGGUGACUUGUAAACAGGUUAGGAUGGACCGACUUGCGGUAGGGUUGUUAGGGGUAAAGCGGACUUGCUUUCCUCCAGGUCCUUGCAAGGUGAUGGACUUUUCGGCACAAUCUAUCUGUCCUUUGUGCUUAGCCAACCAAUCCAUCCCUAGGAUGAUGUCCAAGCUUUGCGAGUCUAGGACUAUCGGUUUGGCUAGGAAGUCAACUUCCUCAAUUCUAAGGUUAACUUCCGGGCAUAUUUGAGUUGCCCUUAUAUUCCUUCCAGAGGAAUGUACUAUCAUUGGUACACGCAAAUUUUGGGUUUUCCAACCAUUUCUUUUCACAAAAGCUUGCGAUAUGAAGGAAUGGGAAGCUCCCGAAUCAAACAGGACUAUUGCGGGUACGGAGUUGACAGAGAACAUACCCAUCACAACGUCUGGAGCAUCCUGAGCGGUUUCAGCUUGAAUGUGAUUCACACGUCCUCGACCAAAGUGGUUGGAAGCACGAGAACCUUGUCCACUUGCCUGAGAGCUAGGACGAGACUGAGCUGCCGCUGGAGUAGGAGUUCUGGCGGUGCUGCCAUUAGCAUGCCCUGAGUUGGUGUUGGUAGGAUUCUGAGGACACUGUCUAGCAUAGUGACCCAUCUGGUUGCACCGGAAACACUGAACUGCUGAUGGUCCCUGCGGUGACUUGAAAGAGGUAACACUGUUAGGCGCUGUAUUGCCACUAGGGGCACGCUGCUGUGGCGGAGGUGCCGGACGGUUUAUCUGAGGACGAGGGGCGUAGCCUGGCUGGCGGUUAGCCUGAGUGACCGACUGAUGGUAUUGCAUGGGUUGACCGUAGCGAGGGCGAGGUGCGCCUCGGGAAGAAUUUCCCUGAUGGUUAGACUUGCGUUUCUUGUAUUCUUCGGUAGCCUCUUUUCUGGCAUCCUCAAGUAGAAGUGCUUUGUUGAUCAUAUGUUGAAAAGUGGGGAAGUCAUGAGCAAGCAACUGGAGUCUCAUUCCAACUGCGAUUCCUUUCAAGAAUUUCCUAAUCUUUUUCUUAUCUGUGUCUACUUCCUCAGGGGCGUACCGAGCCAACUUGUUGAACUGACUUAGGAACUCAUUGACACUGCUGUUGCCUUGCUUAAGUCUGUUAAAUUCUUCUUUCUUCAUGUCAAUAGUGCUUUCAGGCACAUGAGCUGCACGAAAAGCCGUAGCGAACUCAUCCCAAGCAAUGUUAGUGGGUUCAGGGUGUGCAUUGCAGUAAUUCUCCCACCAAUCUGCGGCAGGUCCUCUUAGCUGGUGAGAGGCGUAGAGCGUCUUCUCAACAGGAGUACACUGCACUAAGUUGAGUUUUCUAUCAACAUCUUUCAACCAAUCAUCAGCCUCGACGGGCUCGACGGUCUGAGAGAACUCUGGCGGACGAGACCUCAGAAAGUCUGUCAGCUUGGAUCUGUUGUUGCCCAUGUGAGGGUGGCCAUUUCCAUGUGCAUUAUGCUGAAAACUGGCUAUGACUGUGGUUAGUCCUUGCAAGAUUUGUGUCUGAACUGCCAUUAAGUGUUGCAUGUUGUUUUCCACAUGAGGUGGGGAAGGGAGGCGUUCUUCUCCAGAAUUGUGACUGGCAGUGCGGUGAGAGCGGUGAGACUGCUCCAUCUCUGCAUCACGGGAAACUGUGCGAUGCGAGCGGCUGCUGCGGCGGGGUUGCUCAACCUCUGCGUUGCGGGAAACAGUACGGUGCGAACGGUUGCUGUGGUGAGACUGCUCAUUAGCUGAUUCAUGAUUUGCUUCUGCUUCAACUCUACCAUCUUCAAAACCAAAGCGGGCUGGUGCACGAGCUGCACGGCGGGGGCGGCUAGCCAUCUAAACUCCCAGAAAAGGGCGGGGUAAGAGUCAGAUAAGCACUUAGGAGGGCAAGGAGCAAAGCAAAUAGCAACUCAGAUAGCACACACUAGGCAUAAACUGGAUUUUUCAAAUCAUAAAAACACCUGAUACAACGGGUGUGGACAAGUCACAGAGCUACGCCGAGCUUGACUGUGCGCACACCACCUAGGAGAACCAGACUACCAAACAACACCCACAUCAAACACACACACGCACUACCUCGCCACGACUCCAAAAGAGUUGGCGGCGGAACAAAAGGGCCUGACACACGGACGGCUGCUGAAGACUGCCUCCUCUACUCCUCGUCGGCCUGGCUGCCUCCUGUAGUCGGCUCCUCUGUCGAAGAAACGUCGAUCGGCUGGUGCGAAGGGACCGGCGGAACCUGUCGAGGGCCGGCAGCAGCACGGGCUGCUGGCGGUGGGGGAGCUGGGUAGUGGAAACGGAACACGGUGGAAGAACCAACAACACGCUUCCGCGCAGUGCGGAUAAAGCGUGGGCCACGGCGGGAGGAAGCAACUUUGUCUUAUGUUUGGAUGAAAUUCCAAGGAAUCGGUCCUUAAGUGCGAGAGCGGGAAACCGUACACCCGGUACGUUCCCCGGUCCGCGGUUUUGGAAAUUCAUUUAGUUCGCAAGCACCGACCCAGGUGUCGGGUUUUCCAAGUCUUUUGUAAAACUCCAGUUUUACCCAAGUUGUUACUCAGAUUUUAAGUUUGAAGGCGACCGUCGAUACUUGCACAGAGUGCACGAAUAUCGAGGUGCAACUGGGUGGUUACAAGGGGACAUAGUAUGGCAAUUAACAAUGGAAGGAUCAAAUGCAACAAGUUAGGUAAGUCCGCCAAUCUGUCUUGCAGAUGGGACAAAAGAUUUAGUGCGAUCCUAUCAAUGCAUAAUAUUUUGCAAGCAAUAUAAUUAAAUUCCAAAUAUAGGCUCAAGAUGUUCAAAGGUGGCUUGCCUUGCUCGAGAUCUGGAGCUUGAUCCUCGAAAUCCUCGCACUACGGGUCUUCGGGCUCCGAAACUACACGCGAAACGGGACAACUCAACAAACGGCAAAAAAAUAAAGCCCUAUUAAUGACCUCUAAGCGUGCCAUUAGAUAGAUCUCGAGAGUUGGGGAAAUUUGGAAGUUGAACGGAGUCAAACGGAUUUACGGUUGGGAAGAUAUUGAAUUUCUAAGAUUAUUGAAUUUUUGAUCUAAAGGAAAAGGAUUUAAUUAAAUCCUUUUUGGAAAAGAAAAGGAAGAGGGAGGAGAAGUAGACUUCUCUCGGGCGGCUAGGGCGCGGCCCAAGGGAAAUGGAGCGGACCGGCCGAUCUUAACGGGCCGGCCGGCCCAAGACGGCCCAAGCGCGCGCGCGCGCUGGAGAGAGGAGAGAGAGUCCGGUGGACCGGGCUCACUACGCGCGGUCCCGGGUGGGACCCGCUUGUCAGCGGCUCGGCUCACCGUGCGGAGGGAGUUUGCGGCGUACGCACGCGGGCGGGGCUGGGACGCAGUGCACGCGCGCGGUUCGCGGAGGAACGGAUGCGGCGGGCCCACGCGCAGCCUCACGGCUCACCGCGGACCAUGCGCACGGGGGAAAAACGGAGGGAGCGGCUGGCCGGGUCGGCUUAUCCGGUCGCGGCCGAGGUGGCGCCGACGUGGCGCCUACGUGGCAGCCACGCGGGCCGGCGGGAGGUAGACGACGACCCGGCCGCGAAUGGACGGCGGGCGACAGCGGCGAGCGGCGGAGCGAGCCACGGCGAUACCGGCGAAAGCGAGCACACCGGGUGGCUGCACAGGACGAGGGGAGACGAGCCAACGGCUCGGAUUCGCCGGAGGGAGUCCGUCGGCGGCGGAUUGCGGCGGCGGCAACCGGCGGAGAGGAAAGGGGGAAACGGCGACGAGGUCCCGAGGGGCUAAUUCCCGGCGGCGAGAGCAUCUACGCGGCUUUGGGAACUCGACGCUUGCGUCGGAUUGGACGGAACUACGCCGAGCGAGGCCGGCGACGAGCGGGUGCUACGGAGCUCGGGCGGCGACGGCGGCGAGCAUACGGCGAGCGAUGGCAACGGUCGGGGCGGCGCCGGCUAACUACGGGGAGUCUACUCAAGCUACUAUCGAAAGCUAGGGGGAGGAGAUGGAGCGAGGAGGGAGAACGGAGGGAGGCACUACCGUGCGGGACGGGCGCAGUGACGAGAGGCCGACGGCGCGGGAGUGAUCUCUCCGGCCUCGGGCCGAGGAAGAGGGUGAAGAGGGCGCGCCCGGAGUCCCCUUCCGCGUCCACGAACGCACCGGCUCUCCCGGCGCUUGGCGAUGGACGGCGGAGGCGAGGCAGAGCACGGGAGCGGCGGCAAUGGUGCGGAGGCGAAUGGGAGAGGAGGGGAAAGGGGAGGCUGGGGUUUAUAGGGGGCGGCAAUGUCAGUUUGGGAAUCGACUUGCGCGGUCAAGGGCGCGAGCUGGCGCUCCGGCUAGCGGCCAAAACGGCGACAAGAGGAUGACGCCGGCGAGAAGGGAAAAAGGGGAGAAAAAGAAGAAAAGGAGGGAGAGAAAGGGGGCUCGCCCCUUUGCCGAUUCGGGAAAAGGAGGAGGGGGCGGGGCGACGCGGCAGAGGGAAGGGAGAGCUCGGCCUCCGCCUCUUGGCGGCUUGCGCGCGGAGUGGCGGGGCCGGGGGAUGACGACGGCGAUGACGGUGAGAUGGUUUGGAGCGGCGCGACGACACGGGCGACAGGCGCGGCAGGCGCUGACGACGGCGGCGACUGGGCGGUCGGCCACUCGGCGCGCGCGCGCGGGAAACAACGGGCGGCGUCCGCGCGGGCGCGCGCCCGCGAACACGGCGCGCGGGAAGCGGCUUUGCGAGCGGGGAGCUCGCGCGAGGGGAGGGGCGCUCAGCGCGGGCGACUCCCGCGCACGCGCGCGCGGCGCGCGGGCAGGACGGAGGGGAAGCGGGGAGAGAGGCGCUCGGGGCGACUCUCGCACGCGCGAGCAGCGUGCGGGCGAGGCUGAGCGGGGGGGGGGGGGGAGGAGCGCGCCAGGGGGGGGAGAGAGAGAGAGAGAGAGAGAGAGAGCGCGCCCGGGAGAGAGGGCCGGGGGAGAGAGAGAUGGGCCGAGCGAGAUUCGGCCCAUCGACCUCGGGGGAGGCAAAAUAGACUUUUGCGGAGGAAUUUGAUUGGAAGGAUUUGGAUUCGGAAUUGAACUCGACGAUAGAUCGGGGAUUGAGAUCUUGAGAUGGCACGGACACUAAACAACAAUCAAAGAAACAAAUUUCGCAAUUAGGGUUUUUCCGAGAUAAUUUUCCCGCUAGGCGCCACGACGGAACGGGCGCUACAGCCAGCCCUCCGCGCGCCGCGCCGCCGCGAGGGGCGGGCCUCUGCACCCCGCCGUUGCAGAGGGAGGUGGGGAGGAGGGAGAGGAAGAGAUAAGGGUGAUGGGGAGGAGGGAGAGGAGGAGAGAAAGGGAGGAGGGAGAGGAAGAGAUAAGGGUGAGUGGGUGACUUUGUGAGGAGAUGAGUUAAAAAAGGAGAGGAGGAGAUUGUAUUGAUCCGAUCCGCGUGCAACUAGCCUGCUUAUGUCGACUUUUUUCCCGGUUGGUAACACCAACCGGGACUAAACAUAGAUCUUUAGUCCCGGUUGGUACAUCAACCGGGAGUAAAGCUUAUAUUGAUCUUUUUUCCCGAUUGGUAACACCAACUAGGACUAUAAAUAGAUCUUUAGUCCCGGUUUUCAACACUAACCGGGACUAAAGAUCAAAAAAUUCCUCAAAGCUUUCAAACCGGGACUAAAAAUAUUUUUAGUCCCGGUUUUUAAUACAAUCGGGACUAUUGUGAAAUUUGGUAGACCGACCAAAGAUGGUUUCUACGUGAGAGGAGCCUCUUCCCAGUUAGCAAGUCACGUAUUGAACAAUGGAGACAAAUUGAUGGCCAGAGCCCCGAAGCAUAUAUUAUUACUUUUUUAAAAAAUGUGAGAAAUAAAAGGUUAGUAGUAUUUUGUGAGUUGCAAUAUGUACACCAUCCUUUUUUGAAGUAAAGAGUAAAAGGGAGCUAAAAGUGUUGCUCUUAAAUUAAGUGAGGUGGACGGAAGAGGUAUGUUAAUCCGCAAAAUAAUAAUAAAAAAAGUGGUUUUUGUUUUGCUUGGGUGCACUUUAUCUAAUGUGCUUUUAAAAUGUAUUUAUUCUUUUUUAAUAUUUUGCAAGGCUGUAGGAUGUGUAAGGACCAAUUUAUUAUUACGAUUGAGGCAAGCAGAAAAUUGACUAGCAUAUGACUGAUGUUUAAGCGUUGAAGAGUCAUAAAUUUUAAAUUAAUAUUUUGAUUUUUUUUGAGAGGAAAACUAACUGUUUCCAUUAACCCAUUGUCUCGACAGAACCGUCGAUAACCAAAUCCUCAACGCCAGGUGGAGUUCCAUCCCAGCUGAGAACAGUAUUGUCUGGGCUAUUACAUCCAAAUGCGGCUAAAGCGUCGGCCACCUUAUUACAUUCACGUGGGCAAUAACCAACACGGAAAGAAAGAAAAGCCAAAGCAAUAAACUUCUUCAUUUGCAGGACGAAGCCACCUAACGCUGCAAGAUGGAUGUUGCUCUCCUUCAGGGCUUGGACAAGCAACAGCGAGUCCGUCUCCAAGUGAAUAUGCGCUAUACCCCACUGUGCUGCCGCUUCAAGUCCCUUCACUGCCGCCAGAAUUUCAGCAUGGAGAGUGACGGAGCUCGUGGCUCCUCACCGGGAGACCGCGCAGGCCCCCCUUUGCCGGUUCGACCGGGGGCUUAGGGUGAAAUCCCAAGCUCUCGCUGUAUGUGGAAAGAUCGCGAACCCGGAAGAAACGCGAGACGCAGGAGACGUAUACAAGUUCGGGCCGCUGGGAAGCGUAAUACCCUACUCCUGUGUUUUGGUGGAUCUGUGUAUGGACAAGUUACAAAGUAUGAACCAGCCAAAAAGAUCCCCAUUCUAGGUGGGCAAGGUCCUCCUUUUAUAUCUCAAGGGGAUACCACAUGCCCCUCUCCCUUUCCAAACUGGACUGUUCUUCUCUUCAUAAAUGGACGGAGAUCGGUACGGUUGCUGUCCGAGUGCCCUUCUGACGGGACAGCCCAUACCUACCCCCGCUUCCGCCGGAAACAGGUGCAACAUGGGAUUAUGGCUGUCUGUGGAUGACGCGACCAGUGUCAGACCGGUCACAGAUUAGUCAUCCUUGUCUACCAUGCGUCAGCUUAGCAACGUGCAUGUUUGCCCUUCUUCAUGUAACAUCUUGCAUGUAAUGGUUGGGAUGAAGCCUGGUAUAAAUCUAACCAGGGCUAACGUGCCAUCUCUAAGAGAUAACACGCUAGCUCCGGCUUGAGACAAGUGCCUAGAGGCUUUCGUCUUGACGGGAUGGGGCAAGGCGUGCGUCAGACCGCCAGUCGCCACCUAACCCGUGAUCUGACCGGUCUGUGACCGGUCACAGACCGGAUAAAGGAACGCGCUGCACUGCGCUGCAUGCAGCGUGACACGCUUGACCAGACUACAAUAAAUGCGGUUAGGUGAGCACUGCCGUGUUCACCUAUCCCAUAUAUGUGGCGCAAACUUCCUCAAGGGGUCGGGGUGCCUCGGCCCUCGGGGCCGGGGCAGGAGUAACCCGACCCCCCCCUCGGGAGAAAUCAGGAGGAGGGCAGACACCUCACCCUCGGGCCCGACGUCCCCGAAGGUGCCAGGCCGCGUGGGCGAUUGUGUCUGCCUCAAGCCUCUGGUCACGAUACCCCCGGUCCCAUAUCACCGACAGUAGCCCCCGGCGUUAUGCCAGGGCGAUCGCCCUUCUCAAGGGAAGCGGUCGGGCGUAACGCCACUCCUAAAGCUUGGUGACAGGUGGGACCGGUUUCCAUGGUUGCGCAGAAACCCAACGGUCUCAAACCAUGCACAUCGGUAAUGGUAACUUGGCUGUCCAUAAUGGGCGGUCUCUUCAAGACUGCCACAUCACUUGAGCAGCGCACGAAUCUGGGUGAGCUGAUUUGCUUCGCCUGGAGAUAUGGUAACGUCGCUUCGGUCGGCGAGCGUAAUUAACGCGCGCACGAUACGAUCUAUCUCGACUGCCGCAACCGCACAUCCACUUCAUGCGCCGCAAGCGGGCGAAUGGGAUUAGUGGAAGCGUGGGCACGAGAAACGAGGGAGCGAGAUAGCGAGAAACGAGGGAGCGAGAUAGUGGGCGCGAGAAACGAGGAGCCGGGCACGGCGAUGGCAAGGGUAUAAAGACACCGAGGAAAAGAUUUGCUCCCUUCCUUUCGCCAUUAUUCCCCUUGCCUUCGCCGCUUGCGCCCUAACUCCUUCUCUGCUGCGCCCCACCUUCGCCACACGCGCUCGUUCUCAAUCAUCCCUUCCUCCGGCGCCAUGGCACGGGGCUCCGCUCUGCUCGACGGUAGCGUACUACUGCCUUCUCGCAUCGUGAGCGAGAGGCAGGCCGGGCUGCCGCGCCGCUUCAUGCCGGAAUCUGCCACCGGCCGGGAGAUAGUGAUGCUGGGCGAGGGACGCCCGGCACCAGACUACCCGGGGCGGUCCGUCUUCUUCCUCCCCUUCGCAAUGGCGGGGCUGGUUCCGCCAUUUUCUUCCUUCUUUAUGGACGUUCUGGAGUUCUACGAUCUCCAGAUGGCGCACCUCACCCCCAAUGCGGUGAUGACAUUGGCCAUCUUCGCGCACCUGUGCGAGAUGUUCAUUGGGGUGCGCCCAUCUCUUCGGCUGUUCCGGUGGUUCUUCACCGUGCAGUCGGUGUCGCCGCCGUCGGUGGUUGGUGGCUGCUACUUCUAGCCGCGGGGGCCGGUGCUGAACCGCUACAUCCCCUGCGUCCUCCGCAAGAAGUGGGACGACUGGAAGAGCGACUGGUUCUACACCCCCCUCGCCAACGAAGCGCGCCUCCGACUUCCAAGCCAGCCCCCGGCGCAGGUCUCCAGCUGGCGGGCGCCGGUAGAUCUGGGGGAUGACUAUGACGCCGUCCUUGAUCGCCUGGCGGGCCUGCGAUCCCAGGGGCUUACAGGGGCCAUGGUGUACGGCGACUACCUCCGUCGCCGGAUUGCGCCGCUCCAGCGGCGCGCCCGGAGCGCCUGGGAGUACUCCGGGUCCGAAGACUACAUGCGGACCCACCAAGGAGUCAGAUGGGAUUGGGCUCCCGAGGACUUCAAGAUCGUGGUCCAAAGGGUGCUGAAUCUCAGCUCCGUGGAGGCGUCUCUCAUUCCUCAAGGAAUCCUCCCCCUCUGCAGCGAUCCCGACCGCGCCUCUAUUUUGACCAUUAUGAUGGGGGUCGGGGCCUCAGAGGAGGAAACCCCUAAGGGCCACGACGGCGUGGGCGAGAGCCGCCGGGGGGGACAAUCUACCCCAGGAGGGGGUCGUGCUUCUGGCCCCGCGUCGGGGGCUCGGGGAGCAGCCGCCCUGCCGACGCCCAGGGGAAGAGGAAGCUGGGAGGAACACCUCCCCCAUCUCCUCCCCGAGGGGGCGGGGCGGUGCGUGCCAGCAGUCGGCGCCCGGAGGGGGCCGCGCCGUCAUCGCAACCCGAGGGGGAGCGCAAGAAGAAGCGGCUCCGUAAGAUGGGGGAGACGGAACCAUCCCGGGGAAACCUGAUUUCCCCUCCAAGGUGGUCAUUUAACCGACCCCCUCGCAGGUUCGUCCCACUCUCAUUACGACCGUCUUUCUCCUAUCCCAAAAGCAAGUUUUCUCUUACCCAUCUUGUUUGUCUUCUGGUUUUUUCUUCUGCUUCAGCGAUGUCCCGUCGCGUUCCUCCCGCCACCCCAAGUCUGGCCAGUCCGAGGCCGAAGAUCCGGCGGCCGCAGAGGAACGGAGGCGAGAAUCUGACCGGCGAGAGGCCGCAGAUCGCCUUCGGGAAGCUGAAGAGGCCGCCCGGGAGGCCGCCCGGGUUCGUCAAGCGGAGAGUGCCGCUCGGGAGGAGGCCGCCCGGGCUCGCCAAGCUGAGGCGAUGGCGUCUUCCGAGGCAGCUCACGACAAAGCUGCUGGCGCGUCGCUUGGGCCCACUCCCUCGGGCGACGCUCAGGCGACGGCCUCUGGGGCGGCUCGCGACGAGGCCGCGGGCGCAUCGCCUGGGCCCACUCCCUCGGGCGACGCUCAGGCGACGGCCUCCGGGGCGGCUCGCGACGAGGCCGCGGGCGCAUCGCCUAGGCCCACUUCUCCGGGCGACGCCCAGGACCAAACGGGUCCGGGGGACAUCCCCGAGCCCAGCGCCUCCUCCGGCGGGCCGAGCCGCGUCGCGUUCUCUCCAAGGCGGCUCUUCUCCUCGUCUUCUGUCGCCCCGCUGAGCGCCGAGCCCCUUCUGCAGGCCUUGGCCGCCGCAAACACUGCGGUGCUAGAUGGGUUCAGCGCCCAAGUGGAGGCCCUGCGAGCGGAACGAGCGGAGCUCGAGGCCGCAUGGGCGCGUGUCGAGGAGGGACGGCGCUCGGUGGACGUCAUGGUGGAGGUGGGCCGUAAGGCGCACCGCCGUCACGUCUCGGAGCUAGAAGCCCGCAAAGCGGCGCUGGCGGAGAUCGCCCGAGAGGUGGAGGAGGAGCGGGAGGCCACCCUCAUCGCCACCACUGCGAUGAUCGAGGCGCAGGACACCCUCCGCCUUCAACACGCGAGCUGGGAGGCGGAGCUAAAGAGAAAGCUCGACGCCGCCCAAGGGGUCCUUGACACCGCCGCUGCCCGAGAGCGGCGGGCGACGGAGACUGAAGCGGCGUCCCGGCGGCGCGAGGAGGUCCUUGAGGCCCGUGCCAUGGCACUGGAAGAACACGCCGGCGCCGUGGAGAGGGGCUUGGCGGACCGCGAGGCCGCCGUCGCCAUCCGGGAGGCAACGCUGGUGGUGCAUGAGGUCGCCUGCGCCGAAGAGGAGUCCGCGCUCCGCCUCCGCGAGGACGCACUUGCUGAGCGGGAGCGAGCUCUCGAGGAGGCCGAGGCCGCGGCGCAACGGCUGGCGGACAGUCUGUCCCUCCGCGAGGCAGCGCAGGAGGAGCAGGCGCGCCGCAAUCUGGAAUGUGUCCGCGCCGAGAGAGCCGCACUGGAGCAGCGGGCUGCUGACCUCGAGGCGCGGGAAAAAGAGCUGGCCGCGAGAGCGCCCAUCGGUGGGGCGGCUGCGGGCGAAAGCGACUUAGUCGCCCGCCUCGCAGCUGCCGAACACACCGUCGCCGACAUGCAGCGCGCCCUUGACUCAUCCGCCGGGGAGGCCGAGGCCCUCCGCUUGGCGGGCGAGAUAGGGCCUGGCACACUUUGGGAUGCGGUCUCCCGCCUAGAUCGCGCCGGUCGGCAAGCGGGCCUCUGGAAAGGCCAAACAAUGCCGCACUCCACCAAUCUGGAAGGCCUCGCUCCGCGCCUCACGAAGAUGGCCUGGGCUCUCCAACAACUCCCCGAGGAGCUCGAGAAGACCAUUAAGUCAUCCUCGAGGGACCUCGCCCAAGGAGCGGUCGAACUCGUAUUAGCGAGUUACCAGGCCAGGGACCCCAACUUCUCUCCGUGGAUGGCGCUGGAUGAGUUCCCUCCCGGGACCGAGGACGAUGCGCGCGCGCGGGUCCGGGAUGCCGCCGACCACAUCGUCAACAGCUUCGAGGGCUCGGCCCCUCGGCUCGCGUUCGCCCCCAACUCCGACGAGGAGGGCGACGCCAGCGGUGCAGACAACGAUGGCGACGAGGCCGGCGACCCGGGCGCAUCGGAAUGAGCCCCCAGGCCCCCGCCAAUCUCCAAUUUUUUCUUUUUCUUUCUUCUAAGGCCUUCAUGCCUCUUUUUUGUAUAGAUCAACUUAAUCUGGAAUCAAAAAUGAAAAAAUUCUUCGUGUCAAUUUUAUUUUGCUAUGCGUAUGAGAUGAGGAUGAUCUGUGCCGUGGUCCUCUUUUGUGUCUUAGCUUGAUUUAAGGGCUCGUGCCCAAGUCCCAGUCCUCUAAUGGCUCGGGUCGGGGCUAGUGCCUGGGGAGAUCCACAUGUUGAGGCUGGCCAGGCCGGGAACGUGGUGACCGAGGGUUAUAGGUGACCCGAUUGUGGGUUUUUGCCGAUUCCCCCCCGGAGUUCACCACGCCCCGGGGCACGGCUCAGUUCUGGGCCCCGUUUGGCGAUUUUAGCUGACCGAACCGAGCCCCCGAGGGCAAGGUUGAGCACGAGUGACCUUAUUUCAAGUCAAGAUUCUUCAAAAGGAAAAAACGGCACAGACACAACCUUUAGGAAAUUGAAACUGCUUUUUUUGAAACGCUGAAAUAAGAGAAAUAAUAAUGUGCAUGCGUGGUAGCCCCCGGCCAACCCUGCACACCCGAGGGGGGGGGUGCGGGGUUGGCCCGAGCCCGAAACCUGACACCCGACCCCUCCCUCAGGGCUAGAAGCGACGAAGGUGUUCGAUGUUCCACGGGUUAGGCAGCUCAGUGCCGUCGCCCGUGGCCAACCGUAUGGAGCCCGGCCGGGGGACACCGAUCACUCGAUACGGACCCUCCCACAUUGGUGAGAGCUUGCUCAAUCCAGCACGCGUUUGGACGCGGCGUAAGACGAGGUCGUCGACGCAGAGUGAUCGGGCCCGGACGUGGCGCUGAUGGUAGCGCCGCAGGCUCUGCUGGUAGCACGCGGCUCGGAGGGCCGCGCGCCUCCUUCGCUCUUCCAAGUAGUCGAGGUCAUCUCUGCGAAGCUGAUCUUGAUCGGCUUCGCAGUACAUGGUGGCCCGAGGAGACCUCAGGGUGAGCUCGGAUGGGAGAACCGCUUCUGCGCCGUAGACGAGGAAGAAAGGCGUUUCCCCGGUUGCUCGGCUUGGUGUGGUUCGGUUUGCCCAGAGCACCGCUGGCAACUCCUCGAUCCAUGAAUCGCCGUGCUUCUUGAGAAUAUUGAAGGUCUUGGUUUUAAGGCCUUUGAGGAUUUCUGCAUUGGCGCGCUCCACUUGGCCAUUGCUUCUGGGGUGGGCAGGUGAGGCGAAGCAGAGCUUGAUGCCCAUGUCUUCGCAGUAAUCGCCGAAGAGUUCACUAGUGAAUUGGGUGCCAUUAUCCGUAAUAAUACGGUUAGGCACUCCAAAACGGGCCGUGAUGCCUUUAAUGAAUUUAAGUGCAGAGUGCUUAUCGAUCUUGACGACCGGAUAAGCCUCGGGCCACUUAGUGAACUUGUCGAUCGCGACAUACAGAUACUCAAACCCGCCCGGGGCCCGCUUAAACGGUCCCAGGAUAUCGAGCCCCCAGACAGCAAAUGGCCACGAAAGUGGUAUGAUCUGCAGGGCCUGGGCCGGCUGAUGGAUCUGCUUGGCGUGAAACUGACACGCUCUGCAUCGCCGGACCAGAUCAACUGCAUCAUUGAGAGCUGUCGGCCAAUAGAAUCCUUGACGAAAGGCCUUGCCAACCAAGGUGCGCGAGGCGGAAUGGGCUCCGCACUCGCCUUCAUGGAUAUCGGCAAGAAGCUCAACGCCUUGUUCCUGAGGAAUGCAUUUCAGGAGGAUUCCGUUAGCCGCGCGCCGAUAGAGGGUCCCUUCUACCAGCACAUAGCGUUUGGAAAUGCGUUGGACGCGUUCACUCCCUUCGCGGUCCUCAGGUAGAGUCUUAUCUGUGAGGUAUGCUUGGAUCUCAGAGAUCCAUGCAAUCAAUCUAAGGGAGCUUGGAGCGCUCCCUUCGGGUCCCGAGGCCUGGACUCCGACGGGCCUCGGGGGCCGAUCAGGCGCAUCCGUCUCCCCUAAGGGGUCGGGUCGCGCCGACGGCUGGGUAAGCCUUUCUUCAAAGGCGCCCGGUGGGGUCUGGGCUCGCGAGGACGCGAGCCGUGAGAGUUCGUCAGCAACCAUGUUAUCCCGUCUGGGUACAUGCCGAAGCUUUAUCCCGUCAAAAUGGCGCUCCAUACGCCGCACUUGGCGUACGUAAGCGUCCAUCUGUGGGUCAGAGCACCGGUACUCCUUACAGACCUGGUUAACGACCAGCUGGGAGUCGCCUAACACCAAGAGGCGGCGGAUCCCCAGUCCAACUGCCACUCUGAGUCCGGCAAGGAGUCCCUCGUACUCUGCCAUAUUGUUGGUUGCUCGAAAGUCGAGACGGACCAAGUAUCUAAGGACGUCUCCUUUCGGAGAGGUCAACGUGACCCCCGCUCCGGCGCCCUGGAGAGACAGAGAACCGUCGAACUGCAUCACCCAGUGGGAGGUGUGAGGCAGCUGUGAGGGGUCCGUGCUGGCCUCGGGAAUUGAGACGGUCUCUGGAGCCGGGGUCCACUCUGCCACAAAAUCGGCGAGGGCUUGGCUCUUGAUAGCGUGGCGUGGUUCAAAGUGCAGAUCGAACUCAGAAAGCUCGAUUGCCCAUUUUACCACCCGUCCGGUACCCUCGCGAUUACGCAAGAUUUGACCGAGGGGGUAAGACGUAACCACAGUGACCCGAUGCGCCUGGAAAUAAUGGCGCAGUUUCCUCGAGGCCAUCAGAAUAGCGUAAAGCAUCUUCUGGGCCUGAGGGUAUCUGGUCUUGGCGUCCCGGAGGGCCUCACUAACAAAGUAGACAGGCCGCUGCACCUUUCGGCGGGGCCGAUCCUCUUCGCUAGGGGCCGUACCCCCGGGGCGUUCUUCGUCCAAGUGGCCCCUCGGGGCGCACUCGUCUUCUGUGCCGAUGACCUCGGGGUCGGAGGAUGACAGGAGCGGCCUUCCCACAGUGGCCUCGGGGCCGUCCUGGGGGUCGGGGGCUCCUGGCGUCGUCGGACAAGCGGGCAAAGGGCCAACUCCGGGCGUCAGGGGCCUCAGGCCUCCGUUCGGCUCGGGGGCCUCUUCUCCCUGCUCUCUCCCGGGUCGAGUCAGCACAGGGUUAGCCUCGGGGCCAAAGGGCGAUAGGUGCGGCCUUCCCUCAGUGGCCUCGGGGCCUUCCUGAGGGUCGGGGGCACCCAGCACCGUCUGACAAGCGGGCAGAGGGCCGACUCCGGUCGUCAGGGGCCUUAGGCCACCGUUCGACUCGGGGGCCUCUCCUCCCUGCUUGCUCCCGGGCCAAGUCGGCACAGGGUGGGGGUGCGCGGAAUGAGGAUUGUCCUCAUCGCGCUCCACAACCAACGCUGCACUAACUACUUGGGGGGUCGCCGCUAAGUAAAGUAGCAGGGGCUCAUUUGGCUCCGGGGCAACUAGAACCGGAGGAGAGCUGAGAUACGCCUUCAACUGGGCGAGGGCAUUUUCAGCUUCCUCCGUCCAAGUAAACGGCCCCGAGCGCUUGAGGAGCUUAAAUAAGGGUAGCGCCUUCUCUCCCAGCCUCGAUAUGAAACGACUUAGGGCGGCCAUGCAACCGGUGACGCACUGCACAUCCCUAAGUUUGCUGGGGGGGCGCAUCCGCUCUAUAGCUCGUAUCUUCUCGGGGUUGGCCUCGAUGCCUCGGGCAGAGACCAAGAACCCGAGAAGCUUGCCCGCAGGUACACCAAACACGCACUUAUCGGGGUUCAGUUUUAUGCGGGCGGCGCGGAGAUUUUCAAAAGUUUCCGCUAGAUCUGAGAGUAAAGUCUCUUGGUUGCGCGUCUUUACAACCAAGUCAUCAACAUAAGCCUCAACAUUACGUCCUAUUUGACUACCCAAAGAAAUUCGAGUAGUACGCUGAAAAGUAGGACCUGCAUUCUUUAACCCGAAGGGCAUUGAUGUAUAACAAUAGGUUCCUACGGGGGUAAUGAACGCAGUUUUUUCCUCAUCCUCCCUAGCCAUGCGAAUCUGAUGGUAACCAGAGUAUGCAUCUAGAAAACACAAAAGGUCGCACCCCGCAGUGGAGUCGACAAUCUGAUCUAUGCGAGGCAGGGGGUAAGGGUCCUUAGGACAUGCCUUGUUAAGGUCGGUGUAGUCGAUGCACAUCCGAAGCUUGCCGUUCGCCUUGGGAACGACCACCGGGUUCGCCAGCCACUCCGGAUGGAUGACCUCACGGAUGAAUCCGGCCUCCAGAAGUCUCGCCACCUCCUCGCGGAUGAAGGCUUGACGUUCCGGGGCCUACCGCCGCACUUUCUGCCGGACCGGCCUCGCGCCCGGCCGCACGGCGAGACGGUGCUCAAUCACCUCCCUGGGGACCCCGGGCAUAUCCGCCGGUCUCCAUGCGAAGACGUCAGCGUUUGCCCGCAGGAAGGAGACGAGCGCGUCUUCCUAUUUGCCAUCCAGAAGACCACCGAUCCGUGUGGUCUUGGAUGGACCGUCGCCCAGGGCAACCUCCUUGACCGGGACCUCGUCGCAUGUGACAAUCCGCCGCCUCGGGGCGGUGGGGGCGGAGGUGCCAAGCCUCUCGUCACCACCCUCGUGCUUGGACGCAGCAGCGAGGUGGUCCGCGCGCUGCUCCAUGCAAGCGAGCGCAACUUUGAGGUCGCCAUGGACAGAGAUGGGGCCGCCGGGGCCCGGCAUCUUCAUCUGAAGAUAGGCGUAGUGAACCGCCGCCAUGAACUUCACCAACGCGGGCCUCCCCAGGACCGCGUUGUAGGGCAGACUGAGGUCCGCCACAUCGAAGUUCACCCGCUCCGUGCGGAAGUUGGCUGAUCCACCAAAGGUGACCGGUAGGUCGAUGUGACCUAACGGCCAUGUGUGCCCCAGCGUCACACCGAUAAUCGGUUGGGACGGCUGGAGCACCAUCCCCGGGGCCUUGAUGGCAUCAUAGGCCGCGGGGGAAAGGAUGUUGAGGGCCGCUCCUCCAUCUAUGAGGACACGCCCCAACUUCACGUUGCAGAUGGUGGGGGAAACCACCAUCGCAAUCUGCCCUCCCCGGGCAACGCACGGUGGGUGGUCGGUCUGGUCAAAGGUGAGGACAACCUCCGACCACCGUGCCCGACGCGUCGCCUCAUGAGUAGGGGCCGCGGCCAGAAGCUCUCGCUUCAUAGCCUUGAAGCUCCGGCGAGAGAUGUGAGCACACGCUCCCCCAUCGACAGUGGCAAUGGUGGCCCCAGGUUCUUGGAAACCUAGGUCAUCAUCACCGUCAUCGAUGUCAACAGCGGGGGCCUUCUGUUUGGCCUCACUUCGCCGUUUGCCGGAAGGAACCGCCGGGGACUUACCUUCCCGGCGCUCCUGCCUCCUGUCCUCCUCCCACUUCCUCGUUCGCUCCGCCAAAUUUUUGACGGCGCGGCAGUCCGCGAGAUCAUGGAGGGAGGUGUUGUGGACGGAGCACCACCUACCGGCUGGGCGCUCCCUGCUGGGAGUACCAGCCUCUUUCUUUUUGUCGCUUGCAGGCCUCCCCUUUCGGGUGGCCCGCGGAGCGCCCUCGACGGCGAGGACAUGACCCUCGUCGCCGGAAUGGACCGACCUCUUCUUCCUCCUCCUGUCAUGCCGCCCUGUCUGAGCGGCGGAUCCGGGGGCGGCCGAAGCUGCCACACCGGAACCGGAGGGGUUCCAGGUCCAAGCUUCCUCCUUACGAGCCACUCGGUCCGCGAGCUGAAAAAGCUCUGCGGUAGUCUGGGGCUCUUUGGAAACGAUCUUUUCGAGCAUGCGGUUGUGCCGCACACCCCCCCUGAACGCGUAGAUCACCGCGUGUGCAGGGAUGCAUGGUAUGGUAUUGCGGACUUGGCAGAACCGCUGAAUGUACGAGCGAAGCGACUCAUCAUCCCCUCGCUGUACGGCGUGCAAGUCCGCUUCUUCGCCUGGGCGCGGAUAUGUGCCUUGAAAGUUCAUGGUGAACUGUUGGCACAAAUCUUCCCAGGAGUGGACCGACGCGGGUGGCAGGUUCAUUAGCCAACCCCGCGCCUGUCCCUUCAGGGCCAUGGGAAAGAAAUUAGCCAUAACCCUGUCGUCACCCCCAGCGGCCUCAAUCCCGGUCGUAUAGACCUGGAGAAACUCGGUGGGGUUGACGCUCCCAUCAUACUUCUCGGUGAUGGUGGGCCGGAACCUUGGGGGCCAACGGACAUUCCGAAGACUCGCCACAAAGGCUCUACAGCCGACACCACCAGCCGGGGGCACGGAGGGCUGGUCCUCACGUCCAUGUCGAGGUGACACUCUGGACGAGGAGGCACCCUCCGUUUCACGGGGAGUACGCCGGCUAUUACGCCGGCGCUCGAUGUUGAGGCGGGCAUCCGGCUCCCCAUGCUGAUCCUCCCGAGUCGAAGGUGUCGAUGAGGGAGUGGCAGCCGAAUGACGUGCAGCCGCCGCCGCUCGCCGCGCCCUCCGCCUUGAUGACACGGAACCGGUGGUGGUGGCGCCGGAGGUCUUGGUGGUGGCGG
rnacentral:lncRNA from 1 species